rnacentral:lncRNA from 1 species
AAAUAUUCACAUAUCAUAUAUAUAUAUGAAAAAAAUAUGGCUAAAUUACAGAAAAUCCCCCUGUAAUAACCCGCUUUUUCACUUUUCCCCCCUGACAUCUAAAAACCUAUACUUUGCCCCCCUGUAAAAUAAAAAAUAUUCACAGGAGGGUUACGGUGUGUAAAAUGACCAUUUUACCCCUUGUCAUUGUCGUCUUCUUCCCUAUCUUCGUCAGCCGUCCUUUUGUUCGACCGCGAUUCCCACCUCAAUCAGCCGCGAUUUCUCUCCAUUUCCUUUCUCCACCUGCUCCCCUUCUCCUCCUGCACUAUCGCCGCCCUCGAUUUCGGCGACAGUAGGAGAAACCGAGGUCGGCGACAGUAGGAGAAGGGCAAAGAAGGCGAAGGCGAGGCGGCGGAGGACGGCGAAGGAGAUGUGGGUGAGGGCGAGGCAGUGGAGGACGGCGAGGCGGCUAAGCGGUGAGGCGGCGAGGCGGCGGCGAGGUGGCGAGCCGGAGGGAGGCGAAGCAACAGGGAGAUGGCGGAGGGGUAUUUUCGGCAUAAAAAUAUAUUUUUUAACGGAACUCUAAUGGUAGGGGGUGAAGUGCAUAUUUUUUAUUUUAAAGGGAGGCAAAGUGUAGGUUUUUAAAUAUCAGGAAGGAAAAGUGAAAAAGCGGGUUAUUAUAAUGGGAUUUUCUGUAAUUUAGCCAAAAAAUAUUACUAUACCAUAAAUAGCAUAAACCUUUUUUGAGUAUGCAUUCGGUUUUUGAUUAUCAAGCUUACAUAUUGUUGAUCGACACGGUUAACAUGAUUAAGAGUAUUAGAACAAUCUAUCAAUCAAAUUUUAAAAUAUUUUAACAUAAAUUACAUACUAAUUGAACGAUUGAUAAUUUAACAAUUUAAUGACCGAUAUGAAGUGUUCGUUAGUUUAACGGUGUUAAGAUAACCGAAUUUGGUUGAAUUCCUAAUAAAACGUUAUAUGCAAUAUUUAAAUCAAGAUGAAAAACUAUGAUUUUUAAUCUCAAAUUUUGAUUUUUUAUUUUUAGAAUUUAUUUUAUUUUGACCGUUCAUUUUGUUGAUAGCUUAUAUAGAUAAAUACUAUUCAAGAAUCAUAAAAUUUGUUUACUAAACUAUUCCAUUACUUUAUGUCAUAUUUAAUAGUAUCAAUUAGCCAUUCGGAAGUUUAAUUAUCCUAUCUACAAUAUUGUAAUAUUUUUCAUGCAUAUAUACAUACAUACAUACAUGCAUAUAUAUAUAUAUAGAGAGAGAGGGAGAGAGAGAGUCAGACUACUAUACUCUUAUGAAUACAAAUUUUUUUGUACUUAUAAAUUUUCAGCCAUUAAAUCUAUUUCACCCAUUAGAUUUUACUAUUCAACCAUAGAUUUUACUAUUCAACCACUGGGAACCACUAUCAUCCUAACGGCCCAUCUUUUUAUCUAAUAAGUAAAAAGGGUUUGUACUCAUAAAAGUAUAGUAGCUUUACUAUAUACAUAUUGUACAAGACUGGAAUACUAUUAAUAACACCAAUAACUUGGUGCUAUUAAGUUUUCUGCAUUUGGAUUAAAAGAUGUGUGGUUUGGAUGAUGUGGGCCCCCUAAGGUCACGUGGGCAGUUAGCUAAAUGGUACAAUCGAACGGAUGAAAAUGAUAAAGUAGAUAAAUCUUAUGGCAGAAAACUUGAUAGCACCAAAACAUUCGUGCUAUCAUAGUAUCUCAGUCGGACUCUCUCAUCUCCUCCUUCUCUCCUCUCUUCGACCACACUCUACGUCCAACUCCUUCCUCUCGUCCCCUCCUUCCGUAAUGGAGGUCUCUCUCUCUCUCUAUCUAUAUAUAUAUAUAUAUGACAGAGCUGCUGUGCUCUCAGGAGCACGGAGCCUCCGUGCUCCUGAGCAUUUUUGAUGAUAGAAUUUUCAAAUGACGAUCGGCUCGUUAGAUUUGAUCUAGCGUAUUUAAAGUUUCUAGAAAAUAAUUUUUUGCAAUUGUUUGAUAUCAUUUACCUAGUGAUCGAAAGGAUUCAAAUCAAUAAUUUAAUAGUUGAUAUCUGCCGUUUUCAAGUUUAACGGUGUAGAAGCAUUCAAAUCAGAUGAAAUUUUGAUACAAAAUUCUUUAUACUAUUUACAACAAGAUCAAUAUUUCUGAUCAAAAUUUUAAUACUAUAUCACCACUUUUUAUAGGAUUUUUAUUUUCAGCCUUAAAAUUAUUGAUUUUGAUCUUUUCGAUUGUUAGAAAAUGAUAUCGAAAAAUCGUAAAAAUUAUUUUCUAUAAACUUCAAAUACACUAGAUCAAGUCUAACGAGCCGAUCGUCGAUUCGAAAAUUCUAUGAUCGAAAACGACUUAGGAGCACGGAGGCCUCUGUGCUCCUGAGAGCAGAGCAGUCCUGCUCUCUCUCUCUCUCCUUCCUCCGGCACAUCUCCCCCCCCCCUCCCUGAUUCAGCACUCAUCUUUACUCUCUCUAUAUAUAUAUAUAUAUAUAUAUAUGGGAUUAUAUAUAUAUAAAACCCUCACAUGUUCAUUUAUGUAGCUUAUAGGAAAGGAUCAUUCCUCCAUUUCUAGGAGAGGGGAAACGACAAUCAAAGCAAGUUGACAUCAUCCACAAGAAAUUGGAAAUAGGGAAUAAAAAAAAAGUUUUCUUUUGAAGUUAAUUAUUUUAACUAUUAAUUAAUUAAAAUUUAUAUCAUAUAUAUAUAUAAUACAAACCUAAUUUUUACUAACUCACGCGAUGCUGCAGAUAUAAAAAUAUUCUAAGAAUAAAUUUUAGUUUAUAUAUAUUUUUUAUUUUUAUGUAAUUUUAUUAGUCUAUGAAUUAAGUAAAAUUAUAUAAAAGGAAUUUAGUAAUUAAAUCUAUUCAAAUAAAAAUAAUUAAAAUUGGUAUACGUGCGACAAAAAUUUAUAUAACAACUUAUUAGUAAUUAGAUUAUUUUAUAAAGACUUAUGUGAAAAAGAUUUGGAAGAAAUCUAUUAAAGUAAUAUAAGUAAAUCAAUUAAAGUAAUAUAAGUAAAUCAAUAAAUAAUUGAAAGAAAAAUAGUAGGAAGAAAUUGUUUCAUGCACCGGGUGUAUGAAUAAACCUUGUAUACCAAAUUUCUAAAAUUCUAUUAUAAAAAUAUAAACUCUGUAAUUUUUUUAUACAUAAAAUUUUUAUAUGGUGUAGAUCACAUAUAUUAUAUUAGAUUUUAAUUUUACAUUAUUAAUAUUCAAAAUUUACAUUCCAUGUAUGCAGUGUAGUGCACGCAAUAAUUAUUAAUCAUAGUUAAGAUAAGUAAGAAGGGACCGUGGGAGAGAAAUUAUUAUGUGCACUUGGUGUAUAAGUAAAUACUAUACCCUACAUACAUUUCUAAUAUUCUAUGAUAAAAAUUUAAAGGGCUUUUUUUUUGCAAUUAGCCCUCUGAAAAAAAAAAAAAAAAAUAAAAAUAGUUCCAGCAAAUUUAAAUUUGCAAAAAUGGUCAUGAACUUACCAUGUAGGCGUCACAUCAGCGCCACAUGGACUGAUUGGGGUGUUAAGUUGAACAUGAUAAACCAUUUACCGUGUUUAAAUACGGUGAAUGAUUCACCGUGUUCCAGUGUUUAGAUACAGUGAAUGAUUCACUGUAUUUAACUUAAUCAACUAGCCUCACCCGGCACACAUGGCGCUAACGUAGCGCCUACAUGGCAGGGGCAGGACUAGUUUUGCAAAUUUAAAUUUACUGAGGCUAUUUUUAAAAUAAAUUUUUUUCAUGGGGCUAAUUGCAAAAAAAGCUCAAAUUUUAAAUUUUAAAUUUUUUUCAGGGGGCUAACGUAGCGCCUACAUGGCAGGGGCAGGACUAGUUUGGCAAAUUUAAAUUUUUUUCAGGGGGCUAAUUGCAAAAAAAGCUCAAAUAUUUUUCAGCGCCACGUGGACGGAUUGGGGUGUUAAGUUGAACAUGGUAAACCAUUUACCGUGUUUAAAUACGGUGAAUGAUUCACCGUGUUCCAGUGUUUAGACACGGUAAUGAUUCACUGUAUUUAACAUAAUCAACUGGCCUCACUCGGCACACAUGGAGCUAACGUCGCACCUACAUGGCAGGGGCAGGACUAGUUUUGCAAAUUUAAAUUUACUGAGGCUAUUUUUAAAAUAAAUUUUUUUCAUGAGACUAAUUGCAAAAAAAGCCCAAAUUUAAAUUUUGUAUUUUUUUAAUAUGUAGGCAUUAAUUGUGCGACUUAAAUUGCAUCUAUCGGAACAGAUUUUAUUACAAUAUUAAUUAGUAAAAUUAAUUUAAAAUUUUGUUCAGUAGAUGCAAUUUAUUAGCGGAAUGCUCGCGUGCAAUAUUUUCUCUCUCAAUCGAAGUGGAGAGUUGGGAGACACGUCUAAUUACGCACCCGCCCCAGCACUCUUUUCAUGUAGUAAAAAAAUAAAAUAAAAAAGAAUAAAAGAAUAGAUUUUCCACUUCAGAUUUGAUAUUUCGUACACAUAUUUAUUAAAAAAAGACUUUAGCAUCAGAAUCACGGCUAAGUAGGCAUUAACAGAAUUUUGACAAGGAGAAUAGGCUAUUUUUCAAAUGCAUGCGAUGUUGUCAAAAUCUUCGGUACAAGAAUAGUUUUUUUUUUUUUUUUUGAGAUAUAGAUAGUACGCUAUCUGUUUCGUUUAUUUCAUUUAGAAAUAAACUUAGCUGGAAAAUAAACUUAACUGAAAAUGUGAAUCAACUAGAAUUCGAAUUUGGAUCUCGAAUACCAACCACGAAGCCUUUUGCCACUUGCUCUAAAGACAGUCGGUUACAAAAAUAGGUAGUGUUUUAGUUUUGAGGGUAUCUUGAUCUUUCCCAUUUCAUCUCAAAUUUGUACUUGUGUGGCAACGGCAUGGAUCUGCUACUCAACUAGUAGAUGCCAAAUUAAGCUUUUCAUUGUAAACGCCACAAUAAAGUGGCUUACAGUUAUAGCCUUAUAGGUCUUCAAAAUCAACAGUUGACUUUUUUCUACAGUACAAAGUUUUUAUUUAUUUAUUUAUUUAAGCAUUACUCUAGAGUUAUUACAAAGUUGUACAAAAAAAAAACUACUUUGAGUUUAUUUUUGUGUAGUUACGUAGCGAUUUUCAAUCGGUUUAACAUUUGUACUUAACUAUUAUGUAAUUUUAUUUCUUAUACUUAACUAGUUUAAGUUUAAUGUGUUGGAUCGUUGGCACUAGUCAUUAAUUUUCAAAACUCGAACUGUCAGAAAUACGCAACCAAUUUAUUUAAAGUAUACAGAUACAGCGCCCACAGGAUACUGGCCCAUUUAAGCCAACAAAUACCCCUGUAUACAGCGCCCACAGGAUACUGGCCCAUUUAAGCCAACAAUCACCCCUCCAGCUGCAUGCGGGAAUCGAACCCGUGACCCUCCAACUCUGAUACCACUUGUCGGAUCGUUGGCGCUAACCAUUAAUCUCAAAAACUCGAGUUGUUAGAAAUACGGAACCAAUUCACUUAAAGCGUACAGAUACAGCGCCCACGGAUCUCGAUUGUGACUCGGGCCAAUCAGUCUCAUGCCAUUUCGAACAUGACUCGGCCUACCUAGCCUCACGCCACCUUGAACAUGACUCGGCCCAACAUAGCCUCCCGCCACAUGGCAGGAUGUUGGCCCAUUUAAAUUAACAUAAUGUUUUUAGCCAUUGGUUCCCAAUAUAUACUUAGUUCUUUUCUUUGGUCAUUGAACUUUUUAUUAUUUAUUUUGAUUAAAUUUUGCUGUUAAAAAUGCCGUUAAUUUUUAUGCCGUUAAAAUAUUUAUUAAAAUUAAUAGUAUUUUUAACUAUAAAGAUUUAGUUAAAAAAAUACUAAGAAUUAAAGAGCAAAACAACAGCUACCACUUUGUCAUUGCAAACUAAUUAUCCACGAUAGAUCUUUACAGUAUAACAAAAUAGUUAUCAUAAAAAUGUCGAGCGAAAAUAAAUAAAAUGACGUGAUUGUGGAGCACCAUGUGCUAAAUUGUGCGAAAAAUUCUAUAAUUUUUUUUCUCAUUUUAUAUCUUUAGAUUAAUGGAAAACUUAAGAUAGUCAAUGCAAGAUUUGGACUGUUCUCUAAUUCUCGCAAAGCACGAGGAAGAAAUUAACUGGGACACAAUAGAGUAAUUAGUAAUUUUUGGAGGACCUAAUUGCUAGAUUUAUUAAGGAUGAACUUUAAUUCUGCGUAAUAAUUAAUGAAUUCGCAUAUAUAGUAACAUAAAAAUAUAAAAUUUACAAAUAAUAAAAUAUAACAUUUUAAUAAGGGGUAAUAAGGUGCAAUGUGUAAAUGCUAAAGAAUUAAAAUUUUCCUGUAGCUUUUUGAAUAAAAAAUUUAGGGGCUAAAUUGUCAUUUCAUAGAAAUAGUUGUACGUUUCCAACAUUUCUCUCAACCAACAACUACCCAGAUUUUAAAGCCGACGUUGGAAGUAUCCGUCACCGUCCGUGGUUUGCGUUGGCCACCGAAUAACGGUGCCCAAAUAUGCAUAGGAAACCAUUUUUGCCGUGGACCUGGUCCACCACAUCAUUAAAGAAAAAUUUCAAUAUAAGAAGGUUUUUCAAGAGGAAAAAACGUCCCUACAAUAUAGAAAUUAAAUACUAGUGCCUCAAAAAAUAUCGCCAUAUAAAUUUUCUAUUGUUUCACACUAAUUUAUUAAAUGAUAAAUUUUACUAUUAUUUUUAGGGUUAAUUUUAUACAAUUUUUCAUAAAUAUACCAAAUAGCAGAUAUAUCCUUACAAAGUUUAAAUUAUCAGAUUUAUUCCUUCAAAAGUUCAGUAAUUAAACUGACUAUCCCUAGAGCAAGUGACAAAAGGUUUAGUGGUUGGUAUCCGAGAUCCCAAGUUCGAAUCCUUGAUUCACAUUUCCAGCUAAGUUUAUUUCUAAAUAAAAUAAAUAAAACGGGUAGCGUGCUGCCUAUCUCUAAAAAAAAAAAAAAUAACGUUCAUAUUUACUCAUCUGAUUUAUUACCAUUAGUUUUUUUAACAACAUGUGCGUAACAUGAUAAUUUUGCCCUUACAAAUUUCUCUUUAUAAAAAACUUUUUCUCUCUAUAUAGAAGCUUUCUUUCUUUUUUUCUCUUUCCUCAUCUUUGCCAUGGAAUGUGUGGCGUAUUUUAUUUUUGCUGCAAGCGAAGAUCUCGCCUUUGACAUCACCACCGCUAUAAAUCUUGCCGUCGUUUUGAAUAAAAAACGAGAGGGUGAGAAAGAUGACGAAACUCAACAUUGCAAUACAAAUUAUAUAUACAAAAGGUGAAAAAUUCAUUUUAUCUUUUAGCUAAUUAUGGUUAGUUUUUUUAACUUAUGAUUAUCUAAAUUUAUAUUUACAAACGGUAGAAUUGUUGGAGGAUAAAUCUGAUAACUUAAACUAAUGUAGGAAUAUAUUUACUAUUUGAUAUCUUUACAGAAAGCUAUAUGCAAAAAUUUCUUUAUUUUUAAUUUUCGUACACUUUAUUUGCCGAAUUUUAACCGACGCUUUCAAAUACGAUGCUAGACUAUAUUGAAACGCUUUUAAGCAUCGCUAAAUAUUUAAAAAAAAUCUCUUUUUUUUUUUGUGGUCAGUCACUGUUGUGGUUGAAUCUGUAGUUCAUCAUGUGAAAUACACGAAUCGCAAAACAAUAAAACCGUGCAUUUGCAUCUUCUACUUUGUGCUUUUAUAAUUAAGUUGUGUUUUUUUUUUUUCUUCUUUUUGUUACUUUAUUUUUAUUUUUCUAUAAAAAUUUCGACACUGAAUAGAAUACGAUGAUACCAAUUAACAACAUAGCACACAAACAACACGCGCUCAUCAUUUUAGUUGACUUAGAAUUAACGUACCACUAACCUGUAGCCAACUCAUCUCCUCUUCACCUGAACACACAUAUCAUUAUUUUUUAAUAUUUUUUAUUGAAGUGUGAAUAAAAUUUUAACUUUAUUUUUAUUUUAAAAUAAAUGAUAACAAAAUGUGUAAGAUAAACAAUUUAUGCAUUUAGAUAGAGCCAAAGAACCAGCGAUUAUCAUAUCUAAUAAGAGAAGAUUUUGAAAUCUAUGUUGGGGAAUAAACUCAGUACAUAAUGUACAUUAGCUUUAAGUUGUAUUAAAUGCAGUGCCCCCGAAUCCCCGAUCACAAUUGAAGAAGCACCCUUAAAUUACUUCCAUGUGGACACAAAUUCCUUUACUACAAUGGGUACCAACAUAUAGAUUUUAGCGCUUAUAGAUUUUAGCGAAAUUAAUCUGCACCAUCUAUAUCAGACGACACGAAUUAAUUAUACUAAAAAUUAGCAGAUGGAUGAAACUACGUGCCCGUAAAAAAUUCUAUACACGGAGUAGUAAGAAAUUUGCUUCUUACUACAAUAGAAGAGUACAUAUUUUUAUCACAUCCCGGAUUGCAGCGGAAGUUCCGGGUUUAUAUCAAUAGACCCACCGUAUGCACAAGGUUACACCUUAUAUAUACGAAGCGUCAACAAAUUCUGUCGAAAAAGAUUACGAAAAUUCAACUACAGUAGAUUUACUAAAAGAGUACAAUAAAAAUUAUAUACUAUAAUAACACUGUAGAUAUAUAUAUAUAAUCAUCACCACACCAAAUUCUUAAAAUGGUACAAUAUUUCUGGCCACUCCAAAUAUCAAAAUACUGCAUAGACUGCUAUAUAUAUAUAUAUAUAUUGAUAGAUGGCCCAGCUACACAUAUACAUACCCCAAUUAAAAACAUUCGUAUGUUUAAAUAAGCAUUUGAUUAAUGUUCUAAAAAUAACGAGGAUGGUUAGCACUAAGCCACUAAUUAACUCAGUUGUCGUUUUACAAGCGAUAUCUAAGUCAAUAAUACUCUAUCAAAAUAUUUUUAUAGUUCCUCACUUUGCCCCCCCAUGGUUUCGUAGUUUCUCAUUUCAAAAACCCCCCUGUGGUUUCGUAGUUUCUUACUUUGCCCUCCCGUGGUUUAAAAUGUAUCAAUUUGCUCCCCUGUGGUUUCUUUUUUCUCUUUUUUUUAUCAAUUUUAUUAUAUUUUUUUCUUAAAUCAGUGAUAAAGUUAAAAUUAAAAUGUACUAAAAUGAAUAUUUGAUAAAUCUAGAUAGGUAUCUGAAGUUUUUUGUAUAUAAUUUAAUAAAAUAUUAACGAAAAAGCUACCGGAAAGAUAAAAACAAAACCACAGGGGGGCAAUUUGAUACAUUUUAAACCACAGGAGGGCAAAGUGAGAAACUACGAAACCACAGGGGGGUUUUUUGAAAUUUUUCCUAAAUUUAAUCACGAGCUAUACUAUAUUUUUACAGUAUUUUAUUAAUAUGAUGAUUUGAAGUAUAGUUAUUGAACAGUUCAUGCAAUUCGCGAGACUGAUAAUUAUAGUACACCAAAGGCUAAUUUGCAUUAAAAAAUUUAUUGAUUUUAUAUUUUUAUAAAAACAAAUCUUUUCUAUUUUUAGUUUUUAAAGAUUCGACCUGAAUUUUUAGUGAACAUAUCAAAUUAUUUAUAUUUCUUUUUCUAUUCUCUCUCGAUCGUCCCUCUCCUCUUAAUUUAGUCCUAACACAUUUAAUCUUCUUAAUUUUUUAGAUAUAACUGUCAUUCAAAAUAUUAUUAUUGUUGGGUUAAGAAAUUUAGUACUAUUAUAUUUUAUAUUUAUAUAUAGUAUUAUUCCAAAUUUUAGGAAUGUCAUAUGUAGUGGCACUUUUGGAGGCUGUAAAAUUUUAUUUUAUUCAAUUUAAUUCUAAACACCAAAUAGAAUAUUCCAUGCAUCUAAACGUUGCAUUGAGAUGGUUUAGCCCAACCAACUCAAGCUCGGAAUUGACUUGAACUUUGGGCUGGGCCGAUUACGCUGGGCUCAGCCCUCGAAUACUUGUUAAUUAUAAAAAAAAUAACCCACAAUUCACUAAAAAAAAAAAAAUUGGUGAGGAAUUCUAAGAAAAAGUUUUCCUUGAAAAUUCAAUUUUUCAAUUUUCCGUCCAAUUUGGUACUAAAGAAAGCAAGCUUUUAUGAAAUAUUUUGUUUCAUAUUUCCAUAAAACUAAUUUUGGGUCAAUUUCUAUAAUUAAGUUGAUAUUUUGAGUAACAUGGUAUUAGAACUAGUUUUGAGUCUCUUUUGUUAUUAGAGGUUUUAAGUUUGAUUCCAAAUUUCACAGCAUAUUUCAUAUCUGUUAUUCCAAAUAUUCUUGACCUAGUCGUUUUUUUAACUUAUAAAACUUAUUUUAUGAACGAGGUUAUGUACAUAUCCAUGUGAAUAUACCAUAAAUCUAAUCUAAAUAAUUAAAAAUUGAUUAAUCUGCAAAACUUGUCUUAUUGAUCUCUUUUCACAAGAGACAAAUAUUCAACUCCAUGCAACCAAUCAAGUUUGCAUGCAUGCUUAUACAUAAGCUUCUAAACACCUCCUACGUACGUACGUGAACCCAAAUGGAGAUUUAUAGCUUGGGAACACAUAAUUAAAUCCCCUAAAUUAUUUAAAAAAAAAAAAAAACACACACACUAAUUACUAAUAAAUAAAUUCAAUCAGAGAACACCACCAAGCGCAGCAACAAAGGCCACCACAAUGCCAAUUCUCCCGGCCACCUCACGCGUCGUCAUCGCCGCCGCAUCGCCCCCUGCAACCGGGCCGGGCGCAUUCGCCGGAGAGACGCGGUAAGCGACCGGCGCGGGAGGUGAAGCGAUCGGCGCCUUCGGAAUCGGGGGGCUCCCGAUCGGCGACGGUAUCGGUCCCCCGCUCACGGGCGCCGGCGUCGGCGGCAUCGUAGGCGCCCUCGGCUUCGGCCUCGACGGCGCAGGGGCCGGCACGGGGGCGGCGUUCGGUGAGGGAGUCGGCGCGCUUUGCGUGUUAUUGGUCCCGGCGGAGACCCCCGGGGGGACUAUGACGCUGCUCAGCUGGAGCACGGAGAUGCUGUAGGGGUGCGUGACGAGCACCUUCACAAACUUGGAGGAGAGGGGGGCGCCGGGCACGGCGGAGCCGAAGGCGACGUCGCCGUUGGGCAUGUCGGUCACGUUCAAGAAGCCGGCGAGGCCCGACGCCAGGCCGGAGGCCUGGAAGAGGGUGGGGAGGGCGGCGGUGCGGUUCGUCAUCUUGCGCAGCUUCGCAUCGUCGUAGUAGUCGAGGACGACGUGGAGGCUGAGGACCUUCUUGAUGAGGUCCAGCGGCCGGCCCGCGGCCGCGGAGACCGCCGCGUUGUCGGCCGCGAGCACCGUGAGGGUGUCACGGCGGUUGAUCUCCGCGGCGAGGCCGGUCCGCGAGAGGAGGUUAUUGAGGGCCGAGAAGUCGGGGAAUUGCGAGAGGAUCGUGGUGAUGUUGAAUGCGCCGGCGAAGGCGGGGACGAGGAGGAGGAGCAGGAGCAUGAAGGGGAGGGUUGAAGCCAUGGUUGAUAUAGAGAGAGAGAGAGAGAGAGAGAGAGAGAGAGAGAGAGAUGGAUGGAUGAGGAGAGAUUAAGGGAUGAGGAAGGGGGUUAAGUAUAUAUAAAGAAGGUUUAAGUAGUGUAUGAUAGAUAUAUUUGAGUGAUUGGUUAGGAGGGAAAGAGGGAGGGGAGGGCAAUUUGGAUGGAACAAUUGGAGGGGGUGUCUAAAGUUUAGGACAAAUUAUUGCAUGAACACCAACAUUCCAGCAUCUACACAAAUUUACGCAACAAACAAAACUCGUAAAAAUUAAGAAGAUAACUAAUUCACAAAUCUCGAUUGUGAUUUGACACGAAAAAUCAAUCUUCUGUGUAUGAAUAAAGCACAGUAUAAUCAGAGUCAAUAUAAUAACUAUAAUAUUAAAAUAAUAAUUUAAAAUUCUUGUUUGUAUCUUUUAUAUAAUGUAUAAUAUGAAUGUACUUGAUUGGAUACUUUAAAUAUUUGGUGAAAUUACUCUAAAAAAAAAACAACAAAAAACUUUAUGAACACCUUCGUAAGAGGUCAUUGGGUGGUUAGUGGGCCAAACCUGGCCUAGCCCAAUUAAAAAUGGGUCCAAGAUUACGUUUAUGGCCUACGUGGGACCACAUUUUGCGAAAUGGGGGAUGCGCAACGAGAGGAGUGAAAAUGGGCCCAUUUUCUCCCUCUAUUUCUCUCUUUUUAUUUUUUAUUUUUUUGUGUGAUCUAAGUUAUUUGGGACCAGAGAAAAUUUUCUGUUUAACCGCCACACCACGUCAGCAAUAUAUAACCAAUCAAAUACAUACUUUCGAGAGAAAAGUAUAACAAAUUUUUUUUUUUAUAAACCAUAAUAAUGGGAUGGGUGAAUUUUAGGAGACAGUUGUGAUUUUUUUUUUGAGAAAUAGGUAGCACAUUAUCUGCUUCAUUUAUUAAGCAAAAUGAACUAAGUGUACAAGAUGGAAGCAGUUAAGGCCUCCAUACGUAGAACCAGCAAAAAGAGAUAAAAUUAAAAAGCAAAAAAGAAGAGGUAAGGUGAGAAAAGAAAGAGGGAAAGAGGGUCUAAUGGCACAUCAGAGCAGUGCGGUCCAGUUGUAGAUCAGUAAUUUAACACGUUUAAGAGACCGGAAAGCAUCGGGCCGCUUUCCUCGGAAAACGGAGAUGUUUCUAUCCGUUCAAACCACCCACCAAAUCGCCGCUAGAAGAGUCAAACGUUGUUUUCUCAGCGAAUCAACUGGGUUGUUGGAAAUUUCGGCCCAAAGACUUGUGACGUCGCUCGUGAAGUCGUCAGUUGCGUCCAAUCCUUCCACACUGAGGAGGAGGUGAUGGGUCAGUUGCGUUGGUCGUGACGUCGCCCGUAAAGUCGUCAAUUGCGUCAGUUGUGAUUGGUUGAGCCACGCCACAUAGGAUAUAUGAUGAAAAACUUGCUUGUGGGCCUUAGCCUCGAUUGUAAAUUUGUAACCCCUUUGUAGACCCAUUUCUCAACACCCAAUAAGUUAACAAGGCGACAAUCUGCAUAUUAAUAACUAGCUACACUUAGUUUGGUAAUGUGGUGAUUAAAAUUAUUAUUUAAUUUUAUAUUUUUGGAUGGUCCAAAAAAAAAUUUAAAAAUACAUUUCACUUUUUGCCUCAUUUUAUAUUAUAAAAUUAUAGUGGCAACGACUUCGGAAAAAGCACGUGAUGGACUACAUUUUUUUUUAUGGUUGUUGUCACCAUAAUUUUAUAGCAUUAGAUGAGGAAAACUCCGUAGCUCUUUUAAUUUUUUUAGACCUCCCAAAUUAUAAAAAUAAUAUUUUUAGCCGCCAUGUAUAUUACCAAGUUAGGCCUCAGACAAGUGAUUUUUUUCUACCUAACCAGUUUUUGCUUUAAUUCGUGUGAUUUGCACAUAGAUUUUUUUUUUUUUUUUUUUAAUACUCAACGUCCAGUUUUUGCUCGGAACCUACGAGAAUUUCAUGCUUACUCCGAUACCAUAUGAAGCAAUCAUUUUUUCUAAAAUCUUAAUCUAUUAGAAAAUAAUAUUUUAAGGUGAGGUGUAUGAAUUAAAGACCAAGUUAUCCGAAUGUGAAAUGACUUGACCUAAAAAGUGUGACAAAAAAUCGCAUAAAUGUACUCUACUAUGUGCGUGUAACACAUGCAAAGCUGUAUAUCCUGUAUCUACUUAGGAAUACAUAAAUAUUCAACUCCCUGAAGAAUAAUCUAUAAUAUCAGCAUGGGAUGUGCAUAUGAUGGUGAUCUUUUUGUUAAGCUUUUUCUCAUGUAGGAACAACGUGGGGGAAUGAUCCUCCACACAAAGAUUAUCUACUUUCUAUAUAUUUUUGGUUUGACUCACCACCAGCCACCAAAUGUAUAGUUUUCUACGCAUAUCCCGUAGCAACAAAUGUUGUGAAUCGCAAAAGACCUAAAUUUUUGUAGUAUGUAGUUUAGAAAACAAGAUACACAUGCUACCUAUUGAACAAACUAUAAGUAGCCAUGCUUGAGUUUGCUUAAAUUAUGAUUAUUAGACCGAGCGACUAAGCCAUGAAUUAGAACUCAAAGAGGAGGAAAAAAGUUUGUCGGGUUCGUCGGCCAGCUAUUGCCGAUGACGGCAGAAAAGAUGUGCUCGAGGAAUAAGACUAGAGAUCACAAUGGAGCGAAAGGGCCCGAGGGUUCAAGAAAAGAUUGGGAGCGCAAAUUCUAGAGCAAUACUGCUGGUACGUUCCAAAGUGGGGUAUAGAUCUUCAACCACUUUAUCCAAAAGUCAUUAAUUCUCGAUUUAUCGCAUCAACUUUUUUUAUUUUUAUUAAAAAUUAUUUGAAUUUUUAUAAACCCUAGAAUAUGAGUAUAAGAUCUAAACUCUCUUUGAUGGUGUAUAAGUAGAAUUUCUCCAAAAUUUGUAAAAGAAAUUUCAAUUUGGCCCGCCCUAAAAAAUAAAAUUUAUAAUAUUUUGAUUUUUACUAUAAAAGACUUGUAUACAAUUUUAAGAGUUGAGAAAGGCCAUGGUCACUGUGAGACUCAUAAUGUCUCCAUGAUAGACCUUCAUUAAUCUUAGCUUUGUAAUAAAGUUACUGUACGUGUUGUUUGAUGUAGUGAUAUUUACUUACUGGUUUUGAGCAAUACUUUAUUGAAAAUUUCAAACAAUUUUAUAUUAUAUUUUUGAGAGUUAAAAUCGAGCAUGUCACUCAUUUGUAAACUUAUGCGUGCAAUGUCAAAAAAAAAAAAAAAAAAACUCAUGAUUUGCAGAAUUAGUUUCUUAUUCAUAAGCCCUUAUAAAUUUUGAUGAAUUAGAAGGAUUAUAACACAUUGUUGUUGUUAGAAAUAUUAAUUAUAAGCUUAUAUUGACUUAUAUAACAUGUCCUGUUAAAUUUUUAUCACUUAAUUUCGAAGUAGAAAGCAAAUAGCUAGAAGAGUAUUUUAAAAGUUUGAGUGCUAUAAUGCAAUAAAACAAAAAAUAAUCAGAGUAAAACUCAAGCAAUAAUUUAGAAACUAAGAUUUAAUCUAGAAAUUAUACAUCAUUCUAUACGAUGUAUGUACGUAGAAUCCUGAAUUACCGCCAUUAUUGAUAAGGAUAUAGAUCCAAGCUCUUCGCUAUAUAUAACACUAGAGUUAAUAUUAAUCAACGUAGUAAUGCAUGCAUGAAGCUGAUCAGUAUAUACCAUAUAUAUAUACACACACUAACAAAUUAACUAGAGCAUAUAUAGGUUGUCGGAUCGCUGACGCUAGCCACUAAUCCUAAAAGUUCGAGCAGUUAGAAAUACGCAACCAAUUCACUUAAAACAUAUAGAUACAGCACUCUACUAGUCUCGAUUGUGACUCGGCCCAACCAAUCUCACGCCACUUUGAACAUAACUUAGUCCAAUCCAGCCUCAUGUCAUUUCGAACAUAACUCGAUCUAAUCUGACCUCCUACUACAGAACAAGAUACUGACCCUUUUAAGCCAAUAUAUCUAGGUGCUAUACAGGAUCACUUCGUAGAUCAUCAGCUUCAAAGCACGCACACAGAGCUCUCGCUAUCACCAUGUGAUUUUGAUCAGACGCUGUCGACCCACCGUGGGAUCCACCGCGACUUGCAUGCAUGUAUCCUCUCCUUUCGCUCCCAUCUCUAGACCCCAACUAAUUAAUACAAAUUAAAAUAAUCAUAACUUAUAUCCAUUAAUUAGCUUAAAAUUUUGAGUUCAGAAUAUAUUUUAACAUGGUAUCAAAGGUUGCUUCACACACACUUCUUUUAUGUACGUACAGUCCAGUUUCUUUACUGGUUCGUCUAUCUAAUUCUCGUACAACUGUUUUAAAUACAAAGAAUAUUUUCUCUACCUAUCAGGUUAAGCUUCUGCGUUGGACCUUUUGUCUUGGAGAUUAUAAGAGGUAACACACUCAUUGAAUUAAUUGUAAUGGAUUCUCUAAAAAGUUAAUUAGUUCGUACGUGUAUUGAAGGGAAUUUAUAAGUGAUUAGGGAGAGAACAAAGGGGAACAGAGAGGAUGAAGGAAAAAAGAAACGCUGUGGCCCCAUUCAAACGACACUUGUUCCCUCCUUUUCUCUCGUGGUUCCCGUGCUCGGUACAUCUAAAUUAACUCCUAAAUUAACUUACUUGUAGGCUCGAUCUCCUUUUCUCCCGUGUUUAAUAUUAUAUUCAAUACUCUUCUUAACGCGCGACUGAGUUCGAAACAUGCAUUUUGAUAAGUCCAAAACAUAAAUUUAAAUUAAAUAAGAGGAAGUUAGUAAUGAUAAGAGUUUGGUACGACGCAAGCUUAGGAUCUCCUGUUUGAUACCAUGUUAACUUAAAUAAAAUAAUCGUUAUUAUCUAAAAACGUAAACUGCUAGAGAACAAUGUUUAUAUAUAUAUAUAUAUAUAUAUAUAUAUAUAUAACAGGUGCUACAAAAGGCUAAGAAAUAAAAAAAAUAAAAGCAUAUAUGCUUAAUUUGUAAAAGAAAAGUUUUUAUGAGAAUAAAAUUUAUUUUAAUUUAUUGAGGUUUUGGUAUAGGAUGAAAAUGUAUAGUUUGUAGGACAUGCAUAUAUUUUAUUUAAAGUAUUGAAUAUAAAAUUAUAAUAAUAAUAUUUUUUAAUAGUUUAAAUUUUUAGAGUAAUCGAUUUUUUGCAUGAAGCAUAGAUACUGAGUUUAUUUCCUCCUAUGCAUUUCAAAUACACGCAAUUGAUAGUAUAUGUUGAAUAUAAUUAUCGUUUCAUUUAUUAUAACUAAAGCUAAGGCUAAUUAAUAGUUAUAUAUAUUUUUAUACGUAAUAUAGUUUUUUCUAUAUGUGAAACCAACCAUUCUAAAAAGAGAAAUGCUAAAGUCCACAACCCAAAGAGGAUUGUAACGUUACAACUCUUAAUCCAAAAUUUGUAAUCUUAUCCUUCAGUUUUUUUUUUUUUUUUUUUUUAGAAUUUGCUAUAUAAAAAGAGGGUUGAUGAAACGAGUAGAGAAACAUGAACCGUUGGAUGAUAUAAAGUUGUAUGAUUAUAACCAAAAAGUGAUCGAUUGUGGGUUAGUUUUCGGCCCAAGAUUCUUUUCAGAUCUCUUUUACAUGCAUCCAAACACCUCCAAACUUAAUUUAUUAUUGUAGAUCUCUUUUAUAAGUUUUUCACUAUUAGAUCUAUUUUUUUUUAUCAUAUCUAUCUCUUAAAUUAUACUAUUCUGCCAACCACACCCACUCAACUCUAGGAGAUUACUAUUAUUUUAACCCUAUGAAUCUUCAUUCAAAUACCAAAAAUCUAUAAACACCAAUGAUUUGAUACUUUUAAAAAUAUAGAAACUUAAUUUUCUGUACAUAACCUAUGGUAAAUUAUAACACCUACAAGGUGCUAAAUCCUUCUCUUAGAUAUGAUUUUAAUAUUAGAGAAUUUAUAAAUACUUAUAAAUUAUUUAUUUAUUUACUGAACUUGACCAAAUUCAAUGAAUCUAAUGACGCCUACAAUCCUCAAAAAAACACUGCAGUAGGAAGUUAUCUAACGAUGCCUUAUCUAGGAUUCAAAUUUUAUUUUUUAGAUUUUAGUAUUAAAAUACGUUCAAUGAAAGAUUGGAAUGAGGCAAAACUAAUUAUAGCUGGGGGAUCAAGAGAUCUCCAAUAAAAUAUCUUUUGAGAGCUCCCUACUGAAAUUUUAUCCACGAUGCUCGUCCUUGGUGCGUGGCGAGAACAUAAUUACCAAAAGUGCUUCGCAGGCGCAUGGGAACGAUUGCAAACCCUAAUUUCGGUCAAGCGGACCGACCAGGCGCUCCCGUGAAAAGCUUCCAGUUGUCCCCCCCAUCCCCACCCCCACCCCAUCUUCUAAUCCCCCUCUCCCUCUUAUCUUAUUCUUAAAUAAACUCACUAAUUAACUAUUUCUCUCUCUCUCUCUCUCUCUCUCUCUCUCUCUCUCUCUUAUAUUAAUACUCUUUUAUUUGUUUAUGUAUACAAUAAUCCUCGCCGUGCUCUCUUUCUCUCUCAUCUUCAUAUUCAUCUUCUUCUUCUUCUUCUCCUUCCACUCUCCGCUUUCUAUAACACCAUCCUCACCCUCAACUCUUCUUCUUCGCUCUUCUUCUUCUUCUUCUUCUUUCGCUUUGUUUGCUCUCUCAGCUGUGAGAAAACAGUAAGCUUAGUGCGGAGUAAAUUAAGAGGCUCGAAUGGAGGGCUCCGCGCACAACUGGCUCUCUUUCUCCCUCUCUCACCAUCAUGGCCUCUUCGAAGCCUUCUCCACUCCGCCGCCGCGGCGGAGCCGAGGAGGGUGGCGGAGGAGUCAACUUUCGGUCAACGCACCUCCAUUUACCGUGGGGUUACGAGGUGAGCACGCGUACGUGUGCGCGCGUACGUACGUAGCUUCGUUUGGCUAAAAUAUUAAGAGGGGUAUAACCGGAAGAGAAAAGUCGCAGGGGCGUAUUUUGGGAAUUUGCUGAUUGGGUGGGGCUAUUUUGGUAAAUAGGCACAGGUGGACGGGCCGGUAUGAGGCGCACCUCUGGGACAAUAGCUGUCGCCGGGAGGGUCAAAGCCGAAAAGGGCGCCAAGGUAGCGUGUAAAGAUCACACUAACCUGCGCCGGUCCCUGCGCAUUUUAGAUUUGAUCCUUUACUUUUCACUAACGUGCGCACCCUUUUGCUCUUUUUUUUUUUCCUGGUUUCAUCUACGUGGCGCGUUCUGAUUGGGCGGCUCCUGACCAUGCAUCUCUCUCAGUCUACUUAGGUAAAAUUUCAUCUAAGAUUAUAAUUUGAGUUACGCAAUUAAUUAAAAGAGAGCAUGAUAUAAAGUAAAAGUUUAAUUUACAGUGAAGCUUUUGUAUUUAGAGCUUAAAAUCUUAGCUCAGCUUUUAGUUAUAUAUAAAGAAAGUUUUUGAAGCGAUCUAUUUGCAAAAUGUUAUAUACACAAAAAAUAUCAAUGACCGAAAGUAUAAAUGAGAUCCAACAUACACUAAAAAGCUUUAUUCAGGAUACUCGCGAAUGGCGAUCCAAUUAGAAUUAGCACAGAUUUUAAAAAGGCUCUUCCAUAUGAUUCACAAUGUUAUACAUUUGAUAUAAAUUUCAAUAUUUGAUCUCUUGCAAAAAAAAAAAAAAGAGUAGUUCUUAAACAUUUUUUGAACUUGAAAAUAUUUUAGGUGGCUAUGACAAAGAGGAAAAGGCGGCGAGAGCGUACGACCUCGCGGCGCUCAAAUACUGGGGUCCAAACGCGACCACGAACUUCCCUGUAAGCGACCACACCACGCUCCCUCUAGAGACUAAAAUCAAAAUCUCAACAUAUAGAAAAGUGUAUUAAUACGUAUUUCGUAUCGUAUAUAGGUGUCGAAUUACGAGAAGGAGUUGGAGGAGAUGAAGACCAUGACGCGCCAAGAGUUUGUGGCCUCUCUGCGAAGGUACGCAAACCCUUGCAUGCAUACAUGCAUGUAACAUGCAAAUGCAGCACGUCCAUAGAGGAGUCUUUGGAUAUGUGGGUUUAUUUGUGACCUCAUCUUUUUCUUUUUUUUUUUCCUAUACAGAAAGAGUAGUGGGUUCUCUAGAGGAGCUUCCAUAUAUAGAGGAGUAACAAGGUUAGAACAUCCAUCUCUUUCAAUAUGUUUUUGAAUAUUAGUUGAUGCUUAACGUAGUUUCUUUCUUAUGCAUAAAUUUUAUGAAUACAUAUAUGAUUCGACAGGCACCACCAACAUGGCCGUUGGCAGGCGAGGAUCGGCCGAGUAGCCGGCAACAAGGACCUCUAUCUAGGCACUUUCAGUAAGUGAUCGAUCCGCUUGACAAUUGAAAAAAUAUUUUAGCUUGUUAACUUGGUUAUGCUUUGCAUUGUCUUUGUUCUAAAUUUUUAUUUUAUUUAAUGCACCAAAGGAUGGUUAGUUGUUUCCAAUCUAUAAAUCUCUUUGGUUUUCUUGGUACCAAUGAAAAUUAAAAUUUAGUAGCAAACUUUUCUACAUUUGUGCCUUAUUAAUUAAAGAAGUUAAAUGAGCUUGCAAGCUAUUGAGACUGGUAAAAUUUGAGUUCAAACAUAAAAUAAAGGGGAAAAAAAAUAGUGUAACCAAGCAAUGCCUUAGCAUUUUCAUUAACUUUACAAUUAAGUAAAUCGAAAUUUUACAAUUAAAUUUGUGUUCGUAGGCACACAGGAGGAAGCGGCGGAGGCCUACGACAUAGCAGCGAUCAAAUUUCGGGGCCUCAAUGCGGUGACCAACUUCGACAUGAGCCGCUACGAUGUGGAGGCCAUACUCAACAGCGACCUGCCGAUCGGGAGUCUAUCUUCCAAGGCAUCGAAGGUCUCAUCGGACGCAUCCUCGAUGACAUCCGCAUCCGAACUCAGGCCCGGGAGAAGCGCGGAGGCGCCAUCGCAAGGUGGCCAAGACUACUGGUCUCUCCUCGCGCACCACUACCACCAACAAGAGCUCUACAACGCAUCAUCGGGCUUCGAAGUGUUCGGUUCCGGGGUUAAUGUGGAUUUUUCAGCUAGUAGUGGUGGUGGUGGUGGUGGUGGCAACAGUUAUGGUGGUGGGGUUAUGUGGAGUGGUGGUGGUGCAAUGGCUCACCAAAUGCAUGAUAAUAGGGGGAGUAGUAGUAGUAGCAGUGCAUGUUCAAACAUUCCUUAUGCCACACCUAUUGUUAUGGGAGGGAACUAUGAGAGCUCAAAUAGUAAUGUGGGGAGCUGGGGUACUGCACCUUCUUACUUCUAUAAUUACCAGGGUGCAACCUCUAAUGCUUCAGCUAUGCACACAGCUCUUUAUGGAAUGGAAUGAUGAGAAUGAUAAAGGAAAAGUAGAGAGAGAGAGAGAGAGAGAGAGAGAGAGAGAGAGAGAGAGGUGACAGUGACCUCAGGAGGAGAGAAUGCUACAGGGGAGCAGAGAAAGAGAGGGGUGAUAGGGGACUAACAUGGGAUACAAAGUUUUGCUAGUUGUCAUGCUCUUUUACUUUGUGUUAUUCUUUUGCUGACACAAUUCUGUACUAAUCAUUAGGGUAGCAGAGUAGCAGUAACAUGAAAACCCUUUAAGCAUCUUUUUUUGUAUCUUGACUUAAAUUUGUUUCUUCUGAGCUUGCAUAACAAUCAUGCCAAAAAUGACUUGCUUUAAAUGUUAAUUACUCUACAAUUUUUUUUUUUUUGAGAAAUUAAGUUAGCAAACUAUUCGCUUCGUUUAUUAUUUUUUCUUUUAGAAAAAAGUUCAUCUAGAAAUAGAAAUCAGCUAAACUCGGAACUUCCGCGAGUACCAACUAUUAAGUUAUUAGCCAAGUGCUUGUUUUAGGUACUCUACAAUGUUGAAUGCAACAAACACUAGUUAUGUUACAAUGUGCAUAUAUGGUCAUGCAUGUUUUGUAUUUCUGUAAACUAAAUCUCUGGACAUUAAAUGUGAAUCUUGCUAUUAAUUAGUACUUAUGAAUCAAAGAAAGGAAGGUCAUCUUCUUAGAAGAUUUGAUCUUUCCUUUUCUUCCUAGACUAGGAUCUAAAAAGAAGGCUCCAUUUUUCUAGCCCCUAUAAUAGAAAUGCUAAUUAUAUAAUAUACAUUACAAUUUUUCCUAAAAAAACAUAGCAUAGCAUUUGAUCUAGUCAAUAAAGGAUAUUUUGAGUUUAAUCCGGAAGGUGUUUAGCCAAUGUAAUCAAUACUUAAUGAGUGGAGCAAGAGACGUAUCUCUAAAGAAAGUAAGAAACUAUGUACAUAAUAUAUAUACACGAAUCAAACCAAAACAGGUUAAAGGUGAACAAUGUUCAUAUCAUUGACAAACUUUUUAAGCGCAUGCAUGAAUAUCAAAGAAGAUAUAUAUGGAAUCUCAACAUAGAAUGAUCGUUUUAUAUAUACUAUAUCAUAGGUUUAAUUAUAAUAAUUAACAUUCUUAGUGCAAGUGGCAUAGGACUUUAAUGGUUGGUACCUGAGCUCACAUUUUCGAAAAAAAGGUUUAUAAUUAACUAGAGCGCUAUACGUAUCUGCAUAACAAUUUUUCUUGAUAAUUGAAAUUGAUGUUUCUAGUUUUUUAUUAGAGAAUUUGUGAUUUAACUGGCUCAUGGGCUUAAUAUAAACAUCGGUUUAGUUCUUUUUUCUUCUAUUUCAUUGAAAAUAUAAUGAAUAGUUAUUACUGAUGAUCGAAUUUGCUACCGAAUGAAUUGUUGCACUUUCGUUUAAGUUUAGCUACUUUAAGAUCGAUCAGUUUAUAUAUACAAGGAGCAAAAGUCUCUUUGAUUAACCAUAAUACACUUAUAUAUAUAUAUAUAUGUGCACUGUGUUUUAGAUCUUAAAUAUAUAGUACGUGAAUACUUUUGAGGCAGUGAUAUUCCCUGCGUCAAAUUAGAUAUUCUCUACAUCAAUCAGUUUGGGUUGACAAUAACUAUACUAUAAGGCAUGUCAAAGUAAAGAAACAAAAUGUUCAUGUUUUUCUAUAUCUUCACAUGUUGCAUACAAUUAAGUACUUGAAAAUUAUAUGGCAUGGUAUAUACAUAACCAGUUGUAGAGAUAUCGCUAUAUUCUAAAAGUGACAAAUGAUCCCUUAUAUCUGCAAAGAUGGAGAAGAUUAAUACAAUUAAUAGUGGAUGCAUAGACUUAGCAAGAGUAAGUAUAAAUCGAAGCAAUAUUAAUCUAUGGAAAAGAAUAUAAUAGGUAGAACAGAUAAUUAUAAUAUUAUACAUUAAGUUAGGAUGGAAAAAAUACAAUUAGAAAUCAUAUAAAAAAGGAGAUUGAGGCAUGCAUGCAUAUAUAUAUAUGAUUACUUGGAAUGUAGCUUAGUAGGUGUCUUAGGGCAUGGAAAGAACCUUAAAUGCAUGGGGAUCAAUAAUCAUACAUACUCUUUAACAAAUAUUAAUAACAAUUAAUGAGUAGUUAUUAUUACUCGAUCGUAGCAAUCAAGAUUCUAAUUACUUGCGUUUAAUUUGCAUUUAGACUAGUAGCUAUUAUAUAUAUAGCCUAGUCUUGUGGCUAGUAUUAAGCACCAUAAUUUUCCUUUUUUUCUUUUUUUUUUUGUUGUCACUUCUUUUGAUAAGCUUCCACUGGGUCUGUCUCAUGAAACCACAACAUGAUAUGCUUAGUUUCUCCCUCCCCCAACCUUAUAAGUUACAAUGGACACAUAAAAAGAAAUAAAUAGUUAAUUACUACUAUUUUGUUCAUCCCUUCGAGAAGGGCCUCUCCAGCUAUUGUUGACCAGAGGACACCCCAGUCAACAAAUGUGGCACUGAGGGCUUCUUUUAAAAAAAAAAAAAAAAAGGGAUUAGGGUUACUUCAUUCCCAUUUGCCACUUUGGGAGGCACACUAGUUUGUUUCCCUUCACAUUUCUCCAUGUAUCCAAUGCUUAUCCUAAUAGUAUAAUAAGAUACAACUGAGAUUCUCUUUCUCCUUCUCUGGUUGAGGUUUAUUUUGCUCCACUCUUGUCACUAUUCACAAAGAGGGUCCAUGUUAUAGGAGGGUCUUUUAUUGAGGUGGAUGUAGAGACAAAAAGGGGAGUAUUAUAAAUGAUUAAUGUGUGGUCCUCUUCAUCUAAAGAGUAGGUAUUAAGUAGUUUAAAAUUUUUAAUAAAUAUAUUGCACCAAAAUGCAGUUUGUCCCCUUUGUUACAAUUCAAAUCCAGUCUUCUGAUGCCCACACUAAAAUAUUUAGCAAAAUCUGACAAGGUUUAAAAAAAUAACCACCCCUUUCUCUCUCUCAAUCUCUCUCUCUCUUCCCCCACUACAACAAAAACGGUAUAUAGCGAUAUUUUUAAAUAUCGGUACAAAUAAAAAAAAUGCCGCAAGCUAAAUUACCGAUACUUUUUAAAAGUAUUACUAUAUGUGGGGUCGCCUUGAUAUUUGACACUCACUCCUCCAGCGACCUGUGGCGGAGGGACACGUACGUGGCGAUCAUAGCCCUCUACGGCUCCUGCGAGAUUCUCGCGGCCGAACUUCAACUGCCGGAAUCUUACCUCGUCGGCUGCGACAGCGGAGGAGAAGGGAAGAUGGUGAUCAAAUUUUUUUUUUUUCUAUUUGUAAUCGAGCCGAAUAGGCUAGAGAUGGGAUUGAUUGAAUAAAGAAAUUUUUUAUUUUUGGUUGGAUUAAACUUUAUAUUUAGACCUUAGUAGAUUUUUUAAAAAAUUUUUGACAUAAAUGAAACACUAAUACAAAAGUGUUUCAAAAAUAUAUUCCUAUUCCCCAAACAAAAAAAAAAAAAAAAAUCUUUAUGUCCAUGUUGAAAUUUUAUAACCGUGUUUAACUUGUAUGCAUCGCUGCAUUAUUAUAUGAAGUACAGCUCAGAUUGAAAGACGUGCCGAUAAAUUACAUAUCAAAGGCUCAAUCUUAGUUACCAGUAUCACUCUCCUUAUUACAUUUGUAUUCAAAUUUGAAACGUUUUUCCACCAUCAAUUCACUGCCUCUAUUUACUACUCCUUUAACUCAAGGUUUAGUAUAUAAAAUUACAAACUGAGAUUUGUUAAAGCAUCUUUUGAUGAUCACCUGAGUCAAACUCGUGCAUCAUGAGGUAUAUAUAUAUAUGUAAGUGAGAGGUCGAACAAUUCAAAUGCACAAGUACUUGUACACAUUGCAUAUAUAUAUAUAUAUUAUUGUAUCUAUGCUAGUUGUAUAUAAGUAAUUAACAUUUAGUGCUUUCCUUCUCUCUAGAUCUUUCUCUCUCUCUCUCUCAUAUCAACUCCACCUGUGGUGUGUCUUAUUCGAUUUAAACACAUGCCCAUGAGAGAUUCUUAUUGCACACAAGCUUGAUCCUUCAAACAAAUAAAGGGUGUGAGUCACUUUUCAAAUGGGCAAAUGCAAAGUGGGUCAUAGUCAAAUUCCAUGCUGUGAAAAGGGCCCUUCUUUGGGUUUUGAGGAGGGGGGGGGGGUGUCUCUCCCUUGGUUUUAGAAAAGGUUGUUUGGAUGUUCCCCUUCUUUGAUGUUUAAACCUAGAAACUGUGUCGGCCACCAAACCCCUCCACCUACCCUACAUGCAUCUUGUAGUUUUCUCCUUAUACUGUGCCAUGAUAUGUACAAACAUAUGUAGCAUGCAUAUAAAGGGAGCUUUAUAUUUUCUCCAUAUAUACAUAUAUGUACAUGCAUAUAGGUGUUUGCCUUUUUCACUAAUUAUUUUCCCUUUUUUCUGGGGCCUUGUAUGAUUGAAAAUAUAUUUUAUGAUUUUUAUAAGAUUAAGUCGUUAAUUAAAAUAUUUGAUUGGUAAUAUAUAUGCACUUUUACCAAAUCAUUUACAGCAAACUUGGAUUCUCUAAUAAAGCAUAUAUACUCUUGUUCCUAUGCAACCGUUAUCUAAUUAAACGUGCUUAUACGAGAAUAUUUAGUCGCUGUAAUGCGAACAAUCACUAAGGUCAAAAUUUAAAGCUAUGCUUAUUUAUGGGACAAGACAAAUUCUAAAGCCUUGUUUAUGCUAGGAGUUAAAUAAUAAUAAUAAUGCUACUUAAUUAGCAUUGGAUCAUGGGGAUCUAGUCAAUGAUCCAACCUGAUUAGUUUGAUGAAACUCGAUGCAAGGAUUUGAAAGAUUUGGAGUGUUGCCAUAGCUUUGUUUCUUCAAAUUUUAAACUCCAUAUCCCUUUUGACAACCCCAAAUAAAAGAAGUACAAAAAAAAAAUUCUAUCAAUGGUUUAGCAUAGAAAAACAUAUGGUACUACAACAUAAUUAGGUUAUAGCGACACAUGUUUGGGAUACUUUUGAGUAAGUGUCCAAUUUAUGCUAAAACUUAAAAAAACAUCUGCUAAUGCCUAAAUAUAAAGCCCAAUCCAACCAAAAAUAAAAGAUUACUCUAUUCAACCCACCACACCCAGUCCAUUUGGUCCGAUUACAAACAGAAAAUAAAAAAAAAAGAAAAAUCAAUUACCAUCUUUUCUUCUCUCCUCACUCAAUCCACUGAAAUUCUAGACGAAGAUCCUUUCCUGUCGUCCUCCUCCGCCACCGCAGCCAACGAGAUAGAGUUUCGGCGGUUGCUAAAUACUUAAAUAAGUGUUGAUAAAUUAGCAGCACUCUUUUAGGUUAUAGCGACACUCUUUAACUGUCACUAUAUACCUAGCGACCCCACAUAUAGCAACACUUUUUAAAAGUGUCGGUAAUUUUAGCUAGCAGCACUUUUUUGACAUGUACCUAUAUUUAAAAGUAUCGCUAUAGACCGUUUUUGUUGUAGGGAGUUAUGUUACGCUUAUAAAUAUUUUUUAAAACAUUUUGCAGAUCUACUUAGGUGGUUAUGCGCGCAUUAGGGAUUGGUGUUCACAAAUCAAGAAACUCUAGAAUAAAUUUAUGACAUUGUAAAAAGUCUUGUAAGAUGUUUAAAAGCAUAGCAUUAUUCUUAUAUAUAUAUAACGGCCUCUUAAUUAGGGAAUAGGAUUCAAUAAGAUGUAAAACUCGUGGGAGUUACAGCAAACCACUAUUUAGAUAAAUUGAUUGUAUAUAUAUAGAAAAUUAUGUAGGUGGUCAGAGAUUCGAACCUUUGCAAUGGGUUCGAACCCUAGCAACAAAAUAUCUACUCUUCCGAGAUCCAAAGACAAUGUAACUCUUCGAGGCUGGAUGCAAAGUAGGAUUAUUUAUGCUGAACCUACCCAGCCAAAUUUGAAACAGAAGCGAUUGCUUACAACUCCACGCGAAAGAUAUUUUGCGCGCCUUUAAUACUGGUUUUAGAUUGAUUUUUUAGAUAACACAGUUUCAGAACCGGUACUAAACCUCUUUUACUCUAAUAAAAAGCCAAAUCCAUAGUAACAUCACUCCACAGUACAAACUCUAUUGUAUAUAUGCAAAAUUCGCUGCAGCUUUGCUACUCAAGACCAGCAAAACAUAGUACAUUUUUGCUAAUUUUCGAAUAAUUUUACCGACAGUAUGAUAACGCGAAUAACAUGAACAAAAUCAUCAACUAUUUAAUGCAGUGGUUUGGCAUCUGAGAGCAGGCCUUGAGGCCGGGGAUUUGAACCCCGCAUGUGCUUUUAUCUGAUGCUCGGGUCCCUAACUUCGGGUACGAAAAGAUGUAGAUUUUCUUGGUGUGGGGUCAAUACGCAAGAAUGCAUUGUCUCAGAACAUUGUGUUUGCCAAAACUGAAAAGAAAUGCCAAAACUGAAAAGAAAAAAACACCUGGGACUGCUACAGAGGAUCUUAAGACUCCAAGAACUUCGUAUUUAAUAACUUGAUUUUUCGUAAUUUGCUGUAUUUACCUGGUAGUGUAGCUUCCCAGCAAGAAAAAGUAUAGGCCUAGUUGCCUAACAGCGUCAAAAUAAGAGUGUCCACAAAAUAGAUCCUAAAAAGUCAUCGGGAGCACGAUAAUUAAAGUGAAAAAUCUAUCAUAUCUUAAUAUGGGACACUGAGACUCAAAAGUCCUAUUAGCAAUAAAAAUUUGCUAAUGAGUAUAUACGUAGCAGCUUGCGAGCAUGGAAUUACAUAUAAAUAUCCGCUUAUUCACAAUACCACAGUGUGCAGAGGUUAUUAGCAACUAGAGAAGCAACAAAUAUUGAAAUAUUCGCUACAGAACAUAUGUUACUAACCACCGAUGUCUAUGGGUCCUGGAAGCGAGAUCGGCGUCUUCGAUAGCUGCAAUACAGAGAAGAAACAUCAGCCCGAGUCGAUAAAAUAUAGCCAUCUAUAAUAAAAAGGAUAAGAAAGAUGCUUUUCCUGACACUGUUGUCUGCAACCUCAUAAACUAUGUUUUUGAUUCAAAUCAAAUAGGUGAGUAUUCGAAGUAUUGGUUUACAAAACAUGAAUAGUAAAUGGAAAAUAAAUGAGGCAUAAAUAGUUAACGUUGCACCACAACAAGAUUAUAAUUCUUUCAUAGAAAGAGCCUAUCACUUAUAGUCAAACAACAGAGGAAUCAAUCUCCCCAAUGUCAUUCAAUUGAGUAAAUGGUUACCAUGCAAACAUAUAGCAAGCAUUUUCCAAAACAUUUUAUAGGGUUAACUAGAACAAGAUCAAAGUUGGGAAGCUCUUAGGAGAAUUGGAACAUUUUAUUGGAGAAUGUCAACCAACAUAAAAUUUCCAAAACUAGAUAAAAGAAAAUUAAAGAUGAACAGAGCUUACCAUGAAAGUGUAAAUGCCCAGCAAAUAAUCUAGACAAAUGAGAAAGAUAAUAGCAUUUAGUGCAGGAAAUUUUCCUCUUCAAGGAGGCACAAUUAGCCAUAGAGUUGACUAUUCAAGUUUGCAAAUCCAUUUCACUAGUUAUUUAAUUAAAAACAAAUCAUGAAAACUUCUACCACAACAGCCAAGUUAAAAAAAAAAAACCCACUUCAAGUAGCAUUAAAGGAUAAGAGGAUGAAAUCAGAAAUAAUCAACACGGACCUGCGCUGGCUCUCACUUCUCAAUGCCACUCCACCCCCGGUAGCUGCACCUCCAAACUCGUCAUCACUUUCGUCAAGAUUGUACUCCAACACAUCCAUUGGCGACACAGAUCCUCUCCCAUCAACCGAACCAUCAUAGCUGGACAUGUGGCGCCUUCUCCUCCUCUCACUAACUGCUGACCUUCGUCUAUUUCUAGAAGCCCUAAAGUUAUCAAAGACAUGAUACAAAAUACAUGAGGUCCACCAAUUGCCAUCAUCACCAGGGAAAUCAUCGAACUCAUCAUGACUGUCGUCCCCAUACUCGAUAACAUAAUCCCCCAAUACUACACCAUUCGGUACUUCUGAAUGGAUAGUACUCAACACAUCAAUUAUCUCUGAGGAUUGCUGGAAGUUAUCCCAGUCUAGUUGUUGUGCAGGGUCUAUCUCUGAAGGGCGCGCGUGGGGGUGCUCAUUCUUGGCAUGUUGCUCCAGUUCCAUGUAGUUGCCCACAUACGAGCAGCGUUUCUCUUCACAACAUCGUCUCUUCAUGUUCAGAUAAUGGCGGGCCUCAUCAACUACUACCCAUCCUGUUACCUCUCCUCUGCACAAUGGACAAGUAGGGCAGUUCUCAGGGUUUGAAGAAAUUACUUGAAUGCCCUCAGAAAUUGCCUCGCUUUGAUCUGCAGAAACCUUCGCAGCAGCACGAAAUCCAUGGACGGUUUUGAAUCGAUCGAGGCAGUUUGAAUGGUUUUGAUCAGUAUCACACAUGAAUGGCCUACACCCUUUCUUGUAAGAAGAGCACAGGAGAAGAAUGCCAUUAUGUGGAAAAUCCAAGCAUAUAGGGCAGAUCACAUCAUCCCAGCUGUUGUUCAACUUUAUGUCCUCUAACUUCGAAGAGGUAGAGUCGAAUGCUCUUUUAUGAGAGGAAUUAGAAGCCAUAACACGCUACUCUAAAGUAGCAUCAUAUGAGGGAUUUAAGCUGCCUUGAAAGUGAUUCUGCCUGCCUGUUAUCAAACAAAGAAUGUAUGUGUAUGUACAGCAUAUAAAAUAUUCUAUAAAACAAUACAUGUCAAUUUUAUCAUACGUGAGGAUUACUCAACAAGAUCUUCCAAUACUUAAAACAAAGAUUGAGAAAUGAUUGCAGUGGCUUUUCAUAAAUGCUACAUUUUAAGAUUUUUUUCGAAAAAGCUCAUCAAACGGUAUUAUCUAGUAUGGCAUUCCCGUAAAUCAUGGACAUUGCACUUCAUAGUUACAUAGUAAACAUAACGAUGAUUCUAACAAUUUUAUUGCUAAUGUUGUCAUAAUAUAUAAAGCCAUUGCCACAUGAUCGAUUUAUCCUUUUUCUAACUCUGUAAGGAAACUGCUAGUUCCUGUGGCAAUGGAACCUAUUCACACAAAAAAAAAAAGAUAUAUUUUCUCCAAGGCAGGGUCGGAAGAUAACCAAAUUAGAAUACUGCCUCAGUGCCUUGACUAUCCAUUUAUAAGAAUCCGCUAAAAGUUGUAUUGUCCUUUACCGAAAGCAUCAAAACUUUCCACCAAAUUUAGUGUUCAACUUUUCAUAAUCUUAUAUGACAUACAAUAUGGUACCUUCCUAUAACCUAGUUCCAUUCCUACUGCAUUUGGGGAUCAAAAAUUUGCAGAGCAAUUCAAUGCAGAAGUGAAAUACAGAAUGAGCAGACCAUGGAACCAAAUUAUAUCUGCCGAUCUGGGAGGAGACCCAUGAGAGAUCAAAAAACCUCCACCUCAACAGCAAAUUACAUUGACAAGGAACUAUAGAUCGAACAGCGUGAGUAGUUUACUGUUAUCGAGGUAGUGUGCAUGUGCAUGGGUUUCCUUCUACAUCAUCAAGCUACAUAUGUAAGUAAGAUCACAAAGGUGAUUACAAACCAGGCUCAUCCUGAUUCGGGUGCACAUGUGGAUCCGACGCUUGAACUAUCUGUGUGAUGCCAGGCAUAGCAAGAAUUCUGUAAUGACCAUUUGCCCUAAUUUACAUGUCCAAAAGAAAAGUAGCAAAAGAGGUGAAAACUAAAGCCUGCUAGCAGCAUAUAACCUUAAUAUUUCACUUCAAUACCCAAAAAAUAGAAAACAAUUACCACCAAUUAUAAUAUGCCAUGCUGAUGUUGUCUAGAUUUUCUUUGGACCAAGAGAACCAAUGACCUUACUGCUAACAUAACUUGUGAUUAGCACCCAAAUUUUGAAAAUGAUAUAAAACGGCCUGGAAAUUAAGAUCUGGUGACAAAACACCAACUCUAGAGGAGAUUAUACAACAGAAACAUGUUUUUCAGAUGGAUUUAUACGGUUUUCAACAAUCACUACUUACAUUUAACUUGUGAUUGCCACCUAUAUUAUGAAAAGAGCAUAAAACCACUUGAAAAACAUGAUUUCGCAACAAAAACCCAAGUCUAAAGAGAUUAUAUGCCACAUAGACGUACUUUUCAGAUGGUAUUAUACUGUUUUCAAACUUCGGUAGUGUAGCGUGUGAUAACCACCCAAACUUGGAAAACGAUAUAGAACCACAUGAAAAAUAUGAUUUUCUACAGUAAAAAAAACGACUUUUGACAAAACACCAACUCCAGAGGGGAUUAUAUGCCACAAAACAGAUCUUUCACAUGGUUCUAUACGAUUUUCAAACUUUAGGUAUUGAUCUCAAAUUUAAACUAAAUUUCACAGGGGUCUAGAGCUCCUUUUUCCCCAAAUAAUUCCAGCAAACCCUAAAUUCGCCAUCAGAAAGUAAACAAAUCAUUAUCAGACCACUUAUUGCCAUCGAAUUCCAUUCGAGAACCCCUCGAUCAAUCAUCAAGCGACCAACCAAAACGACACGCAACCAACCGCAAAAAGAGACGAAAUCGGGCGCGGGAAAAAGCGAUUUUGACCGGAGGAGGAAGAGUCCAAACCUCGGUUCGAUUCGAUUCGGCGUCGAUCGGAGGGGGGAUUCGAAACCCUAACCCUAGGUGGAGAGCGGGCCGGUGCGGUGGAUGUCUCGGGGGUUCAGAGGAUGUGGCAGAGGAGGAGAGAGAGAAAGAGAGAGAGAGAGAGAGAGAGGAGACCGAAGGGACGGAGAAAAGAGUUCUCUACGGACAUGAGCCGUUUCUGUCGACCAAUCAAUAGGCCCCACGUGGUGGGCUUUUUCAACCAUAAGGAAGUGUGGAUGGAUUAGUGACCCACAAUAAUCCGGGCCAAAUUGGGCCGGAUCCGGCCCAGCAAUGACAAUCCACAUCUCGUGUUCGGCUCAAAAUGAGCUUGAGACUACCGAUGACACGUUUAAUAGACGAGCCGAACACAAGCUUAAUUUUUUAGCUCGAAAUCUUAACAAAUCGGACACGAGUUAGAAUCAGUUCGCUCAUAUUUCGGCUCAAUAUAGCUCGAUAUAGAUAUUACAAAUUUUUACUAUUUAGAUUCUAGUCCAAUUCAAAUGUAAAGAGAUCUAUAUUUUAGUUUUUUAUUUUAUUUUUUUCAAUUUUUCAUGCAGUAGGAGGGAUGAGGGUCUAACAUGCUGUUUGCAACUUUUUAUAUCGUUAAAUGAGAAAAUGACUUUUAUCGAGCGUUAAAAUUAUAAAACUUUACAACUUUUUAAUCAUUAGGUCAACGAUGCUCAAAACGUGUGAAAUUUAGUUUUCAGAUAUUUUAAAUAAUCGAAAUUAUAUUCAAUAAUGUCAAUCGUUGAUUUUGAAGCUCUGUCAUUGAAAAUAAAUUAGUAGCAGUGGAACUUAUUUGCUACUAACAGUAUUCUGGUUAAAUUUACAUGAUAAAUUACUUUGUACGCAAAAUAUAUAUAUGUUCUCAAAUUUUUGAUCAUAUAAAUUUUUUUUUAUUUAAAGCAGUUGGCUAAGAAUUUAAUUAUUGACAUCUAAAAUUUGAGAACAUAUAUAUAUUUUGCGUACAAAGUAAUUUAUCAUGUAAAUUUAACCAGAAUACUGUUANGCAAAAUAUAUAUAUGUUCUCAAAUUUUUGAUCAUAUAAAUUUUUUUUUAUUUAAAGCAGUUGGCUAAGAAUUUAAUUAUUGACAUCUAAAAUUUUAAUUCCGAAAUAUAACUAUUUCACAUUUCUAGUUGAAAUUAUGAGUGGUGUAAAGUUUUUAUUUUUUAUUUUUUUUAAUUAUUAUUUGUUUUACUCCUAUGGGUUUCACAGGGAUAAGGAUCCGCAACCCCAAUGGAAUAUUCGUAUCCAAUUAUUCCAUGUAAAAUGAAUAAACUUACACAUACUCAACAACUUGUUUUAAAAAGUUUUUAUGCAUAUCUUUAUGGACCCCUUCAACACUACAAUCUACGAAUUUUAGCAAUUUUAAAAAAAAGCUACAAAUUUGACUCACAGCUUAAAUUUUAUAUUCCACGGUUUAAGUAUUGCUAUAUAGAGUGGGACUACAAUACUCUUAUGAGUAUAGAGCCCUUCGUAUUCAUAAAUUAUUUUGUCAUUAUCUCACUAGAGCCAGCUAUAUAGGAUAAUUAUUAAAUUCAGAUAUAAAAAAAAUAAAUUUACAGAUAAAGUUAUCUAUAUGCGCAAUAUAAUCAUAUAAAUUUAAUAAAUUGCUCACUAAAUCAUCAAUUUUGAUAGUAUUCGCAAAGCAGGAGAUAUGCUUUCUCUAAAUUUUUUAAUUUAUUUCUUGAGGUGUAAAUUAGAUAUAUGUUGAGAUAUAAAAUAAUGUGAUAUGUCAAUUUAUUUUAAUAAAAUUUUUCAGCUGAUUUGUUAUUUUUUUAUUAUUUUUUGGAUUUAUUUGAGAUUAUGAUAAAAUGCAUAGGGAUAAUUGAAGUAAUGUUAAAUACAAGAAAGCAAUUGAGACUCGGUCAAAAAUGUAAGGUAGUUUUUUGUUUAUAAUUUAGCCGAUACAAAUAAAUAACUCUAUAGUAUAGAUAGUAGUGUAGUAAUCCUUUCGAUGCGACAGCUAGAUAAUUAGAGAAAAAAUAAAAAAUGGCAACAAAGAAAGAAAAAACUGCGAUAAAAAAAGUGACGAUGAGGGGCGGGAUUCAUCUUGCCGAUAAAGGAAGGUAAGAGCCGAAGAAAGUGGAAGAGGAACAGUUCGGCUCAAUGCAGAGAUAUGAUCCGGUUCAGUUCAAUCAAAAAAAGAAAAACAAAUCCGGGUUGGUUUAAGAAAAGAAAGAGAAAAAUAUGUGGAGGAUUUAAGACGGUUCGGAAGAGCCCAUACUCAAUAAUAAUUGGUUCAGUUCAAGCAAAGAAAGAUAAAAAUAUGUUAGGCAUUUAAGCCGGUUCGGAAUAAAGCCCACAUCCAACAAUAACGGUAAUGUUGCCCAAUGACAAAUUUAGGGAGAAUAAUGUAAAGAUAUAGAUAUAGAUAUAAAUUUGUAUUUCUACAAAUGGAUACACUCCAAGCCAAAAUUAAAAUAUAAAAAAUAAAAAAAAGGAAAAAAAUAAAAUAGAAAGAGGGAAUGAGAGAGGGUCCAAUACUGGGUGUGUCUAUCCAAUGGAUUCUUGUUGCCACUUGUCCAAAACAAUGUCCAGAGAUAUCACAAGUGGCUUUUUAUUUAGGGGCUCAAAAGCACUACAACAGGAGUUGCAGGUUUUUACUACUUCCACAAUCACUCAACAUAAAAGAUAAAAGAAAGAAUUAAAUUUAAACUGCACAAAAAGUGCUCAACCACAUCUGCCAUGCUGUGGUAUGAGUACGUUAAUGUGUUACAUGCAGAUUGACUUGAGAUAAACAAAUAGAUAUUUUGACGGACGUACAGGAUACAUUAAAUAAUUUGUUUGAACUGUUCAACCAUUCAUAAUUUUUUCAUUAAUUUAUUUGUAAACUUUAAAUGUUUACUAGUCACAUAAAUUUCUCUACUUUUUGCUAAAAGAUUUUUUUUAAAAAAAAGUCAAAUCUUAUGCUACAGUGGAAAGUAAAAUAAAAUACUAUAUGGGCAUGUGACUGUGCGAUCGCACAAAGUUUUCUCAAAAAGGCGCACAAUGCGAUCGCGCAGCCAAAUUCACCCUAACUCUGAAAACAAAAUCUCUAACUUUUUUAAAAUUUUAUUAUAAUAAAAAAGCUAUCAAGAGUAUACUAACACGAACAAUUUAUCUUCGAAUUUUUCUGACAAUAUUAUAAGAUAUAGCACUUGAUGAAAUAUUAUCUAUGACGGUUCGAAUAGUAAUAUAGAGCAUAUAAAAGAACUGAGCUCCGAUGCUUUUAAAAAUACUAAGUCAUUGAUACUUAUAGAUUUUCGAUUCUUGGAUGAAGGAAUUUGUGGCUAGGAUAGUGGUUCUCUAUGGUUGAGUGGAUGAUUGAUUAAAUAGUAUGAUCUAACGGAUUGAAAUAGUGAAAAGGAUAAAUUUAACAGUAAAAAAUACGAUACGCCUAGUAUUAUUAGAAGCGUCUUAGUCGCUAUAUAUAUAUAAAAGUUCCCCAAUCUUAUUAAUCAAUCAUCAGCAUGAAUCACGUGAAAGAUAACAAUUUUUAUGCGGCAGAGAGUCCACUGGAACCCUCUUACUGAGAUUUGUGGCUUUUCCAAGAAGCAAAGGUAGAAAAACAUGUAUAGGUAGUACCAAUCCCUUUCAUCUUACCUUCCAGAGAUGAUUGGUUAGAAGAAAUACAUUUAUUAUGGCUAAAUUAUAAAAAACUUUCUAUAAAUACUUUUUUUUAUUUUUUAUUUUACUUUAUCUCUUUAAUAAUUUAAAUUGUUGUAUUUAACCCCCCUCUGUCACGGUUCCAUUAUUUUUUCGUUCAUUUAUUAUAACUAGUCAUAGUGUACGUGUAAUGCACAUCACAUUAAAUCAAAUAAAAUUUAUAUUUAUAUUUUAAAUUUAAAUAGUUAUUGGUGGUAUGAGUCUAUUUAUCAAAUUUUAACUUUAAUUUAUCUUCGGAUAAGUUUUAUAUAUUUUAAAUUUAGUUACACUAUAAAUACUUUUCAUAUUUAUUUUAUAAUAAUAUACAAUUAUUUUUAACAUAUAUACAAAUUUUAAAAUUUGAAUUAAUUCUAAAUUUUAAGUUAAUAAAUUCACAUUAAAAUUUUUGAACAAAAUUUAAAAUUUAAAAUUAAUUUUGACAAUGUGCUAGCGCCGGUGAUGUCGAGGUGACAAUGUGCCGGCGCCGGUGAUGUUGAUGAGGAGAACGAUGACGAUGCGCCGGUGCCGGCAACGGGGACAAAUGAAAAAAGAUAUUACUAAAAAAUAUUUGGAAUAUUUGAGAAAAAUAUAGAUGAAAAUGAAAAAAAUAUAUUACUAACAAAAUAUAUAUUUUAUAUUUGAUAAAUGUAUAAAUGUAAAUGAGAAAAUACUAAAAAAAAAUAUGCUAAAAUAGUAUAAAAGCAUAUUAAAAAAAAUAGUUUAGAUCAAAAUACCUUUCCAAAUGUGGCAAAGGUGGCGAAUGCGACAAUAUGCCGUCGUUGGCGAUGACGAUGACGAUAUGCCGGUGCCAAUGUAUAAAUGUAAAUGAGAAAAUACUAAAAAAUAGAUAUACUAAAAUAGUAUAAAAGCAUAUUAAAAAAAAUUCAGUUUAGAUCAAAAUGCCUCUCCAAAUGUGGCAAAGGUGGCGAAGGCGACAACAUGCCGGUGUCGGCGAUGACGAUGACGAUAUGCCGGUGCUAGCGACGGGGACUAAUGAGAAAGGAUAUUAGUAAAAAAAAUAUUUGACAAUAUUUGAAAAAAAUACAGGUGAAAAUGAAAAAAGAUAUUACUAAAAAUAAUAUACUGAUGAUUUGCGCAAUUAAUGUGAGAGAUAAAAAGUCAUGAAGAUGCACACUUAUUAGCAUUUAAAAAUCUUAAAAAGUAAAACAAAGUAUACGAAAGACGAAUUGGGUAGGAAAUUAUAUUAUGACACAUUAAAAUGAAUUAGGUGUAGCAAAAUACCUUUCUAACUGUGGCGAAGGUGAUCGAGAACGACGAUGAGGAAUGAAUAAAAUAUUACUAAAAUAAUAUAUUUGAGAAAACAUAUAGUGAAAAUGAAAAAGGUUAUAUUUUAUUAUAUUUAAGAAACGUAUAGAUAGAGAUGAGAAAGUAUUAAAAUAAGAUAUAUUUUAUGUAUGGAUAAGUAUUAUGAUGAGAUAAAAAUUAUGUAUGGAUAAGUAUUAAGAUAUUUUCUAUAUAAUUAAAAUUUUAAUUAUGUUUAAUUUUAAAAUUUAAAAUUUAAUUUCGAUCCACUUUAAGUUUGUAAAUUCAAAAAUUUUAAAAUUUUUAAACUUAAUUUUGAUUCCACUUAAGAUUUAAAUUCAAAUACGUGGGUAGUGAAGAUAUUAUAUAUUUUUGAGAAAUCAAAAAUUUAAUGAAUAUUUAAAAUAAAUGGUUAAAAUUUCUGACGAUGAAAAAAUUAGUAAAAAAUAGAGACAUUUCGGAAAGAAAUUCAUGUUUUAUUCAAAAUUUCAAAAUUUUAAUUUAUCUACUUUAAGAUUUAAGUUUAAAUGCGAAGAUAAUGGAGAUAAAAAAACUUCUGAGAAACGAAAGAAAAAAGAUUAAAAUUUUGAUUAGAUAUUUGAAAAAUGCGUGGAUAUUAUGUGUGAGAAAGGUUAACGGUAUAUUAUGUAGAUAGUUUUUUUUUUUUUUUUUAUUUUAUAGAAGAUAGGUAGCACGCUAUCGCUUCGUUUAUUUCAUUUAGAAUGAAACUUAGCUAGAAAUGUGAAUCAACUAGGGUUCGAACUUGGGUCUCGGGUACCAACCGUCAAGCUCUUUGCCACUUGCUCUAGGGACGGUCGGUAUAUUAUGUAGAUAGUUGACGUAUAUGAUAGGUAGAUUAAUAAGAUAUUUGAAAAUUUUAUAAAUAUUACGUUGAGAAUGGAUUGACGGGUACGUAUAUUAUGCGUUAGAAGAAAAAUAUUUAAGAAACGCGUAGAUAGAAAAUAUGAUAUAAAUGUAAAGGUAUUAUUGUCACAAAAAGUGACAAAUACUUUUAUUUUCAAUUAUUAGAUAAGAUCUAAUGACAAAAAAUUAAUAUCUUUAUUUGAGAAUAAAUUAUUAUUUAGUAAAUUAUUUAAAAUAUUUGGUAAAAAAUUACUGAACAUAAAAAUAUUAGUAAAAAAAAUAAAAGUAUUUUUUAAAAAAAAAAAAUUUAAAACUCACGCUUUUAUAAGUAAUAUAGAUAUAGCCCACUAAAAUACGCAGGUAACUCCACUAGAUUAUCGAUACAGAAAGAAAUGGUGGGUGUUGGUUUCUCCUACACACCACACCACACCACACCAAAAUAUACCACACCCAUUGUAAAGCAGUUGGGUUUGGGACAGAGACAGGUAAGGUGAGGUAUCCUCCGCCUCUUCCCUCUCCCCACAACCCACCCAACUCCCAUUCUAUUCUAUGGAUAACGAGGAGAUAUAGAUAGUCCCCUUUUCUCCUCCCCACCAUCUCCAUUCAUUCAUGGCCCCUCCCCCAUUGCUGUGCACUUUGUAGCACCCCUGAAACCAAGCAAAAGAGGAGCUUUUUCCCACAAGCGCUUCUGGGCUCUUCUUCUCCUCCUCCUCUGCUCUAAAGGAGGGGGGAAACAUGGCCGUGGCCGUCGCCGUGGCUUCUGGGAGCCGCGGGAUUUGCUCCGGGCUGAAGCAGGUGGACAACAAUGGCGUGGCGCCCCUCAAGUGCUGCGCUUACAGGGGAUUGCGCUCCUGCGUCGUCCCGGUUUCGGCCAAGGCCAGGUUGGGGGUUUGCUCAAAAUUUGAUCUUUUUUGGUACUUUUGGUUGAGUUUGGAUUGUUGGUGAUUUGGAUUCCUAAUCUUUUGGAUACUGUAGCAAGUUUCUGUCUACUGGAUUGAUUUGAAUUGCUUAUUUAGAUAUCUGGGGUUCCGAUUUCGUCGAAGGUGAGAUUGGGGUAUUUGAUCUUUUUUGGUCUGUGGUUGAGCUUGGAUCCGACAUAUUGAUGGAAUGAUAAGUUUCUGUUGUUACUGAUUUGAUUUGAAUUGCUGUUGAGCAAUUUGGAUUCCUUCUUCUGGGAAUACACCUUUCACUGAGGCAGAAACAGUAGUAAUCUAUUUUACCCUGUUAAUCAAUAUCUUAAAUUUGAUGUUUCAAUUGUUCAUUAGGUUCUGUUUGUGACCUGAUCAUGUCUUAGGCUGAAUUAACAAAUCAUAAUUAGUAAAUAAACUAUUUCCCCCUUUCUUAUGAGAUAUUGUCCCUCAGAUCCAUUUUGCUUAACUGUUAAAAUGUAGAUUAUUUGUUUGUUCUUCUAAAAUAAUGAUUGUUAUUUAUGCAUCUAUCUGUUUGUUUAUUUGCUUACCAAUUCUGAUUGCUGACAAUCUAUGCUCAUGUUAAAUUCAUGGUUUUUUUACAGGUUAUCUUCCUUUUUCGCUAUAAGCAUUCCUCGAGCCACAUCCCCAACAGCUGUGGAGGUAUUGAACAAUGUUAGCUCUUGUGCAUUUGAUUGGAGUUAUAUUCAUAGUUGCUUAUAUUUUUUCGGUUUAACAGGAUGGGAGCUCUAAUGUCACCGACACAGUUCCGACGCCCAAAGUUAUAAUAGAUCAGGACUCGGACCCAGAUGCAACUAUCGUCGAAAUAACCUUCGGUGAUCGUCUCGGGAGUCUUCUUGACACUGUAUGCAUCAAAAACACCAACUUUUUUUUUUGGAUAAUCUGCGUUUUCCUGCUUUUAGGUGGGUCAAAUUUAGCUGAUAAAUUUGUAUCUUUUCUUAUUGUGAAGAUGAAUGCGCUUAAGAAUCUAGGGCUCAAUGUUGUGAAGGCUAAUGUCUAUCUCGAUUCUUCUGGAAAGCACAAUAAGUUUGCUAUCACAAAAGCGUAAGUAAUUAUGCUCCAAUCAACUCGUUACUUUGAGACAAAUUUCUAGAUUCUUUCGUACGCUACAAGAAAGCUUUUCUACGACACUAACUUCUAUCUGUUUAUUGUUGCUCACACUAAAGAUUAUAACAUUACAGGUAUACCGGCCGCAAAGUUGAUGAUCCUGAGUUGUUAGAAGCAAUACGAUUGACAAUAAUUAAUAAUCUGCUGCAGUAUCAUCCGGUAAUGAGACCUCCGUGUUUAACACCUUAUGUUCUGUGAAGUAAUUUGCAUAAGUCUACUUAAAAGCUCUUUUUGUUGUGUUAAUUGGAUGAUCAGGAAUCUAGCAGCCAAUUGGCUCUGGGAGCGACAUUUGGAGUUGAACCGCCUGCACAACAGGUGCUUAUUCUUGGCCUUGUCAAUAAAUUGAACAGCUAUACUUCGUUUUAUGGCUAUUAAGUGGUGUUGUUUCUCUGGGUUUAUAAGAAAAAUGCUAUUUAGUAGGAAAACGAAGAGUUUUGAUUGUUUUUUCCCCCUUUUUAAAGAAAUUCAGAUGCUAUUCUUGAUUUUACAUGUUCAGAUUGAUGUGGAUAUUGCGACCCAUAUAGAUAUAUAUGAUGAUGGCCCUGAUAGAAGGUAUGGAUAAUUCGCUCAAUGCACAAUUCCAACCUCUUAUGAACUCAUAAUCAAACUAUUAAGGCGUGCAUUGUUUAUGCCUUAUACUUCUUACUUUUUAUAAGCUCCACUUGAUUAAGUGUCACAAGAAUUCUAGAAAUACUUAUCUUGUAUAAGAUAAUAUUUGUUAACUUCUGCAAGUUGUGAUAUCAUUAGACAUUUUGUAACAUAUAUUGUACUUGAAUUGUAUUCUUUUCCGCUUCCUGUGAAGUGAAUAUCGAUACAAAUAUGGAAAUCUUUGUAACUUCUGUAGUCUCAGCUCAAAAUGAUCAUCAGCAAUUCAUGUCUAAUGAGCCUUCUGUUUGCCCAAGAUCUUUUAUACCUCAUCUGAGGUCAACUGGUGAUAAUCUACUUGAUUAAAUUAAACAUUGCAUUCAGAUGGAGUUGGAACUAUCUUAUGUGGUGUUUAGUUUUAUACUUAAUAUUUAUUAAGUUGAAUCACUAAUUGUAAAUUAACGGGUUAAAGUAGAAGGGUACUGCACAAGAUUUCUAUUGCUUGGGUUAAAAAUUUUGCAAAACACCCACUUGAUCAUUUUAUCAGCUAAUUUGUUUUGAUAUCAUUGAUGCAAGUGAUUUAAAUAAGCUUAACAUUCUGGGAUUUCAGAAGCUGAAUAUGCUUUUCAACAUACUAUUGUUAAUAAAUUUCAAAUUCGCCAACCAAGUGUAGCAUUACUGAACUAAAUAGGUAAUUGGUGAGAAGCAACCUAUAAAGUGUUUCACGUCACAUACAAAAUAGAAAUCGAUACAAGUGCUUUGAGGUCAAUGUCAAAUUCGUGUCAGGAGGUUCAAUCAUCAAAUCUUGUUCGGCUAUACUAUAUUGUCCUUAACAUUGAUGAUAAGGUCCCUUACUUGGUUGUUUUCCUCUUUAGCUUGCUCGUGGUCGAAACAGCGGACCGUCCCGGGUUGCUGGUUGAUCUUGUUAAGAUUAUUACUGACAUAAACAUCACAGUGCAAUCUGGAGAAUUUGACACCGAAGUAAACAUUAAUGUUCUUUCCAAGAUUAGUUUCUCCCUGCUAAGAGAUUUUUUACUGAAACACUUCUUUGUUACAGGGAUUAUUGGCCAAAGCGAAAUUCCAUGUCAGUUAUCGGGGUAAACCGCUGAUCAAGGCUCUCCAACUAGUAAGCUCUCUCCUGCUUUGAGGUUCUCCGUAGUUAUUAAAUGUAGUCCGACUUGGGUGCUGAAUAGAUUUAGAUCUAACAAAGUAGUAGCUUGGGGAUUGUCCAAAUCCCAAGUACAUUGCUAGUUGGUUUCAGUUGGUUGUUCUUUAACCAUCUCAAGAUUUUAGAAUCUGUUUUGGCCUGGCUUCAGCUUGUGGCUUCUGCAAAAGUGCUGUUUGAAUAAAACUGCUAAAAAAAGCACUAUAUUAGUACACGAGAUAAAGAUCUAAUCGAACUAGUUUCUAUUGCUUACCAUAAUGGUUGCUAGUUCACCACUCUUGCUGAUACAUUACACCAGGGUCCUCAAUCUCUGCAUUUCAUUACAAUCUUUACUCUGUCUGUCAAAUUCCUUCAUCAAAUUAGAUGGGGAUGUCUACGUAGGCGUCAUGUAUCUACGUUAGGGUUGAUACCGCAUGCAUGGUGCUCGCAUGGACAUUUACCAUCAAAAUGUAAUCCGAGAAUUUUAACAGGUCUAAGAAUGUGAUGUGACAUAAAAGGUUAGGAACCAUGAUAACUAUUUGCAUGUUGAUAAUCAAAACUGACACUACGCCAAAUUUGUUGGAAAUAAAUAAAAAAACACGCUGAAAUUUUACCUUACCAACUUGAUCAAGUCGUUCUAAUAUAUAGCUCGUGUGUUUGUAGGUUCUUAUAAAUAGCUUGCGCUACUUCUUGAGGAGGCCAACGACGGAGGAAGCGAGUUUUUAGGGCUCUACUUAAAAGGACAGUUCAAGGUCGCAUAGUGUUCCAACGCAAUUUAAGAUUUUUCUUUCCACAUUACAGCAUCUGGCUGUGUUCCGAAUAAUGUUCUUACUCAUCUACUUUAGUACUCCGUUGCCCGAAAGCUAACUAGUCUGUAUCGAUGGGAUCACACCGUUGAGCCGAAUGAAAUCUUUGCAUGCUUGAAGAAGCACUCUUCUGCUUCUUGUGUUGUAUGCCUUUCUUAUAGUCUGUCGACUGCGAAGUGUUCGAACAAGAUAUUGAGAAUAAUCACUUUAUGCAAAAUUGUUGAAAGAUGGAACUUCUGGUGCUUCUGCAAUUGGGACAAAGUUGCAGAAAUGAGCUUACCAGUGUGUUUCUACUGCAGCAGAAGGCCGUCAGAACAUCAUUAAAGAAAACUUUAUCGAGUAUUUCUUAAAAUAGCUUUAUUCAAACAACAUUUGAUUUUCUGAGCCGAGCGUAGAGAUGCAAAAAAGUCGUGUUUUUUUGGAUCUUAUCGCUUUCUUCUGCUGCAGUUGGGCUGAAGCAGCUUAGAUCAGCAGAUCUGCAGUCUGCCUGCAAGGAUACGAAAUGUUAAUGGAGAGCAGAACAUUCUUGCAUUCCAUUGUGUAAUAUUUGAAUUACAACGUUGUUACUAGGGAUGUCAAUGGGUCGGAUUCGGGACGGAUUUUUAAAAACCCGAUCCCAAACCCGACUCCAAAUCCGAAACCCAAACCCGAACCCGACGGAUUUUGAAAAUCCAUAUCCAAACCCGAACCUGACCAAAUAUUCAAAAUCCCAAUCCGAAAAUCCGAACCCGAAAGAAUUAUUUCUCUUUUCAAUAUUUCAAAAUAUAUUACAUUAAAUCUAAAUUUUUAAAAUAGAAAUUCAAAUAUAAUAUCAAAUUUUUAUAUACAAAUUAUAUAUAAUGUAAAAUAAAUUUGGGUUCGUACCGGGUUCAGAUCGGGUACAGUCAAAAUUUAUAUCUGAAUCCAUAUCUAUCAACUUUUUGUUUUUGAUAUCUAUAUCCGAAAUCAUUUUCGUUUAGCAUCAGAUAAAUUUGCUCAGUUCGGAUUCGGAUUCGGAUAAAAUUUCGGGUAUCCGUAGGACCGUAUCCGUACCCAUCGACAUCCCUAGUUGUUACUUGAUCAACUGAGGCCCAGUUUGGAAUGAAGAGCUAUGCAACAUUGUUGGUCCAAAAGAAGCAAGGAAAACACUCUGAUAUGAUCGGCCAUAUUUUUUUUUUAUUAUUUUUGAAUACAAAUUCAUAUACAAAUUUAUAUCGAAUAUUAAAUUUUAAUAUCUAUAUUCAAACUCUAUCGAAUACAAAUUUGAUUGGAGUAUACUGCUUGUUUGGUUCGACGUAAAGUAAUUUUUCCGUAAAAAUAUAAUUUUACGGAUUUUGAAAAAACUGGAAGUUUUCAUUUUCUGUUGUUUUUCAGUGAAAAACAAAAACUCUCUGAAAGAAAGUCACUUACACUCUCUCUCUCUUAAUAUUAAUAAAUAUAUAUUAUGUAAUAUUUUAUUUAUAAAUAUAAAUUAUAUAUUAUACAUUAUAUAUGUGUUAUUAUAUAUUAUAUAAUAUAAUUUUGGAUAUAUAGUAAAAUUUUGAAUAUAUUUAAAUUAUAAAUAUAGGUGAUAAUGAUGAUAAUAAUAAUAUAUAGAGAUAUAAAUUGUAAUUAUAAUAUAUAUAACAUGAAAGUUAUUCAUAUAUAAUAUACAAUAAUAUAUAAUAAAAGAAAAUUUUAUAAAAUUACUUUUAUUCUAAUUUUUUCUUUCAAUCAAACAAGUAUGGUUGAAAUUUUAUUUUUCUUUUUUCUACAAAUCAAGCAUUAAAGAACGUAAAAAAAAUUUUAUAAAAUUUUUUUUAUUGAAAAUUAUUUUUUAUAAUUUUAUGAUGAACUAAAUAGACCCUUAGUUGAGCCACUCUGUGCUCAUCAAUUUGGAUUUUUUUUUUCAAAUAAUCCUAUGAAAUUUUUUAAUUGGAUAAAUAAUUCUAUAAAAAAAUAAUUGGAAAACUAAUCCUUCUUUUGUUAUGUACGAGUCACGAAAGAAUUUUCUCUUAAAAGACAGUAAAUUAUUCACCACCUUCUUAAUUUUCUACAAAAUGGGUGAAUCAUUCACCAUUUUCUUGAAAAUUAUUUGUUAUGAUUUUUUAAGUUGUUAAGAUUAUAUGUAAUUUGUUAAAAUUUGUAUAUGGUUGUCAGAAUUAUAUAUAAAAAAUUAAAAAAAUGAGAUGGUUAGGAUUAUAUGUAGAUUAUUCGAAUUUUUGUUAGAUUAUUAGGAUUGUAUGAAUAGAUUAUUAUGAUAUUUUUUAUUAUUAAGAUUAUAUAUGGUUUGUUAAAAUUUUUAUAUAAUUUUUAGAAUUAUAUGAAAAAUAAAAAAAAAACAACAAAAGAGAAAGACAGUGAGUAAUUCGAGUAAUUCAUUACUUUUAUGAGAAGUUAAAUAGGAAUUGUUUACUGGUUAUGAAAACGGUAAAUAAUUCACCGUUUUUUGGAUAAAAUUUUAUUCUAUCACUAUUUAGUUAAAUAUAUUUUUUUAGUAGGGUCGUUUGGCUAAUUAUAAUAAUUUUAAGUGUUAUUUAGGAAAAAAAAAUCCCAUCAAAUCUGUAGUGCCACGUGGCCCUAUUAAAUUGUGCCAUUUGUGGGCCUGUACAAGCUGCUCCAUCAAGGGGGUAGGUAACCUUUGGGACCACCAAUUAUCACAUGCUUCGCCAGUUGCCACGUGGGCCCCAUCUGAUCCGUCCGUAACCCCCCAAGGGCUUCGCUUGCCGUUGGAUUGAGUCCUGGUGGAGUGUGGGACCACAAGCUUUCACUCUCAGCGAACCACGCGUUGCCACGUUGACACGUUGACAAAGUCCAACUGUACUCUCUCCCACUCGCUUUUGUCGUUUUCUCAACAUUCUUGUCGCGUUUGGUGUGUACUCGUCGGUACGUUCCACUGGUACAUCACAAGAUCAUCAAAAUUAUAAAAAACAAAAAAUUUAAAUCACAUUUUGGCCCCACAAUUUUUUGUUAUUUAUUUAUUUAUUUUGAACUGUUGAUAAAUUUAUAUACUCGUUUUUUUUUUUUUUUUGAGAAAGUUAGUAUAUUAUUUGUUUCGUUUAUUUUUUAAAAAAAUAAAUUUAGCUGAAAAUGUGAAUCAGUCAGGAUUUGAACUUAAAAUUUCGAAUACCAACCAUCAAGUCUUUUGAUAAAUUUAUAUACUUUUUAUUGCAUGUAGAAUGAACAAAUAAGAGUCUUUCAGAUUACAUACUUGAACAUAGAAAUAAAGCAUUGUUUUACUAUAAAAAAUAACACUUAACUGUUGUGCAAAUUUUAUGUUUAUUUUAUCAAAAAAAAAUCUGCCGUUAAAUAAAUAGCAAAUUAAAAUUCUAUGAAAUCACAGAAUAAUACGCUGUUUAGUAAUAUGCUAUUAUAAUAAAAUCACAUGAUAGUUAAGCGUAACUUUUUAACCGCACAGUGAAAAAUAUAAGCAUGCAUGCUACAUGACAUAAUAGAUAGUUGAGUCCAACUUUUUUAAUCAUGUGAUGGUAAAGUAAAACAAUCCUAAUUCACAAGAGGAUAAGCUGAAGUUUACCUUAUUGUAACAUAUUAAUAAUUUACAAAGAUAAUAUUCCAUGGGAGGAAAAAAAAAACUUUUUAUCAUUCUUUUUAUUGUAGAGAAUUGUAUUUUGUCCACAAUAUAUCUCAAAUAAAAUCUUAAAAUGUAUGUAUAUACGAAUUAAAAUAUGUAUAUUAUGUUAUACAUGUGAUCGAGCUGUCCAUCUUGUUUUGAGUAUAAAAGAAUCAACUUCUUAUUUGUGGGGAAUAUACUGUUGCUAAACUGCAAAUUGGAUCAGUGCUAUUAUUUUAUUAUUAUUAUUAUUAUAUUUUUUGGAUAAUUUGAAUGUAGUUGAUGUCGCGUUAUGCAUGCUUUUAACAUCCUUCUUGAGUUAACAACUUAAGGUUUUAAAAGAAUAACGAUUAUUUAAUAUUUUUAACACAGUAUAUAAGUAGGAAGUUUUUAAUUUGAGUUUCGUCAGUCUCCUAUUAUUGCUUAGUUUUUUCUUAUUUAAUUUAAAUUUAUAUUUUAGAAUUAUUAUUCUUAAUUUUAAAUAUAAAAAAAUAAAUAUGAAUAUUAAAAAUAUCGUAUUCUUUGACACCCUGUGGCUUGUACUUUUCCCAGUUAGAACAGUAGUUAAUUAGUUUUUUAUUAUGUGGGAAAGUGGAGGGUUUGUUUGGUUUAUUCCAAGUUUUCAAUAAUUGGCCCGAAAUUAAUACGCGCACACAAGCACUGUUUAGCAACAGUUAUUUCGAACACGCAUUUAUUGUUUUUUUUUUUUCUAAUGGAUAAAUUUUAUUUUUUUAAUAAUUUAUCUUAUUUUUUAUUUUACUAUUUUGCAUGGUAAAAAAAAUUAUAUUUAAUUAUCAUAAAAUUUAGGUCCUAGAAAUUAUACUCAAUUACUUUGUAAUUAUUGUUACAACAAACGCACAAACGGAAAUAAAAUGACGUAUACGAAACAAUCAAACCACAAACAGAAAAUAAAGAGAACGCACAGAUUUAAGUGAAAAAUCAUAUGCAGAGAAAAACCACGGGCGAGGCAGAAGAGAGCUUCACAAUCAAACGAAAAAGGGAAUACAAUGUUCAGAAGAUUACAACCAAUCACAAUCUCACGCCUCUAGGGCAAAAACGAAAAGGAAACCCAUAACAGCUUUCGGAUCUGAUCCGAUCCGAUCCGAUCUGAUCCUGUUGGCCCGAGCCCUCCGCUACCCACCACAGACAUUUAUUUUUUCUUCACAAAUUUAUUUUUCCAAUUUUGGUCGCACCGCGAAACUGUUGACGACUCAGAAACCUGAAUUUGAGUCGAUUAUCAAUUUCGAGUCAUAUCUAAUAGUUAUAAAAUUAUUGUGUCAUUCUAUUUGAUAAUAAAUAUUUUGUAUAAUAAUAGAUAAUAUAUUAUAUAAUAGUUAAGUAUAACUUUUUAAAUCACAUAAUCACAAAAUAAAAAUAUAAAUUAAAAGUUAUCUUUUUUAAUUACAGUAUUUUUGAAUUUUGAUAGUAAAUAUUUGGUUUUGGAAAGUGCUCCCUAAGUAAUUAGCAGUUCAAAGUUUAUGUAUCCUCUUCAGUAAAAUAUUAGAUGGCGUUGAAUAAAGAAAAUGUGUAAAUUGUUGCAUGCUUUUUCGUUGACAAGUGUGAUUAUAAGUAUUUUUAAAAUUUUUGGAUCGUUCAAAAUAUAAGAACACGUACAUUUAGCUAUCGCAAUACCAAAUUAGGUUUUAGAAUAACUUUCUAAAAUUGACUCUUCUGAGAAUCUUUUUGGCCCAGAUUUUAGUUUAGUUCAUUCAUAUGUUCGCAAAAUAAUAUUUGAUAAAUAAAAAUAUUUGAAAUAUCUUAGCAGUGGAAAACGAAAAAUAAAAUUCUAUGUAUCAAAAGUAAAAAGAAAAAUUGUUGGCAUUUCUAAUUUACUUAAAAUAUUGUUGGAUGGACGCGAAUAUAAAUAUAUAAUACAUUUUCUAAUAGUAUAACCAUUUAAUAGUAUUUUAUUAAAUAUUAAAUAAUAUAUAAUAUUGUAGUUAUAUGCUUGCCGACGCAUAACAACGGGAGGCCAUUUAAUUUAAAUGUGUGAACAAUAUCAAACUUAGCCCUUUGAAACUUCAAAAUAUUAUAUUUGUCCCUUUCAAAAUCUAAAAUAUCAUUCGUGGCCCUCUACUAUUUGUAUAAAUCUAUCACAAACGUCUCUGUGAACUCCAAACCUAAAGCCUAAAUGCUAAAGCUAAACCCUUUAAUGUUUAUAAGGUAAAAAUUUACAUAAUUUAUCUAAAAUAUGAAUUAUUUUGAAUUAGCCACCCAAUCUUUCAAAAUUUUGUUAUUUUACUAUCAGAUAUUUCAAUUUGUUUGAUUUGAAUCAGCCAACGGCACUUACUCUUUAAAAUUGAAUAUAUCAUUUAACUUUACAGGUAUAAUAGUAUGCUUCAUAUAAUUUUCAUAACUAUAAAUUUAUUAAAAUAAAUAAUUAGCUUAAAUUUUAAAAGCAAAGCAUCGUUGACUGAGUCAAACUAAAUAAAUUGAAAGGUUGGAUAGUAAAAAUAAAAUUUAAAAGAGUCGGAUACCCGAAUAAAAAUGGCACAUAGUUUAGAUAAGUUCAGAAUGUUUUUGCCUAUUCGAAGAACACUAAUGACAUUUUACAAUUUGAAGGAAUUUUAACAAAAUUAGAAUCCGUCGAAGGAGUACUGAAGAAAUCAAGCGUUGAAAUGUCUGUAGCGAUGCUGAUCGUCCAUAACACAGAUAUGACAAAGAGCCGACUGGUUGGGUACUCAAGAGCCAAAGUUCGAAAUCUAAUUGCUCCACAUUUCUACUGAAUUUAUUUUUUAAAUAAUUUUUCAGUGGCGGAUACACUAUAAAUAGAAUGAACUUAAAAUAGGAAACAAGAUUAUGGAGCAGGACCAUCAUCAUUAUUGUCUCAUGGGCCACACUACACAACAACUACAAUAUUGUCUCGUGGGCCUACACUUCCAUGUGGGCCCAAUGAGAAACCCUAAUUUUUUUUAAAAAAAAUAAAAUAUUAGUAGAAGAAUCCGACUAUAGUACUUUCGGGAGCACCACACAUGUGGUGCAGUUUAAUAUUAUUGUCUUGGAAGAACCACUAUCGUGCUGCUUUUACAAUUCUUAAUAUUAGAGUUAAAAAGUCGAAAAUACCAAAUUUUUUUAUAUUUUUGGAAGCAUAAUAGCUCUAUACAUGAAUAGAAUCAAAAUUUUCAAAAAACAAUUUUGUGUUUCUGUAAUAUUAAUAACUACUUUUUUAUGUUUUUUUACAUUUUAUAUAUAAAUAUUUAUCUUAUUGUGAAUUUUUUUUGGAUCUGCGGUUGGUUAUCUUACUAUAUGUAUGAUGCCAUUACUCUCUCGCUCUCUUUCUCUUUCUCUCUGGGAGAAAGAAAAAAAAAGGGUUAAAUAAAUAGCAAAGUAAAAUUUUGUGAAAUCACGGGAUAGUACUUUUUCUAACAAUAUAUCUUUACACCUAAGGAUUUAAGUGCUGUAGUACAGGAUUGUGAUGAAUCUUGCCGACACGGUAUGACACGGUGCGUGCCGAACCGUGUCGAUACUUGCUGGUCAAAAAAAUUUAUGUGUGCCGACACAUAAUAGCAUGAAAUAUUUAUUUUCUUUAGCAACAAAAUAUUCUAACUAUUUAUUAUAUUUUCUUAUCACAUAUUUUAAACUUUAUUGAAAAAAUUACUUACUAAUUUAAAGAAUAGAGGGUUAAGAGUUGUGCCAUUGAUACGGAGUUUGUAUCGUGCCGAUGUCUUAUUGGUAUGGUACGGCACGGUGGAUACGGCCCGUGCCGAUGGACACUUAAAACCUUAUUUACACUAAAAUAAAAAUAAAAUAAACUGAUAGUUAAGCGUAACUUUUUAAUACGAAAAAUCUCUACGGAGCAUCCGGGCCAAGCUACACUACUUAUGAGUGGGGGAUGGAUAUAAUUUUUUUUUUUUUCAUACUGUAGCUAAUGGCAAAAGGAGAGCUAACAUGAUUGGUAUGAUUGAUGAGGAUAGUGAAGUGUACUGAUCCGAAGAGGAUAUAAAGAGCUAUUUCUAUCAUAAAUUUAAGGAGCGCUUCAUAUAUGAAGAGAUGGCCCCGACUUCCUUUGGCGAGUGGAGCGGCUUCUUCAAAUCGUUAACGACCCCUAACCUUGCUCGACUAAUUGGACCUUUCAGUCUAGAUGAAAUAAAAACAAGCAGUUCUUCAACUCGAGAGAGAUAAGGCAUCGGGCCUCGAUAGUUUUCCGUGAGUUUCUACCAAACUUUCUGGAAUACCCUAAAGGAGAAUAUUUUGAACCUAUUCCAGAAAAUGUUUAAGGGGAGGAUGACCACCAGCCCCAUUGAUUACGCCUUCAUCUGUUUAGUCCCUAAGAAGGAAGGGGCUAAGAGCGCGAACGACUUUCGACCUAUAAACCUAUUGAAUGGGAUUCAAAAAAUUUUAUCAAAGGUUCUGGCCAACAAUCUAUAGCUGCUUAUAAACGAUCUAAUAUCUCCCUCCUAGUCGGCAUUUCUGAAUGAGAGAAAUAUCACUGAUACUUUUGCAGCACUUUGUGAACUAAUGGGUUGGGAAAGUGAGAAGGUUGUAGAAUGAGUCGGGGCAAAGGUGGACUUCGAAAAGAUGUAUGAUAAAAUCUAUUGGCAAUUCCUUUUUAGUAUUUUAGAAUGGUGGGAUUUCGACGAAAAGUGAUGUGGAUGAAUCAAACUCUGUGUGUGUUAUGCCAAGAUUGCAGUUUUGGUUAAUGGCGAGACUAUCAAAUGGAUAAAAAUGAAGAGGGGCGUGAGAUAGGGGGACUUACUCUCUCAUUUCCUCUUUCCUUUGGUGGCAGAGUGUCUUGCCCGGAUGACAAAUGAAGCAAUUACAAGUAAUCUUAUUAAAGGACUUGGACCCUUCGAUGUGACUAGGAUUACUCUUAUUUAAUUUGCGGAUGAUAUAUUUUUUUCUAUGAGGGUAAGAAAAGGUAUUUGAGAAAUCUCAAGUUCUUGUGAUACCUCUUUGAAUGGGCAUCCGGAUUGAAGGUCAACAGGAAGAAGUCAGAACUGUUCUACAAUGGACAGGCUGAAGGAAAAGCGAUAAAACUUGCGAAUAUACUUGAGUGUUGAAUAGGCAUCCUCCCUACCAAGUACCUAGGAUUGUCUCUUUCUACCGAGCCCCCUAGCUUUGAAGGAGGAUUAGAAUAGGAUCAUCUUGAAAAUAUAAAGAAAAAUUGACUGUUAGCAAACGAAACUCCUAUCAAGAGGGGGUAGAUUAAUUUUGACAAAUGCGGUUCUAACCAACCUACCUAUAUACUUCUUGUUUAUAUUCAAGGCAUCUAAAUGGAUGAUCGCGCAUACUGAGUCUUUGUAUAGAGACUUCUUCUGGAACGGAGGAAGCAACUCACCAGAUAAGGGUUGUCUGAUAGCUUGGAAGAAUGUAUGUAAGGAUAAGAAAGAAGGAGGACUUGGCAUCUUAGACUUAGCUACGAUGAAUAAGCUCUCCUGACCAAAUGGUGGUGGAAAUUCCACUGGCGCCCCAAUUACAAUGGAGCAAGAUUAUUCAUACUUUAUACUAUCAUAGAAGAAGAUCUUUAAAGAAGAAAUUUUUUUUUUAAACCUUACUCAUAUUGGUGAAAGGGAGUACUUAAUCAGAAUAAAAUCUCCAAAUAUGGUGUAUUAUACAAGUUGGGGAACACGAGUAAUAUCCAUUUUUGGUAGGACCGCUGGCGUGGAAAAACCACAUUGCAAUUGUCAAUAGCCUAGUCGCAUUCCAAGAGACCCAUUGAGCUGUCCAUCUUGCUUUUGAGUAUCCAAAAAGAAUCAAACUCUUAUUUUGUGGGGAAUACACUGGUGCUAAACUGCAACUUGGAGUAGUACUUUAAUUCUAUUAUUAUUAUAUUUUUAAGUUAACUUGAGUGCAGUUAAUGUAUUUUUAUGCUUUUUACUAUUAGUAACGGAGUCGGCACAUUAAUUUCCAUAUACAAAAAAAAUUUUAUGCGUGAGGUUGUAACGGUGAUCUCGUUACUAACUAGCAAAGAUGCUAACGCAUGCUGUAAACAUUAAUCUCAUUUUUCGCACUCUCUUUGUGUUGAUCAAAUUUAAGUUUUUGAAAAAAAAUGAUUAUUUAAUAUUUGUAACAUGAUAUCAAAGUUAGAUGUUUUUAGUCCGGAUUUUCUAAGAUUUUUAUUGUUACUUAAUUUUUUCUUCUUCAAUUUAAAUUCGUGUGUUUAAAAUUAUCAAAAACAUCUCGAUCUUAAAUAAUAAAAAAAUAUUAAAUAUAAAUAUUAAAAAUAUCUUCAUCUUGUAUGCUAGUUUAACUAUCGUCGUGCUCUGUAGCACCUUGUGGCUGGUACUGUCCCCAGUUAGAAAAGUUGCUAAUCAGUUUUAUUUUAUUCCGUGGGAAAGUGAAGGGUUUGUUUGGUUUAUUCCAAGUUUUCAAUAAUUGGCCAGAAAUUAAUGCUUGCACGCAAGCACUGUUUCAAACUCGCAUUUAUUUUUUUUUUUUUGUCGUGGAUAAAUUUUAAGCUAAAUUACAGAAGAUUCUCCGUCAAUAAUUUUUUUUUUUUUUGUUCUUUUCGGUCAUUCAAAAAUCUAUAUUUGUCCCUUUAAAAAAUAAAAAUAUUCGAUUUGACUCCCGCCGUCAAUGUUUUAUUAAGAUUCUGUUUAUAUUUUAUUUUUUAUAUUCAAAAUAUCCCUCAAACCCCCCUCCUUCCGCAUCCUCAGCCGUGCCGCCUCGCCCUCGUCCAUAUAUCUCUCCAUGCCGACACACACACCCUUGUCCGCCUCCACCGCCUCACCCUCGUCCACCUCGAGGAAGUUGAGAAAUAAUUUGGUCAUUUUGUCACAGCGUAUUUCUCUAUGAAUAUUUUUUAUUUUUUAAGAGGGUAAAGUGUAGAUUUUUGAAUGACAGAAAAAAAGUAAAAAAAAACUGAUAUUGAUAGGAAAGUUUUCUGUAAUUUAGCCUAAAUUCUAAUCUUUUUUAAUAAUUCAUCUUAUUUUUAUUUUGUUAUUCUGUUUGUGGGUAAAAAAAAUUAUAUUUAAUUAUUAUAAAAUUUAGGCCUAAAAAAUUUUACUUAACUGCUAUGUGGUUAUAAAGUUACUGUGCCAUUCUAUUUGAUAGUAGAUAUUUUGAAUAACAAUAAUGAUAAUAUCAUAAAAUAGUUAAGUGUAAUUUUUUAAAUCACAAAAUCGCAAAAUAAAAAUAUAAAUUGAAGUUUUUUUUUUUUUAAUUACAGUAUUUUUAAGUAGCUUCUAAUUGUAGGAAAAAUAAGAGCUUUAAAUUGAAACAUUUGGUGUUGACACGUGCUCCCUAAAUUAUAUAAGCAGUUCAAAGUUUCUGUAUCCACUACAGUGAAAUAUUAAAGAAAAUGUGUAAAUUGUUAUAUGCUUUUUCUCGGACAAUUGUGAUUAUAAAUAUUUUUAAGGUUUUGGAUGGGUCAAAAUAUAAAAAUAAAUACAUUUAGCCGCCGCAAUACCAAAUUAGGUUUUAGAAUAGCUUUUCAAAAACAACUCCUCUGAAAACAAAAAAAAAAACUUCUAUAUAUCAAAAGUAAAAGAAUCAUUAGAAUUUCUAAUUCUAUUACUCAAAACAUUGUUGGAUAAACGCGAACAUAGUAUAAUUUUUAAGAGUAUAAUCAUUUAAUAGUAUUUUCUUAAAAGAAAACUUAAAAUACCGCUUAUUUGGUUUCACAUUUUUUCACUUUAGUAUCCUGUGAUUUAAAGUGUAUCAAUUUAAUACCUUAUGAUUUUAUUUUUAUUUUUUUAUUAUCAAUUCUACUAAUUUUUUUUUGUUAAAUCAGUGACAAAGUUAAAACUAAAGGGUACUAAAGUGAAUAUUCGAUAAAUCUAGAUAGAGUAUCUAAAAUUUUGUAUAUAAUUUAACAAAAUAUUAAUGGAGAAGCUGACGAAAAGCUAAAAAUAAAACCAAAGUACACUAACUUAAUACACUUUAAAAUAUAGGGUAUUGAAAUGAGAAUGCAUGAAACCACAAGGGUGAUAUUUAAAAUUUACCCUUUAUUAAAUAAUACUAUACACCUUAGGAUGGCCUAGUUGUCUUGGUAGUUAUAUGCUUGCCAACGCAUAACAACUGCAGGCCAUUUGAACGUGGUAUCAAUUUCAAACAUAGUCCUCAAAAACUUCAAAAUGUUAUAUAUGCCCCUUUGAAAAUAUAAAAUUUUAUUCAUGGCCCUCUAAUAUUUGUAUAAAUCUAUCACAAAUGUCUCUCAGAAUCAUAAUUAGUUAAUUCGCGAAUUAUUCGCGAAUUAUUGAAAAUUCGAAUAAAACAAUCUGUAUACGAUUUAUUUUCAAAAAAAUAGAAUAAUACGCAAAUUUUUUGAUUAGAUUUAUUAUUCGCGAAUAAUUUGUGUACUACGAAAUAUUCGGCCAAAAAAACUCGCAAAUUUUUUGGAUAAAAUUUCUUUCCGAAUUAUUGUCGAAGUAUUGCCAAAUUAUUCACGAAUUAUUGAAAAACCUCAUGAACUUCCGAAAUAUAUGGACCAUGAAAAAGAUGAAGAUGGAGACAAUAAACUUUGCUGUUGCUUUUUUUACUUAAUCUAUUUUAUUUUGUAGCUCUCUUCUUUUUAUAUUUUUAAGAAUUAUAACUAUACAUACUAGUAGCAUAAAUCUAGAGAAAAAAAGUUUAGUUUAAUAGCAGAAUUUUUGAUCCCGAAUUGUUAAUCGGUGAAUGUAUAAUAUCCGUAUAAAUCGAGUAUCCGAAUGAUUGGUGAAUCCAUUUUUUAAGCCGUAUUUUUCAACGAAUUUAAAAAUUGAGAUAUGAAUUUUAUUCGAAUUAUAUCCGUUUCGAAUUUUUGCUGAAUCCGAAUUAACUAAUUAUUCUCUGAACUCCAAACCCAAAGCCUAAACCCUAAACCCUAAACCCUAAACCCUUUAUUAAUAUUUAUAAGGUAAAAAUUUACAUAACUUAUCUGAACUAGAAUUAUUUUGAAUUAGCUACCCAAUCUUUCGAAAUUUUGUUAUUUUACUAUCCAAUAUUUCAAUUUGUUUAAUUUGAAUACUCAACAACACUUUGUUUUUAAAAUUUGAAUGUGUCGUUUAUUUUUAUAUAUUUAAUUAGUAUGCUUUACACAAUUCUCAUAAUUAUAAAUUAUUAAAAUAGGUACUUAACUUAAAUUUUAAAAUUAAAGUACCAUUGAUUGGCUCAAAUUAAACAAGUGAAAGAUUGGAUAGUAAAAUUAAAAUUUUUAAAAAAUUAGACAAUCAAAUCAAAAUGAUCCACAAUUCAUGUAAGUUAUGUACGUUUACAAGCGUUCAAAGUUCAAAUAUCUGCAGUGGGACCGACCAUCAAGUGAUAAAGAGCUAACUAGUUGGUAGCCAAGGGUAGGGAUGUCAACGGUUUGGAUUCGGGGCGGAUUUCCAAAAAUUCGAACCCGAACCCGACUCCAAACUUGAAAAUCGAACCCGAACCCAAGCCCGAACUAGACAGAUUUUAAAAAUCCAUAUUCAAACCAGAACCCGACAAAAAAUCCGAAGCCCGAACCCGAACCCGAAUCCGAACCCGAAAAUUUGACCCAAAACAAUUAUUUCUCUUUUAAAUAUUUCAAAAUAUAUUAUAUUAAAUCUAAAUUUUUAUAAUACAAAUUUAAAUAUAACAUCAAAUUUUUAUAUACAUAUUAUAUAUAAUGUAAAAUAAAUUCGGAUUCAGGUCAGGUUCGGAUUCAAGUCGGGUACAGUCAAAAUCCAUAUCUGUAUCUACAUCUGUCGGGUUUUUAUUUUUGAUAUACAUAUCCGAAAUUAUAUCCAUUUAGCAUCGGAUAAUUCCGCUCCGUUCGAAUUCGGAUUCAGUUACAUAUAAAAAUAUUUAAACACCGUUUUUUAACACCUUAACUUUUAGAGUACAACGAUUAUUUUACAUGGUAUCAGAGCUGGAGGUCCUGAGUUCGAGUCACGCCAGGCUCCUAGUAUGUUAAUUUCCUCCCAUUUAAUUCAAGUCCACGUAAUGGGACGUAAGGGGGGGUGUUAAAUAUAAAAAUGUUUAAAUACCGUUUUCUAACAGUUUAAGUUUUUAGAGUACAACGGUUAUUUGGGCCAAAUUUGGAAGUGAAGUUGCUCUACAUUUUUAGCAAAAUAUAUGUUUUAAAUAAAUUUUCAGUGGGGGAGACACUAUGAUCAAGUACAAUGAUCUAAAAAUAGGAACAAGGAUGAUAGAGCAGGACCAUCCUCUUUAUUGUCUCAGCGGCGGAUCACUACGACAACAGUACAAGUAGGAUAGAGCAGGGCCCUCCUCUUUAUUGUCUCGUGGGCCCAACGCUCCCAUGUGGGCCCAAUGAUAACGCGCCUAAUUUUUUUUUUAAAAACAAAUAUUAUUAAUUAAUAGAAGAUUCCGAUUAUGAUGUUUCCAAAAGCACCUUUCACCUUGUGCGUAUUAAUAAUAAUAAUAUUAUUAUUAUUAUUAUCUCAGAAGAACCCCUAAAUUCUACGGAGUUCAUUAUCAUUCCAAUCCUAAAAAGUCAAAAAUACCUAACUCUUUGAUAGUUUCGAGUGUACAGUAACUCUAUGUAUUAAUAGAGUAAUUUUCAAAGAACAUUAAAAUAAUAUUUUUACCGUCACAAAUAUGCUCAUUCAAAUUUUUUUUCUAAUUGUUGGAAUUAUAUAGAUAUUUCAUUUCAGAAAUUUCCAACAGUCAUUUUCUUUUUUUUUAUCAUCACAAAUAAUAUAAGAGAGAUAAAAAAAUCAAUUUAUUUCAUUCAAUAAUUAGGAUUAAGUAUUUUACCUAAUAAUUAACUAUAUUCUUUAGGGUAUAUUUGAAAAUAUUAGAUUUUUUUAAAAAAUAAAUAUAAAAAAAUAAAUUUUGUAAACAUAUAUCUGGUAUUCGAUAUAUUUGUAAGGACCAUUAUGCAAUUAACCUAAAAAAAAUAUGGUGUGUCGUGAUAAACCGUAAAAGAGUAUCCGCGAGUAACCCCACCGCAUUCUCCUCGACGCUUCGUUCUCCCCAUGGUGCGCGACUUUUAACGUACUCCCACUCCCCGGUCUCAGUUUCCACUCUGCGAGUUCUCUCUCUCUCUCUCUCUCUCUCUCUCUCUCUCUCACUCUCCAUCGAUCUCGGAUCUCCUCACCGACCUUCUCUCGAUUCGCCAUGGAUUCGCUUCUUCUCCGGCCAUCUCCCCUCCCUCCGCGGCCCUUCGCCGCCGCCGCCGCCGCCUCUCGGCGAGGUACGCGCUCCCCACUCGAUUCGAGCUCUUGAUGGGUUGCAUGAGGGAAGAUGCCUCUGAAUCGAGCUGAUUGAUCUACUAUCUAGGGUUUAGAGCGUCAAAGUAGUUGAAUCGCGAUUAAUUUUAUGGCAUUGAUCUUAGGAUUGCUAGUUUUCUCCUUGUCUAGGGCGAGAGUGUGAGUAUGUGGUGAAUGAAUAGCCUUGGAUUGAGUUCUGGAGUUCCGGAUCGUAAGUAUAAGAAGCUAUGUAUCAAGAUACUUCUAUAAGCCUCGCGUGUCCAGUGUGGACACUUUUUGGAUACGUGUUCAAUGCUGAUCCAUAGCUCAGACAAUUAAGAAAACAUAUACAUAUUUUUAUUUUAUUUUAUAUAUGCAUAUAUAAUGAUGAUAAAUAUGAUGGAUGCAUACAAUUUAUUUUUGACAAUGUAAAUAAAUUAUGUAUGGUGGAGAAUUUUUUUUAAAAAAAUAUAUGAACUAUAAUGAAAAUUUUACUAACAUUCAUUCGUAUAAGAUAACAAUAUUUUUUCAAAAUUGAUAAUUUAUAUAUAAUAUAUAUAUAUAUAUUAAUAAUAUUAUAUUUUAUUAGCGGUAUUCAUGCCGUGUUCGUGUCCUAAUUUUUUAAAAACUAUCGAGUCACCGUGUCCGAGUCGUGUCGCAUCCCGUAUCCCGUGUCAGUGUCUUUGUCAUCUAGAUAAGAAACGAUUGGUAGAUAAGUUUCAUAUUAUCCUGCUUCUUCCUUUUCUUUUAUUAGAUAUGUUGAGAGAGAUAAGCUUUUGUGAUUUGAGUAUGACGACGUGUCUAAAUGAGCGAUUAGCACAGCAAUUUAUGGACACUUGCGUGAGUGUUUAACUUAAGAGAAUGUGUUCUUAUUAUUAUUAUCAUUUUUCCCAACAGCUUUGUAUGCUAAAUUACAGAAAUCUGCAACUGAAGCUAUUCCCCUGUCUCAAUUUUCUCAAAAUUUGAUCACAUUUUUGACAAAGGAAAAUGUGAGGUAAACACCUUGACAAAUUAACAUUGGUAACUGAGGCAGCAGGACAAGUGUAAGAUGGUCUUUGUGAUGUAAUUCAGAAAAUCAAUUAAUGUGGGUUACUUUAGCUUCAAGUUAGAAAGGAACUUGGUAAAAAAGCUCACGUAUACAAGAAGUUGGGUGUUCAACAGUCUUCGAAGGAAGAUUGAGGUUAACUUGCCGUGCUAUAAUAAGAAAUUUAAUAAGAAGUUAUAAGGUACAAAUGUAAUUGUUCAGUUUAGACAAUUUUUAGCUCCUAGAAGAAAUCUUUUUUACUUUCUAAUGAAACUCCUUUGCUUCAUUUGUUUGGUUUCACCUUUUGCAAGUCAUAUUCAUGUCCUCUAGAUUGACGAGCUUGCUUGUUGAGUAGCUAACAGAGUCUUGGUUUUUUUUUUUUGUGGGGGUAUAUUUCUCAGAUUCUCGGGUACCAAUACUUUAUUCUACUGGCCGAGCAUGUAAUGGCCCCUCUGUAUGGUUCAGUAGAAGAGUUCAAGAGCCCCUCAGAGACCAUUAUUUCAGACAUAUUGAUGGAAAAUCUACAUGUAGUGGGAGAACUCGUGAAUCGACCACUGUGCAUGCCUCAGGGAAGCCUUUAGAACCUGGACAUGAAGCAUAUGAUUCCUCGAGCAUCUGGCGACCAAUGUUAUCUUCCCUAAAUGCUUUUUACAGAUUUUCACGGCCACAUACAGUUAUAGGAACAGUUAAGUGGUACUCUUGUAGGAUUUUAAGUUAAAAGUUGUUGUACGGUUAUAGUACUUUCCCAGAUCUCAAGAUUUUUAUCAAUAAAAUUAUAUUUUUCACUUGUCAUCGACAGUUCUAAGAAGUGCUUUAUGUCUGAGCAGGCUCUGAGUAUAGUCUCUGUUUCCCUAUUGGCUGUUGAGAACUUGUCUGAUAUCUCUCCCUUGUUUCUGACUGGGCUGUUGGAGGUAACGAGUCUCAUUUUUUGAAAAUUUUAACCAACUUUCAUGGAACUAAAUGUUUUUGUACUUUCAGGCACUUGUGGCUGCACUCUUCAUGAAUGUUUACAUUGUCGGACUAAAUCAAGUGUAUGACAUUGAAAUAGACAAGGUAUCCCUCUAUAACCAGUCUUGGAAUACCCUCGUUCUUUGCCCUGCUCUAAAAUGAUUUAGUAGGAUGUUAUCUAUUUAAAUACAACAAUUUCGUGAUCUGCAUCAAUGCAUCAUUCAGAAUGCAUGCAUCCUGGUGCCUAAAGUUUUCUUCUGGAACUCAUUUUGAAAUUUAAUCCCAUCAUUUCAGGUCAAUAAGCCAACUCUUCCACUGGCUUCGGGGGAAUAUUCUCUGUUGACUGGGGUUGUGAUCGUUUCAACUUUUGCAGUUUUGGUAAGUAAGACUGUUUAAGUUGUCAGAAUAGUUUGGAGAACCGUAUUUGCUAUCUAUUGCUUUGCAUAGAGCAUGCAAUACAUGGGAUUGAUGCUACAAGUAGUUUAGUAUGUUAGAAGUAGUCUAGUUUUUUUUAUGUCUAUUUUAGUGCUUAGAAUCUCACUUCAUAAAUGCUUGUGCACCCAAUUUCAGAGGUUUCAUUCAUACUAAGUACUGCUUCGUGCCAAAGAUGAUGUUGAUGCUAAUCUAUAGAAUACAUCAAUUGGCGGUUGGGUCACAUCAAGAAAAUGGGUCCUUAGCGAGCCAUGUUGCCAAUUAAGGCAUAAACCGAUGGGAGCUGACGCGCCCAUUGCACUGUAAACCGGCUAUAAAAUAUGCAUCAAAGAUAAAUUUUUGUAGUACAAUAAAUUAUUAAAUUAUUUGUUAUUACAUAUUAUUAUAUUUUAUUUUAUUUUAUAGUACUAAUUAUUAGGUAUUUUAUCAAUCACCUAAUAUAUUGUGCGGUGUAUGGACAUUAGUUUACACAGGUGCAAGCGAGAUUUCUUCUCUCUCUUGGAAUUAUGAGUGCACUCUAUUAAGCAUUCUCUGCAUCGGGUGUAUAUUGUACAUAUACCACAUACUUAAAACCCUUUAAUAGAGAUUUCAAAAUCUAAUUUACUAAACAGAAUUAAUUAUUAGGCUUUGUAGAUCAAAUAUAUUUAGUUAAGUUUUAAUAUUAGAAUAUUUGUAAUCUAAUAUAAGGUUCGGUGUACGGAGUGUUAAUAUACACAAGGUGCAUGUAAUAGUUUCUUCUUGCUCCGAUCAAUUUUAAUAAGGUAAAGACACCCUCACCUAUUCAACAAUUUGAAAUAAGUCCUCCAACUUUAACUUUUUAGUUAAAAAAUUAUUUAUAGAAUAACUAUCAAAACUAUUUAGUUUGAUUGAGUUUUUAAAUAAAGUUAUUACAAUAAUUUAACUCUACAAAUACUGAAAGUUAAGGUUAUUUUUUAUAAUGGCUACUUUAUAGAUUUUUUUUUUUUUUUGUAUUUCUUUGGUUACAAUUUAUUUAAUCUUAAAAUAAAAUUAUAUAUCUUAAUUAACUGAAAUACUACCUACCCGCCUCAAAACACACGGCCAACACUAGUUAGUGUUAUUUUGCCACUUACAAUGUCGUACAAUUAAAUACCAGCACCAAACAGAUGUUAAAUUUCCUCACUGAAAAUUAAUCUUGAUGCUGGUAUUUUCACUUGACAACGUUUGAAAUGGUUUAUUUUGUGUCAUGGUUGCCGCUUUUGGCUAGGAUUUCAGUCCAACAUAACAUUUUGAUAAUACAGCUGCUUUGUAGCUUACUCAUGCAUACAACAUUAUGGAAUUGUCAAAUGAUGCAACAUUGUUGCUGUUUAGGGGCUUUCACUUUCUAAGCUUUACUAUGAAUGUAUAUACAGUUAUCUUCAGCUUUAUGAUACUUAUGGCACGUCUUGUAAAUGUUUGUCUCAAUUUAGAGCACCUAUCAUAUACCACUUCUGUCAUUGGAACUACCAAAAUUUUUGACCUCUAUCAUAUACAAAUAUCUUAUUUCAAAUGAGACGAAAGCAACUUCUCAUUACGACUUGUAUUGCUAACGAAGAUGUAAAGAUCAGUGUGCCGUGAUUAAAAUUUCCUUUACCAACAUGUAAAUCAAAAUAUCUGAAUAUUGGUUAGAACAGAAUUGUUAAUCACGAGCUUUUCAUUCAGAGCUUUGGUGUUGGAUGGGCUGUCGGUUCUUGGCCAUUAUUUUGGGCUCUGUUCGUUAGCUUUGUACUUGGAACCGCAUACUCUAUCAAUGUAAGCAUUAUCCUUUUCUGCCUAAUUUACUCUAUUUUCUUCCAGUUGAUUUUUCAGAGUUUCACGACUGCUCAAUAUGCAUGCAAAUAAUGGAGGUUUUUUGACAAUGCAUCUGUGGAUUUGUUUUGAACUUCUUGUCAAUCAUAUUUUUUUAAAGGUAGAGAGAAAACAUUUCUUCUUUCAGUUGGGAAGUUUAGGCCUUUUUUACAUUUUAUCUUCUUCGCCUAUAUGAUAUUUGCCAGGUAUUUUAAUCCUGAAGCAAAAGAUAAAAAAGUUCCAUAGAUAAUAUGAGAUCGGCAGAUAAUUAGCUUGAUUUUGUUAAUUCUAAAACAAUGAAAUAAGUGAGCUAUUAUAACAGGCCAUUCCUAUUUGUUGCUCCCUUGCUUGCUUCCAGUUUGGACAAGGUAGUACCACACUGCAUUUAUUUAUUUGUAAAGGAUCCAUUCAAUUUAGAGUGCAAUUCAUGGGUGACCCAAAUUGAAGGUUAGUUAAAGCACUUCACACCCACCUUAGGGCUCUCUGUAAGCUAGCUAGAACUGAAGUGAAACUUAGUUACGCAGGAUAUUAACAAAACUAAAGAUGAUAUAUCUAAUCGAAAUUAAAAGCAUUUAUCUUGAUCUUGGCAUAAAAAAUAUCACCCACACACUCAUUAUCCAAUAAUAAGUUAGAGCAAAUAUAAAAAUAAAAGCAGUAUACAUGUUCUUUGUACCCUGAUGGCUUUUAAACUCGGAUACUUACAGAUCCCCUUUUUAAGAUGGAAGAGAUUUGCUGUUAUUGCAGCACUCUGCAUAUUGGCAGUGCGUGCAGUGAUAGUUCAGCUGGCUUUUUUUUUGCACAUUCAGGUAUAUCUUUCUAUAGCAACAUGGUAUAAGUUAUUUGAAUGCUCAAAAUGUCAUGUUUUCUGUGCUAAUAGUGCUAGGUGUUUUAUGUUGAUAAAUUUUCCAGACAUUUGUUUUCAGAAGACCAGCUAACUUUUCAAGGCCGUUGAUUUUUGCUACAGCGUUUAUGAGCUUCUUUUCUGUUGUUAUAGCAUUAUUCAAGGUAACCAUCAUGAUGGCAAUUCUAUUAUGUUCAUAUGUUCAAAUCUGCUUGGAGAUUCUAGUGUUGUGUGUGUGUGUGUGUGUGUGUGUGUGUGUGUGUGUGUGUGUACACACUAAAAAUAUAUUAAUCUUAAAGUUGAUCGUUAUGCAGGAUAUUCCUGAUAUUGAAGGGGACCGCAUAUUUGGCAUUCGGUCUUUCAGUGUCCGUCUGGGGCAAAAGCGGGUCGGUCAAAAUUAAUAAAACUUAUGACCCUGAUUGAAAUGACUGAAAAAUCUUCUUCAAAUUGCUAAUAACUGUGCAUUAAAGCAGGUGUUUUGGAUUUGUGUUUAUCUGCUUGAGAUGGCUUAUACUGUUGCCAUGGUGAUUGGGGCUACUUCUUCCUGCCUUUGGAGCAAAGUCAUAACUGUAUGUGGCCUUUUAUGUCGUUGAUUGUAGAUUUAAUUUACCUUACAUGAGCUUUUGCAAAAGUGCUGCUGAGUGAAGCUGUUUUAAGUAGAUAUCUUCCACAACCCUUCUCUCUGUAGCAGAAGCAGUUGCUUCAACUUGUAGCUUUUGCUAUUGGUCUGAAAGCUCAUAUCAAAUUUCUGGUACAAUGAAAUCUCUAGACUUUGUUUUUACCAAAUGUGCAGCUGCUGCUUUUCUGAGUAGAUUAUCUGUCUCAGAAGCCAGGUCAAAUGAUCACUCUAGGAUGAUUGUAUGCAUGACACCGAAUUCAUUUAUAAUGGACCAGACAUGAUUUUCUCAUGCAUCUUUUCUCUUAUUAUUUUAUUGUUAACAUAAAUGAAGGUCUAAAUGUUAUUUGUUAAUUAUGCUUUUGAUAAAAGUACUUUCUAUUGGAUUUUCAGGUUUCAGGCCAUGCUAUCCUUGCUUCGAUCCUUUGGAAGCGUGCAGGAUCUCUCGACUUGAUGAGCAAAGCUGCAAUAACAUCCUUUUAUAUGUUUAUUUGGAAGGUAAUCAGUAAUUUCUGUGCUUAUACGGUGAACUAAAGUUAGCUCCAUCUAAUUAUUAAUUUUAGACUCAUCCCUCUACUCGAGACUAUUUCAGACCCUUGUCAAAUGAAAUCAGGCAAAAUACGAAAAUUUCCUUGCACAUUUUGUCCCUUUAUUUUAUACAGUCAAAUUUUAACCCCUUUCUUUUUUUGCCCUCUUUGUAUUCACAGCUCUUUUAUGCCGAAUACUUGCUCAUUCCUCUUGUGAGAUGAAGACAUAUGGAGUCAGAUUAAGUGUGCUGUUGCAGUCGCAAGGGAUUCUUUUCUGAAACCCCCAAAUUAUCUUCUACUUUGCUUCUCCAAAUCUUUGCUUCCUGGCCAAGCUGCUUCUAGAAUCUGUCAUCUUCAACCUGUCCCACCACAAGAGCCAAUAUCUUAAGGUAAGUUGUAUAAUUUGUAUAUUAUUGGAGGAGUGCUUCGCAUGAUCCUAUAUUCCAUCACUCAGUGCGUUUCAAUAGGUCGCAGAUUAGAUGGAAAUUUAUUCGUAAUGAAUAGGAUAUUUCUGUACAUAUUAUUUGACACUGAUUGGUUAGUCUAAACAUGCUAACUUUUCUAGCUAUCCUUUGAUGGAUAGCUAGAAAAGUUACUUAUUUUCUUUAGGAUUUUUUUUGGAUAUUAGUAUUAAAAACAUGCAACAUACUCUUGGAUGUGCAACGGAUCAAAUGCUCUCAGAUGAGAUGUCAUUGGGGAUCUCUCCAGGGAAGUUUUCUCUAUUCUUGAGGGCCCGUGACUUCAAUUUAUUUUGGGCUGAAUUAAGUUUGAGCCCAGAACACGUCCACUUAUUGCAUAAUCUGUGGGUCAAACUGGGUCUUUUUUAAAAAAAACAGUAAAAGCCCGUAGACCAAACUGGGCCCGUUACGUAGCAAAUCUCAUUACUAUAAGGGCUUGUUUGGUUCAUCCAUUUUGGGUAUUGAAUGGGAAUCGGUUUGAUCAAAUGCAGUUAAUUUUGUUUGGUUCGCAUGAAUCGGUUUGGGAUUCCUAUUCCGGACUGGAAUGGGAAUGGCCUAUUAGCUUUCAACUUGAUUCCGGUCUUCUAGCUCGGAUUGAGAUUUCAUUCCGAAAGUCCACUAAAUUUUCGAAGCCCAUGUGACCAUCUCGCCUUCCUUCUCUUCACCCCUUUCUCAUAAAAAAAAAAAAAUCUAUCAUCUCUCAAAACCCUAUUCCUAACUCACAUCAAUAAAAGUUUUUAAAAAUAAAUUUGAUUUUUUUUUUGGAAAACUUAUUAGAGAAUAGUAUUAUAUUUUUCAUAAAUUUUAAAUAAUAUAAAUUUAUAUUUGAGAGUAAAAUUAGUAUUAUUGUAUCCUAUAAUUUUUUUAGUUUAUACGAACCAAAUAAUGAAAUGUGAAUAACUCAUUCCAAUUUCCAAUCCACAAAUAAACCAAACGUCUUGGGGGAGUGAGCCAUUCCAAUUACCAUUCCAAUUCAUUCUCAUUCCAUUAUCCAUUCCAAUUUUCCCCUUGAACCAAACAAGUCCUAAAAGUUUCAAGCGUGUUUGGUUGUGUGGUUUCCUAUUCGAUACUGAAAAUAUCUUUAAUAAUGAGCAUUUUCGUUCAUUUAUUUUAUUUUAUAUAUGUUUUUUGAUGUAUGAUAGUGAUUUGUUGGUAUAAUUUUAGCUCAUAAUAGGCUUUAUAUUUUUCUCUAGUCACUAGAAACUAAUAAUUAAUAGUUGUAUAUAUUCUCGGGCACAAACUUUGGAGCCUAGGUCACACUGCAAACUACAGAAACUGGGAACCAAAAAAAUAUUGUAAAUAGGAAAAAAGCAUAGAAAAUGUAAUCAGUUAAUCUAACUGAUGUUUAGGCUUCGUUUAGAAUCGCAAUGUGCACUUGUUGCGUUUGAUAGAAAAUUAUCGUAAGAAAAUAUUUUAUUAUUUUUGUAAGAAAUAAUUGUCACUUUUGUGCGGGGAAAAAAAAUUAGAAGUAGCAUAAUUUUACAAUUUUUUUUUAGUGCAAUAACGUUAAGCUGUUUUCCAUAAUCAAUGGGUUAUAAAUGAAAACUAGUGACACAAUUUUUAUAAAAAGGAUACCUCCUAGCCUUAAAACUAAGAGAUUUUUAAAACUACCAGUUUUUCAAAACUGGACCAUGAAAUCCAUCCGCGACUAGGGGUGUAAUGUGUGCCGUACCACAUUCGCACGGGCCGGAGGCUAGCCUGGCAUGGUCCGGCCCCAAAGUCGAGCCGUGCUGUGUCGGGCCGAAUAUCUUGACCUCUCGGCCCAGCACGCCCCCUCGGCUAGCACGGGACCGGUCGUGUGGGGCCGAGCUUUGAGCCAGCCCAUUUUUUAUUUAUUUAAUUUAUUUUUAAAAUAUAUUAAAUUUUAGAAAAUUAAAAUUUUAGAAAACCACGUGGGUGGCCUGCGGGCCGCCCAUCCCGUUUUACACCCCUGACCACAACUACAGAAUAACAAAGCAAGGCAAGACGAUUGGGAUGGCUGGUUGAAAGUUUUCCAAGGUAAAUUUGAUUUGGAAUCUAUGAUUAAUUAACCAUAUCUUGUGCAUUCUUUAUUUUAACUUUUGAAAGAGGUAAAAAAAAAAUAAAAAAAAAAAAAAGGAGUAUAAAAGGGAAGGGUGACCUAUUAGGUUUGGGUUUAGUUGUGUUACUGGGAGGAGUAGGGACGCAAAUGGAUCCAGGUUGAUGGAGCUUCCGUUCAUAAUGGGGACAGUAAGUGGAGGCCUUACUCAUUUUGAAUUCUAUCCUGAUUUGGUGUAAAAAAAAAAAUAGAGAGUGAGAGGUGAAAGACUCAUUUCUUCCCUUUUUUUUCCGUCCUAUUCGAUGUAAUUUUAUUAAAAACUUGUUCUUGUUUCAAUCCGUCCUGAUGGAAUAAUAAGUGGGGAUAAAAAAAUAGAGAUAAAAAGUAAAAAAUCAAUUCGUUCCGAAUUUAUUCGGAUUCACCAAAAAAAAAAAAGGUGGGAGGUGGGGGACCGCUAGGAUCCGUCAAGUUUGCAUCCUUAGGGAGGACUCGGCUUGAGAUACAAGAUUUCAAGCUCCCGAUUCUCAAACACCCCACAGACACACACAAAAGAAAAAGAGAAAGAGUUUUUUUUUUUUUUUUAUUUCUUUUUUUUGGAGAGAGAGAGAGAGAGAUAGGUAGCACGCUAUCUGUUUCGUUUAUUCAUUUCAUUUAGAAAUAAACUUAGCUAGAAAUAUAAUAUAAAUCAACUGAGUUCGAAUUUGAGAUCUCGGAUAUCAACUAUCAAAUUUUUUACCAUACAUCUUAAAAGUCACAUCUUAUUAAACUUUUCAGAUUCAAGUAAGUUUGGGUAAAUGAAUUUGUUCAUUGCUUUCCUCAAUGCGCUUAGUAAUUCCUAGAAAUCAAAAUGAUGGAGAGAGAGAGAGAGAGAGAGAGAGAGAGAGAGGUCAGGUACUGUAGCUUUGCAGAAGGAAUCCUAAGUGUGCUCUGCAAAAGAAUCGAUCCUUCUUUAUUUCCUCACAAGAGUCGUAUGACCCCCUCACUUGUUCCCCUCUCUCUCUCUCUCUCUCUCUCUCUCUCUCUAAAUCCUGAUCCUGUUCUCACAAUCGAAGACAUAACGUGCAACAAACAUCUUAAAACUCUCUCUCUCUCUCUCUCUCUCUCUCUCUCUCUCUCUCUCUCUCUAUUCAUUUAUGUACAACUUAGUAGCAAUCUUGUUGCUUAGUGGUCCCUAUAAUAAAGCAUGUGAUAUGCACACAAUGGCACCCACAACUCCCCAAGAUCCAUCCCCGAUCUCAUGCAGUGUUCAUAGCCUUAAAUACCAACCAACUCAGUUAAAGAACACUCUGUUAAAUUGCAUGCCCCCUUUUAUUGCCAUUUAUUAACUGUACAAACUCACUCAUCAGCUCCAUUCUAUUCUCCAAUCACUAACUCGCAUUGCUCGAUCGCACUCAAUUGUCGAUAUCUCGCCUGUACUGGUUCGCGAUACUAGGAAGUAGCAUGCAGCUCACUUAAUUUCGACAUCGUAAGAGGAAAACGGAUCGAAUGGUAGGUCGAAAAUAUGAAAAAACUUGUGCCUACUCUAGAUUACACCAAACUUGUUCCAAAAAAGCUACUAACAAUGAUAAACUGUGCUAUGAUCAAACACAAAGAGUUAUAUAUUAAUUGCCUCCUUAAUUAAAUUCCUUUUAAGCCUAUACAUGGUGAACUCUCUUGAAGGAUAUAUGCAGCGCCCCACUCUUGUAUAAAUGAGUGGACCAUGAAUGUACUAAGCUAUAGAUAUCGCCGAUCUCGUAGACGAAUCGAUUUCUCGCAUCCGUCAACCCACAUUUGAACCGAUAUCUUUGAAUUGAUGAUAUCAAACUUCAAUGAUUUUUUCUCUUUUUCCUUUUUUUGGUUUUUACUCCCAAUAUCAUACUCAGUUACUGUAGGCUUUCAAUUAUUUCAAAAGAUAUAGAUUCACUAGUUAAUGACUAAUGUAAAAAUCAUGUUUGCUACAUGCAUAUAUAUAUAUUGAAUUGUUAAAUUCUUUUUGAUGUUAGGAAACAUUGGAGCUAGUUCCUCAAAAAAUUUAAAUGAUAAAUUUGCACCAUAUUACUACUCUAGUUAAUUUUGCGUAUCGGUGCACUAUAUUAUGGAGGGUGAUAUGAAGGACAAUGAUUAGCCUCAAGUACUUAAAUUUGAUAUUAAAAAGCUUAUUUGAGUAAAUUAAGUUUAUAUUGCAAAUAAAUCUAUGUACUUCAAUGUAAUCCAGUGGAAAAACAAUAUAAUACUUUAGUACUCUUAGGUGUUAGUUGCUAUAUUUUUCUAUCUUGCUUCAUAAAAAGAAAUGUGAUCCAAGAUGAUCGAUUUGUAACCUAUCCCUUUAAUUAACCAAGUUAUACAUAUAUAUGUAAUGAAGUUGAAUUUGCGGGAUUCGCAAACAUACUUUAAGGUUUCAUAAGUCCACAAGUUUUAAAUCUUGCGCAAUUAAUGCAUCAUAGAUAAAUUGAGUAUAGUAAUUAUAUGUGCAUACAUUUUGAAAUAUCAAAAUUAUACAGUUCUAAGAGAACUGUUUACCAUUAAUAAAUAAGUGUGACCACUUAUAAGAUCAUAAGAGAGGCGCACCGAUAAAUUUUGGCGUAUGUGAAACAUGCAUAUUGCGCAAAAUCAACACAUGUUCAUAGAAUAUUGAAUAGAUUAUGUGUGGAGUGGAAUUAAUUAACCUGCGUAAAAAGUUAAACCACUUUUGCGAGAACUCGGGGACUCAUAUUCUAUAUCCACAAAAUUGAGGGACAAGCAUGUAAAACCACUCUUGAGUUGGAUUUACUAAUUCACGUUGGUUGCAUGCAUGGCCUCAGCAGCAAGAGAGUGUAAGUUCCACAAUCUACUUCAAUAUCUUCACAUUUAUUGAGAAACUAACUAUUAUAUAUAUACACAUAUAAAUCUUCUUCUUUUUUUUCCUUUUUUUUUUUUUUUUUAAUAUUCUCUCUGCUAUAGUCUCAGAUACGCAGUAACAAAAAGAAUGAGUUAAAAUCAAAGAAUAUUAUCUGGUAGUAGUAAAUUAUGGGCUUGCUUUGGAAGAUACAACUCUCUGAGCCCCAAAACUACUCACGUGUUGCUUGAGUUCAACUGUAUUUGUAGCAGAUCACUGAAACAACUAGAGUGUCAGUUCCCAUUCUUCUUAUAAUUUUAGUUUGGUUAUUCACCUACAUGAAGGGUAUAAAAUAACUGUAACUGCAUAAUCAGAGCAUAUAUGCCAGUUAAAAAAUGUUACUGGUACCUCAAAAUGUGCCACAAAGUGUAGGAUGAGUUUUUAUUCCAAUGUUUUCCGUAUAUAGGAAUUUUCGAAUCGACGAUCGGCUCUGUUAGACUUGAUCUAGGGUAUUUGAAGUUUUUAUAAAAUAAUUUUUGCGAUUUUUUGAUGUUAUUUACCUAGUGAUCGAAAGGAUUCAAAAUUAAUAAUUUUUAAUGGUUGAUAUCUGCCGUUUUCAAGUUUAACGGUAUAGAAAUAUUCAAAUCAGAUGAAAUUUUGAUACAAAAUUCUUUAUACUAUCUACAACAAGAUCAAUAUUUCUAAUCGAAAAUUUUAAUGCUAUAUCACCACUUUUUAUAGGAUUUUUAUUUUCAGCCGUUAAAAAUUAUUAAUUUUGAAUCCUUUCAAUUGCUAAGUAAAUGAUAUUGAAAAAUUGCAAAAAUUAUUUUUUAGAAACUUCAAAUACGUUAGAUCAAGUCUAACGGAGCGAUCGUCGAUUCGGAAAUUCUAUCAUCUAAAACGGCUCAAGAGCAUGAAGGCCUCCGUGCUCCUGAGAGUACAGCAGUCCUGUUAUAUAUAUAUAUAUAUAUAUAUAUAUAUAUAUAUAUAUAUAUAAUAUUAUAUAUAUAUAUAUAUAUAUAUAGAAUUAGGCUAGAAUGCUAUUAAUAGUAAAACGCUCUUUUUGCUAUCAAGUUUUUAACCCUUGGAUGAAAAAUUAUAGGGUCAGGAUGAUAUUAGUCGGUUAGAGUUGAGUGGUCCCCCUAGGGUUGAGUGGUCCCCACUGGGUUAUAGUAUUUAAUCCAAUGGUUAAAAAUAAUAAAAAGAGUUGAUCCAAAGGCUAAAAAACUAGUAGCAACAAUGGGAUUUUGCUACUAAUAGUAGCCCAGUCCAACUCUAUAUAUAUAUAUAUAUAUAUAUAUAUAUAUAUAUAUAUAUAUACACAUCCAACUUACUUAGAGCUGCAUUUGAAAUCUGACUUAUCAACUGUGCUUUGCGAUACCUCAGGAGUCAACUUACUUAGAGCUGCAUUUGAAAUCUGACUUAUCAACUGUGCUUUGCGAUACCUCAGGAGUCAGGAGCUAUCGUAUCCAAAUCAUUUUUUUUGAGAUCGACAUCUUAAGAGAGCAUGUGUUCUUAAAUUUUUGCAUGAAAAGUCAAAGUAGUUGACACAGUUGAUCAAUACGAAAAUAACACAAUCUACCACACUAUAUUUACUACUCUCGAAAGUCCACAAUGUAUUAAGAAAAUCAAGCAAUUUCAAAAGGUUUAAUUAAUUUCAGGUUGAUUAUCUAGACAUUUAAUACUGUCCAACCAUCGCAAACUUACCGUACUUAUGCGGAUCGAUAGGCUUAAUUGCUGCAAAUAAACAAAUACCGUACAAUAUAUUUCAUGUCCGUGAUGUAUUUUUUCUUUUAUGUAGCUUUAAUGCUUCGAGAAUUAAUCAUGAAAUAAGCCUGCUACAAGCUAGGCCAACUAAUUCCGACAAGCGAAAAAAUAAAAUAAAAAAUCUAUACUAUCUCUAUCUCUUGUACAAUUGUCAAAGAUUAAUGGUUAGGUAUAUAUAAUUGUUGUAGGAAAUUAAUCAGCAUUUAAUAACUAUUUCUUUUUUUAUUUUUUACAUGCCAAAUUGGUGUAAUUAACACUACAAUAUUAUAAAUAGCUACUAAUGCCACAUAUAUUUGUUUUUUCCUUUUUCCAGUGAAAUUUGACUUGUGUUUUUUCUUGUAUUUAGCAUAUAUAGAAGUUAGUUGUAAUAAAAUUUAAGAACGAUGGGAGGAGCAUAAUUUAAGACCAUUAAAUAACUCCCGUUCCUUCAUAUGCUAAAUUUGUCUAUGUUUUUUACUACAAUGGAAGCAAUCAAUGCCCACAGAGAAUAUAUAUAAUCAUAAUACAUACUACAAUGCUAUAUCUAUUUCCUUUUUUUCCCUGAAAUUUUCCUUGUGGUACAUAUAUAUAUAUAUUUAUUUAUUUAUUUAUUUUAGCAUGUUAGUUAUGUCAUUUACUUUGGAAAAGAAUGGAAUAUCCAGAUCAUAUAUAUAUAUGGUGGCAGUGUAGAUUCCAUGAAGUAUAUUUAUUGUGGCUGCGACAGUAACUGUAUAUGAAAUUGGUUGGUUCUUUGCAGGAUUUGCUAGAUAUUGUUUCUGAAACUUAGCUACUGAGGAGUAAAUUCUGCAGUAAUAUACCUGCUGGUAAUCUACUGUUCUCAGGGCAACGCAUGUGUCGUUUCGCACGUAACAUUAAAAUGCAAAUUUAUGGACUAAAAGACGAGGAAUAUCCGUCGAAUAGGAUUUCAUGAGAAGAAGCAUAAUAGUUUUAGUUUGGCUUCAAUGCUUGUUCCAGAAUAGUGGGACUAAUCAUGCUUUGCCAUUGCAGCUGUAAUUUUCAAUUCAUAUAUAUGUAUAUCAUUCUAAUCCUAUAAUUUCUCAUCCAAGGAUUAAAAACUUGAUAGCAAAAAAGAGCAAACACUAUCAAUAGUAUUCCAGCCAAACUCUCUCUCUCUCUCUCUCUCUCUCUCUCUAUAUAUAUAUAUAUAUAUAUAGCACCAAGCGCUUGGUGCUACAAAAUUUUUCGCUGUUAGGUCUACCUCUUUGAUUAUUUUCGUCCGUUCGAUCAUACGAUUCAAUCAAUCACCCACUCAAUCUUUGGAACCACUAUUAUUCUAACCACAUAUCCGUUUAUUUAAGGUCUGAAAAUCUAACAGCAUCAAUAAUUUGGUGCUAUAAUAGUACAGUAGCCUAUAUAUAUAUAUAUAUAUAUAUAUAUAUAUAUAUAUAUAGUGCCAAAAACUAAUAAAAAAUAUAUUAUUUUGCUUCUCAAGUACAUUUAAAGAUGGUGAGAAAUUGCUUACAUCUCAAUCUUAAAGCAUGCAAGAGCAUAUUAAACACACCAAUGGAAGUUUGCACAGUAAGGUGUUAAUCACUUCAAUACAACUUUAAAAAAAAUUCCAAAAAAAGGAGGAAAAGAUCUACUUGAACAUUGACAAGCUAGGUGAUCUUGCCUAGAUAUUAUCCCCUUUGUGAGCAGCAGAAACCAUUCCCAUACCAAGAUAUGAUUCUCUUUGUGCGGUUGGUGCACGGCUUCAAGAUGAAAAUUUUAUAAGAGAAUUAUAGUAUACUAUCUGCUUCGUUUAUUAUUAUUAUUUUUUUUAAAUAAACUUAACAGAACAUAUAAAGCAACUAUUAAGUUCUUUACCACCUGUGCUAGGGUCGAGGGUCGGUCCGUGCAUGGGAAUAGCAUAUGAAUGGGGGAGAUGCGCUAGUGCGGUGCACAGUUGACAUGGCGCGCGGCACAGGCAAUUUACUAUUUCUCAAUUUUAAGAGACAUAACCAACUAAACUGUGUAGCAGAUGAACCUGAGCAAAUAACAAGUACUAUGGAUUAGUAGUGUACUGGCACUUUGAUUUAUGAGGAGACUUUUCUAUUUUCCUUUGGAAGGGAGGAAAUAGGAUAUGUUCGGUACAUUAAUGAUUACCUCCUCUCUAGAAAGGUUUAGAUAUGCGUUUCAUAAAUUGGAAUAUAUAUAUAUACAAGCUAACACUGCUAGGUACAAAAUCAGAGAUUGCAUUGAACUAAUUUUGCAAUUUAGUGUAUUCACAAGGGAAUUGGGUUAUUUGUGCCCUUAUUUAUGUUUGAUAUGGUUUUUAAUAUUGUUGAAGAAGCUUAUACCAUGGCAAUUGAACCUCAAAUCAGUUGAUUAGUUUUUACAACUAAAAUCAGGCCACCCAAAUAAGUAGAAAUCAUCAUAAAUCAUGAAUUGGUGAGCAUUAAUGCAUAUGCUCAAAUUUUUUUAAAGGGUAAAAAUAUACAAAACUUAUCUAACUAUUGACUAUUUCGAAUCGAUUACUCAAUCUUUUAAAAUUUUGAUUUUUACUAUCCAACCUUUCAAUUUAUUUAAUUUGAGUCAGUCGACGAUACUUUGACUUCAAAAUUUAAGUUAAUCAAUUAGUUUAAUGAAUUUAUAGCUGCGAAAAUUAUAUAAAAUAUAAUAAUUUAACUUGUAAAUUAAAUUUUAAAGUCAAAGUGUCGUUGCUUAACUCAAAUCAAUUAAAUUGAAAGGCUGGAUACAUAGUAAAAUUAAAAUUUUAAAAGAUUGGAUUAGCAAAUUAAAAUGAUCUAUAGUUCAGGUACGUUCAGUACAUUUUUUAUCUUUAAAUUUUUUUGAGAAAAAACAUAUAGGGAUUGUCCCUGUAUUGGGUAAGCAAUUAAAUUUGAGAGAAAUGGGCCCAACUACUAGAGAUAAUUAAAUUAUGCAAUAUAUUUAAGUAACACAAGAUCCUUCUAGAGGGUGCAAGAUGUUGAUAUAUAUGGAAUAAGCAAAGCUUUGUCAAAGGCAAUUAAAGAUGAGUUUGUUGACACGGUUGCAAUUGUUAGAGGUCACCAUCUUCAGAUAUUUAUUUAUGGGAGUGCACUCCCAAAGGUCUAGAUCCAUAAACUAACAUAACAUUAUUAUACAAGUAAUUAUUAUUAUGAGAAUAAAUAUUUGGUUGUUUAACUCUUGUUUGAUCAUGAUGGGAAUGUAGAAGUGAUUGAUACAGCAGGGUUAUUACAUGGACACGAUUCCCUUUUCUUUCCUAAGGUUCCAACGCAGGAAAAUUCCAUCUAUUGGUUAGUUUCCACCAUUUUAAUUAAUAACUUAUAUGCAUAUAUCAAAUAUGUAUUAAAAGCUUAAUAUGGAGCUAUUUGUGAGCGUUUUAAGCUCAAGUUCAUAACUUAAGCUUAACCUACGCAGCUUCACUCGUGUUCAACUCGUUUACUAUAACAAAUAAAUAGAAACUUUAGGUAAGAAGAAAAAAUAUAUGAAAAGAAAAUGAAAAACAGAAAUAGGUGACACAAUGAGUCAUUGCUCUGAUCGAUUAACUAUAUGAAAAAAUUCAAAUAACCCUCCUGUAAUUUCGCACUUUUUCACUUUAGUACCCCAUGCUUUAAAAUUCAAGUUAGUACCAUGUUGUUUCGCACUUUCUCACUUUAGUACUCUGUGGUUUGAAGUGUAUCAAGUUAGUACUCAGUGGUUUUAUCUUUGUAUCAAGUUAGUACCCUGUGGUUUCAUUUUUCUCUUUUUAUUAUCCAUUUUCGGGAUAUUUUUUUCGUUAAAUCAGUGACAAAGUUAAAACUAAAAAGUAUUAAAAUGAAUAUUCAAUAAACCUAGGUAGGAUAUCUGAAGUUUUUUAUAUAUAAUUUAACGAAAUAUUAAACCACAUGGUACUAAAAUGAGAAAGUGCGAAACCAUAGAGUACUAACUUGAUAUAUUUUAAACCAUAGGAUACUAAAGUGAGAAAGUGCGAAACAACAGGGGGUAUUUGAAGUUUUCCCGUAGGGUGUGUUUGGUUUCACGUAAAACUGUGAAAAAAAAUUUUUGGUAGAAAAAUUUUUUUCGGAGGAAAAGAAGUUUUACGUUCUUUAGCGUUUGGUUUGUAGGAAAAAAAAUUAGUUUUCCGUUACGAUUGUUUGGUUGAUACAAAAAAAAAGUUAUGAAGAUAAAUUAAUAUAUUUUUUUUCUUAUUUUAUAUAUUAUAUAUUAUUAAUAAAUAAUAAUUAUCAUACUAUAUUUAUUAUUAUUCUAGUUUAUAUUUUAAAAAUAUAUAUUUAAAACAUAUUAUACAAAAAUAUGUAAUAUCAAUUAUAAUAAUAUAUAUUUAAUGCUAUAAAAUAAAUUACUAUAUAUUAUAAAUAAUAUUAUAUAUAUUUAUAUAUAAUAUUAUAUAUAUAUAUAAUAUAUAUAAUAUUAUAUAUAUUAUGAGCUAGUCUCCUAUACUAUCUAUAGUACCGGGGCCUCGGUACUAUAGUCUUGUUUUCGAUUUUAGGGUGUUCAAAUCAACGAUCCACAUCAUUAAAACUGAUUUAAGGUAUUUAAAGUUUUUAGAAAUAAAAUUUUGUAUUUUUUCGACAUAGUUUACUUUAUGAUCAAAUCAUUUCAAAAUUGUCAAUUUUAAUAGAUACUAUGGCGAGUUUGGAGUUUAACGGUGUAGAAGAAUCUAAAUUUCUUCAAAUUUUGAUAGAAAAUAUUUUAAAUUAUCUAGAUUAAAGUUAACAUUCUUGAUCUUGAAUUUAAAAGUCCUAUACUUAAAUUUUAAAGAUUAUUUAAUUUUCACCGUUCAUUUUGACAUAAUUUAUUUACUAAGUAAACGAUGUCGAAAAAAACUAAAAUUUUAUUCCUAAGAACUUCAUAUACCUAAAUCAUAUUUAACGGUGUGGAUCGUUAUUAUGAACACCCUAAGAUCGAAAACAACAUAGUACCGGAGCUCCGGUACUAUAGAUAGUAUAGUAGCUUAAUUAUAUAUAUAUAUAUUAUAUAUAAUAUAUAUAUAUAUAUAUAUAUAUAUAUAUUAUAUAUAUAUAUAUAUAUAUAUAUAGAGUGAGGUUACUAUGCUAUCGGAAGCACGGAGCCUUCGUGCUUCCAGCUCGUUUUCGAUUUUGCGACUUUCGAAUCGUCGAUCGGCUCCGUUAAACUUGAUCUAGAGUAUUUGAAGUACUAAGAAAAUAAUUUUAUGAUUUACGAUAUUAUUUGCCUAGUGAACGAAAGGGCUCAAAAUCAACGGCUGAAAAUAAAAAUUUUACAAAUAUAGUAAUAUGACAUUAAAAUUUUAAAUCAAAAAUAUUGAUCUUGUUUUAUAUAGUAUAAAGAAUUUUCUUCAAAAUUUCACGUGAUUUGGAUAUUUCUACACCGUUAAACUUGCAAACGGCUCACUACGGUCAUUGAAAUUUGUUGAUUUUGAGUUCAUUCGAUCACUAGGCAAAUGAUAUCGAAAAAUAAUAAAAUUUAUUUUCAGAUACUCCAAAUACUCUAGAUCAAGUUUAACGGAGCCGAUCGAUGAUUCGAAAGUCGCAAGAUCGAAAACAAGCUGGAAGCACGAAAGCUCCGUGCUUCUGAUAGCAUAGUAGCCUCACAUAUAUAUAUAUAUAUAUAUAUUAUAUAUAUAUAUAUAUAUAGUAGGGCUAGAAUACUUGUAAAAGUAUCAUAGGGGUGAUACUUGUGUGUUUUUAGCCUUGGAUGGAGAGAUGGUGAGGUUGAAGAUGAUGAAUGGUAAGGUGGUGGUAGGUGGUGGUAGGUGGAAUAGUAUUUUUAGCCUAAUUUUCGUUUUCCGCGGACGCCAGCUGGAAAACAAAAAUUGAUUUUUUUUCAGAGAAUCUGUGAAACAAAUUUUCCAAAAAAAAAUUUUUGUGCAAUCAAACACCGGAAAAAAAAAAAAAUUUCGGAGUUUACGUGAACCAAACAACCCCUUAACUAUAUAAACAAAAAAAUAUUUGGUGGAGCCCACAUGAGUCACUCAACUAACUGACGUUGGAGAUCUUAUUGCUCCCUCGUGUGGUCCCACGUGUCGCCAUACGUACGAGAUACACCCCGAAUUAAUAUGCACACACUCGCCACAUUCACUCCUCGGAAAUCGGGUACUAUACUAUUUAAUUCGUAAGAGUCAUUUGCAUGGACAGCGAAGCUACAUGUAUAUUGAUCUCUACAUAGUAGAUAUAAAUCUUACACUUCGCUUAUUACUUUGUUUAUUAAUGUAGGCGUAAGUCUCGUUUAGAGGGAAUCAGUAUAAAGACGAAAAAAAAGACUACAAGCUAAUUAUGUUAAUUGGAGUAUACGUAUAUAUACAGGAUUGGUACUUGAAUUCUAUUAUAAUUGAAAAUAAUAAAUUUUAAUAUAUUUCUAACGCUAACUUGAUAAAAAAUAAUCAAAUAAUUAGAUUCUAAAUAGAAAAAUAUAAAACUUUUCAAAAAUAACCUAAAAAUGCAAAAAAGUGAGACGUAAGCAGUUGAAUUUGGAUUCCAAACUCGGCGAGAAUGGCUUUGUCCUUUGAUGCGUGUAUUUCAAUAAGUGUUUUCGAAAUUAGAGUUAACAUUGAAAAUGAAUACUCGUGCAAAAAGUUAUGCCCGUUUAUUAAAGAUUUUUCAUGCUGAUCAUAAAAAUUGCCGAGGACAGCGAGAUUCUGGACCAAGCUUGAUUGGGUCAUGCUUUUUCAGAAACCUUAAUGCCAAAUUAACCUCAUUACUCGUCUAAUUAAAAAUUUAGAUUUUUUCAAUGCACUACAACAAUUUUUUUCUGUUGCAUUAAUUUAAGUGCAUCAAAAAUCAAUGCUGUUGUGAUAACACAGAUUAUAUUAUUAAGUCAUUUAUUGUCAUAAAAUUUAUAGUAAUAAUAUGCAAUGAUUCUUAUUUGCUGCAAAAAAUUGGUAUUAUAACUAAAUACGAGCUGAAGUUUUUGGCUUGAUAUUUUAACGAGCCAGCUCGUAUUCGGCUCGUUUAUGAAAUGAGCCAAACACGACCUGAUCCCAGCUUGUUCGUGUUCUGCUCGUUGACACCCCUAGUAUGGAGAGAAUUUUGUUAUCGUGAGAACGAGAACGAGAACGAGAACGAGGAUGGAGCCAGCAAAGAAAUUUACCCGGAUUGCAGCGGGGCCAUGGAUAUUAUUCACCGCCCUUAUGAAGUCAACCAUCCGAGCAAAAUAAUAAUAUAUAUAUAUUAUUAUAUAAUUCUUAAUUUAUUUAUAAAUGCAAAAAAUUUACUUUGAUAUCUUUAAUAUUUUCUAAUUUAACCAAAUAUUUUAAAUAUAUUUAAUUUUUUAUAUAGUAUAUUACUCAAAUAAUAUUUAAUUGUUACAUAUUUUAUAAUUUGAUAUAUUAUACUUAAUAAUUUGAUAAUAAAUAAAAAUAAAUUUAAUAAUUAGAUAAACUUUAAAAUAAUUUAUAUUUAAUUCAAUAUAAUUUUUAAUAAAAUAUUUAUGUAAUAUAUUUUUUAAAAAAUUUAUAGGAUAUCCGUGGGGACGGACGGAGAUAACGAAACUUUCCACCUACUAGAAGAGGAGACGGAGACGAGGAUCAUAAAAAUUUGCAAGGACGGGGAUAGGAAAGGGCUCGCUGUCCCCUGCCAGCCUCAUUGCCAUUGCUUCCACCAUCAAACUAUUAGCCAACUGUGCGAGGUACGGUCAGUAAUUUUUCUAUUUAUGUCAAAAUAAAAGAACACAACAUAAGGCCCAAGUUGGAAAUGUAUUGUUCAAAAACACUUGUUUCUGAGACGAAUAUCAACUCAAAGCCUGAGACGCUGUUUGGUUCUUCGAAAAGUGUACCAAAACAAAAAGUUGUUCGAGAAAAAAAUAUUUUAUAAAUUUUUUUUAGUUUUUUAUUCGUUUGAUUUCAAGAAGAAAUAACUUUUCCACAACCUCUUUUCCAAAUUUUAUGAAAGAUUGGAAUUUUCAUCUUCCUGAAAAAUUAAUCCAAAAAUUAAAAAUAUUAAUCUGCCAUUGUAUUUGAAAAAUAAUUAAAAAAAAAAAUCAAACUAACGAAAAACUAAAAAGAAGGUUUUUCAUGAAAAUUUAUUUCUCAAAAGAAAAAUCCAUGCUUUUCUGACGAAUCAAACACUCCCUCAUUAGCUGUUCCUAUAUAUUGUGGGUGGCAAUGAAUUUGAAACCUAAUUACUUCAAAUUUUUAAAUAAAUUUAUUUUUAAAAAAAUUAAGGGAACAAAUAACAGGUACUUUUUUUUUUCUUUCUAAAAAAAAAUAUCAACUCAAUCUUGAGGCUUUUUAUUAUCAUCAUUAUUAUUACUAUUAUUAUUGGUACUAACUCAAUCCUCUAAAUUUAUGUGUGGGAUCAUUGGGAGAUCCCCUCUCCUUCAUUCUCCAUCCCCUGUCAACCCAAUAACCAAUUAUAACGUUCUCGAUCCCCGUACUCUCUCUCUCUCUCUCUCUCUCUCUCUCUCUCUAUAUGCUACAUUUAUGACGUCGAUGAGACCAGUAAUUAAACACCUCCAAAUAUAAACUCAACAAGAGAUGGAUACGCUCCAGGGGUCCGUGUUUGCGUACGUGCAUGUGGAGUUAAGCGUGGAAGGGUGUGGAAGGUACGUAACGUACCAUGCAUGCAUGUAUUUAUGCAACCGAUCAACAGCUUACAGUUUUCUUUUUUCUUUUUUCUUUCCUUUUUUUUUUUUUUUCUCGUUGUGUGUACGUACAAAUGUAUCCGCCCCUGGAUCGAUUCCCAGGGAUCCCCGCUGUUCGCUGACCUGCUCCGGCUCCGGGCGCCAGAUCCGAUAAUCCGAUCGAUCGAUUGACCAAUAUUCGUAUAUAUAUAUUCUUAAUUUUCGAAGAAUAUUAAGACACGUAGCACGAUCAUGUGGAGGAAAAAGUCUGGAGUGUGACAGUGACACUACAUCAUGUUCCUAGCCAAGUAUAAUUUUUUUUUCUAAAAAAAUAUUAUUAUACUUUAGCCUCAAAAUGAAAAGUUUGAUUGGCUUGAGAGAUAGAUAUAUAAUACGGUGUAACUGCUACGUAAAUUUAAGCCACUUGUCUUCGUGGAAUGCUAUGUAUAUAAAUUUAGAGGGAGGGUGUUUCGGCGGUGAGUAAAUUUAGAAAAUUUCAUUUGGGAGAAACGCUUUGAGAAUAAACUUUAUAGGAUGCAAAUUGGAGCGUAAAUGAUUAAUAAGAGAUUGGUUUGGGCAUGAUAUCCUGAACAGGAUCCAUUACAAACUAAUCCCUACAGAUACUUUUUUUUUCUUUUUUUUUAAGGGAAAGAGAUCAGAUCUAGAGAGGGAGCGUACUAUUUGUUUCUUUUAUUUUUAAGAAAUAAACUCAGUUAAAAAUAUGAAGUAAUUAGACAUUCAAAUUUAGAAUCUCAGAUACUAAUCAUCAAAUUCUUCGCCAGCGAGGGACGGUCGAUAAUCUCUUUAGACUGGUGAUACAUUAAUAAAUUAAUUAAUGUAGUGCUUUAGUCUGUGUGUCACUACAACAGAAGUAGGUUAUAGGGACACAUAUUUAGGACACUUUUGAGUAAGUGUCCAAUUUAUCCUAAAACUUAAAAAAACAUCUACUAAUGCCUAAAUAUAAAGCCGAAUCCAACCAAAAAUAGAAGAUUACUUUACUCAACCCAUCACACUCAGUCCAUUUGACCCGAUUACAAACAGAAAAGAAAAAAAAAAGAAAAAUCAAUUACUAUCUUUUCUUCUCUCUUCACUCAAUCCACUGAAAUUCUAGACAAAGAGCAUUUCCUAUCAUCCUCCUCCGCCACCGCAGCCAACGAGAUAGAGUUUCGGCGUUUGCUAAAUGUUUAAAUAAGUGUUGGUAAAUUAGCAGCACUCUUUUAGGUUAUAGCGACACUCUUUAACUGUCACUAUAUACCUAGCGACCCCACAUAUAGUAACACUUUUAAAAGUGUCGGUAAUUUUAGCUAGCAGCACUUUUUUGACAUGUACCUAUAUUUAAAAGUGUCGCUAUAGACCGUUUUUGUUGUAGUGUGUACGAAACAAUCAAAGCCUAGCUUCUUCCUGUUGUUCUCUCCAAAAGAUCGUGGCUUCAUUAUUUAAUUUGUUAAAUCUCUGUGUCUAACAAGUAUAAGUUUUUUUUGAACUUUUCGAUUAUUAUUUACGCACAUGAAUGAAAGUGUAAAGACUAUUUUUAGAUUAAUGUUUUCUAUUACAUCAGUUUAUUUCAUCAAUCAUAUUAACAAUUGCGCAUGCAUUAAUUUGCCCCCACACGAGGCUCGAUCACCUCGGUUAAAAAGAGAUAAAUCUACAACCAAAUGAAGUAGUAAAAAUAGAGAAAAAGUAGUUCGUGGUUGGACGAAAAUUAUAACCAACUUUCGGUUGCGGAGUUAGUAUUAUUCGACCCGGCCCGUUUUCCUAUUUAGUGGAGCUACAAAGCCAACAAGUUAAUUACUCCUAGUAUAUAUAUAUCAACAGCAUAAGUUAUUUAUUAAUUUUAUAAUGAUUUUGCUACUUAUACGUACGUACGUACGUAGAGUGUAUGACUCCCAUGUAUCAUGUACGUACUGCACCCUGACGUAUUUUACUACCCAGGAUAUGGUAAAGAAGUGGAGAUGGAAAUUGUGCGGGGCCAUUGUCAGAGUUUUUAAAGGAAAAGCAGCGUAGCUUCGCUUUCCAAACACACAUGGAAGGUGCGUGGUUUCGCUCACCACCUGUAAUUGUAAGGAACAUAAUGCGACUGUGGCCUAAAACAUUUUCCUUUUAACUUUUUAUUUUGUUCAACCAUUAUAAAAAAAGAAUACAACAGAGUUCUCCUGAAUCCUGAUAUGUAUAAGUUCUAAGGUGUAUAAUUUUGAUAUGUGGCCGAAAAAAAUUUUUCUUUUAAUUUUUUAGAAAAAAAAUUACCAUGCAUCACAGAAAAGCAUAAUAUAUAAGGUUCGCUUGAUCUGAAAGAUUGAUUUCGUAAAAAGUCUAGCUCAUAUAGAAGAACAUACUAGAAAAUUAUAGUUUAAAUUAAGACUCUUGAUCUGCACACUUAACUUUUUCAUUCUUAUAUUAUGUUUUUUAGCUAUUCUAAAAUUGAGAUUUAGUUAGUAAGAGAUUUUAUACAAUAUAAAAUGUAUGAUUCAAAUAUAGCAUUCACCAUACAGUUUGUUAUUAAUUGCAUUAUUCAUUAAUUUGAGCUUUUCAUGAGCAAAGGCAAUUUCAUUUUUUUUAUUUAUGACUCUAUGAUGGCUAAGAGCUUUCAUAGUUUGCCUGUAAAUUAAGACAUAAUUUACAAAUGUAUAUGCAUAAAUAAAAGUAAAAAUGUUUGUACAUGUACUAGCUUUUUAGCUAAAAAAAAAGAAAGAUAUAAUCUAUUUGAUUGAGCAUUUGCCAUUUCACCUGGAACUUCAACAUUCAUGUAUCAAGGAUACGAAUGUGCUCAAGGAUCUCCAACAAUGAAAGGAGAAGUUAUGGCUAUUAGGUAUUAGCUAGGAUUCUUUAUGGCAAAUGUAAGUCCAAAGUUAAAUGCAUAUUAAACUUAACUCCAACUGCAGUACAAUUUGGACAAAUAAUUUCUUAAAGAUCGAUUGUGAUGGCUUUUUGUAUAUGAAGUCGCUAGAAUUGCCUUAUAAGAGAGCAGACCUAAAUCUUGUGAGUGGGGAUUAGAUCCUCCACCAUUCAAUUUCUAACUUAUCAUCAAGGACGAUAUUAAAAAAAAUCAACACUAAUUGACAAAAAUCCUUAGUGGUGGUUUUUUUUUUUUUUUUUUUUGGUGGAGAAUAUAACUUACACUUACUAUCAUAAAGAAAUAAAUAUAAUUGACUACUAUCAUACCUUUUUUUUAAGGAACACAAUUAUAUAGGGGGCGGUAAGGAAAAAAUCUUAAAAUUGAUGUAAUUUACACUCACUAUCGUUAAGAAAUUGAUAUAAUUGACUAUAUCUUACUUAUUUUAAGUAAGUAAUAUACUUUUAAGUUUAAAAGGACAAUAUUUUACUGUCCUUAUCAAAUCAAUUUCUCUAGUGUUUAAAAAUUAUUUGAAGCGAAAUGUGGUGAACUUUUUUCUACUGCAUUGCUUAUGAUGUAUAUUGUAGUUACCCACCUUUUUUUAUAUUGAGUCUUAUACAUUACUUACAAAAUACAACUUAUAUUGAAUAAAGUUUUUAGAUUGUAAAAAUAAGGAAUAGACGAGAUCCUUUUUUGCUACAUAGCUGUCUUUUGUCUAUCAUUUUUCUUUCCCCACCCCCUUCAAGGCCCUGCUGCCUCAUCCAUAUAGCUUAAUUUGUUCGUUUAUUAAACGAAAUGAAUAGCGUGCUACACUUUCCUCAAAAAAAAAAAAAGGAAAAAAGAAAUGGAAAAAAGGAAAGGAUGCAAAGUUUUUUUUUUUUUUUUGAAGGAGAUCUUUCAAAUAUUGUUGAAUGAAGCUAAAAGAGGAGGUGAACGUACCACUGUGGUGAGAGAAUCAAACUUUAGAAAUAUAUAACAUGGGAGAAGAAAAGGGUAACCCUUUUCUCUCUCUACGUCGUACACCCAUCACCAUCAACCCUCUGACAGAGAUUACAUGCAAAAGCCAAGAUAGCAGCGACAAGAGAGAGAGAGAGAGAGAGAGAGAAUUAUCCUCUCAAAACCAACCAUUUUUUAUAAUUAAACUGUUAAGUACAGCCCCUCCAACUUCUCAUUAUGACUUAACAUCUCUUCUUUAUUUCUUUCCUUUUCUCUAAUCUAAUUACAUGCAUGAUCAUAAAAAUCCUUCAACUCCCUCCCUAUCUAGAUCUCUCUCUCUCUCUCUCUCUCUCUCUCUACCUGUGUGUGUGUGUGUGUUAGCAAUAACUAGAAAGGGAGAGACAAUUAUCAUCUUAAACGCAACCAUUUUUCAUAAUUACAAGUUAAUUAAUGUUAAGUACACCCUUCCAACCCCUCAUUAUGACCUAAUCUUAUUAUGUAUGAACAUAAAAAGCCUUCAACUACUCUCUCUCUCUCUCUCUUUCUCUCUAGUUUCUCUGACUAACAAAACCACCACAGCCACUACUUCCCCUAUAGGGAGAAGCUCCAAAGCAUGGCAUAGCUUUCACAGUCCCACCACAAAAAGGGUAGCGCUUUUCCUUUACCACAUAUACACCACAACAGUAACAGUAAUCACAUAUAACAACAACAACAACAACAACAAAGAAGCAAACCCAAACUCCAAACACCUUCUCUCUCUCCCCUUUAUAUCCAACCCCCACUUCCCAUUGCCUUUUAAAUCCCCCCCCUCUCCACCUCCAAAUCCCCUCAACUCACUCAUCACCCAUCCAUAUUCCAUACCCCAAAAGAGAAGCAAAAAUAUAUAUAUAAAAGAAGGAGAAGAAGAAGCUAGAGAGAGAGAGAGAGAGAGAGAGAGAGAGAGAAACUGAGAAACCCACAACUUCCACUUGUUGGGUACUCUCUCUCCCCCUCCUUUCUUUGUCCCUCCUCUCCAUUACUUGGUCUUCUCUCUCUCUCUCUCUCUCUCUCUCUCUCUCUCUCUCUCUCUCUCUCUCUCUGUGAUCUAAAACUUUGUUUCUCUUUGUACACCACCCAGUAUUUGAUGGGAAGAUGAUGAACCGCGCCAACCCCAACGACCCCUACGUCCCCUCCAUGAUGAUGUCCUUCGUUGGCCUCGACCCCAACCCCAACCCUAACCCUAACCCUACUAACCCCACCCCUCAAAGACUCCACCUUUCCGACCCUUGGGACCCCUCCCCCUCCUCCGCCGCCUUCUUCCCCAACUCCGGCGUCGGCGGCGGCGUCACCUUCCUCGACUACCCACCGCCCCCUCUCCUCCCCUUCAACACCACCACCGCCGCCGCCGCCGCCAACAUUAACGCCAACCCCAACUCCCCCUUCUACCCCACUUCCCCGACGCACGACUACCCGCCCUCGGCGGGCCUCGUGAAGCGCGAGGCCGACGCCGCCGCCCUCCUCCGCCCCGCCAUCGGCCUCAACCUCGGCCACCGCACCUACUUCCCCUCCGGCGGCGAUUCCGCCGCCGUCGCCAUCGACCGCCUCUUCUCCGCCCGCCCGCCCGCCCACGCCGUCCCGAGAGGCCUGCUGUACGCCCUCGGCGGUCUCGGCGGGAGUGGCGCGCACAACCCCGGCUACCAGCACUAUCACCACCACCACCAUCACCACCAGCCCCCCCGCUGCCAGGCCGAGGGCUGCGGCGCCGACCUCUCCGGCGCCAAGCACUACCACCGCCGCCACAAGGUCUGCGAAUUCCACUCCAAGGCCGCCGUCGUCGCCGCCAAGGGACUGCAGCAGCGCUUCUGCCAGCAGUGCAGCAGGUACCUAAAGUCGAAAUUAAAGAAUCAUAUAUAUUAACAUCAUCUUAUCCUAAUCCCAGUUUUAGUAUUUUGUUCUUACUUACUUUCUAUCAUUUUCUUUCUUUUUUUUUUUUUUAGAGAAUAACGAUUGUUUCAUAUAAUUUAAUAUAGUAUAAAAAUAUAAGAUUAAUUCUGUGUUCGAGUCACGUGAGAUUCCUAAUAUUAUUAAUUUUCUCUUAUUUGAUUCAAAUUCACGUCAUGUAUAUGUAUUUGACAACCGGUCUCUAAUCCGGACGUGAGAAAGAGUGUUAAAUGUAAAAUUAUUUAAAUAUUAUUUUUUUAUCAAUUUAAGUUUUUAAAAAAUAGCUAUUGUUUCGCAUAAUUUAAUAAUUUUGUUGUUUUUUUAUAUAUAAAAUUUUUGGAGGACAGUGUGGAGUUUCUCUAGAGAGCUAGAGAACCCCCGUGUGAUAGUUUGCUCUAUAUAUGAGUGUUGUUUUGGUGUAUAAAUAUAUUAAAGUAACACAACAAGAGAUUCUAUGUUCAAAAGAAAAAUUAACUACUUGUUUAAUGCAAAAUCUAUGUUUUAGCGCUACAAAAGCUUUCCAGCUGAGGAGAGAGCACAUUAAAUUGGGCCGUGAUUAAAUGACUAUUUUUAAUGGUUGUAGCUAUUAUUAUAUAAUAUAUCUAGAAAAACAAACAGGGCCUUACUAUGUAUGGGGACCCUUGGAUCACUUCCCUUCUUAGGCCAUUCACACCCAGCUUUGUUCUUUACUGAAUGCUUUAUAUAUAAUAUAUAUAUAUAUAUAUAUAUAUAUAUAUAUAUAUAUAUAUAUAUAUAUAUAUAUAUAUNAUGUAUGGGGACCCUUGGAUCACUUCCCUUCUUAGGCCAUUCACACCCAGCUUUGUUCUUUACUGAAUGCUUUAUAUAUAUAUAUAUAUAUAUAUAUAUAUAUAUAUAUAGAAUUGAACUCUUAUGUUUACCAUAGCUAUGGACUCUAUAUAUAUAUAUUAUAUAUAUAUAUGUAUGUAGAGGGAACACUAUUUGUUAUUUUAAGUACGAAUCACUUUCUCUCUUAAAUGAUAACUUAGUAUGUUUGUUUUUGUUCUCACCCUUGUUAUUAAAAGCUUCUGUCUCUCUGGAAACAGUAGUAGGAGAAAGAGCAGCAGAUCAGAGCCUCUGCCCCGCAUACUUGUGAACAUAUCUGUUACUUAUGGCUAUCACAUCUUUAUUGUGUUUUGUUCUCUCUCUCUCUCUCUCUCUCUCUCUCUCUCUCUCUCUCUUUGUGAUUGGAGAUAACCCAGACCCCAGUAGUAUAUCACUGACACACACACACACCCUAGCUGCAAAACCCAAUGCUAUAUAGCUAGCUUUUUCCCUUGUGAUAGAACAUAAAUCGAUCAACAGAAAUUAUUGCAACUGGUGCAUCAUAUAUAUAUAUUUUGCACUCCUAAAGUUGAUUAUAAAAACCACCAAAAUCAAAAUUUAAUUUUAUUACAUAUCCUUCAUAUGUGGCAUGUAAAGACAUAAUUUUUAAAGUAUUAUGUAUUAUUAAAAGUACACAUGUGGUCUAUGAUGCAAUUGGUGCGCCCAAUAAGUUUUCUAUGAAUUCACCAACCAUAGGGUUUCUUCUUUUCUAUGUGCAUCUCCCUUUACUUCUUUCCUGCUAACCUUUGGGCUUUUAUGACUGUAACCUGCUCCUAUUCUCUGCAGCUCCCACUGUUAAAUAAAAGAUAUAUAUAUAUAUAUAUACCCACUACAUACAUAUUACAUAUUUAUCUCUCCUCUCUCUAGCUAGUUUCUGGCCACUUCCCUUCUUUUACAGUCAUAUAUAUGGUAAGUAGGGGCAUUUUUCCUACUCAGCCCUAUAUAAAAAGAUAUAUGUGUAAUUAUUAUUAUUAUUAUUAUUAUUAUUAUUAUUUGUGGUUAGGUUCUAAUGAAUUAAUCAUAUAUAUAUAUAGUUUUACUUUUAAUGGUGUACAUGCAUGUAGGUUCCAUGUGCUCUCCGAGUUUGAUGAAGCCAAAAGGAGCUGUAGGAAGCGCUUAGCUGACCACAACCGCAGGAGGAGGAAGCCACAGGGAUCAACUCAAUCCACAGACUCUUCAAACCAAAAGAACAGCAACUGCAGCAGCUCACAGAAGAGCAAGCAAAGCACAAAGCCCACUAGAGACACUAGUAGUGAGUUUGAUCUUAAUUACUUCCUUUUUCGCGAAAUAGUUUUUCUCUAAAAGCUUAAACUACGCACUAGGCGAAGAGUUAGGGAAUUUCAUUAAUUAGGCACACAAAACAUAGACUUUUGAUUUAAAGUUUGUGUUAUUAUGUCAUCUAUAUACAGCAAUCACCACCAAGUCAACUACCACCAUAUCCAAUGCAAGUGUAAGCUUGGAGGGCCAAAACAAAGGGACUCAUUACAGGAAUGGACCAGCUUUAUCUCUUGGAGGAGUUGGAGUUGGAGUUGGAGUUGGAGUUGGAGUACUUGCAAUGGAGAGUAAGGGAGGGAAUAACAUGGACUCUGAUUUUAUGUACCAACAAAGCCAAGGGCUACACUAUGCUUCAUUUGUAGAGGAGAAGGUCUCCGAAGACGAAGAAGAAGACGACGACGAAGAAGAAGAAGAAGAGCAGCGCCACCACCAAGAGAUAUUGCAUCCUUUCUCCUCUGCGGAGUCCACCAACAACAACACCUUCUUCCACCACCACAACCUCUUCUCCUCCGCCGCCGCCGCCGCCGCCGCCGCCUCUGCCGAUGGCUCCCACUCAACCACGGAGGGCGGUGGCGGUGGCGACACGGCCACCGCCACCCUACACCAUCACCACCACCACCACAACCACCACCAAGGCCUCCACCUAGGGCAAGCCAUGUUUGAGGUGGACUUCAUGUGAUCAUCAUGUUAAUGAAGGAUAAGGAGAAAGAAAUUAAGGGUAAAAAGUUAAUGUACUAAUUAAGAGUUACCUCCCAACUAUGUUCUAUUUUGAAAUGUGCCCCUCAUCUUUAUUUAUUAUUAUUGUUAUUAUUUUCUCUAGUAUUCCUUUAACUUUGAGUUAUUCAGCUGGUCAACUAAAUUAAAAAUUUUAUUAAAUUUGAUGGCUUUAUUUAUUAGAUAAGUACUGAAAAGUGUUAAAAGCUUUCAUUAAUGUAUAAGUUAGUAAAAUUGCUAAUUUAUUCGACUAAAAUUAUUCAAAUUGUAGAUAUUAAAAGUUAAGAGCGCAUUGAUGAAGAAAUAAAAUAAAAUAAAAUUGAGGAGCUCAUUUUAAAGCUUCCUAGAGUUGAGGGGGGCUCCAUACAAUUUAACCAAAAGAAAACGUGUGGAGUGAUAUAUAUAUAUAUAUAUAUAUAUAGAGAGAGAGAGAGAGAGAGAGAGUAGGGAAGAUUGAGUUAUGAUAUACUUUAGAAGUAGCUAAUAUCUUUGUGCUUCUAAGUUUAAUAGCCCUUGAAUCUACUCCUUAAUUACUAAUAACCCCUUGAAUCAAACACUAUCCACCUACACACCAACCACCACCACUAUCAUCAACAACUACACUUCUCUAAUCCAAUAGUUAAAAACUCAAAAGCAACCACCCCCAUUGAUGCUUGAGAGUAUUCUAGCUCCAAUCUCUCUCUCUAGAGAAGAGAAGAGAGAGAAGAGAGAGAUAUAUACAUAUAUAAGAAGAGAGAGAGAGAGAGAGAGUUGAGCUAGAAUACUCUCAAAAGCACCAAGGGAUGAUGUUUUUGAGUUUUUAACCAUUGGAUGGAGAGAUGUAAGGUUGAGAUGAUGGUGGUAAGUGGUAGUAGGUGAAAUAGUAUUUGAUUUAAGGAUUAUUAGUAAUUAAUUAUAAUUAAGGAGUAAAUCCAAAGGUAGAAACUUAGUAGCACUUAAUAGUUGAAUGCAACCAAACAAAUUUUCAACUGCAUGCAACCAAACAAAUUAUUUCUAGUUGUAGUGCUUUCUACUACUUCCAACCAAACAUCAUGCAUAUAGUCGCAACUGCUAUAUUUCUAACUACAUGCACCUCUAAGGUUCGGUUUGGUUCGGGGAUAAAGCGUGGAUAAUGAAAGUUAUCCCCUCUAUUCCGCUAAACGAGAUAUUUUUUCACCGAUAUAUUUUAUUCCGGUCAAACCUUGUUAUUCCUAGCUAUUUCGGAAUAGCUUGAGAUUUACUAUUCCACCAUUUUGACAAAAUAAUACUAUUUCAAGAUUUAAUUUCAAAUUUUAUUAAAAUUAUAAAUUGAAUUAAAAUUAAAUUAUAUAGAUUUAAUAUGUUAUAUAUUAUAAUAUGUCAAUUUUAUUAUAAAAUUUUUAAUUGUACUAUAUAAAUAUUAUCUAUAUGUAAAUAUUAUAAUAAAUUUUAUAAUAAAUUAUAUUUAAAUAUUAUAAUAAAUCAUUUUUAUUAAAUCAUAAUAAAUUAUUUUUACAAUAAUUAUUUUUAUAAAAAUUAUUUAUAUUAAAUUAUAUUUUUUAUCAAAUUUAAAUAAUUGUUUUUUUUUACUACCCUCUACUAUUUCAUAAAAUUAACCAAACAUAAUUUUAAUUAUUUUUAGAAAUACCAGCAUUACAAACCAAACAUAAUUUUAUUUUUAUUCCUGACUAUUCCAGUAUAGCAAGCAAUUUCAGGGAUAAAAAAAUUUAUCCCAAUGUUCGUUAUUCCCAAACCAAACGGGGCCUAACUAUACUGCAUUUGUAAUUUCAUCAAACCAAACGGCCCCUUAGUGUUUGUAAGAUUUUCGUCGUUUGAUCAACCCCGUUAACCAUUUUUAUCUGUUAAAUCAUACCAUUCAACCAAUUACUCACUCAAUCCUAAAGAACGACUAUCGCCCUAAACGCAUAUCUCUUAAUCCAAAGAUCGAAAACAUACAAGCACCGUGACUUAGUACUUUCAAAGUCAAAGGAGUUUAAGUAAAUUAUUGGGCUCAAUCCAACUCAACUUACUAGCUAGUUACCUAAAUCUAUUAUCCCCGCGUUACAUCUAUUUUAACCAAUAAUUAAUAGUCAAUAAAUAGUUGUGGACAAUUUUCAGCUUUUUGGCUCGUAUAAUUAAAACUUAAAAUUAAUUGUGGACACACCUUCCUUUGACCACGAAACUGGUUCCACUGACCAAAUUGUGCAUCAGUUUGUCAGGAAACAGUUCAUCAGUUUGUCUUUAAAAAAAAAAAAAAAAAUUCUGAAAAUUUGGUUCAGAUGUGUUCCCCAAAAGAACCAUCAAUUCAUUAAGCAGUACUCAUGCUUUGUUCUUAUUUACUGUUCUUCUGUAAUAAUUUUAUGGUAACACUAAUUACUAAUAGAGUACGGCUUGUAUACUUUUAGAAGCACGAAAACAUCCGUGCUAUACUUUUGAAAAUAUAAAAAAGUUGGUGCUUUCGAUCUUUUUACUUUUGGAUCAAGAACCAUACGUAGAAUUAGAAUAAUAAUGAUCCUUCUUAGGGUUGAGUGAUCUCCUUAGUAUUUAGUAGCCCUCUAGAAUAAUAAUAUUACUCCAUAGACUAGAAAUGAUCAAAGAGUUUGAUUCAAGGCUUAAAAAUUUGAAAGCACCAACAACUUUUUUAUACUUUCAGAAGCGCCAUAGUUGGACUCUCUCUCUCUCUCUCUCUCUCUCUCUCUCUCUCUCUCUCUAUAUAUAUAUAUAUAGUCUGGUUGCAAUACUAUUAAUAAUAUCAAAUGCUUAGUGCUAUCAAAUUUUUUGCCGUUAAAUUUAUUUCUUUGACCAUUUUCACCUGUUAGAUCAUACUAUUCAACUAACUAUCUGUGAGAUCAUCCGGCAUAUUUUUUCAUCUAAAUAUCGAAAAUCUAAUAGCACUAAUAACUUUGUGUUAUUUUUAUUUUUCUAACCUAAUUCUAUAUAUGUGUGUAUGCAUUAUUAUAAAGUGUUGUACUAUGAAAGGGACGUUGAUAGAGAAAGAGCUACAGUGUGGGGCCUCACACCAUAAAAUUAAACCAGUUCGCCAUCUGGUGAGGAGGAAGUAUCAUAAUACAGAAAUUUAUUCAGUACAAUAUGCAUGGUAGGAGAUGUGGCCACAAAUAAGCUCGCAUCUUAAAGCAUUCUUUUCAAACACUAGUGUGAGGCAGAGUUGUUUUUUUUUCUCCUCGUGCGCCUAAGAGAGAGAGCUCAAAAUUUUAGAAAUAUUUUUUUUUAUUUUUAUUUUUUAAUAUAUUCACAAUAUAUUUUUUUAUUAUUUUAAAAUAUUUCUGCAGUUACUAUCCGUUAAGUUAACUUGGGUUAAACGUCAGUUAAAUAUCUAUUAGAGUUAAAAAAAAAAUCAAGCAAAUAAAAAAUAUUGGUGAUGGUAGAAAGUUAUAUUUGAAAAGAUCAAAAAUCAAAACACUUUUUGUACCCCUAGAGCAAAUAAAAAAAGUCGGUAAUAAUGGUGGAAGUGUAUAUUUGAAAGAGCAAAAUAGUAAUUUCAUACAGAUAACAGUUAUUAUUUACAGUUCAUUAAUAGAAUUUAACGCACUAGGGGUAUAUUUGAAAUAGAUUGGAACGUAAAAUUUUUUUUUUUAAUAUUAGCCUUCUAAGAGAAAUAAAUCAGAAAGUCGAAAAUUUUAUAGAAAUAUAUAAACAAUUAUCCCAAUAGAAAAAUAUUAAGUUAAAGAUCCAAAAGAAGUCAAAAUCCAACAUCGCUCCAUCAUUUACGAUUUUGAUAUAAUAAAAAAAAAAGAAGAGAAUCAAUAAGAGUAGUGUAAUGGCAUAUAUAGUUAAUCGUAUUAAUUUCAUCCCACAUUUUGCCUGUCUCAAAUGUGCCAAAAAAUUUUACAUAACUAAUUAAUUUGGCUAUGAAAAUUUUUAUAGGAUUAUUUAGAGCUAGGCUUGUAUAUGCUUUUAGAAGCCUGGUGAUCUCUGUGCUAUCAAGUCGUUUUUGAUACUGAAAUUUCCGAAUCGACAAUUUAUUUUGUUAGACUUAAUUUAAAGUAUUUAAAAAAUAAAUUUCAUAAUUUUUCAAUAUCAUUUACCUAAUUAUUGAAGAGGCCGAAAAUCAAUAAUUUUAAUGAUCGUGGUGAAACAUUUGCAAGUUUAAUGAUUUAGAAAAAUGAAAAUCAUAUAAUAUUUUGAUAGAAAAUUUAUUAUACUACAUAAAAUAAAAUCAAUAUUUUUGAUCUAAAAUUUUUGUAUCAUAUUAUCACUUUUUAUAAGAUUUUUUUAUUUUUAGCUAUUAAUUUUGAGUCAUUUCAAUCGCUAAGUAAAUGAUAUUGAAAAAUCACGAAAUUAAUUUUUCUAGAUACUUUCAAUAUUCUAUAUCAAGUCUAACGAAACCGACCGUUGAUUUAAAAUUCAAGUAUUAAGAGCGACUUGAUAUGCACCUCAAAACCAACUUAAAAAAAAAAAAAAAAAAAUCUUUCGUGCAUAGUCCUCUAAAAUUUGACGAGGGUACGUAAAAAUAAAGAUAAACUUUAAAUACCACCUCUAUAGUUUUGUACUUUCUCACUUUAGUACCAUGUGGUUUAAAGUGUAUCAAUUUAGUACCCCAUAGUUUCAUUUUUAUCUUUUCGUCAGCUUUUUCGUUAAUAUUUCGUUAAAUUAUAUACAAAAAACUUCAAAUACCUAUCCGGUGAUUUCACACUUUCUCACAUUAGUACCCUAUGGUUUAAAGUGUAUUAAUUUAGUAUCAUGUGGUUUAUUUUAACUUUUUAUUAUUGAUUCCACUAAUUUUUUUCGUUAAAUCAGUGACAAAGUUAAAAUUAAGAGAUACUAAAGUGAAUAUUCGAUAAACCUAGGUAGGGUAUUUGAAGUUUCCUUAAUAAUAGAAAAAACUUCAAAAACCACCCUUGUGGUUUCACACUUUCUCACAUUAGUACCCUAUGGUUUAAAGUGUAUUAAUUUAGUAUCAUGUGGUUUAUUUUAACUUUUUAUUAUUGAUUCCACUAAUUUUUUUCGUUAAAUCAGUGACAAAGUUAAAAUUAAGAGAUACUAAAGUGAAUAUUCGAUAAACCUAGGUAGGGUAUUUGAAGUUUCCUUAAUAAUAGAAAAAACUUCAAAAACCACCCUUGUGGUUUCACACUUUCUCACAUUAGUACCCUAUGGUUUAAAGUGUAUUAAUUUAGUAUCAUGUGGUUUAUUUUAACUUUUUAUUAUUGAUUCCACUAAUUUUUUUCGUUAAAUCAGUGACAAAGUUAAAAUUAAGAGAUACUAAAGUGAAUAUUCGAUAAACCUAGGUAGGGUAUUUGAAGUUUCCUUAAUAAUAGAAAAAACUUCAAAAACCACCCUUGUGGUUUCACACUUUCUCACAUUAGUACCCUAUGGUUUAAAGUGUAUCAAUUUAGUACCCCAUAGUUUCAUUUUUAUCUUUUCGUCAGCUUUUUCGUUAAUAUUUCGUUAAAUUAUAUACAAAAAAUUUCAAAUACCCCACCUAGGUUUAUCGNUUUGCAAGUUUAAUGAUUUAGAAAAAUGAAAAUCAUAUAAUAUUUUGAUAGAAAAUUUAUUAUACUACAUAAAAUAAAAUCAAUAUUUUUGAUCUAAAAUUUUUGUAUCAUAUUAUCACUUUUUAUAAGAUUUUUUUAUUUUUAGCUAUUAAUUUUGAGUCAUUUCAAUCGCUAAGUAAAUGAUAUUGAAAAAAAAAAAAAAAAAUCUUUCGUGCAUAGUCCUCUAAAAUUUGACGAGGGUACGUAAAAAUAAAGAUAAACUUUAAAUACCACCUCUAUAGUUUUGUACUUUCUCACUUUAGUACCAUGUGGUUUAAAGUGUAUCAAUUUAGCAUCCUAUUUUUUCAUUUUUCUCUUUUUAUCGGUCCCUCCAUUAACUUUUCGUUAAAUCAUAUACCAAAAACUUCAGACACUCUAUUUGUAGGUUAUCGAAUAUUCACUUUAGUGCUCUUUAGUUUUAACUUUGUCACUGAUUUAGCGAAAAAAAAAUUAAUAGAUGGGAUAACAAAAAGCGAAAAAUAAAACAACAGAGUACAAAAAUGAUACACUUUAAAGCACAUAGUACUAAAGUGAGAAAGUGCGAAACUAAAGGAAUGGUAUUUGAAGUUUUUCCUAAAAUUAAAUUUCGUGCUCCAUCUGGCCCAAUUCGAAAGCGACAACGCCCACGGCUAAAUUUUGGGCCUCGUGGGCCGGCCUACUAUCCACGCUCUCAUUCGUCAUACAUUUUAGGAGCAAUUGUUUAUAUAUCUCUGAAAAGUUUUAGACCUUUUAAUUUAUAUUUUUAGAAGACUAAUACUGAAAAUACUUUUUUUACGUUUCAACGUAUGUCAAAUAUAUCUCUAAAGUUAAAUUCUGUUAAUAAACGGUUAGCAAUAGCUGUUAUUUGUAUAAAAUUACUAUUUUGUCAUUUCAAAUAUACUCUUCUACGAUCACCUACUUUUUCUUAUUUGCCCUUAAGUUGGCACAAAAAGUAUUUUAAUUUUUGUUAUCUUUUCAAAUAUACCUUUUUAUCAUCAUCAAUAUUUUUUAUUUGUCCUUAAGUUAAGGGUAAAAGAGGUAUUUUAAUUUUUUUAAACUCUGAUAGAUAUUUAACUCACGUUUAAUUUUAGGGAUAUUUUGGAAUAACGGAGGAACAUAUAAGGGGUAUAUUGGAAAGAAAAAAAAAAGUGAGGAUAAAUGAGAUAUUUUCGAAGUUUUGAGAAGUAUAUAGGCAAUUAUUUGUAGAUUUAACGGUAAAUUUCAAAUACCACCCAUGUGGUUUCACACUUUCUCACUUUAGUACCUUGUCGUUUAAAAUAUAUCAAGUUAGUACCCUGUGGUUUUAUUUUUAUCUAUUCAUCAGCUUCUUCAUUAAUAUUUUAUUAAAUUAUAUACAAAAAAUUUCAAAUACCCCACCUAGGUUUAUCGAAUAUUCACUUUAGUAUCUCUUUGUUUUAGUUUUGUUACUGAAUUAAUAAAAAAAAUUAAUGGAAUUGAUAAUAAGAAGAGAAAAAUAAAACCACACGGUACCAAAUUGAUACACUUUAAAUCACAAAGUAGUAAAGUGAGAAAGUGCGAAACCAUAAGAAUGGUAUUUGAAGUUUUUACUAUAAUUUAUAUUGAUCGUUUCUAAAGUAAGUGACAAGAAUUUUCAAUUUUAAGUCUGUUUGGUUUUACAAAAAAGUGUAAAAAAUUUGUUUGAGAAAAAAAAAAUUUCAUAGGUAACCACUUUUUAAGUUUGCUGCCUAUUGGAUCUGAAGAAAAUGACCUUUUUUUUAAAGAUUUUUUUUUUCAAAUUUUGUGCAAAACUACUGGUUUUGUUUUCUAAUUUUUUUUUUUUUUAAGGAAAGCGAGAAAAAUUAUUUUUCAUAAGAUCCGAAAAAAAAAAAAAAAAGCUUUGCAAAGUAACUAUUUUUUUUUUUUGGGAUAACUUUUAAAACUCCCUCUGUAGUUUUGCAACUUCUAUGUGUGUAUCUGAAAGUUUUUUGUAUAUAAUUUAACGAAAUAUUAAAAAAAAGUUUGCCGAAAAAAUAAAAACAAAACAACCGGAGGACAAAUUGAUACACUUUAAAUUAUAGGAUACCAAAGUAAGAAAGAAACUAUAGGGGUUUUUUCGAAGUUUUUCUUUUUUUUUUUGAAAGCUAAACAGGUGAAAAGUUUUUUAAAGAAUUGGCCUAUAUUCGAGGGGUCUAGGUGCAUUUUUACCAAAAAGCUUCGGGAGCUCGCCCACUCUCACUCCCCGCACCAUUCCAUGAGCUCGGAUAAUAAUCCCCUCGAUCGAUCUCGUCCUCACCCUCUCCACCGAAACCCUAACGAAACCCUAAUCGCUCUCCGAAGCUCGGCUGCGGCGGCGGAGGAGGAGGGAGGGAUCCGAGCCCUCCUCUCGACCUUGGGGGCGCUCAUGGCGGCGGAGAUCCCGAUCGGCCGCGUCGCCCUCCGCCACCUCGUGCGGUUCCUCGCCGCCGUUCUCUACUUCCACUCCUCCGAGUACGCCCUCGCCGUCGCCUUCCAUGGCCGCUUCAACGUUUCCCCUGCUUGUGAGCUCUAAUUUCGAUACUGUUUCGUAUUGCAGUGUGUUCAAAUUUGAGGUUUAUCUUUUGUUUUGAUCUAUCCUGUUUCAAAUGUUGAAGGGUGAAUGAGAGCAUUAAAUUUGAGUAUUUUUGGUGGUUGGUCGGUGAGAUUUGUGCAAUUUGAGAAUUGGAGCAUUUCACAGUUUCUUUGAUGAAACCAAAUAUUUUUAUUUGUUCUGAGUUCUUUUCAUCAUUGAAUAUUGUCGAGUUACAGAUAAUUAUUGUAAAAGGUAAGGUUUCUACAGGGAUAUUGCAUCAGAUGCUAGAAUUUUUGGGGAAAAGAAGCUUAAAUUGUACAAGAAUAUGUAUUUAAUUUUCUAAAUCUAGGUAACCUAAGCAAUGGAUGACUUAAUUUUAUGCUGCAUUGAGGAACGAAACAUAAAAAUGUAGUUGUUGGGGACCAAAUCGGAGACCCCUGGUGCAACUUACCCUUUAAUUUACUAUGCGCUGUCCUAAAUAUUUAUGUCAAAAGUUCAAAUUUUAAUACUAAUGUUUCUUUUGCAGCACUUCUGAUCAGCAAACAGUAUAUUGCUGCGAUGAGUUGUGCGGUGCUUGAAUAUGUGAUAGAGAUUCUUCUCUUUCCCUCCUUGAAGGAGUAUUGGUGGGUCAGCAAUUUCGGCAUCGUGAUGAUUAUCGUCGGGGAGAUCAUCCGUAAAGCUGCUGUUCUAACAGCCGGUCGUUCCUUCACACACACCAUCAGGAUUUAUUACGAAGAUCAUCAUGAGCUGAUUACUCAUGGAAUUUAUAGGUAAUGAUCAUUCACCUGAUUUACUUAAUGAUUUAGAUCAUUCUGAAGCUGAGUUUUGAGCUAAUGUUUAAAGGAAAAUUGAGAAUUUAUUGGACAGAAUGCUAAACAUUUAGUUUGCAAAUACCAAUUUUUGACUCUUUGUUCUGCAGCUUUAGUACAUACCAGAACAAACACAUCUUGGUAAUUUAAUGUACCUAAAGUUGUUUAUCUAGGCAAUUCAAAUUGGUAAAAAUACUGUGACCCUCUUAACUGUAGUAAAUUUUAAAUUUAGAAUUUAGACCCUUUAACCUUUUUUUUUUUCUCUUUUCCGGGGUGGGGGUGGGUUGCGAACCCUAAAUUUUUGUUAUUAUUAUUAUUAUUAUUAUCAUCUUUUCUACUCGAGUCAUUUCGGUCAGUAGAAUUGCCGAUUAUGGUAAGUUUAAUGAUUUCAUUAGCUAUUAUUUUGUAAUAUUUAGUGGAACCUACUGUUUCAUAUGAUUAAUGGCGAUUAGAGUAGUAGAUUUUAACUAAUCAUCCGAAUUAAACAUAACUGCUGAUUUUACUGACAUAAGGAACUCAAAAGUGAAAGAUCAAAAGUUGAGAAGGUGUCAAUCAGAAGAAGUAAAGCUCCUUAGUUGAUUCUUAAUAGAAAGUUUCCUCAUUUUCUCGUGUCUUCCGACUCUUCAUAACCAGCCCAGCGUACUUUUGCUAGCUGUCAUAGCCAUUUUAUUCUAAAAUGCCCUUUUUUUCAUCAAACCGUACGUAAAUCUGGAUUAGCUAGAAACAAUUCUGACGGGGUUUUAUUCUAGAUCUUAAUCAAAUUGCUGGUAUUUCUUUAAUUUAUUGUGGUCUAUUGGUGUUGUCACGCAUAUUGGUGUUGGAAUGUCCUUGCUGUUGAUUUCUAUCAUUUCUUGUGGUCUAUGAUAUCACAUUUUGAUGUAUUUGUUAGCUCUUUAGGUGAAUCUAGUGGAAGAAAACUUAUCAAACCCUAUAAUCCUAUGUAAAUUCUAAUAUUCUCGGGGUACAAUGCAUAAAUUUUCUACAUUUUGGCCAAUCUUGUAACUGUACUAAUCUUUGCUUUCUAAUUAAGCAGAUUCAUGCGGCAUCCUGGUUAUUGCGGCUUCUUCAUCUGGGCAACUGGAACCCAGGUUAUGCUCUGCAACCCGGUCUGCUUCAUCGCCUUCGUCUUGGUCUUAUGGAGAUUCUUCUCUAGACGGAUACCGUAUCCUCUUAACACUAUGAUUUUGCGAUGUCAUUUACCUCAUCCUAUGAGGAGAUUCAUUCUAUUUAAAGCUCUUUGCCUGACGAUGAAACAAAGGUUAAUUUUCCGUUUCCCUUCCUCAUAGUUCAGUUCUUCGAGCUUGCUAAUCCUUUACUAAGUUACAGUUAUGAGGAGUAUUUCCUGAGGCAGUUCUUCGGACGCCAGUAUGUGGAAUACGCACGCAGAGUGCCGUCUGGCAUCCCUUUCGUAAGAUGAUAGUCUUGCUGAUUGUGUAAGUAUAUACGCGAAAUCCUAUUUGGUAUUCAGGACUUCUUUGGCGAAGCCGGAGCUUGUAGAAGUAUUGUUUGUCUAAAGCUGCUUGUACAAAGCCUACCGUAUGUCAUCAUUUUGCGUAAUACCGAACUGAAACAUCCCAUUCACCGACAGGUAAAAUAUUACCUGGCUCAACAAUGCGACAUGCAUGGGGUGGCUGCGUCAAUCCAUUGGCCAGAAGGGUUAUCAAACUUGCGCUCUUUAUGCAAAUUUGAUUACGAAGAAAUGGCGCCGCCAUGUGUAAAUUGAAGGAAUAAAGGACAUAGCAUUCCACUUGAUCAUUUGGUUGGCGCAACUGGAGAGCACUGCAAAUAACAGAGCCAUGGCCACAAAGAAAGAGAUGUAGCAUAUACUAUGCUUCAGGCUUAUUUGCAUUUGAUGCUUCAUAACUUUUAAACAAUUUGAUGUGUUUCAAAAAAAAUUGUAGGACAUUUUGGAGAUCUUUGAUCAAAUUAUCCCCGAGUUGGCCAUUUUAAUGUUUGGUACAAUGAUGUUGUUGAAAUGCCAGUGUAGAAUAUUGUAGAUCAGUUAGAUUUUUGUUCUGAUAAUAUUGUGAGUUCAUCAAUUGGUCAUUUGGAUUCAUCUGAUGCGCAAAAAGAUUUAGACAUUUGAAUAAUGUUGCUGAUAUCUAUUAAGAUGGAUAUUAUGAAAAGUGAUUCUGUGUUGGAUGAGAGAUUUAAACUUGCAAAGCACUGGAACUGAACUCGAGUUUGAUGCAAUUGGUUAGAUCUGGUUGAAUUCAUCUCGAACCCUAUGCAGUUGGGCUCGAACCGGACGUGUUUUCGGGUUCAUCAGUGGCUCGGAAACCUUAAGGGCGUGUUUGGUCGCUUCUUUUUUACCCUAGAAUCGAAAUCGGAAUGGAUGAAUCUGUUUGUAGGUGUUUGGUAUGCGGGAGUUUCAUUCCGAUUACGAUUUCCGAGUGGAAUAGGAAUUUUCCAAUCAUCUCAUUUUUCAAUCCGGCUUAAAAGGCCGAAUUGAAAGUUGAAUCCAGACGGAAUAGAUAUUUAUUCGGAUUAAAUUUAUUUUUUCAACUUUUUUAAUUAAAAUAUGAGUUAAAAUUUAAAAAUUAAAUAUAUAAUUUUAAAUUUUAAUUUGAACUUAAAUUAAAAAUUUAAAUUUAAUCAAGUAUUUCGAAUCUAACUUAUGAAUUUGAAUUUAAAUUAAAUUUUAAUUUAUAUAAAGUUUUAUUCAAAUUUUAUUUCAAACUUAAAUUAAAUUUAUGGAUUCAAAUUAAAAUUUAAAUUAUAAUUUUAGUUUGAAUUUGAAUAAAUUAAAAUUUAGUUUCAUAAUUUGAAUUAUCCACUCAACUUCAAAGUUGAAUUUUUUUUAAAAAAAAUAGAUUUAAAAUUUUGACAUUAUUUCAAAAUUUUGAUAUAAUUUUUUAAUAUUUAAUUUUUAAUUUGAAUUUAAAUUAAUAUAUUAUAAAGAUAAUGUUAAUAUAUUAAUUUGAUUACGUUUUUUAUAUCCAUCUAAACCAAAUACCGAUAGUGGGAAUGAUUAUUUCGAUUCCAAUUCAGGUGACGAACCAAACAGAAUUAGGUAAUAAGUCAUUCCGAUUCCGAUUCCAGCUUAUUUUGAUUCCGAUUCCAAUUCCAACUCCGACUUCGAACCAAACACGCCCUAAAAGUAACUUCAUUUGAGUUGAAAUGAAUCAAAUUUCAUUUUAUCAUCAAAUGAUGUCAUUAAUGAAUUACUUGCACUUUCAAUCAAAAUUCCCUCGAAAAUUAUUGUGUUGGUUGGCUCAAUUCGACCAUGCACGAAACUGGAUCAAAUCGACAACCAUUUUGAUUUGAGAACCACCGGUUCAUGUGGUGCCAACCCAACCCAACCCAAACCAAGCCAAACCAAUUUGGGUUUUUAGACAUUUUUUUAAGGGUAAAUUGCACCUUCUGCCCUCAAACUUUGAGUCGCGCGAUAUUUUAAUACUAAAAUUUCAAGUCAUUAUAAAUUUUACUUAAAAUUUUAAAUUAUUAUAACUAAAUUUGAUAGUUUAAUUUAUUUAAUUAAAUAUUAAUAGUUUAUUGGUAUAUCAGUACCGUGACAUCUUUAUAAUUAUGAGCGCAUAAUUUGAGAAAGAAGUGCAAUUUAGAAAAAUCCAAAGGGGGUAAAUGUUAAAAUAUCAUAAAAGUCUCUUUUCGCCGAGAUAAAUCGGCAGAGUUCUUCACAAGUCUCUCUCUUCCUUCCCUGAGGAAUUAGUGCAUGAACCUGGUCCACCAUUUAGUUUAUUAUAUGUUAGAGUAGAAAAGAAAUCUGAAUAUUAAAAGCAUAUAAUAAAUGCCAAUUUUCCAUAAACACAUGUUACACAGCCACUAAAUUAUGUAUUUAAAAAUUUUAACAUAUUUAUUAUCAUACACCGGGUGCGGUGUGUGAUGUAAACAUAUGCACCGGGUGCAUGCAUUGAAUGCAUCCUCUCCCCAAUUUUCGAGUUCUAUAAAUAGGCCGAGAAAGUCCCAUGUCUUUUUCGUUCCCUUUUCCAUUUUUUUCACCUAACUUUUUUUUUUUCCAUUUUUUUUUUGCCCAUCGAUUCCUCCGUCGUCGUCUUCCUCACUGCGUUCGCAGCUCCGUCGACUGCGAGAGUAGGAUUAGGGUUAGGGUUUCAACAAGCUCCACGCUCGCCGGUCUCGGGAUCGCCGCGAUGGCGGCGGCGGCGCCACUGCCAUAUGUGGAGUUGUGCAAGGGCAUCAACGGCCUCGAGAAGGUCGUGCUUCGGGAGGUCCGGGGAAGCUCCGCCGAGGUCCUCUCUCUCUCCUCUCUCUCUCUCUCUCUCUCAUGAUCCAUUUUUCCCUCUAAAUCGAUUCAUCUCGUUGUUGUUUGAAUCCUUCAUAGUAUUGGGCUAUUGUAACUGGAUUUGUUAUAGAUCUCAUACUCAUUUUCAUCUGAUCUAAUCAGUUUAAGGAUAUUCCGUAGAAAAAAAAAGUAAUGACUGCUCGAUUCUAGCAAUUGGGAUCGUCCUGAUGUUGAGAAUUAGGGUUCUUUGACCGAGCCAUUAAUCCUUGUUCGAGUCUCCGUCUGGGACACUUCACAUCUGGUGAAAUCGCCGAAGGAGAACAAAUUAGUUUAAAGUUUGAUUUUUUAUGUUUCAACAUGUUUCCUUUUCUUAGAUGUACCUAUAUUCUUUGUGGCAUGCGUUUUCAUGAGAAGGACAGCGAGAAUUGGAUAUUAGUGUGUGGAAACUUGAGGUAUGGAUUUAUAUCGUACUCCAUUAUUGGAUAUUCCACCAUUAGAUUGGUCAAAUGUUUAGCAUGCUGUUCGGCCACUAAUUUGUCAUGAGCGAGGAGAGGUUUUUUCAAAAAAAUUGUAUUUAAAGUUUUAAACAAUAAUAAUUUAGGUGGGGUCCCUAUUUGCCUUCAAUGAGCUGGCUUUGCUUGGUCUUAUCCAUGUUUAGGUUUGACAUUAGCAUUAUCUUUCUCCUUGUGCUAAUUUAACUGCCUGCAUAGUUCUUUUUUCUAUUCACAGUACUUGUUUCUUUCUAAUCUACCAUUUUUUUAAUGUAAGUAUGGCUGAUGCUGCUUACUAUAUUCACCAUUUUUUAAGAAUACAGGUCUUAUCAUCUCCGAGAUGAGAUUUUCCUAUAAAAUAUAGCUAGGUCAUUGAGUUAUCUGAUGUUGGCAAAGUCAAGUGCCAUGAGACUGGCAUAACAUGCUUUAAGGAUAAACGUUAUCUUCUGAUGCUCUCUUCUGUAAAAUAAUUUCUAACGUGACUUCCCAUUUUCUUAAUUUUCCUUAGCUUACCUAGUAAUGAUCGGUUAUUCUUACAUCUUCUUUCGAUGUUUAGGUUCUGCCUCAAAAUUUUUUGGUAGAAACCUUCAAUAACUACACAGCUUUCAUAUCUUUUGAUUACUAGGUGGUGUCAACUGCAUGAAACUAUGGUUUAUCCAUCAUAUGAAUCUUCUUAUGCCAUGUAAUCCUAGUUGGAGCUAUGUGCUCCCCUAAAUUGCAGUGCACAAUUCUUCUCUUAUCACAUCAUGCUGUGCAACAUGUGGAUUAUUAUAUCUCUUUUCGUAUUUAUCAUUUACUUGGAUAAUCUCUUUCUUACAACAAAGUUGUUGCAUCUUCGUGUUCCAUUUAGCUAUAUAAUCUCCACUGUGAUUUACUUAAUAAUUAAUGUAGGUGAUACUAAGAUGAAACACUUAAGAGUACUUUGGCCUCUUGCAUGUUCUUGUUCUUUUUAUUCAGCUGCUGUGGUUCUUGUUAUUGCUGUGUCUGUUCUUGUUUGCUGUUAUUCAUUUCCUCUUAAGGCCUUUUUCUUAGGUGUCCAUUCAUCUUCUUCGUGUAAUAGAUAGCUAAGGUGGUUUGCUUCAUGUUUGCUUGAAAUAGAUAUAAUUGCCCACCAUCCUUAUAAACUUGAAACUGGAAGAACAAUUGCUGUUUGUAUAUUAAAUACUUUUAAGCUUUUGUCCUCUGCUAUUUACACUCUUUCGUUUGCUCACAGGUUUACUUGUAUGGAGGUCAAGUAACAUCUUGGAAAAAUGAAGGGGAGGAGCUACUCUUCAUCAGUAGUAAGGUACCGAAAAUUCUCCUUCAUUCUGAAUAUCAAUGUCAUUGCAUGGGUAUUGUGCGAAGAUGACAUUUUCGAAAUGUUCUCAAGUCAUUUCUUUUUUUUUUUUUUGAGUAAAUAGAGUUACAUUGGUACUCUUAUCUCUGUUUGCAGUAUUGGUUCUGUUUACAUGAAUAUAUUAAGUUUAGACGAUUCGCUGGAGAUGUGCUCUUAGUGAAUAGGUGCUUUAUGUGGUUCACUGUGGUGGCAACUUGAAUUUCUUUCAGAGCCUGUUUGGAUGCCGAAUAUGUUAAGUUAUAACUUGUGUCUUUGGGGUUUCUUAUGGUGAUCGACUUUAGUCCGUUAAAAGGUCCUUAAAAUCAUGAUAUUAAGAUUUUUGCAUUCUACAUAUAUCAUACUCUUAAUAGUUGAGAUUAGUUAUCUUGGAAGUGACGAGAAAAAUUAGAGAGCUUAAUGCACAUUGGUAUUGUUAAUCUUUUUCUUCCCUUCAAUUCAUAUGCUUUUGAAGGCUCCUUGGGAGGGUUUUAACUUAAUUUGCUACUGUGGAUUGUUUUUAUAUUCCCCAUUUAUGGCUUUUCCUGCUCGUAUCCCUGUUUUUUCGCCCUUUAAAAAUGACUUUGCAAACUAACCAAUAAUAACAAGAAUAAAGAAGUUCAUCCCUAGGUGCCUGUAAUCGCAAGGAACUUUUGGAAUGCCAGACACCCUUACUCUUUCACUUUCAAAAUGUAGCCAAUUGCCACCUCGGUAUCAUCAUAUAGCAUCUUGUUGUUACUAGCACUCGCCAUCGAUCUGACUAUACCUUUAGGGGCUGUUUGGCUCUACGUAAAAUUGGGAAAAAGAAAAAUUUCGGUGGCGAAAAUUUUUUUUACAGCUUUUAGUGUUUGGUUCAUAGGAAAAGAAAAAAAAAAGUUUUCAACCUCACUUGUUUGCUUGAAAGGAAUUUUUUUUCUUUUAUUAUAUAUCCUAUAUAUUAUUUAUUAUAUUAAAAUUAUAUAAUAUGAUAAAUUGAUAAGCAUAUAAUAUAAUAUAUGUAAUAAUGUGCAUACAAUGCUAUAUAAUAGAAAUAUAUAAUAUUUAUAAUAAAAAUAUAAAAUAUGUAUAAUAAUUUUUCAUCCUCAUAUAUAUAUAUAUAUAUAUAUAUAUAUAUAUAUAUAUAUAUAUUACUAUAUAGACUUAGGAUGCGUAUACUAUCGGUAGCACGGAGGUCUCCGUGCUACCAAGUUGUUUUCAAUAAUGCGGCUUUUAAAUCGACAAUCAGCUCUGUUAGAUUUGAUCUACACUAUGAAAGUAUUUGGAAACUAAAUUUCAUAAUUUUUCGGUAUCAUUUACCUAUCAAAUGAGUAGGCUAAAAAUGAACGGCUAAAAAUGAAAAUCUCGUAAAAAAUGAUGAUAAAAAACUUGAAUUUAAGAUUAGAGGUACUGAUCUUACUCUAAAUAGUAAAAAGAAUUUUUUAUAAAAAUUUCAUCAGAUUUGGAUUGUUUUACACCGUGAAUUUAAAUUCACAAGCGUAUCACAUCUACCAUUAAUAUUGUCAAUUUUGAGACCUUUUGAUUACUAGUCAAAUGAUGUUGAGAAAUUAUAAAAUUUAGUUUCCAAAUACUUUUAAUGGUGUAGAUCAAGUCUAACGGAGCCGAUCGUUGAUUUGAAAGCCGCAUCAUUGAAAACAACUUGGCAGCACGGAGGCCUCCGUGCUACCGAUAGUAUANAGAGAGAGAGAGAGAGAGGGGGAGUGGAUGAGUGGUCCACAUGCGGUCCACGAGAACCAACCUUUCUCGUGGACCGCAUUUUUUGAGAGCGGCUGGGAGCAGCGUCUUUUGCUAGAGGUUUUCGUUUUCCGCCGACAGUGGGUGGAAAACGAAAACUCGUUUUUUUCGAAGAAUCCGUAAACAUUUUUUUUAUGAGCAACCAAACAACGGAAAACUACUUUUCAAGCGAAAAAAAUUUUCCGAGUAGUUUUACGGGGAACCAAACAUACCCUUACCCGUAAUGAGUCCUUUGACUGCCAAACUGCAGGAUCCUGAAUUCCUAAUUGUAUAUAGGUGCAUCUUUCUUUUUCAUCUGUACUUCACAAGCUCUAUUAUAUGCAUCUGUUAACUUUUCUGUUUCUCAGUGUUAUUCAUAACCAUGUCGAGUGCUUUUUGCCCCUCUUGUAGGCUAACUUCUGCCCUCCGAAACCAAUUCGUGGUGGUAUACCAAUAUGCUUUCCUCAAGUAAGGCUGCAUUUUGUUAGAUCAAUCAUUUCUUUAUGAUUCAUCAGACGUGUGUAUUUUGAAUACCAAGAAGUUACUCCCGAAUGCAGCUUGGGAAUCAUGGAACUCUUGAACAACAUGGAUUUGCUAGGAAUCAUCUUUGGACUGUUGAUGAGAACCCACCACCUUUUCCUGCACAUACAUCUACUAAGGCUUUUGUUGAUCUGAUUUUAAAGCCAUCAGAAGAAGAUUUGAAGAAUUGGCCUCAUAGGUCUGUUUUCUCUUAAAUGGGAUUUAGGGCUAAUCUUGUUCAUCACUGUGGGGAAAUUUAUUUAUUUAUUUAUUUUAAUUUUCUAGUUGUUACUUUACUUUCUUCUAAUUUUGUACAUAUUAAAUUUUUUCCUUUCUUUACUGAAUUCUGUUGCCAAUUCCUGGUGAUUGCAGUUAUGAAUUUCGCUUGAGAGUUGCCCUUGGACCAGGAGGAGAUCUGAUGCUCACGUCCCGCAUAAGAAACACAAGUACUGAUGGAAAACCAUUUCAGUUUACAUUCGCAUAUCACACAUACUUCUCUAUCUCAGAUAUCAGGUUUGCACAAGCUCGUUCCUUAUUUAUCACACAUAUAUUACUAUUUGGAAUCCUUAAAAAGUCCAGGAAUGAAAUACUUGCAUGAUGUGCUAAGUUUCCAUUCAUCACAAUUCAGCCAACCAGAGUUCCAACCAGAGUUCCAACCAGAGUUUCCGUGUGUAUGAAAUAUAUUUAGCCAUUGUUUAAGUACAUAUUAUGUUGUGAGCCUAUUUCUAUUUUUGAGCGUGACCUCGAAUGUUCCCUUCGUUUCUUGCUUUAGGACCUUAAUAAUAGUUGAUGUUUCAGUGAAGUUCGUGUUGAAGGACUGGAGACAUUGGAUUACCUUGAUAAUUUGAGAGAGAAACAGCGCUUCACCGAACAAGGAGAUGCAAUCAUAUUUGAAUCUGAAGUAAGUUGAGCCUGAUAUUCAAUAUGUUUGAAAUGGUUGAUAUGCAAUACUUACGCCAUUGAUGGCAUAGGUGGACAAAAUAUAUUUGGGCGCACCACCGAAGCUUGCCAUUAUUGACCAUGAAAAGAAAAGGACAUUUGUAUUGCGGAAAGAUGAUGGGCUUCCAGAUGCCAGUGAGCCUUCCCUCCUUCCCCCUCCUCUUUCCUCUUUUUUUUUUUUCUCUCUUGGUUAUUAUGGUUCUCAGUAGUCAUGCUAGACCUGAGUACAGCCUGGGUUGGUCAAGGAUCAAGAGAAAAUUGGCUGGCCCAAGUGCAACCCGCAUUGCGAACUAAAAAUUGGCUGCGCUGGGCCAACCCAAAAGUGACUGGGCUGGGCUGGCUCAACCAAAAACAUUGUAGCCCAAGUAUGACCUAAAUCUUCUCUAGCCUCUGUUUUUCAAACCUGAUCUGGUCUAAUGAACUGGAUUGGGCUGAACCCAGCUCAAAAAGCCGAGCACGGCGGUGCGGAUCUUUUUGCUCAGGUCUGGUCUUGCAGUUUCUGUUUAACCUUCAUCUUACACGACUUAUUGGUGCCUCUCUCUCUCUCUCUCUCUCUCUCUCUCUCUCUCUCUCUACAGUUGUAUGGAAUCCAUGGGACAAGAAAGCCAAGGUGAUACCAGACCUGGGGGAUGAAGACUACAAGCAUAUGAUAUGUGUGGGGGCUGCGGCGGUCGGUAAGUCGAUCACAUUGAAACCUGGUGAGGAAUGGAGAGGGAGACAGGAGCUCUCUGCCGUUCCCUCCAGUUACUGCAGUGGGCAGUUGGAUCCUCGAAAGGUUCUCGAAGGUUUAUUGUAACUCACAUCUCGCUCAGGUUACUUUUUCCCCUUAUAAUGCAUUAUAACUACAAACGUAACAAGUCGAUGAUUUAGGAUAAAUUCGGUUAUUGGCAAAAUUUCGCGAAAUUUAGUGCCCCCAGCCGUUAAGUUAAUUAUGUGGGCAAUCUACAGAUUUUUCAUAGCUUUUUAUGGUUAAUAGAUUUGUUGAAUUGCAGGGGCUCUUGCUGCGCUUUCUCUUCCUUUCUUGUCAUCGUCAUCAUUCAGUGUGUUUUGCGGGACAGCAGAUCCUCAGAGCUGGAUUAGUAAAUUCCGCGUUCUAAAGAACUUUCAUGGAGAGGGAUUUUUUUUUUUAACACCUCGCCCCGCUGGGCACAAAAUAGAGGGCUGUUGUUUGGCUCAUCUAUUUCACGCUCUUUUCGAUGCAUAUCAUCCUGUUAAUCUGAAAAUCAUCCGGGAUAAAGAAGAGGCAUUAUAAAGUGUUUUUUUUUUUUUUCCCUUUUUAUUUUAUCUGUGGAUGUAUUUCGUGUGCUUUUAAAGCCUUUUUGCUGUAAAAACUUUUAGACUGGUGUUUGAAUUUUGGUGUUGUUCAUUGGUACUAGUACAGAGUUUGGUGGUUUAUUGUGUUCUUUUAUAAAAUAGCAAGGAUGUAAAGGUCAACUUCAAAUUCGCCAGUAGAGGUCUAGUGCUUUUUCACUUUUUCAUCUUGUAAUUCAAAAUUUGCACUCAGCUACUCUGCCGUUUUGUUUUAUUUUACUGUAAACCAUGUCGUUAAUUACGGUAGUGAAGUGAUAUAUUUUGUAAACCACAAGAUAAUACAAUAAGAUAUUUUAUCGUCGUAUAAUCUGUAUAUUAUCGUUCUGCGGUCGUCAAAGAGAGUAUCAGUUUACUACUCUGCGCAGCGAUGGAUUCUUAGCCUGCAUUAUAGUUAAAUGUAACUGCUUGAACUGUAGGAUGACGAAGUCAAAAGAGCCAAAUUAAACUUUUCCCAAAAUGAGGAAACAAUAAAUCAUUUAUUCAACUAAAUUUCAAUUUUCUGGGAAAAACUACCAAAAUGACUUUCAACUAAAAGUUUCAAUGCUAGUUUGAAAUACAGUGUUCGAGCAUGACAUCUAACCAGAAUAAUAAAUAUACUUGUCCUAAAAGUUCAUGAAGUAUUUAUUUAUUUAACAUUAUUUGUUAAGCUAAGUGAUAAUCCGGAGUAUAAGUAUAACAAAAGCAAAGCAGCAGCAAGAAUAAGGCUUUGUUUAGGAUUGCGGGGAGAUUGCAUUAUGUGCGGUGAGAAAGUGUAAUAUUACGUUCCGCAUAUCGCGAUGAAUCGAUUACGAUAUAUUUUUCUGCGGUCCUACCGGAGAACGCAGAAACAUAUUCCCAUAUGCUUUUUCCUCAACUCCAUUUUAUCUAAUAGCGUUAGAUAGAUUUUAAUACCAAACUAAGAGCAAAGGUGACUGACUCUCACCCUGCAAAUAUGGCUUUUGCACAUCUGCCCUUUCUGUUUCUACAAACAGAAGUCGGCCGGCUGGAUUCAUUGCUCUCUCUCUCUUUGCUUGUUUUGGAAGAUCAAAGUGCAGACAGAAUGAGACACCCAAAUGUUACAGUCAGAAUUGGCAACCACAGCACCAGUGGCAUUAUUAGUGGAAUCCACAUCCACAUUCAUGAUUCAUUAAUGUUAGCUGUCACAUCCCACAUCUAGCUCAGAGUUUUCCUCCAUUGAUCUAAGAACAGCAAAUUUACACCAAUGCCUAGAUAAUUUGCAAAACAUCACAAAGUCACCUUUUCAUUUAAUGAUUUCUUUUUGUUAAUGAAGUUCUUCCAGAUUCGUCUGUAGAUAACUUCUGCACAAAUAGCAUUCUGUCCGGCGAUUUGUUUUUUUGAGAGAUAGAUAGCACGCUACUCGCUUCGUUUAUUUCAUUUAGAAAUAAACUUAGUUGAAAAUGUGAAUCAACUACGAUUCGAACUUGGGUUCUCAGAUACCAACCACAAAGUCCUUCGCCACUUGCUCUAGAGACGGUCUAUUGUCCGGCGAUUUGUUAAUAUACCGCUUUAUAUAUAUAUAUAUAAAGAGAGAGAGAGAGUAGGACUACUGUGCUAUUAGGAGCACAGCAGCCCUUGUGCUCCUAACUUUCUAACCACCCAUCAAGUUUGAUGGGUGGUUAGAAUGAGAGAAAAAAGAGAUAUUGAAGAGAAAUUCAAGGAGAAGAGAAAUUGAAACACCCAAUUUCUUCCCAAUAUCUCAUCUCUCUCUUGUUCUAAUCAUCCAUCAAACUUGAUGAGUGGUUAGAAAGUUAAGAGUACAAGGGCUGCUGUGCUCCUAAUAGCACAAUAGCUCAGAGGCCAGGAGAAUUUGACCUAGUUAAUUAAUGUGCUUUGCGCUUUGCAAAUAUGAGAACAUAUGGUGAUGUUAGGGAAAUUAACUUCUUAUCUUUUACUUAAUUCUUUUGACAAAAAAAGAGAUAUAGCAGGAAUUUAAACCCACAAUGGGUCAUUCAUGCUCACAAGAAAUAACCACCACUUUAACCCUCUUUUUCAGAACAAAGUCACUUUAUUUAUCUUCUUUUUAGUCCCUACAACCCCCCUUACAAAUUCAAAGAGAGGGAAAGCAUGGUUAAUUUCCCCCUUUAUGUACAUGUACAUAUGUGGAUGCCCAUGCCAUACAUCUCAACAUAAGUACCAACCUUAUUAAUUGUAGGGAGGGAGAGGUGAGGGAUGAGAUGAGCUCAAAACCUAAAGCUUAAAUAUGUUCUAGUCUCAUCAAGAUGGACCAAAUUGAUGGGAUUGGCUCAGCUCGAGUAUUUUCUAUUGGACCGCGCCCGGCGUAGACCGGUUCGACCAGGUCGACCGCCUCGGGAACAACCGCCUCCGCUGCUUCAGAUUGCGCGAGAGCUCCAUCUCCGACCGCAGUAUCUCCCACAUCACUUGCACAUCCUGAUACCCGCAAGUUUGCACGUCGUCGUGAAGCUUAAGAAUGCCACUACCUGCGCGAAAAAUUACACGAAAUUGUUUAAGAAAUAACCAGUACAGUUAAAUAACUUACAAAUGGAUUAAAUUGUAAUGAUCUACAUGACAAUCAUUUGUGCAAUUCCAUUUCAAAUAAUAAUGUCUCACAAAGUGUUAAUUAUGUUGUGACACUGAUAGGAGUUGGUUUUUAUUGCUUUACAAACAAUUCUUUUUAUCUUUUUGGGCUUCAUAACCAAUUAUAAUCUGAUAUAUAAUAACUCUUCAAUUAUAAUAUAAUAAAAGAGCAAUGUUGUAGCCAGGUAAAAAUGAACUUUUUUUUCUCUCUUUUUUUUUUUUUGUUUUUGUGAAGUUUCAGGAUUGGAAGGUCCCCAAAAAUUCAAUGUGAUGCACUAUUUUCACUUUGGAAUUAAGGAGAUAUUUAUUUGGUGAUACUAAAUUAGGUAUCACCUCUUUAAGAUAAAAAUAGAAGUAUCAUAUUUGGAGGAAUUAAACCACUAAAGCAUUGUAAUAACAGUAAAGCAAAUGAUCACUGAACCCAUUUACAGUAGGUGGAGAAAAUUAACCAAGAAGCAGACAUUAACUCAUACAUUUAAACUAGUACACUCAAUAAAUAAUAUUUAGAUAAAUUUAAAUAUGUCUAAACUCAAAUCUCUUAUAAAAGAAAGUAAAAAUAGAAAAUGUUGUGAAACUCUAUAUCUCUCUAUUUAUUAAUUGAGCUUUAAUAAACAUAAAAAUCUUUUCUUUUUCUUUAAAAACCCUCAUGAUUUCCCUUAAAAUUUCCCAUCUGUAAUUGAUAUAAAUUUCUCCAUUGAAUGAAUAAAAUUCUUAAAAGGUACAUAUCCUUAUAGAUUGACUUGGGAAAUGAGAAAACAUUAUAAUUAAUUAUGGAAAUAGGUUGAAGAUAUUGAUUUGUGUGUGUCAAAAAUAUGUGGGGAGGGAAAUAAUAAAAAUAAAAAAGAAAAGAUUUAAUAAAAAAAAGACAUAAAAGAUAUUUUAAUAGGUUUUCAAACUAACAAAGGAGAGCAUAUUACCUAAUCAAUCAAGAGGUCCUAAACAAAUGAGAUACCUAAAAAUGGAUGGUGGAUAUCAAAAGAAAGAAGAGAAAAUGCUUUGUCCAACUCCCAUCUAAUUGUAUGGACUAUGGACCAUUCACCAAUUCAUAGACUCCAUAUUUAUCCAUCCUCCUCAAAAUAAUUAAAAAUAAUUUAAUAAUAAUAAUAAUAACAACAACAACAACAACAAUAAUAAUUAGUAUUAUGAUGUUUCAUUAAAAAAAAAAGAUAUUUUAAUAUAUAAUAAAUCAUUUAAAAACCUAUAAGCAAGUAGCUUUUCAAACUAACAAAGGAGAGCAAAAAUCCUAAUUAAUAGGUUAGUAAUAUAAUUUCAUAACCAGAGAGACUUAUUAAUACAUAUUUAAUUAACCAUAGGUUUAUCUAAUUAGAUCACUAUUCGUUAACUGAAUUUAGCAAAAUUUAAUAAAAUCUAAAUUUAUUCCUUGCAAAUUUUGGCCUUUUGCGAUUUCACUCAGCUCCUACUUUCACAAAAUGGAGUGUAAAUUAAUAUAAAAAAUAAGAUAAGAUAUAAAUAAAUCCUAAGAAUUAAAUAUAUGUACCAAUUCGUAAAAUAAAUGAAAAAAAUAUUGAUUUAAAAAAAAAAAAAAGGUGGUGGUGAGUUAGGGGAGGUGAGGUUACCGUCCUUCCGGGCCUUGACCCGGGCGGCGACGGCGAGCCACGCACGCUUGACGGGGAAGACGACUUUGUUGUGCCACCACGCCAUCACCCGCGCCCCGAUCCUCCUUCGCCGUAGGGCGGCGCACCCGACCGCGACACCCCCCAAUCGCCCCGCCAGGUCCUCCGAAUCUCGUCCUCUGCCGCCGUUGCCGCCGCCUCUGCCUCUGCCGCCACUGCUGAUCCUUCGGUAACCUCACCGCAAAGUUACCCCUCUCACUCGCAAUAAUUUAUUUUUAUUUUUUGAUUAUUUUUUGCUCAUUAUUAUUGUUAUUAUUAUUAUUAUUAUUCAUCUCUCCUCCACCACUUUGUACUUUGGAGAUCUAUGAAGAGCUCUCUCUCUCUCUCUCUCUCUCUUUCUCUCUGUGGCUCUUUUAUCGGUGUAGAUUCCACAAGUUGUUGUGAUGAUACACGGUCACCACCGGUUUUUAUUUUAUUUUAUUUAUUUUAUUUUUCUUUUUUUCCUCCAAUCGAGGUUUGACACGCUCCACGCAUGUGGGGCCCGGUUUGUAAUUUUGACACGUGUGGGUUGUACUAUUCGGGCACAAAAAUCAACAGGGCCUCUAACAUGGGAGAUUUUAUUUGAGGAUCUUGGAUAUUUCAUCAAAUUUUGUUGCCCCAAAUAAGAUUAUAGUUAUGUAUUUUUUAAAAAAUUUCUUUUUUUACCAUAAUAUUAUUGUAUUACUUUUGCUUAGAUUUCUAUAAUUUUGAUGGGUUAAUUUGAUUGGUUGUAUUUGAAUUCUACGUGAAAUAAUAAAUAUAAAAAAUAUAGUUUCCUCAAGUAGUAGAUAAGCAAAUUAAAUUUUUACUCAUCGCUUCUAUCCGCAUAUUAAUAACUACUUCUAAAUAGCGACAUCAAUUCUAUAAUAUAAUAUAUUUUACCAUUCCAAUGUAUAAUAAUAAUAUAAUUAUUUUGUGCACUUUUUUAAUGAAAUCUUAACGGUAUCAUUUGUUUUGGGAAUAAUAUUAUAUAAUUAACAUUAAUAAACAUUUUAACCAUGAAGGAAUUAAAAAGAUUAGACAGUAUAAUUAAAAUUUCUAGAGAACUUAGAUAUCCAUCUCAAAAAAUGCGCCAUAGUCUUUGUAAGUUUUGCGAUAUAUAUAAAAACCACAGAACAAUAAAUUAAUUCAGCUUAAUUCUCAAAUUCUCUUACUCAAUAGUCUUAAAUAUGCUAGGAGGUCAUGGAUCUCUAUGAAUUGCGAUGAUCCAACUUCAUCACCUUUGCUAUGGUGCGUUGAUGGAGAAAUCUCGGUGAUUUUUGACCAGAAUCAAAAAAUCAUCUCCUAAAAAAUAUUCCAUCUAUUUGUCUAAAACAACAUCGAAAUAAACAUGUGAUCAUACCUCGUGAUGCAAUGAUCGAUCGACCCAAUCAUGUAGUCCUAUAUAUCGACCGUGACGUACGUGAUGACUUAGUCUAUCAUAGAGUUCCACCGACCGUGACACACUGGCAUACUUCUGUAUUGUACGUACGAAAGUGCUUUUAGUUUACCCAUCAUUUCUAUUUGAGGGCUCUCAUACAAUUUUAUUUUAAUUAUUUUUAUGCUUUUUUGAACUAUAUUAGUCCACCGGGUCACCGGUGAAAAUUUUCAAUUUAAACAAUCUAACCAAUAUGUCUAGCUGUAAAUACUUCUCAAUUUGAUUAAAUUACAGAUAAAUAGAUCUUCUGGAUUGAGAUUCUUUUUUUUAGAGAAAAAUAUAGCAUGCUAUACGCUCCAUUCAUUUUCUUUUUUUUAGAAAUGAACUUAGCCAGUAGUGCAAAGCAACUAUAUAUCGAACUUGGGAUCUCAGGUACCAACCAUCAAGUCCUUUGCCUCUUACGCCAGAGAGAAUCGAUUCUUCUUGCUGAGAUUUGGCAUGAGAUGCUAGACCGUCAGUAUCUCAAUAGCGAGGCACAUCUGGGGUGGGGAUUGGAGGAGUCAUGAGUUCGACUCUCUGAGUUCCACUCUUGGUGCGAGAACUUCGGUUAAGGUUGUAGGGCACUAAGCUCUCAAUUAUCCAAAAUAUAUGAUAAUAAAUAUAUAAAGGAAAAAAAAAAAAAAAGAAUGUAUGAGCUUGGGGGGGUCCAUGGCGUAGUCGGUGAACCGGGCUCACGCGCCGCCUCGGUCUUCCCCCCUCUGCUCGUGAGCUCCGUACGAGGGAGGCCGACCAAUCAAGCGACCGACGAGGCUAUCGACUCGACACGUGGCGGAAAUCCAUUGGCGGCCUCUCCCCGUUCCGCUUUGUUUUUUUUGACUCGUGUCGCACACGUGGCGCUCGCCGCCUCGGUGUGCGCGCGUAUCUUUCUCGUGUUCGGUCGGGGAGGGUGACCCGAAGUGGGCCCCAACCACUCCCCUCCCCCAACCCAAAAGUGGGACCCACCCCCCACAUCCCCACCACAAGUGGGACCCACGUUUUCCGCGCGAAUUCCUCGGGCGAUUAAUCGCCUCGAUCUCUCCCACGGCCCCCGAUCCGGGUCCAACGCUUGCCCCGCAAUUUCCACGCUAUUGUGUGGUUCUACGCAUGUUGUUUGAUUCAACAACGUAUGCAUGAUUAGGGAAAUAGAUGCAGCACUGGUAUAGCAAUUCGUGCAAUACGGCGGAUGAAUAAUUAAAAAAUAUAAAAAAUAUCAAUAAAAAAAAUAGCAAUAAAAAAAGUGAUGAUGAGGGGCGUGAUUUAUCUUACCGUUGAAUGAAAGGAACAGCUGAAAGAAAAAAAAAAGAAAGGACUUAAGCUGGUUUGAGGUGGAGCCCACACUCAACUAUGAAGGAAAAGUUGUCAUGCGGUAAUUUUUGGAAAAAUAAUGUAUAAGUAUAUAUAAAUUGGAGUUGAGCUAGAAUACUAUCGAUAGCAAACGGGCUUCGUUGCCACCCAUUUGUUUUUGAUGAUAGAGCCUCCAAAUCGAUGAUCGGCAUCGUUAAACAUGAUCUAUACAACUUGAAGUGUUUAGAAAUCAAAUUUCAAAUCUUUUCGACAUCAUUUGCCUAAUGAUCAAAGGGUUUCAAAAUUUGUAGUUUUAAUGGUCGAUAUGAGGUGUUUUCUCGUUUAACGGCGUGAAGAUAUCCAAAUCAAUUGAAUUUUUGUUAGAAAAUUCUUUAAACUAUUUAAAACAAGAUCUAAACUCUUGAUCUUGAUUACAAGAUUCCUAUCAUCAUUUUUUAAAGAAUAUUCAUUUUCAACCGUUCAUUUUUGUGUCCACUCGAUGAAUAAAAGAACAAUAUCGGAAAUAUAUGAAAUUUGAUUUCUAAACACUUUAAGUAGUAUAGAUUAUGUUUAACGGUGCCGAUCAUCGAUUUAGAGGCUCCAUCAUCGAAAACAAAUGGGUGUCAACGGAGCCCGUUUGCUACCCAUAGUAUUCUAGCUCAACUUAUAUAAAUUAUUGAGUCUACUUAGUGGGAAAAAAAAAAAAAGAGAGAAUGAUCAUACAUGUGGAGGCAUAAAGGGCCGGGAUUGUUCCAUGGGAAUGUUCGUAUUAGUUUGUUUUAGUUUGAUUGUUAGGUUGAAGUGUCGCGAUCAUCGUUGUUAUUGUCAUUGGCGAUUUGAUUUAUUCUUCGAUGAUGUGAUAGUCGAUUGAUCAGAUGAUCAAAUGCAAGCUAAUUAGAAGUUACAUAUGUACGUAGAUCUCAUAAGAGCCGUUGAGUGUGAGAUAAGUGAUCGAAAGUCUAGUGCCAUCUGAGCUGUCUGUAUUAUGUCAUACAAUUUUGUGGAAAAAAAGACAAAAGUUCUUAUACUGCUGUUCUUUUUUACGUGAUUCGCAGAUGUUCUUAUAUUGCUGUUGUUUUUUACGUGAUUCGCAGAGUAAAGAUAACGUAGUUCGUGAUGUGAUAUAUCAAGGAAAGUUAAAAAGUGAUCAUCAAUAUAAUUGUAACUUUUGAAUAUAUAACUUUGCGAUUUGUGGAUAAUGUUUGUUACCAAAUUAAGGAGAGGACCUACUUUUGCAAUAAAUGUUUAAGGGAGGUUAAAAAUUGGCAAUUGUUGGAGAGUAUAAAUAGAUAUCAAAUAAAUCGAGGUAUUGAGGCGUGUGUCAACACUUUCGUUAAGCUUGAUAUUUACCCGCACUCAAAAAUAUGCAGAAGGAUUAAUGAGAAAUCACCUUCAGGAUACAAUAAUACCACCGAAGCAUGCAAACGACACUUUUAAAGAUUUUUUUAUCAAAAAAUUUCUCUCUUAAGAAUCAAUAUAAAAAAAUUGGGAUAAAAAAAGAUUGGUUAUGUUGCCUUGAAGCCUUCGAAUAUCUUCUAUUUAUAAAAUAUGAAUAAUUACGAUAAAAAAUUGGUUACGAGAAAUGAUUGGUUAUAUUGCUUUUAUUAGAAGACACUGAUUAAAUAGUAUAAAAAUAUAUAAUAAAUCUCUAUGGUAGACUCAUUAUAAAUUUUUAUCAAAUUAUUUUUAAUUAUUUUUUAAUUAUUGUUUUGUAUUUUAUUAUUUUUAUAUUAAAAUGAGUUGAAUAUAUUCUCUGUCACUUUUAAUCAGUAUUUUUUUAACAGUUCUAAUAUAAGUUUAUGGAUUUGCUGUUUAUAGUGUAAAAAAAAAAAACAAAUGUACUUCUCCAAAAAAACUAGAGUGUGAGAAAUGAGUACAAUGUAAUAUAGUAUUAGUAAGCUUUAAAUGUAAAAUGUAUGUUUCAUAUGUCACAUCAGAAAAUGGAAAACCUCUCUAUGGAUGCUAGCUUGGAUGAAAAAAAAUCCUGAUGUAUGGUCUUAGGGGCCAUCUGGUUAGAUACAAUUAAAAAUAUAGUGUAAUGAUAUAUGCAUAUAAUUAAAAAUAAAAAUCUAUAACCAUAUAUAUAUAUAUAUAUAUAAAGAAUAAUUAGUGUGGUAAUCUUAUAAAUUGUUUAACGUUAAUUAUUCUUUCUAACUAUUGCAUUUUGAAAUUGCUCAAUUUGAGUAUAAUUCCAACUACAGUAGGAUUCAAAUAAAUCAAAUCAAAUUUUAGAUUUGAAUCUGAAUAUAGUUACAACUAUAUUGUAAUUACUAUUCCACGCAAUCGAACAGACAUUUACUGAGUUCCUUAACUCACCCCAUUUUAAUCCUCUAUUUAUUUAGGGAAAACUUCAAAAACCCCCCCUGUGGUUUCAUGCAUUCUCACUUUCAUACCCUGUGGUUUAAAACGUAUCAAUUUGCCCCCCUGUGGUUUCAUUUUUUUCUUUUUGUUAUCAAUUUUAUUAUUAUUUUUUUUUAAAUCAGUGACAAAAUUAAAAUUAAAGGAUACUAAAGUGAAUAUUCGAUAAAUAUAGAUGGUUAUUUGAAGUUUUUUGUAUAUAAUUUAACGAAAUAUUAACGAAAAAGCUUCUGAAAAGAUAAAAACGAAACCACAGGGGGGCAAAUUGAUACGUUUUAAACCACAGGGUACUAAAGUGAGAAUGCAUGAAACCACAGGGGGGGUUUUUGAAGUUUUCCCAUUUAUUAUUUUGUCACAGUUUAGUUUAUUCAAAUUAAUUUUGGCCUACAAAGGCUCAUCAACUGCACUUUUGCAGUAUGUCCAUAUAUACACAGCACUAAUCAAUUAUUUUUCUGAGAAAAUAUUCAUAAUAAACACAGUAAGUUGGACUUAGUCAAAUAUUUAAUGCUAUAUAAAUAUAUAAUAUAUAGCAUCAAAGUUGCCGUAGCAUCAAUCAAUUAUGCUAUCCUAUGUUCACAAACAUUUUGAUAGGCACUUGUGUGGUUCUUAAAGUUAAACGUAUAGGUUUACUAUUUCGAACUAAAUAUCACUACAUGAACACUAGAAGAUCCCUAAAAUUUGCUUAGAAGUUAUGAUUAUAGAGAAAUACUAAAGAGUGUCAAUUUUAUGCCCCCUCGACCUACGGGUUAGAAAAUUUCUAGAUUUUUAGUAUACAUAAAAAAGUUACAAGAUAAAGAACGAUCUAAUAUGGAGCAUCUGAUGAAGGAUUAUAUGAUUUAUAUAUAUUUUUUGGUGUGUAUAAAUAAUAUUGCUCAUGAUUAUAUAGGCGAUAGUUAGUAGAUAAUUUUUUUUUUUGUUUUGUUAAAAAAAUUACAGGCAUGGCACGUACAAACUCAGUAGACAUCAACUCUUAAAGGCUAAAUGUAUAUAUUCAACUGAAAAAUACCACAUGCUGUGUUAAUUCAUCAACGUUACAUUCUAGGGGACCUUUUGGGAUAUAUUGAGGAUUACUCUUUUAAACCUAGAUAGAGUUAGGAAAAGAUAAAUCGAAAAUAAAAUUACUCCAGCAAAUUAAAUUUAUUAAAUCCAACCAAAUCUAGUUGGUGAAUACUUAUAAUUUCAAUGAGUCUCUCUAUUAAUGAAAAAAAAAAACUAAUACUUAGGAUGCUCCUUACACUUGGAAAUUGAUAGUGACAAAGGUGAUUUGCUAUUGAUAGGGCAACUACAAUAUAUCGUAUCAAAAUUUGGUCAAUUUUGCGCAGCUAAUAUGAAUUUUCUUUAUAUAUGUGGCUUUUUCUUUAUAGCGCUACUAAUAUGCUUAACUUUAACAUCCGAAUUAAUCAAUGAUUGUCAUCUUUACAUAUAUAUAUAUAUAUAUAUAUAUAUAUAUAUAUAUAUAUACCAGCAACUUUUAAAAAACCGCCCUUGGGGGUACGGCAAUCAUAACACGACGAUUUUGUGCGGGUAGGACAAUCAAAGAUCGUUAUAUAUGUGGCUCUUUUAUAGCCGCAAAUACGCCGACCGUAACGUGCGAAUCAGUCACGCAAUCGAGAGCUAAGCAUGCAUGUCAGCAUAUCAACGACUUGUUUAAGAAAUGUUGCGAGGGUAUAAUGGCCAUAACAAAGUGAUGUAUUAUAUUUGAAAACAACACAACGAUUUGAAAAUGAUAGCUAUAGCACAAGGUGGUCAUGAGGUUUACUUGUUAAGUAAUGCUAGAUGACUACUGUUGCCGACAAAAUAAAGGAGAUCUAAAUCCAACUCAACCAUAUCAAAAGAUUUGGGCAAAGAUACGCGCGCGGCGACCCCUUGUCAAAAUCGCCGAGGAAUCGCCGUAGUAGUUGGAGACCGUUGGAACAAAAAUAAAAAAAAAUAGAAAAGAAAAAGAAAAAUCGAACGAAGCUAUAUACGCCUCCUCUACGCGCCAGCCGAGGUCAAAGAACCCUGUCGACUACGUUGACCGCCGACCCGACGAGAUCCGCCGUCCGUUUGGGACACGUGGGAGAAUCGGAGGACGAGUGGAUCGGAGGCACGUGCGUCUCGCGUGAGGAGUAGGGUUGCAAAUGGAUCCGAAUUGGUGGUGCGUCCCGCCCCGAUCCGUCCCGAGUGAGACUGUACGCGAGAAAUAUAGAAAAAUAUAAUUUGUUCUGAAUAUAUUUCGAUUGCUAAGAAAAAAAAAUCAAGUUCUUUGAUCAGUAAAAAAAUCUGUAAAAAAAAUUUGCUCUUGUCUUGAUCUGCUCAAAUGGAGCAGUAAAUAGGAAUAAGAUAUAAAAUAAAAUAUAAAUUAAUAUGCUUUGAUUUGAUAAAAAACGGUGCAAAAAGAGAAAAUCCCUUCAGUCCACAGAUCCGUCCCGUUUGCAUACCUAGUGAGUGAGGAGUCAUUUGUGGGCGAUGUUGGUGAUGUGGCAGAGUAUGAUCACAUGUACCUACGCCACCACCUUUUUAUGAUUAAAGAAUACGCAUAUGAUGUGAUUUUUCUAUCGGCGUAAGCAUUUUAAGAAAAUCUUAUUUAUCAGUGGCGGAAUGAAAAUGAAAGCUCUUUAAAAUAAUUUUACCAUUUAUUGGACAAGAGAAUGCAAUAAGAGCCCGUUGUACAUAGACAACAAGUUCGAAAGCGAUAUUACCCACAAAGUCAAAAUAAUACGAAUAAUUGUAUCGGACAAGUUUAGCAUUGUGAGUGCAUGGUAUAGAAUAUGUAACGCUUCAUUUCAAUAUCCUAGCAAUUUAUUUAAAUAGAAUUUAUGCAUUUUUUUUUAACUUUUGUUUUCUCAAAUCAAAACAUUGAAGCUUUUUUUUUUUUACAUCAUUGUACAAUUUUGUCAGCUAUAAUUUCUUAAAUUAAUAUAUUAUAUUUAUUUUAUUCAGAAAAAAUGAUAUAGAAAUCAUAACAGAUCAUGAAUCAACAUAUUAACCUACAACAAAAUUAUAUUAUUGAUACAAAAAUAAAAUCCUACAUUUCCACCAAAUUAAUGUUUAAGUUCUUUUGCUCGAGGAGAAGUUUAAGACUUUAUUUAAAUCAUAGAAGUCGAAAGCACAAUCUCUUUUUAUGAAAGCAUAAAAGAGGAGGGAUCGAACUCGCGGCCUCAAAGAACCACAACACUAGAUUCGUGUUGCUUUUUUUUACUCUCUCUUUUUUUUUCUUUUUUUUUUACAGUGUGAAUAGGUGACUUAUUGCCACCAUAUGAAUGUCGGCAAAGUUGUUUUUAUUAACAUCUAGAAGUUUUGGGACUCCUCUUGAGAAUAUAAUUUGGGCCCUACGUACUAAUAUUCUUAAUGAAAUAAGUACAUUAAUAAAUGGUACAAAAGUGCAACAAUUAACUCUACAAGAUGGAAAAUUAAUUAUAAAAAAAAACAACUGGUGCAUAACUUGAGAUGGAAGGUUAUAGUAAAUAUUAACAACCACACUUUUACUUGAGAAAAAUCAGAUUUAUUGAAUAUGGUAAACUUCAACUAGAAAAUAAUAAUAAGAUUAUAUAUAUAUAUAUAUAUAGUGUUUAAAUUUGUCUAAUUUUUAUUCUAAUUUGAAGAUGUGACAUUGUACCAAGAGGUUAGAAAUAAAGGCUCCACCAAUUAAUAGGUCUAGGAACAAUUUUAUAACAUGAUUUGUAUAUAAAUUAUAAGGGGCUAAACCAUUGGACCCACUAACAAGUACACUGUAGCUUAGAAUUUUUUCUGGGGCAUUUUGAUUACAUGAUUUGACACUUAAUAAGUUAAAGAUUAAACAAAAAUCCCUUUUUAAUAAAUAGAUUUGAGAAAAACAUUAAAAAUACUAUUCUCCGAUAGCUUUCGUAAAGUUCUAAUCUUGAAAGCUUUUCACAAAAUGCAGUUUUUCAAGGGUAGACGCUGUUAUCCGUUAGGUUUACAUUUUAUGUUUUGGAAGCUAUAAGAUAGAUUUUAAAAAGAGCAUGGUGGUCACGCUAUACUAGUAAUUCGAAUCUAAUUGAUAAAGAAAAUAAUAAUCGCUAAUAAUAUUCUUAAACUUCAACAAAUGAAAGAGGCUCGAAACAAUCCAAAAACUCUAACAUAAUUGCGAACAUUAAUCGAUUGAUUGAACUAAUCUUAAUUGCUUGUAAUUGUAAACAAAAGCUAUUUGACGAGAUCCGUUCGAUCGAAACAAGGUGAUCGAUCAGUCUCAAGAUGAGGGCAACCAAAAUGCCCUCAUAACAAGGUCAUACUUUUUGAUCAAAAGCACUUUUCAACAAUGAAAACUAUCCAUUUAAUCCAUCCUUUUUUUUAAAAAAAAAGGAAUUAAAACACUAAUAAUUACUAAAGUUCUUAUAUUUGAAAAGAAGAAAGAAAAUGAGCAGCUAUCAAAACAUAAGAGAGUGUUACAUGCUUUAAUUAAUGAAAGAGACCUCACAAGUGAAAAGGAGAAAAGGGUAAUUAACACUAAAGCAUCUCCCACUCUUCUCCACUAAACCAUAUUAUGAUAGAUUCAUCCAACAAUGAAGAUAUUCCAAGUGAGUGGUCUCUCUCUCUCUCUAGAAUGUUACAUCUUUUAUUUUUUCCUUGUAUAGUUUAUAUUAUUUUUCUUCUUUAAUUUCCACUAGAAAGUUCAUAAGAGAUAAACAUCACUAAGUUCCCUUUUUUUUUUUUUUGAGUGCAUGCAUGAAGUUUCCACUGUGUUGUUAUGGCCAAAAAAAACACACUUAUCAGUGGGCUAGUGCAGUGGCAAUAUAAAGAGUUACUUGGAUAUAUACUGUUGUUGGUAAAAAAAAUUAUAUAUUUACAUACUCCAAACAACAUGUUUCUAUUGCUGAAUAUAAAAUAUUAAAACACAUUCUCCUAACGGUCUAAUCUUUGUUUCAUACAAUUGAAUAUGAGAUCAGAGCACAAAGUUCUUGAGUUCGUAUUGUGGUUCAUCAAAAGUGACAACUUAAUUUCUAUUUUUCACUGUAUCAGUAAGUGCUAGAGUUUUCUAUGUUGAAAAUGGCAUGUGUUAAGUAUAAUGUGGCUGCUGGAAGAUGAAGGAGAAUAAAGCAAACCUGCAGCAACUGGGCACAGAUUUGCUGAGAAGGAAGGCCACUUGUGACAUGCUAAGAAGUGCUUAUUGAGUUGAGAAGCAAGUGUGUUUUGGGCUCACAUAAAUGCUAUUCUAUUUAUUAUACUCAAAAGCCACUCAUUUGUCCUUUCAGAUUAGGCUGUACAUGUGCGAAUAUCUUAUUCUGUGUAUUACUUUAAUUUAAAAGUUUUAAAAAUUGCGAGCAGAAUGUUGAGGUAUAAACGGGACAGAUCUUAUGGUGAUAGACUCGUUUGGUGUUCUACACUAUCGCCAUCGCCAAAUUUACCGUGCCUCCUAUCCUAUUCCUAUCUUCAUGACACAGUAAAAUAUACGUCUCACAAUCCGCCCGCCUAAAAAUUCACCUUAUGUUUGCACUACGAAUCCGCCCCACAAACCAAUUAUUUUAUUCAAAUUAAAGUUAAAUACAGUUAAAUUUGUUUAUUAAUUUAAUUAAAACCAAAGUUAAGAAAAAUAAAGGUAUCAUAAAAGCAACUCUCUCUUAAAUCACACUUAUUUUAGACAAAAAAAAGGUAAUAUAUUUAAGACGCAAGUAAUAUUCUAAAAACAUAGUUAAAUUUUGUUUUAUUUUGUAGUUUAAAUAUUUAUUCAGGGCAGAUCAUUUUUUUUCUUUUUUUCUUUUUUUCACUAUCUCCUGUCCCGAAUCCUUUUCGGGUCAGAAAAAUACCCUAUUUACCAUUCCGAAUCCAUUUAUGCCCCUUACUGACCAGUUACCACCCCAUUCGGAUCGGAUUAGGGUGGGAGCUCCACCCGACCCGAGUGAUAGAAUAGAGUAGUAGCAAAUAGGUGAAGUUAAUUAAGUUCGUUGGUGAAGGAUACAAAUGGGCCCAGAAAAAUAUAUUGGCCCAUAGGCUUCGCCAUGGGCCCACCUGUGUUUAAGCCCAUGCUCUUUUAAGCGAUCGAUCCUCCACGAAUCUCAAAGUACGUCAGAGGAACGGAGUGUCUUCGCGAAUCUUAAAGAGCUCCUUCACACUGACAUGUGGGGCCCAAACGUCAUUCAUUGUGGUAUGUAUAUAUAAAGCUCCUCCUACUCCACGUGGCCCCGCCACCGCCUCUACCCACUCCGAUGCUCCUCCGCCCCUUCAAAUCCCCUCUCCCCCGACCGAUCCCCCUCCUCUCCCCUCCCCACUCCCCUUCUCUCUCCCCUCUCUCUCCCUCUCGCUCCGCCAUGGCUCCCUCGACCCUUCCUCCCCCUCCCUCUCCCUCCGCCUCUUCCCCUCCCGCACCAAGGGCGCCUCCUUGGUCCUCCCUUCCCUCCCCCUCAAGGUCGCCAUUGAAGCCCUCCGCAUGGUCCUCGCCUCCGUCUUCGAGCCCCGCCUCGCCACCUACGCCUACGGAGGCCGCGGCCCCGCCAUCGGCCGCCACACCGCCGCGCGCUACCUCAAAUCCGCCGUGGAGAGCCCCUCCUGGUGGUUCCGCGUCGCCCUCCGCCGCGAGCCCUUUGGCCCUCGCCAUGUGCGCCGCCUCUGCGCUGCCAUUGCCGAGAAGGUCGACGACCCCGACCUCCUAGCCCUAAUUGAGCGCCUCUUCACCUCGGAGGCGCUCGCGAUCGAGCUCGGCGGGGCCCAGUUGGCGCGGGGGUUCCCCCAGGAGAGCGGCCUCGCCCCGAUCCUCCUCAACAUCUACUUCGACGCCGUAGAUCGCGAGAUUCAGAAGAUUCGAGAGGAGGUGCACAAGAGAAACCCUAGGCUUCGAUCCCUGCCGAAUGAGGAAGAUUCUAGGGUUUUCCACCGACCCAUUAGGGUUUAUGCCGUUAGGUACUUGGAUGAGAUACUGGUCGUCACCUCGGGAUCGAAACUUUUCACCAUGAACAUCAAAGAUAGAAUUUUGAAGCUUCUAGAAGGGGAAUUGGAGCUUAUAAUCGACAAAUUGGGGACGUCGAUCCACAGCGCGGUUUCGGAGAAGAUGGAGUUCAUGGGGAUGGAGCUUCAAGCAGUUCCUCCUUCGGUUCUAAACCCUCCCUUAUCCGAAAAAGCCAUUAGGGCUAGGAAGAAGUACUUAAAGAGGAAGGCGGCGAAGGCGCAAGAGUUAAAAAAUGCCCGCGAGACCAGGAGGAAGAAACUGGGGUUGAAGAUACUAAACCACUUGUUCAAGAAGCUCAAGCGCGGGCAUGCCGUUGAAUGUGGUUUCCGAAUCGAAAGUGAGGUUAGAGAUAUUUUUAGGGGUUGGGCCGAGGAUGCGGUGAAAGAAUACUUUUCGUCGAAGGAGCAUUGCUUUUAUUGGCACCGAAUGCUCACCAGAGGUGAUUUUUUGUCUUUGAAUAGAAUAAGGGAUCAGUUGCCACCGGAGCUGGUUGAAUCCUACGACCAGUUUCAAGAAAAGGUCAAUAAGUAUUUGAUGCCUGCAUGGGCUAGUAGAGCUUUCGAGGAAGAAGAAGAGAGACGAGCUGAGGAGGAAGAAGAGAGGAGAUAUGCUAAGAGGACCGUCGAUGACUUGACGGAGUUAAAGAUGAGGGUGAAUGCACCUAUUGAGCUUGUGAGAAGGGCGGUUAAAUUGGCCAAGUUCACUAAUUCGAUGGGUCGGCCUCGUCCCAUCAAGCUACUACUGUGUUUGGAUGAUUCCGAUAUCAUCAAAUGGUAUGCGGGAGUGGGGAGGAGGUGGUUGGAUUUCUUCUGCUGUUGCAAAAACUUCAAAAUGGUUAAGACCGUCGUUAAUUACCACUUGAGGUUCUCUUGCUUCUUAACGUUGGCGGAGAAGCACGAGUCGACCAAAAGACAAGCAAUUAGCCAUUAUACGAAGGAUUUAAAAGUAAUUAACGAUAAUGGAGAGGCAGAAGUGCACUUCCCGACCGAGAAGGAGAUCAAAAUGAUGGGCGAUAAGAAUCUUGCGGAUCCAAAACCUGUUGAUGGCGCUUUGUCCAUGAUUUUGGUCAGGCUCGCAGUCGACGAGCCUAAGUGCACGUGCUUGGCACAUUUCUGUACCAGAAGAGAUACCGUGCUCUAUCGAGUGCGGCUACUUCAGAACAGAUUGAAUGUGGACCCCAUGAACGAGAAGAAGUGGGUGCCGGGGAUGGGUGCGAUUCACGAGAGUCUGAAUAAGAAGUGCUUUCCGUUGUGCUCGAUGCAUGCGAGCGAUUUGCUCCUCGGCAGAAUGUCUCUUCAAGAUAUCGACUGUACUUCAUUCGUGAAUGUGGAGGAGAAUUCGCUUGUUCCAAUCCUCUCAUAGCGAUCGGAAGUUCAUAUUCGCCAUUUAUGUUUGAUGCGCAGUUAUUUAUUCAUCAAAUCCCUCUUUGAUAAUACAAUUCUUCAUUAUUUCUCUUUCUGAGGUAUUGUUGCUUUGCUCGAGAUUCUAUACAGUAACUAUUACCGAUUAUUGCCGACUAAAGACGACGAUGCCAUUCUUGGACAGGGAAACUGCUGAAGGGUUUUCAGAUUGUAACAUCAUAUAUACUGGUGAGAGAACUAAAUCUAGGACUUGGUGUGGACUAAAAUCAGGUAUAUAUCCUUUUAUUUGCACUGUUAGUUCCAAAUUAUUAGCUGCUUAGAAAUCUAGGUUCCAUUGCAUUUCAAAUAUUCGACAUUAGAGAUUAACAACAACUAGACAUACAUUUGGACAUCAUUCGACUUUAUUGGGUUAGUAAUACAACCAACUUCAAAUACAUUGGGACAUUUUUGAUGAAAAAUUCGCCCAUUAUAUGUCCAUUACUGAUCUUUUCUGUGUUAACUAACCAUCGCUUAGUUCCUAGUCAUAAUGCUAAUUCAAAAGAUAAUCCAGUUUUUGCUGCACUUAGAGAGUUGUUUCUGGUGAUUUUCUUUUAUUAUUAUUAUUAUUAUUUUACCUAUAUUGAACUCUUUGCGCGAAAGAAGAAGGUCGGAUUCAGCAUCAGAAAUGGUGGUGAAGUUUGCAAACUUUGAUUUUGAGGUUCUGAGAGUGUCUGUAUUGAUUUAUUGAUUAUUGUUGAUAGUUGAUUGAUAUAGUGACUAAAUUUUCAUGAUCUUUUAUUCGUGUAUAGCUCUUUGAUGGCCUAAAUUAUGUUACUAGACAUAUUUGUAAUAACCAAUGCAAAUGAUAAGAGAAGUCUACUCUAUUAUACUUACAUCAUAUCAUCAAUAACCAAUCAAUCAGAUUCCUUCUUUUGAGAGAAAAGUAUAAUAAAAAUAUUUUUUUUAAUAAUCAUGAUUGAACGGAUGAAUCUAAGAAAAUAAACUGAUUAGUUGAUGAUGCUACAUUAGUGAUACUGGUAUAACUAGUACAUUCUAGACUUUGCACUAAGAACAAUUUUUGCAAAUUUGUGUAUUGCCUUUAAGGCCCUAUUUGAGAAUGGAGUUUGACAUUGAUAUUUAUGAGGAUUUUGAUUAAAAAAAUAUUAUUUUUUGAAAUGUUGAACAUAAUAUUUAAUUUUAAAUAUCUAAUCGCAUCAAACUAAUGGACUAUUUGGAAACUGGCCCAUGUGCCUGGUGCAAGAGAAAUUCUAUACUGUCACCACGUCAUCAAUAAAAAGAUAAUUAUAUUUUUUUUCUUUUCAAAUAAAAAUAUAAUAAAAAUAUUUUUUUAUAAUUAUAAUGGAAUAUAUAUUUUUAAAAAUAGAUAUUUGAUUGAUUUGUGACGUCGCGUCGUCACCAAUGCAAUCGGUGCAUUCUAGAAUUUUUCCAUGUGCAGGCGCUCUGGAUGACGUGGCAACAGGUGACGGACACGCGUCAUCUCCGCAUUGGUGGAGCGCAUUCUCUCCGCGUCUAUAAAACGCUCCCUUCCCACGGGAGAGAACCCUAAAAAGCGAUGAGUUCCUCCCUCAGCCUCUCUCCGCCGCUUCCUUCGUAGGUAUCCGAUUCUGAUCUACGAUUUUUCUUUUUUUUUUUCUCAUCCCUAUUCUUCUAAUUUAUUUUCAAAUUUAUUUUCUUUUUUUUGUUGUUUGAUCUGAUUUGAUUUGAUUUGAUUUGAUUUUGGGAGUUUGAAAAAAAACAAAAAAACAAAUAUGUUGUUGCAAAAACGUGGGCUCUAAAAAAAAGAGUCAAACAGCGGGCGCCUAAUUGAUGGCGAUUAAUACACCCGACUGCCGCAUGGAGCCCAAAUUAAAAAUUUUUUUUAAAAAAAAGCCAGCGGAAGAUUGCUUGGAUAUGUUCGAUUCUAUAUCUUCCGAUAAUUCCAAUGCCACAAUACCUGGCUACAUCAUUUUUUUCCAAAAAAAAAAAUUUAAGCACAGCAUAUUUCUGAUUAUAUACAUAUGUUUAUAUACAGAAUUAUGCUACUAUUUACAUAUAUUUAUAUAUAGAAUUAUGCUACUAUACUAUCGAGUUUUCAACCGUCGGAUAAAAAAAUAUGCGAUUAGGAUGAAAAUGGUUCUUUAGAGUUGAGUGAGUGAUUAAUUGAAUAGUAUAAUCUAACGGAUAGAAAUGAUUAAAAAUUGAUCUAAUGGUAGUCCGACUGAAAUAUUAUCGAUAGCAUCAAGCACCGAGCUCAGCUCUCUCUCUCUCUCUCUCUCUCUCUCUCUCUCUCUCUCUCUAUAUAUAUAUAUAUAUAUAUAUAUAUAUAUAAGUAUUUAUGUUUAUUUAUAUUUAGUUAUAUAAUGUAAUAGAAUAAUGGCUCUACUUCAGACAACGGGCGCUUUGUUUGUUUAUUAUUAUAAAUAAACGAUGACAAGAUGCCUUUUGCAUGGAGCCUAUACAAAGAAUCCAUCCCAAUGGAAUGGUGUGAGGCUGCUACACGAUUGGAGGUCGUGCUUAUACUCAUUUUAUAGCCCCCUUCAAAUUUAAAGUUGCCACAUUCUCUCGUUUUAGUUUUUUUCUUUUCUUUUCUUUCUUGUUUUUGGAGCAUUUGGUGUUGAAUUUCUUUUUUAAAAAAAAAAAAACUUUUGUUUGAUCGGUUUCGGUGUUUGGAUUUGCAGGGUUUGAUUCAGAGUCCCAAGUUUCUCGGUGGUGAUUAUGUUGUUAGAAGAAGUGAUUAGAAGUAAUUGUCAAUUUGAGGUUGCAUUUUUAAAGUGCGCGCAUUAAUCAAUCACAAAAAAAAAAAAUUGCAUGGAAAACUCAGAUUUUAAAUCUUCAAUGCAACAUAAAGAAUUAUAACAUGCAAGGCUAUAAUAAAGGUUUUUUUUUACGCUAACUCCAGGUUAGGAGUGUAACCAACGAUACUCAAAUUCAUGGCCACUAAACAGUUUUGCGAGUGGAUCUCACAAUUAAGUUAAUACGCUGUAAAUAUUAAAUUUUUUAUUAAAGAAGGUGCGCAGAUGAAUAUGAGAAUUGGACUCGUAGCAAAACCCUCUCGAAAUAACAAGUGAUAAAGCUCAAAUUAAGCCAUUCUUAGUUGUCAUUCCACAAAUUCCCCCAUUCGAAUUAAUGAAUAAAUAAAUAAAUAAUCAUCAGCAUGAUGUGUUUCUUCUUACCUUUUUUUUUUUUUUUUUUACUCUCUUUCUGGCAGAUCAGCAUUUCAACUUACGUGUCACAUCAACACUUCACAUUGUAAAAUGUAUAACUAAUAAUUGAUAAUUAAAACUCAAUAAAAAUACAAAGAUUUCCUUGAUAUAUAUAUUAUAUAUAUAUUAUAAUAAUAAUAUAUAUUAUAUAAUAUAUAUAUAAUAAGAGAGGAGAGAGAGAGCCACAGAGAUAGAGAGAGAGAGAGAGAGAGAGACCACCCCUCUAUACUUAUCUAUAGUAACGUCCCGCGCCGCCCAGCGGUUCCGGUAUAUUCUCCUUGUUUCGAUCUUAGGGUGUUCCAAAUUAACGAUCAACACGCUAAAAUGAUAUUAGGGUAUUUUAAGUUUUUAGAAAUAAAAUUUUAUAUUUUUUUCGACAUAGUUUACUUUAUGAUCAAAUUAUUUUAAAAUUGUCAAUUUUCAAUGGCUACUAUGGCGAGUUUGGAGUUUAAUGGUGUAAAAGAAUUUAAAUUUUUUUAAUUUUUGAUAGAAAAUAUUUUAAACUAUCUAGAUUAAUGUUAAUAUUCUUGAUUUUGAAUUUAAAAGUUCUAGUAAAGAUUAUUCAAUUUUUACCGUCCAUUUUGACAUAAUUUAUUUACUAAGUAAACGAUGUCGAAAAAAAUUAAAAUUUUAUUCUUAAAAGCUUUAUAUAUCUUAGAUCAUAUUUAACGGUGUGGAUCGUUAAUUUGAACACCCUAANNNNNNNNNNNNNNNNNNNNNNNNNNNNNNNNNNNNNNNNNNNNNNNNNNNNNNNNNNNNNNNNNNNNNNNNNNNNNNNNNNNNNNNNNNNNNNNNNGGUACUAUAUAUAUAUAUAUAUAUAUAUAUAUAUAUAUAUAUAUAUAUAAUCAAUCUUAAGCACUCUCCUCUGUCUCGUUCUUAAUUGGCUCAUCGCACUCUUUCGCCCCCUUGAUUUCCUCUCUCUCCGCUUCAUCACUCUCCCCCCUCUUUUCCUCAUUCACCUCCUUUACCUCCUCUGGUUGACUAUUUUGACCAUUCUGACCACCCUUUGAUAUCUCCAUGUAUUGUUGACUUUCUUGACCCAGUUCAGCUGCAUUCACCUCAUCUUGUUCAACAACGAGUUGACCAUGGGGGUUGACCUUUGACGCCUCUUGUUCCUCUUGUUGACUCUCUUGACCUAUUUCACAACCUUUUGUGUUCUCCUCCUCGUGCUUAUGUUGUUCAAGUCGACCAUCCUUCGACUCUCUCUCUCGCUCUUGUCGCCCCUUUUGAUUGACUCUCUCGUUCUUCGUCUUCUUCUCGAUGUUUUUCGUCUCCGCCAGUUGUUGUCGACUGUCCUUGCUCGUCUUUUCAAUCUCUUCUCCUCUCUGUACUUUGAUUUCAUCAUCGUCAUAUGGUUGACCUGAUUGUCCCUCUGGCUCUUGCAACGAGAUGACGGUCUCGAAGGCUCCGACGAGAGCCUUCACUUUGCUCCUCUUCGCCGCCAGCUUGCUGGCCGUCUCCUCUAUCACUUCGUUGUACAUUGGUAGCGUCUCUUUCCCUCCCACAUCCUGUCUCUUGAGCAUCGCCUUUCUCUCUUGCUCUGGCUUUCUGUCUCCUUCCACCAUCGCCUUCAACCUCCCACCAUCGCCGUCAUUUGAUGCCGCCUUUGCGCGGUGGGUCUUCGCACUCUUUGGACUCUCACUAUGUUCAUUCUUGUGCUCUUCUCCGAAGCCCGCAUAGUGCUUGUUUUUUUUGCUGUCCUUCCGCUUCGGUGGUGACUUGAUUUCUGGAAGCUUCUGCUUUGACGACUCGACAUCCUUUUUCGGCGUAUGAUCUUGUGUCUCGCUACCAUUCGACUUUUUAGUUGAAAUAUCGGCGUUGAUAUCUCUUUUCUUUGUUAUAAACCUCGGGAGGCUUCUCGCCCUCAUGAGAGUCUUCUUGGGACUAUUUUCAAAACCGUCGUCGGAUGAGACUUUUGCUCGAUCACCGCAACUGGUUCGCAAAGCCGUAGACAAUGGCGAAGGAGACUUAUCGUCGAUAGGUUUCCGAGGAGGAAGGGUUUUUCCGGCCGUUAAUGAAACCUCCGAAGGCUGUGAGGUGCUCUUCUUCGGGUAGUGGCAGUUAUUGUGAUGGCACGAGCUUAUCGUCGGCCUGAGAUAGUUUGGUAUCGGCUUUUCCUCCGGCAUCGAAGGGUCUCGAACCAGGGAUUCGAUGGUCAGUCGUUUCGAAUGUCGAAUGUCGCCCCUUCGUGGCGUCGAGGGGGCCGAGAUGCUCUUCUCUUUGAUGAGAGCAUCUUCUUUCACCUUUGUAGCCAUGGUCUAAUGUUGUAACUGCACCUGGUGAUUGGUUAGGAUAAUGAAGUUGUAUAGCUAGAUUACUAGAAUCAUGGAGAAAAAAAGAAAAAAUUAGAUUCGAGACCAUUUAAUCAUUCAUGUCAUAUGGUUGUUGAUUAAAAUGAUCCUGAAAAACAAAAAUCUACAAGGCCUUUCCAAUUUAUACGGGGUUAAAUAUUUCAUGGUAUUAAAUCCAAAAAGCUCUUUGUUGAGAGGAACAUCAACCCUGGAAUAAAACGAAACUCACACAUGUAUUCUAGCAAAAUCCAUCAUCACCAGUGAUUUGGAUGAAAAAGAAUAAUUAUUGGCAUAGCUUUAUUAAAAUUAUUAUUGGACAUUAUAGAAUUAGGAUACAUGUUACAUGGAAGUUUCCCUUUCCAAGAGUUAAAAAGAGAAAAAUAAGAAAUUAAUCUAAGAUAUUCUUUCUUGCACAAAGGAAAUAAAACCAAUCUACUCCAUUCAAUAUUCUUUUCUUUUCUUUUCUUUUCUUUUUGAGAAGACCACAUUAUUCUUUGCUAUGACAAAGAAAGAGUAAGUAUUGAAAAAAAAAAAAAAAAAUGAAAGUGCAAUUGCUGAAAUAUGAUUGUACCUUGUAUGAAGAAACAAUAUAACUUGUUUUCUAACUUAGAGCUUCUUUGGGAAAUGGAGGCAUCUUUAAAGGCAAUAAAUUCUCUUCCUGGGAGAUCAUUUUGAAAUGUAAAGAAGGGAACUGGGAGAUUGGGUGGCUUUAGCUGGGAUGGUUAAAAGUUGGGUUGGUUAUUGAGAGGUUAAUGGAGCCAGCCAUGUUCUAAACCAAUGUAAGACCAGGUCAAUGGAGAACAACUUUGUUCCUACCUGGAAUUUGCCAUGUUUAGAAAGGAACUUACCAGAAGAUUCUGCUUGUUUAAAUGUUUGUUACGACAUUUACUCAAAAAAGAAAAAAAAAAUGGCAAAAAACGAAAACAGAAAAAACUAACAAAGGUGAGACUCUUUUGGUGCAUUUUAAGUCAUAUGGAAACAGAAGGGUUAAAGUUAUUUAUUUUUCAUAAUAUUAUAAUGCUUGGUAUAAAUCUCACGCCCUUACAUUUAAGUCCCCAAAGAAAAAAUGAUUAGACUAAAGAGUGAAUAUCUAAAUCUUACACGGAGUUUAGAAGUGUCCAAAUAGCAUUACUCGAAAAAGAAAAAAGGAAUGAUUUUAUACACCCAGGAUGAUGCAAUCCAGUCUCUCUUUGAGAAGCAACGCUUAAUGGUUAUCAAAUAAGAAAUAGGAAGCAUUUGUUUUGGUUUAGGUGAUAUAGUCUUAAGCAAUACCCAAUAUAAUAAGCAACACACCGAGUACAAUCAAUUGCAAAAUGCGAAUGUAAUCAACUUUGAUACAGUAUUUUUCUUUUUUUUCACCCGAAAACGAAAGGCUUUUACACAAGCAAAAAGAAAGAAUCUGAAAGAGACUUGAGAACACCAAAGUUGUAAACAAAGUAGAUAACCCUCCAGGUAUGUUUUACACUCUCCUGUACACAACAACUCAUUGCCUCGAUUACAUCAUACAGCAUUCACUCUCUAGGAGAAACCAUUUUUAUCUUCACAAAACAAUCAAAAAGGGGUUAAAAAAAAAAAGAGGAAAAAAAGAACAAAAUGCAAGCUCACAACCAAACCUGUGACCUUAGGACCGAAAGAAGCGAGAAAAUAGAAGAGAAAAAGAAUACCGGACCGCUAAUAGAAUGACUCAAAACAACAGGGGAAAAGAAUCGGUAAAUUCGGCGACGAUGAUAAUGUAAAGAAUCCUUUUUUGGGAGCAGAAGCAGCUAAAAAAGCACUGGCGGCUGUCCCCGUCCGAACUAUAAUUUUUGGUGGGUCUCCAGACCCCCAGUAAACAUAUUUUUUGGGGGGCAAAUAAUAACAUCGAAUAUAUCCUUUUAACCCCCUAGGAGAUUUUUUUUCUUUUUCCAUUUUCAUGGACCAAAUGGAGAAAUCUCAAGAGUAUUCGAGGACAUCAAAACAACUGAAGGGCGAGUUUAAGCCUAUUCUGCUUCCAUUUGGGUAGCUUGGAGAAAGCCUCCUUUGUCAUGCCAAACUUUCCUUUGAAGUCAGCAGAAGAUAAAUAGGUCUGCAUUUGAUCAAUAGAAAAAAAAAAAAAAGGAUCAGGUCUUAAGAGACAUGAAUUCUACAAAAGAAAAAGAAGAAUAAAAAGGUUAAAAGAGUUUCACCUCUCGCUUGGUCACGUCUAUUUCUUUGACAGGGUCAGGAGAGUUCGUCUUCAGGCGUUCGUAGGGAUAGAUAGGGAGCCCUUCGUCGUCUUCAGGUUCGCCCUCCUUUACAUCUUCCUGUAUUGUGAGAGCUUCGAUCCUACUACUCAUCAAAUGGUUUGUCUCCUUGGAAUUCACCUCCGGUUUUGGCUUGUUUGCCUCCGGACUCGCUACAAAACAAUGGAAAAUAAGUCAAAUUUUCAGUAUAAAAUAUCUUAAGAUAUUUAUAUAUGACCCUGCAAAAUUAUGCCUAUAUUUGUAUGCUAUAUCCCAUUCAAAAACUUCCGACUAACAAAAGUAUUCCUCUUUAAGAAAAAACAAAAAAGAAGUUGUAAUGCAGGGCCCCAAAUAUAUUUUCUUUGCUACAGUUAAAAAAAAAAUCAGAAAAUCUUUUCUUUCCUGCUGAUAGAAUACAGUCAGACACAAGCACAGACACACACCUUUCACCAACUUCGGUAUAAGAUUUUGCACCGGCUUCUCAAAAGAAGCAGAGAGCGUGGCUAUAGAAGACGACUUGGGGGCCAACUUGGCUGAAUCAGGUGAAAUGGAUUUUGGGUAUAGUUUUCUAACUACCGGUGGAGUAGAGAGAUUUCUUGCAUUUGGAUUCUCAAAGUUUGCGGCAAGGGCAUUGAAGGCAGGGGAUCUUCCUCUAACACGGACCCGUUCAGGACUGAAGGACAUGCUUCGCGAUCGCUGCGAUUUGUCUGGCACACUGGAUCUUCCUCCAUAUGAUGUUGGUGUUCGUCUCUUAGGUUUCUGAGAUAAUAGCAAAAAUUUAGUUGCGAAGUGAUAUUUAACAAAGCUUUUCCUUGAAGGAUUUGUAAUAAGCAGAGAAGUAACUUCACUAAGAGACAUGACUACAAAUGAAGUCGUUGAGUUUGAUCCCAAAUUGGAGCUACAUCCGUACUUUGAAUUUUUCUAAUUUAGGCAAAUUUUGUUUUGAGUGGCUGUAAAGCCCUUCCAUCAAUCUGUGGUCUGAAAUAAUGACAUUUUAGCAUCAUCAUUGAAACUAAAACCUAAAUAACAGUGUUCAGCGAACUCUGAUGCUGAUGCUGAAGUGAGUCUUUCCUUCAGACGGUAGCUAGCAGGACUAAAUUGUCACAGGGACAAACUUUAGGAGCUAAAUUGUUGAAUUUGGGGUCGACGCAUGAGGAGAAAGUGUAAUUAAUCCAAAAGGCAAGAAAACAGUAAGACACAACUUAGCUAUGCGCUUGUGAUCAAUGGAAAGGAUGUAACUUUAACCCUGACAAUUUGUUUUACACUGGAAGCUUCUCAAAGAAUUUCAGGAGUCUAUCCAUCCAAAUGUUUUACUCUUCAAUGACAAAAUUUGGAACUCGAGUAGAGAAUAUAGAGUGACAGUCUUAUACAUCAUUCUUUACAAAUUUAAAAAUGAGUACUCAACUUUUUCUUUUCCUCAAAAUGGGUACUCAAUUUUUCUUUUUCUGUUUCUAGCAUUAACAUAUACCAGAUAUAUUUUAACAGCUGCCAUUAUUUUGUCAAGAUAAUAUCCAUAUACUUGAGAACAAGAUAAUUAUAAUUUCCAAAACUUGGUUAGAAGUACAGAUAGCAUAAAUAGCAUCUUACAUCUAAUGUAGGGGUUACUCCGUUCUUCACUAUAGAUAGCUUCCUCUGGAAUGAAUUGCCAUGCAUCUGCAACCAAAAAGAAAUUUGAUCAAAUUUUUCUGAAAGACAAUCACCGAACCCAGAUUUUUCCUCUCUAAGUACUAUCGCAUAUAUCAUGCCUCUAGAACACAUAAUGAUCAAAAAAUAGGUUUUGCAGCGAAAGUUCAAUUUCACAGUAGAGAAGUUUACCGCUGAUUUUGCGGAGUCCCAGGUGAAGAACCGAGUGAAGAAGGUCGGUUCACUUCCUUCCAUGACAAUGAACAGUGGAGUUUCACGAGAUAAAUUUUCCAUAAGAAAAUCACAUUCCAGGAAUUUCUGGUCCAGAUCAGUAUAAGAAAAGGUAUCCAACAAAAAAACAAAGAAAAAAAAAAAAAAGAGAAGGUAUGAGAAACAGAAGAUUUGUAAAAUUUACAAUUGAACUAUUUGCAGCAAAACACUUCAUAACCAUUGCUUUCUUUGGAGAACAUAUCUUCCACCGAGUAAAAAUAUAUCAUAUACCUCUCCAAUGCUCAAAGCUUGCGAUCUAAUUUUUGAAUCCACCUGCUGUCCGACCCAGACAAAAAUUUCCGAAUGACUGUCUAUAAUAAAUAUAUCUUCUGUCAUCAGAUCAUCUUGGGUGAAGUUGAAUAUUUCUGUAACCUGCAAACACAAUAUAGUCAAUAUCAGACGUUUAUACUUCAUAUGCUCAUUAGUAUAGGAAAGAUCUAACAAUUUCCCAGUUACCCACCUUUAAAUUGCCUGUAUAAUCCCCACCACGUGUGUUUCAGAGUAUGGUCCAGUGAAACAGAAAGUUAAAAGGAAUCAGAUGUUUGAAUACAGACCAGAAUAAUAAAAUGAGUAAAUAAAUCCGACGAGAAUAAUGCUCGCUAUCUACCUUUCGAGAAAUUACAGGAGAAAAGGUGUGAAUCACUUUCUUGUUCUCUCACGAUCUUCUGACUUGGGUAUUCAGAUUUACCUCCAAGCAAACUCCAAAAAUGCUCUGUUUCUGCUCCUUCCCUUUGUGCUCUUGACUGUAGAUUCGGCUGCACAAAUUGAUAAGAGAGCAGGUAAGCAUAGCACAGAUCCAUUUGAGAAAAUUAUAACAAUUAAGCUAAAACACUAGUAAAAAUCAUGUACAAUUUUUAGUUCGAAUACAUGUGACUUCGAAAGGUACUAUGAAAAGAUAAUUCUUUGUUGUCAUUUAUCUUAUGCCUCUUCAUACUCUUGACCUUAUUUGUAUUCAAGUUUUCAAACAGAAUAGUAUAGUCACUUCACAAAGAGUCUUGAGACACUCUGUGAAAGGCCAAUGCAUAGACUUGUAUUUUCACAGAACUAAAGAGAACUCGGCCAUCCAAUAACUACGGCCCAGAAAAGAGCUAUAGGAAGAACAUCACAUCAAUAUAGAGAAAAAAGGUAUUAAAAGAUCGUGCUCUCAUGCACAAAAUUCUGAACUAAAAAGAAAAUUAAAUUAGAAAAUAAAUCUCCACAAAUAUCGAUCGAAUUGUGUUCGAUGAUUUUGUCACACCUUAAUCACAUCUAGCUGUCUUUCAACCAGCUCUUGGUCCCCUGUGGUGCUAAGGCUUCCAGACCAUGUAAACACAGAAUUUCCAUCAUGUAGUAUGUAACAGUAAGAUGAAUUCAAAGACGAAGCCACCUGAUUAAAGUAACAUCAAGAAUUCAUAAUGUUCAGAUAAAGUAAAAAGUUUGCUGGAUAAAGUGGUAAAACUGUGCACAAUGUUACUUGUAAAAAAUAAUAAAUUAUCUACUAUAGAUAAAUUCAAAAGAGACGUACUGGAUCAACUUGAAUAGCUUGCAUAUUAUCUGGUCCAGAACCUUGGACCCGGAAAAGAGCAACUCCAUCUUCUGAAUAUGUCUCAUCAGCAAUGCCAGUUUCAGCAAUAAAAUUCUUAUAACCAGAGCCAACACCUCCCUGUGAUUAUCCAAAACAAAAUCCUUAUAUUUUGUGCUAGAACUAGAAUACAGCUAGUAAAGCACAAAACUGAAAUGCAAAUGGAGAAAAAGUGAAGUCCUAUGGAGAAGGUUCUGAGAAUAGAAACCUUAAAUACUACAAAACUCUGGAAUAUAGAGAAGAACUGAAUGGGUUCCUUUCCUUCAUAAAAGCGAGCCUGUGAGCAAUUAAAAAAAUUGUUAAAUAAACUGAAAGGACAAAAGUUUAGUCAAAAUCAACUCACAAAUAGAACUGAUAAUUACCAUAACAGCUUGAAACUUUAAGGGUUCAUUCAUCUUGUUAGAAAGUGAGAGAGCUGCAGUUCUCUCCUCCUGUAACCAAUAGAGACACUUUAGUACAUAAUGUCCUCUUGGUCUAUAUUGCAUUCAUUCAUCGCAUUAAAAGAGUAAAUUCAGUUGGCACUUCAUUAGCUUUGAAUCUUAAUAUUUCGUUGUAUUCCUCAAGGAUCGAAGUAUCGUCAUGAAUAAAAAUGUGUCUAGUGAGCGUGCUCAUGGUAUUGUGAUGUAGUGGCGAUUUUAUUUGUUGGUAUGAUCUACCUUCUUUGAGAUAUCCAGAGAUCAAAGAAUGGCUUGUAAAUCUUUGCCACCUAAAAUCAGGUGAUCUCAAUAACAGACAUUUUUUCUGAUAAUUCAUAAAUAGAUAAAAUUUACUGUCUGAUGCAAGGAGUUUGUUUUAUUGAUAAGCACAGAAUAAUCGAGAUCAGCUCAUUAUAUGUUAUAGGGCAUCAUCAAUUGUCUAAAUCAGAAUUAAUGGCAUUGUUACAGAGCAUUGAUUUUCAAUUGAGGAAUCAUAUAAUAUUUCUCAAAAUGCUAGAUUUUUUACUGGUAUUUUUAAAUUUUCAAUAUGCACCCUCCAUUUUGGGACCCAUUAGAUAUAUAUGCUGCAGCACUAUGAUUAGGUUUCCUUAACCUAAACAAUACAGAUCAUACCUAAGGAUAUAGAUCUUCAGUAAAGAAACCACAAAAUUGAUUUAAGGCGUGGAGAUAUUGGUAGAAAAUUUUAGUUUUUAUUUGGAAUUAAACUAUAAGGGCAUAGCAAAAAGUUGGUUUUCUAUUUAAACAAGAAGAAUGUAUAUACUUUGAUAGUCUGCAAUGCGUCAUUCUUCCAAACAUCAUGUUGACUGAGACUCAAGCUUGAGUUUGGAGUUUUUCUUAAGUAGCUCAGAUAAGUGCAAAGUAAAAAUAAUAUCAGCAUAAUGAUAAGCUUAAGAUCAUGCUUCAUCCAGUUUCUAUUUAAAAUAAUUAAAAGAACAUUAACUCUACUUAGUUACUACUAUCCACCGGUGGUUUCUGAGAUCAAACACAGUACUCUGUCAAGGUCUUAAGAAUCAGAAAGUUACUAAAUAUGAGCUCAAGUUUACCUCAAUACUCUUCUUCCCAAACCAAGUUCCAAUAAGACAUUCUUCUCCAUCAUCUCCAGGAUAUGCAUAUUGAAAGAUAUAGCAAUCUCCACUGUAAAACUUAGAUUGAUCAGAUGAUGACAAAAGAGCCUUUUCCUUGCCAUUCACUCGCCAAACCUAUAACAUUCGAAGAAAGGAUAUUAGACUUUUAUAAAAUAACUGAAAUGCACACUAUAUUAGGACAUUAAUUUUAUACUUGAAAAGGGAAAUUUUGCAUCUAGACCAGUUCUGUAGUUUACACACAGAAAAUAAAAUUUUCUUUUCCUUACAUAUAAGGUCUUCAUGUGCUUUAUUCGAAAUUUAAAGUUUUGAGAAAGACAUAUAUGCUAGCUUCAAAUUUUGCAAGGAAGCAACUGCAAAUAUAAGACUUCAAGAGAAGUAUACCUUCAGUCAAUAACAUUUCGAGGGAUAAGCUUCCAAUUAAAAACAUUAAGAGGAGUGUAUAUGCAGGAAAAAGUAAAAUAAUCUGCUAAGCUACUAGUCCUCACUAUUAUGACAACACAGAUAUGAGAAGAGCACAUCACGGAAUAGUAAAAACACCUGCAAGUUGCCUGUGCAAUCAAUGUAUGGUUGAGGCUCUUCUUUGAUAGGAGCAGCCUUCAUAAGACCUUUAACAUUCAGCCCUUGGCGUUUAAGGAGUGCUAUAGAAAGAAAAUAAUAAGAUCACAUUAUAAACUCUACAAAUUGCAUUUAUUAAUUAACAAAGACACUAAUGAAAAAAAUCUAACCAGCGACUUUGCCUCUGCCCUCCUCGGAUACAGCCACAUCAGUUGUUUGUGGCCACUUAGCAAAUUUUGAUUUAAAUACUACAGUCUCAUAUCCUUCUAUUAUGCGAGUAACAUGAGAUUUUGGAUGACCAGGGUCUUGUAGUAAUUCCUGUAUAGGAUAACAACCAAUAUUAGUGUCACAUCACUGUCAAAGAUCAAUCAAGAAGUAACAGGUUUACCUCUGCUGCAGCACUAGCACUUUUUCUCUCCUCCAAUGACGUAUUUCUACCCAUCCAUACAUAAAUUUCAGCCCGACAAUCUAGCAGGAAACACUUGUUUGUGUCUAGCAACUCUCUUGUCAAAGAUUCAGCAUUAACAGGCACUGCUUGUCCUUUAUUAACGCUGAAAGGCAAAAUGGCUUUUAUCAGAAAUUACAAAUACAUAGGAUUUUUUUCCACAUAAGAUUUUGGUGAACAGAAACAUGAUUUACAUAAUUACAGUAAAUUACCAGAGCAAUUUUGUAGAAAAGGACUCAUCUUUUCCAUUUUCCUCAGAGGUUGCCUUUCUCGGAAGAGGAGCGAAGCCACCAAAGAAACCCCAAAACUCACCAGCCUCAGCAUCAGCCAUUAACUUUCCAUCCUCUAUUGGAAACACUUUCACAUGAUCAAUUCCGAAAACUUUAAAAUGAAAAAAUUGAUAAAGGUCCUUGGACUAAGUCUACUUACCAACAGCUGCCACCUCACACUUCCCUUCAUGGUAAGUGUCUUUAAUGUAUUGCACCACUUCAAGAGCUUUAGCCCUCUCCUGAAUAGAAGAAUUGGAGCCAUUGAACUGGAAAAUCUUCGACUUUGUGUCCAGUAUGAAUAUAUCAUCAUGAUUUAGGGAUGAUCUGGCAAAAGGAACCUGAUAAAACAGAAAGAUCAACUCAGGAAAUUUGAAGAAAUAUUUAUAGCUAUACAGUGAGACUGUUUGUUUCAGGGACAACAAGAGGAUAACCCCAGUUAUUGCCGUUAUUCUGCCAAACACAGCAAAAUGUGACUGUUUUGACGGAAUAUUUUGUAACCUAAUGGAAUAAUCUGUUGCUUGGCGAAUGUUCCAUAAUUAUUUGUGAUGGAAACUGUUAAGUUCUAACAGGACUAACAGAAUUGUCUGAGAUCUAAAGGGAUGCAAGGUUUCACUACAGUACAGGUAACUUCUAUAUGCUUUAUCUUAUCCUACACUAGUCCCAUUAAUCAGCUAGAGUUAUCUGUAAUCACUACAAUCGUACCUGCAAUUACUACAAGUAUCCAUCAAAUGUCAAACCAAACAUAAAAUUGAGUUUGUUCAAUUACCUAGAACUGCAGGAUAAUCAAUAUGUAAGAAAGUCCACGUCCAAUUUAUCAGUUAUCACCAACUAAACUGUCCCAUAAGGAGACAUCAUAUAAAAAAUAUACUUGCCUCUUUAACGUGGACAACAUGCUUGCCUCUGCAGACAAAUAAUCGCGUAACAUGCUCACGCUCAUUUAUUUCUGCAUGCUUGAAACCAGACACCACCCCGCCUUGUUGUGGUAUAAUGCAUGGUUUGAAAUAAGAAAGGAACUUCUCGGUUUCGUUGCCCUGUACUUCACGAUAUUGAACAGCACGGCCUCCGAGGGCUGCAUCGAGUUCUACAGUUUUAAGUGCAGCAGCCCCUGCUUCAUCCUAUAUAAAUCAAAUUUAGGAGUAAUUAGUAGUGUAUGAGCACUCUUUAUUAUAAGAUUGUCAUGCAGAAAUUUCAUGAAGGUUUUAAUAGCUUACCUGGCUGGUAUCCUUACCAAGCCAAUAGUGUAUAUCGUGCUUGAACGAACCAUUUUUUAGAGCAGUUGUCUGUUCCCAAAAAAAAAAAGAAAAAGAAAAAAAAGUAUGAAGACAUACAGGCAUAUACGUCACGAUAUUCUUCAGUGUAAAUUGUUAAAUAUCCAGCUUUAAAUUAGAUAAAGAACGCCAAUCACCUCAAUCUAUUCUUUUCAAAGUCAUUAAAGCAACACUACAAGAAUAAUUCCAUAACUGACAUGUAUGUCUGACGUUUAAUUUUGUUAAUUACCUUCAAAAUUAUAUACGAGUCUCCAGUGAAGAAUUUUCCAUAAGAAGACUUUGGCACGGGGACUGGACGGAAAUUUUCAAUACGCCAUAUCUCCAACCCACUGACUGAUGUUAAGAAUUAUAAUUAGUGCAACGCAGGGAGGAGCCGAUGAGCAUCAUAGAAACAUCAGAAAUCAGUUAUAAGAGUAGUAGAAAGGUCAAAACAAGCACUGGAUAAUUCCGACCAUAAAAAUGAGUUCCUGUGAAUCUUUCAUGCUGGUCUAAGUAAAACGGCUAGCCAAAAUAUUUCGAACUAAAUAUUUCAUAUUUCCUAAAAAAUAGUUUCAAGGUAGUAAGAAAGAUCUAACAAGUUCACAAUGGAAAAAAGAAAAAAUCAAGCUGGUUAUAGGAAAAUAGCAAUAAAAGGAUACGCCUUUUGUCCAGCCCCCUGGAACGCAGAGUCCAAAUCCCUCAUAGAAACAGCCAUGCCCUUGGACCUUGCAGUAGAACUCUUGGGCGAUUUUUGCUUCAAAAGCGAAGAAAAAGUAUGCUGCAGGAAGAUAUUCAUGGAUAAAUCAAUAACGGCCAAAGCAACCAUCAGCAGAUACGCUACAACGAUCAGUCCAAUUAAAAGAAUUUGAAAAGCUUAUUUUGCCAUGCCGACAACUUUUUGAUGUAUUUUCAUCAGAAAAGCCAGGCAAGGGAAUGCUCAAAAUAUAAUCCUCCAAUGCACACUCGGCGGCAAAAUUGCGACUAGUACAGGAAUUCUGAAUUCUAUAAACUCUCCUUUUAAUCGAAAAGGAUUAAAAUUCUGAUAAAACUAGUAACUAAAUGAAUCACAAGAGCGUUUCCCACACUCUGCCAAUCAACCUUUUCUCCAUGAAAUAAAAAACAUAACUAUUUUACCGAUCCCGAAACGAUUCACAAAUCACUCGAUCCUACUGCAUAUAAAAAGACAUUUAACAUUAGAGAUGCUUCCUUUGGAUCAAAAUCAACAUCCCGCUGCACAAAGAUGACACAUUUACGCAACCACCAGCUUAGUUUAUGGGCAAAUGGAGUCAAAUUCCCAUCUCAAACAGCUCAAAACACUUGCAUGAGCCGAUCAAAUCGAUUCCAUUCGCAUCAAACCUCAAAACGAAUCGAAUUCCCAACUCCCCCAGUCCCAAAGCAACUUCUCCGAUCACUAAACGAGAUUAAGAAACCACAAUCGAUUCCGCUCCCAUACCUUAACAACAGUUCCCGGGCUCCCCAUCUCGACUCCCACCACUAGAUCGGUCCCCCUCCACCAAUCUCGAGCUCAGCGACGACCAAGCAUAUAACUAAACCCACCCAGAUUCUCACCAUUUCAAACAAAAUAAACAAAUCCACGCCCACGACGACCGAAGCACCAUUAAACAAUUCGCAAAAGAAAAAUUGCGGGGAAAAAUUUAAAAAAAAAAAAACGGAGUUGCCCUCACCUCCGCGGGUCGGUGACGAAGAGUUGGUGACGACGAAUUCGUUCGAGGGUACCAAAAAAAACAAAAAAAAAACCCUAGAUAACACUUGUCGCGAUCGAUCUCGAACACGAGCGAGAGAGAAAGAGAGAGAGAGAGAGAGAGAGGAAAAGGUCGGGGCGGGGAAAAAGGCCUCAGUAGAAAAAAAAGAAUCAAAAAAUAAAAAAUAAAAAAUAAAGUGAGGGGCGAAUGAUGUGAGUGAGGCGUGCUUGGCACUAACGGGAACGGGAAAAGAAGGUGAUGACCCCGUAAUGGCCUAAAAAAAUUAAAUUAAAUUAGUUUUAAGCACUUUGAAAUUAAAAAAAAACUAUUUAAUUUUAAAUCUGAACUUAAUUUGGCUUUUAUUUUUUAAAAAUUUACGUGGAAUUUAAUUUAAAUUACUAUGUUUUUAACCCCAAAAAAAGAAAAAAGUUGAUAAUUUGGUGAGUGAGUGGGGCGGGGAGAGUCGGCCACCGUCCACGGUGACGAUAAAAAGCGCGAAAAGGUAGGUCGGAGAGGGAAGGGAUUCAGUGUUUCGUCCUUCUGCGCUGUAAGAUUGACACGUGUCCAUAGUACACGCAAAUUUCGACUCCAGUGACGUGGCGAACGGAGAAGCGAGGAGGAUUCGUGUUCGCUGUUCGCAACGCUUAGACGCUUCGCUGUCGCGGGGGCCGCUGGAUCGCCGAAAGGUGCCAGCUCAGAAUCAGUUGCCGUCGCAGAAACCGAGAACGUGUAUAUGCGCGACACGUGUUUGACUGCGUACGUGUCGUGAAAUCAUUGGAUGGUUUGGGUGUUUGGUGGUUGGCGUUGUACGUUGCGAUGGGUACGUGACCCAGCUGGAAAGAUGAAACGGGUAGGUGUGGCGGGAACAGGUUGGAAAUUCCCUGCACGUAAAAAAUAUAUAUAAAUUAAAAUUAAAAUUAAAAUUUUAUUAAUUAAUUUUAAUUAAUGCUAAGUUAAUGGGUAUUAUUAUUAAGGGGGGAGAGGAUUAUCCUGGGAAUCUGGAGAAUCCGUGUUGAAUAUCAAACACGAAACAGCAUUAUGCGAUGACGUGUGAGGCUGUGAUUGGUUGGAUGGUGGGCCCGCGCGAGUCUUAACGGAGUUUGGUGGUGGGCACCCCGUAAGCGAUGCGAUUCGACAAAGGCGAGUGAACACGUGCCACGUGGCCGGGAAUGGUUUUGAGGUGGCGAGAAAUGGUAGAAACACAGGGGGACCCAAAUAGUGACUCGCCAAUGGACCAAAGUGGGACCCACUCAUUACUAUUGGGUAAGAGCCGUGGGGCCCGUUCGGUGUUUGACUUCCGGUCCGUUUUACUUGUGGAGAUCAAUUUGAAGGUACGGUGAAGCCACAAUCGCGGGUACUCUCUGUUCCCGGUGCACGACGAGCGACGCGCAUCAAAAUUCGCGCCGCUAAAUCCCCGCGCUCAUUGGCCCACGUGUCAUACAGAUUGUGUAUGACACAGAAGAACAGUAACAAAGGUCAAAUAUAUGGUCUUAUAAUUUUUAAAAUUUUAUUUGUAUACUUUUGUACAAUAUUUCUCAUUUAAAAAAUAUUUAAUGUUUAUGCUUUUCCUAAUAACUGAUGAGUACAAAUAUAAUUGAUUCUUCUUUUGUACGUAGAAAAAUAACAUCUAUAUCUAUAUCUUAUCUUAUCUAUACAUUAAUAUUCAUCAAUAAGUUCUAUAUGUACCCAUCCAUUUAAUUUGAGAAGAAGUGGGGCUUUUUUUUAUUAUUCUUUUUUCUUUUCUUUAGAUUCACUAAAGCCUAAAGAGUUUUUUUAUCCUUUCUUAUACCUUUUGGUCUUCCACCAUUUUUCUUAAAUUUGCAAAUUUGAAUCUUUGUUGUGUUUCAUAUUCGAAGUUAAUUAAUUGAUUAAAAGUGAUAUAUAUAUAUAUAAUAUUUGUAAAUUAUCUUGCAUAUUAUUGUGAGUUUUUUUUUUAGUCAUAUCAAUUACAAUAUAAUAUUUUAUUUGAUUAUUGUGUUAUAAAAAUAAUUUUAAUCAUCCAUUUGUAUGAUAUGUAAUCUUUUUUAAACAAGAUUGAAUAAUUUUGUUAGAUGAUUGAUUCUUUUUCAUUAUAGUUUUAUUUUUUUUCAAAAUGUUUGUCUGUAGUAUAAACUAUAUUUACUAUUUUUUAUACUAAACAGAUAUUUUUUUUUAUUAAUUUUUACUUUGAUAUUAUCUAUCCGUUGUAACGCGCGGGUCACUACACUAGUAUAUAUUAAAUAUGAUCAAACUUAGUUACUAAAUAAUAAUUAAAUUAUACGAAUUUGUGUGGUAAUAUUAUCAACUCUGUUAAUAAUAAAACCAUCCUUAAAAAUAACCUUCACUUUUAAAGUAAUGUAAAAAAGAAGAAAUUAAUCACAUCAUCAAAACGACCAUUAUUCAUUGUAUCAUAAAGAAAUUACUAAUAAUUAUAACCUUUUUUACAUGCAUAUAAUUUUAGGUACUGUAAAUUACACUCCAUAAAACAAAAAUUUUACUUUUAAUGAGACAAAAUGGUCCUGGAAAUAGUAUCUCCAAGGAGUGGGGAUCCACAAACUAAUCCCUUCUCUUCACAGAAAAAUUUUGGGGUUUUCUAGUGUUCUCACAUGUUUUUUAUUUUUUUAUUGAAAAUAAAACUCAGAUAUUUUAAACUGAUCCUUUUUCUUUACAUUUUGGCCUUCUACCUUUUUCAUUAAAUUAGCAAAUUCGAAUCUUUGUUAUGUUUCAUAUUCGGAGUCAAAUAAUUGAUUCAAAGUGAUAUAUAUAUAUAUAUAUAUAUAUAUAUANCAUAUCAACUGCAAUAUGACAUUUUAUUUGAUUAUUAUAUUAUAAAAAUAAUUUUAAUCAUCUAUUUACAUGAUAUGCGAUUUUUUUUUAACAAUAUUGAAUAAUUUUAUUGGAACGAUUGAUUCUUUUUCAUCACAGUUUUUUUUUUUUAAGUGUUUGUUUAUAAUAUAGACUAUAUUUACUAUAUUUACUAUAUUUUGUACUAAGCUUAUAUUUUAUUCUUUACAAAUUUUUACUUUAACAGUAUCUGCCAACCGUAACGCGCGAGUCACUAUACUAGUAUUCACAUGAAUUGAAUAAUAAAUUAGAAAAAAAUGUAAUAAUUAGAAUUAGACUAUAUAUUUAUACACACACAUGUGUUUAGAAUAAGAUUUUGUGCGGAUUACAAUGCAUAAGCUACACAAUAUGUGUACUUAUCUAGACAAAUUCUAGCCAACAUUAUUAGCACAAAUGGCCACCAAGUAUGCUAAUUAAUAAUUAGAAAAAAAAACACAUUUUUUUUUCUUUUCAUAAAACAUAGAAUUAUUUUAUUUUUUUGGUAAAAGCACGUUACAAGAGAAAAAAUAUAAGGACGAAAAAAAAGAAUACACGAAAAAUUAAUUCUUCUGAAAAAACAAAAAAUAUCAUCAAUUAAUUCUAAAAAAACUUAUUACAUUAAUAGAAUAGCAUGUCUAUACAUAGGGCCGAUAUUUGAAUCAUACUAUAAACGAAGAUAAUAAAUUCUUAUAUAUCUCUAAACCUAUUCCAAUAAAAUAUAACCAAAUUAUUGAACUCAAAUAGAAAAAAAUACAAAAGUUUUCGAAAAUAAACUAAAAAUAUAAAAUCGGAGGCCGGAAUAAUUGAAUUUAAGUCUCAAACUCGGCCUAAACAGUUUCGCAGUUCAACGUGUUGAUUUUUUAAAAAAUAUUUUUUUAGUCGGGAUAAUCGCAUACUAAAAUCGUACACAUGAACGAAAAGUUAAGAUUAUUUAAAAAAAAUUUAUAUUAAUUGUAAAAAUUAUCAAACUCAAUAAACUUUCAGGCUCAGUUUGGUUGAGUCUCAAACCAGAUUUACGGUGCAAUAUAAAGAGAAAAAGGCUUUCUCCCACGCAUAAAGAAUUUUGUUGUUAGCUAUAUACUUUGGGCAGAAAAUGGGAGCAAAUAAAAAUAAAAAUAAAAAUAUUUCCUUCGCAUGAGUUAUGUUUGAAUUUACUUAUAUAUAUGGUAUUAAAUAUUUUGUUUUGUUCUCAAAAGUUAAUUUGAUUAUAACUGUUCUCUGCAUCUUUUACAAUAAAUAAAUUUCUUUUUAACUAAAAAUAUAGAGAAUUAAGUUUUUUUUUCUGUUUUUAUAUUAAUUAUUUUGUAUGAAAUCAUAGAAUUUAAGAUAGGAUCAACACUUUGUGUGUGUGUGUGUGUGUGUGUGUGUGUGUGUGUAAUUUUUUGUAUUAUGCAGAGUUGUUGUGGACACGACUUUAAUAAUAAGUGGAGGAGGGAGCGGUUAGUUUAUGGAUCGAUGAUUUUAUUAGAUGAGAGGUCUAAAAAGAAAAUAAAAAUUCGAAUGCGAAAGGACAUGGCAUCCUCAAUUUGUCAAAUAUAAAAACCUACCAGGUUGACCGACCGUUUCUAGCGCAGAUGACAAAUGGCUCAGAGUGUAUUUGUUUCAUCGAAAGUUAAGAGGAAAAUGAAAUAAUUUUUUAUUGUAAAUGUUUAUUUUCGUUGUUUAGCUUAUCAUAACUUUAACUUUUAAUAGAAAGAUGGUAUUCAUUAAAAUAUUCCGGCUUAACUCUCUCUCUCUCUCUCUGCAUAUAUAUACAUAUAUGAAUUGAGCUCUUGUGCUUUUAAAAUACUAAGUCAUUGGUAGUUGUAAGUUUUCGACCCUUGGAUUAAGAAAUGAACGGCUUGGAUGAUAAUGGUCUUUAAGGGUUGAGUGGGUGGUUAGUUAAAUAGUAUGAUCUAAUAAGUGAAAAUGGUCAAAAAUGUAGAUCCAACGGUGAAAAACUUACAAGCACCAAGUGGUUUAGAUCAUGCUCAAUAGUGCCGAUCGUCGAUUUAGAGGCUCGAUCAUCGAAAACAAAUAGUGACAACAGAGUCAAUUUGCUAACGAUAGUAUUCAAGUUCAACUAUAUAUAUAUAUAUAUAUAGAGAGAGAGAGAGAGAGAGAGAGAGAGAGAGAGAGAGAGAGAGAGAGAGAGAGAGAGAGAGAGAGAGAAGGCUACUAUUAGUAGUAAACGACUCAGUUUACUACCAAUUUAUUUUCGAUGAUAGACCUUCCAAAUCGACGAUUGGUAUAGUUGAAUAUGAUUUUAAAUCAUUUAAGCUAUCUGUAAAUCAAAUUUUAUAUUUUUUUUAUAUCACUAAUUGAACAAUCAAUCAAGUUUAAUGAUACAGAAGAAUCCAAAUCAAUAAAGUUUUAUUAGAAAAUUCUUUACACUAUUUAAAAUAAAAUUUAGAUUAUAGAUUUAAAUACAAAAUCGUAUCACCACUUUUUAUAGGAUAUUUAUUUUCAAUUAUUUAUUUUUCAUUCACUUGAUGGACAAGAGAAUAAUAUAAAAAAAAAAUGUGAAAUUUGAUUUUUAGAUAAUUUAAAUAGUUUAAAUCAUGUUUAAUAGUAACCAUCGUCGAUUUGUAAGUUUUAUCAUCGAAAACACAUCAGUAGCAAACAAAGCAAUUUACUAUCGAUAGUAUUCUAGUAAAACUCUUUCUCUUUCUCUCUCUCUUUAUAUAUAUAUAUAUAUAUUCAAUCGUGAAAUUCAAUUAUAUAUUUUAUGAAUUUGAAUUUUGAAGUAUGAAACAGUAAUCAAGCUUAGCGUGACAACAUUCGAGAUUAGUGUGAUCAAAUCUAAUUUUAAUUAUUCACGUCCUCGUAAAUCCUACAAUAAAAAUAUAAUUAUUAAUUUAGAUAUACCGUAGCUCGAGUGAAUAUUAAUUUUUCCCAAAAAAACACAUUUGCCUAAUACGUAACAAUAUUAAAAUAUAUUUUAGAUAUUCAUAUAGAAUACUUUUAGUGGGAUUCUUAAUUCUUCCUAAACAUGUCGACGCUAAUAAAUAUGAUCUACAAUGUAUAAAUUUUAAAAAUUAAAUUUUAAAAUUUUUAAUAUUAUAUAUCUGGUAAUAUAAUAAUAUACGUGCACUAUCGAAAUUCAUUAAUUUUAAUAUUAAUUAAAUAGUAAAUAAAAAUAGUAAAAAAUUAAAAAAUUUAGUUUUCAGAAAAAUUUAUAACUGUAAAAGAAAAUUUCAGCCAGGUCCUGCUAAUUUAAUUUUUGAAGGGCUGGAGAAUAUGAAUAGGAAGUUAACAAGGGACAAAACUGUAAAAGUAGAUUUCUUUAAAGGUGAGGGGUAAAACUGUAAAAGAGGUUUUUACCGUCCCCUUUUCACACUCACCACCUCCUCCUCCUCCUCCCUCUUCGUCGUCGUCGUCGUCGUCGUCGUGCUCCUCCAAGCUCCUCCCAUGGCGCCUCUCCUCUCCCUCCCCCUCCUCCUCUCCCGCCACAGCCAUUCCCGUGCUCUCCUCCUCCUCCUCCUCGCUUCGCUCCCCUUCCUCGCCCUCUCCCUCUUCCUCCUCCUCCUCUCCCCGCUCCUCGCCCGAUCCAUCCUCCCCCACCCCUUCUUCUCCCUCUCCCUCCCCCCUCCUCCUCUUCCUCAUCCGCCUACGCCACCGCCUCCGGCGCCGUCGCCCCGUCCGGUGUCGGAGGCGGCGGCGCCGGAGGCGGAGGAGGAGGAGGAGGAGCUGCAACGGUGCGAUCUGUACGAGGGGGGGUGGGCGAGGGACGCGACGCGCCCGAUCUACGAGCCCGGCGCGUGCCCGUACGUGGACGAGGCCUUCGCGUGCCGCGAGAACGGGAGGAGCGAUCGCGGGUACCUGCAUUGGCGGUGGGAGCCCCGCGGUUGUCGCCUCCCGAGGUAGUCGAUGCAUCGAACCCUAACGCGUUCCCCUUUCGCGAUCUUUCGUUUGUUUGGAUUUCCUCAAACUAAUAGAAAAAGGUGAAUUUGGUGGGGGCUAGGGAUCGGUGAUACGAGGAUCUAAUAACUGUUUCUAAGGUGGUAGUUUUUGGUGUUUGGAUUGUUUUGGAAAGGUUGAUUAAAUUUAAAAAGGGGGGUAGAGAAUCUAGGACUAGGUUUCCCAAGGUUGAAACUUUGGGAAGUAAACAAAGAGUAUUUUGGACAUUAGUGCUUAAAUAAAUAAAGGAUUGGUGACAAACUACUAAGAAGAUAUGCAGGUUAGAGUAAUAAAAUGGAUCAUAACUUAAUAUUAUAUUUAACUAUUCUUGGCUUUAUUAUGCUUUACUUUGGAAGUUUAAGCCAAUGAAUCAUAUGUGCUACAAAGUCAUUGUUUUGCUCCAAAGGCUGUUACCUUUUGCACAUAAGCAUUUAAUAUGUUACCAAUGUCCCUUUUUGAAAAUUAUGAUAUUCUAUAUUCUCGAACUCUUCGAAAUUUCGGCAUUUCGUUAUACUGUAUUAAGUGUUUUAUUUAUUUAUUUUUGAGAGAAAUGUAUUGUAUUAAGUAUAUUUCUCACUUUCCCGCAUACCUGCUACAUACCGUUAUGGUAGUUGAUUCAGUUGCUAUGUCGUUCCAAAGCUAUAACUUGUUCUACAAUAACAUUCAACAUGUUACCAAUGUUCCUUUUUGGAAAUUAUGAUAUUUUAUUAGUCUUCUCGAACUCUUCAAAAUUUAGGCAUUUUGUUAUACUGUAUUAAGUGUUUUAUUUAUCUAUUUUUGAGAGAAAUGUAAUGUAUUAAGCGUAUUUCUCAUUUUCCCGCAUACCUGCUACAUACCAUUAUGGUAGUUGAUUCAGUUGCUAUGUAGUUCCAAAGCUAUAGCUUGUUCUACACUAACAUUCAACAUGUUACCAAUGUCCCUUUUUGAAAAGUAUGAUAUCUUAUUAUUCUUCUCGAACUCUUCAAAAUCUAGGCAUUUCGUUAUACUGUAUUACGUGUUUUAUUUAUCUAUUUUUGAGAGAAAUGUAAUGUAUUAAGUGUAUUUCUCAUUUUCCUGUAUACCUGCUACAUACUAUUAUGGUAGUUGAUUCAGUUGCUAUGUUGUUCCAAAGCUAUAACCUGUUCUACACUAACAUUUGAUAUGUUACCAUGGUUCCAUUUUGAAAAUUAACAUAUUCUAUUAUUCUCAAACUCUUCGAAAUUUAGGCAUUUCGUUAUACUGUUUUAUGUGUUUUUUUUUUUGAGAGAGAAAUGUACUGUAUUAAGUGUAUUUCUUAUUUUCCUUCAUACCGACUUCAUACUAUUAUGGUUUCUAUAUUAAAAAUUCUUUUCAACAUUUGUAAAAUAUAGCAUCCGUGUGCUCCAUCAUUGUAGAAGCUACUGUGGUAAUCAUUAAAUGAGGAAUGGAUUAAGCCAUAUACCCUUCUCUGUCUGCUAAUAAAUGGCCCUUUGAUUUCUUCUUAUUACUGAUUUCGUUGUUAUUCACUCAUUCUUUUUAUGGAUGAGUAUCUUACUAUCUUUCUAUUUUACGUGAAUCCUUGAGGAAUUUAUAAUCCCAUGCUGCAACUCUGACAUUAUUCAUAGGUUCAAUGCGACAGAUUUUUUGGAGCGACUGAGAGGUAAAAGACUGAUGCUUAUCGGAGAUUCAAUGAACAGGAACCAGUUCGAAUCAAUGCUGUGUAUCCUGCGUGAAGCGUUGCCCGACAAGACCAAAAUGUACGAGACCCGGGGGCAUAAAAUAACCAAAGGACGUGGCCAGUUUGUGUUCAAGUUUGUGGUGAGAUAAAAGAUUAACUUCCGUAUCUUCCUUUCUUUGUGAUGCUGUACUAAGAUCGUGAUCUAUUGAGCUUUUUUUCCUUGCUUUCAUUUUUUUGAGGAUAAAGUUCAAAUUCUAAGUCAUUUCAGCUGAUUCAGUUCGGUUUUAUUAGAAAAUCCGUUCCUUUUGGUUCAGCUUUGUGAAUUGCAAAUUGAGUUUACAGGGAAAAGAAAGAACAUAAUCAUCCAAAGCACAUCUCUAAUUGAAUAUAUUAUCGGUCGAGUGUAAUUGGCUUAGUUCCCUGAAUUUGGGCAGGAUUACGAUUGUACUGUAGAGUUUGUUCGCUCCCAUUUUCUCGUUCGAGAAGGGACACGGGUCAACCGACAGGGAAGCUCGAACCCGACUCUCUCGAUCGAUCGUAUCGACAAGUCUGCAAAUCGGUGGAAGGGUGCCGACAUUCUUGUCUUCAACACCGGCCAUUGGUGGACUCAUGGAAAGACGGCGAGGGGGUAAAUGUGAUUAUUUGCUUCCACCAUCUCUCUCUCUCUCUCUCUCUUUUUCCAUUUUUCUUUUCCGUUAAUUGUUUUGCUUCCUUAAAUAAAUAGUAUAUAAUAAAUUGAUAGAUGGAUUUGAACGGUUAGGAAGAAUUAUUAUCAAGAAGGUGGUGUACUGUAUCCUCGGUUUGAUGCAAUUGAGGCUUAUAGGAGAGCCAUAAGAACUUGGGGAAGGUGGGUGGACAAAAACAUGGAUCCCAGGAAGCAUUUGGUGUUUUAUCGCGGAUAUUCGACCGCACAUUUCAGGUACUAACACCAUUUAUAACUAACAUGGUGAAUCAUCGCUACAUAUUUUCAAAAUAAUUCACUACUAAUUCGCGACCUUUCUUAGAGUUGGGUGGUGAAUAGUUCAAAAUAUGUAAAUGCUCAUGCAAGCUUUCAAAGAAUCUGAGACCUCUAUGAGUUUAAAUGUAUAUUGUAAUAGGAAAAUGUUACAAACUUCCUCUUUUAAGUUUUUUUUUUUUUUCAAAAUUGUGUUUCGGAGCUUCAUGAUUCUCAAACUCUUUGAUCAGGGGCGGAGAUUGGGAUUCCGGCGGGACGUGCAACGGUGAGACCGAGCCAAUUCUCACCGGCGGACCGCUGGUCGACAGUUAUCCUCUGAAAAUGAGGAUAGUGGAGGAAGUAAUUGGCAAAAUGCGCUUCCCGGUUAUUCUACUGAAUGUAACGAAGCUGACCAACUUCCGCAAAGACGGCCAUCCUUCCGUCUAUGGAAAGAACGCGACGCGGGGCCAGAAGGUCUCGAGAAGGAAGCAGGAUUGUAGUCAUUGGUGUCUCCCCGGGGUUCCGGAUUCAUGGAACGAGUUGAUCUACGCCACUCUUGUUUUACAGCCCAAACCCAUUCCGCAGAAACAGAGGUGAAGUAGAUUUGAUUGGCCUGGUUUGACUUGUAGUAAGCAUUGAGAACAAGUCGAAAGAAGGGUUUUUUUUUGGGGGGGAUUUCAUGAUACGUGGGAUGCUGCUUUUAAUUUUUCACGAGUAUUAUGUAAUGUUAUCUAAUAUAAUUCAUGUUGACGUAUUCUUUUGUAACAUCAAUAUCUCUAUCUAUUAUGUUUUGUUGCCUGUGAUGAUGCCAGGAAUUUUAUGUUGGACCGUGAAUGUUAAACAGAAUUCAUGAAGAGCACCUCGUUAAGUGAUAGAGAUGUCGUAACCAGUCGGAGUCUCCAUGAAACUCGAAAGAUCAGUUCCCAUCUCAAAGCUCAGGUCUGAAUCUCAAAGCGAUGUCAGGUGGCGGAUCUAGGUAACCCCAAAACGAAACACUCCAUCAAUCUUUUUAAUUGUUUUCUUCCCUGGACGGGAGACUUGUUCUGAGUCCUGACACUACAGAUGAGAUGAACCUCGGCUAUGUGCAGAUUUCAUGCUAAACAUUUUCAGGAUGUGCAGAUUUCAUGUUAAGCAUCUCCAGGAUGUGCAGGUAUGAUAUUCAGAAAGUUCGCCGACCUCUAGUUUAGACUCCUAACGAUGGCCUAGGACUUUCUGUAAGAGUCAUCAAGAAGCAGCAGGUUGGUGUGACUUUCUGUAAGAGUCAUCAAGAAGCAGCAGGUUGUUGUGCGCCAUCGUCAUCUGGUAAAUCAAUGGAGCUCUUGAAGAAGAGCAGCGUAGAUAACGCUCUCUAUUUUAGUUUCUACUACCUAUCCCCCACCAGUGGUGUUAAUGCUGAAACCUGGCCUACUAUGGACUCUCUUUCAAAAAAUAAAGAAAAAGUUAUUAGAGCGACCACAUCUGAUCGAAUUGCAGUUGAGUUCAAUAGCAUUUCUAAUUAAAUCAACUUCAAUCAGAAAAAGGUGGAACAAAAUGAAGUUGAGGGGGCCCAUUUCAAAAUGGCCUCUAGUUGAAGGAUUCUCCGUAUAUUUUCAUCAUUUCUUUCAAUAGGUGCCAAAUUUUCCCCAAAAGACCACUCUAUAACCGGCUCUUCAUUCAUUCAUUAAAUGGCGUUAGUGAAAAAAACAAAUGAUUACGGUAAAAAGGAGGAAACCCAAACAAACAAACAAACAAAAAACGAAAAACCAAUCUUACUGAAUAUUUGAUGAAUCUUGCAAUUCUUGUUGCUUCUCCAAAUAGUGGAGAAACCUCGACAGACAAAGCCAAAAUUUUUCCAGUACCUUACUCCGGGAAUGGAUUGCGAAUGCGGUAAAAACAUCGAAAAGAAAUUUAUGUACCUCGCGCCUCAGCAACAUCCGUAUUAGCAUCGCAGUCCACACUUCUGGAGCUGACCUAACGGCUUGCCGUAUAGAGUGGAAACCAUUCACUAGUCUGGUUAUCACCGCACUCUGGGCACAGCAAAGAAUUUGAACAAGAAAUAAUAAAAAAUAAAAGUUACGAGUUUCAUCACAGAAAAUAUACAGAGGAGCAUUUCUUUUUGAAGUACAAGGAUGUAAGGAUAAUUUAAAGAACAUAUAAAGAAUUCAAAAUUAGCGAGGAUAUAAAUGUAAACAUCUCAAAUAAAGAUUUGAACUUAUUUGGAUUAUAUUCAACUACUGUUGCAUUUAAUCUUCCAAUUUGAUUAAUACCAGUCCAACGGAUAAUCCAUGCUAACAAUACCAUCCAUUAACUACUAGAGAAAUAUAAGUUAUUAAAAAGGUAAAAACAUAUAAAACUUACGUGAACUAUGAAUCAUUUUGAUUGGCUACUCAUUUGAUUUUACUAUCUAACAUUUUAAUUUGUUUGAACUGAGUACGUCAACAGCAUUUUGCCUUCAAAGUUUAAAUGCGUUAUUUAUCUUUACAGGUUUACUUAGUAUAUUUCAUGCAAUUCUCGCAACUAUAAAUUCAUUAAAGUAAUAGCUUAAAUUUUCAAGUCCAAGUAUAGUUGAAUAACUCAAAUCAAACAAAUUCAAAUAUUGGAUAGUGAAAUUAAAAAUUUGAAAAGUUGGAUAGCCAAUUCAAAAUGGCUCACAAUUCAGAUAAGUUUUUGUACCAUUUUACCUAUUAAUAACUUACACAAUUUACUAAGUUCACCCGUUAGACAACUUUGAAAUUCUAAGCAACUAAAACAAAAGAAAAAGGUUUAAGCAUACCUCAGGAUCAGGUGUCUCCAUAGUUUCUUGUGCCUCGAAUAUGCAUGGAAAGGCUUCUUCUUGGAAAGCAUCUGAAGCCUUCAGGAUGUCCUGAAUGAGAAAAACCCGGACCCUCCAGCCUUUAUCUGAGAAAAUGAAACAAAGAAGAUCCUCUGUGGCAGCAACAACUGAACGCAUGUCGAAGGAUUUCCAUCCGGGUGCCUCACUAGACUUCACCCCGGGAUCGCUAGCAGUUUCAUUCGUUGAUUCUGAGGACUCCUCAGAAAUAGCUGCGAUCUGAAAGGAUUGAAGAGCACCAGAACCAAAAAUAACUUAAGCAUGCAGUAUAUAAAAGUAAAUGAUGGGAUGCUAGAAUUGUGGGUUGUAGUGGCGAAAAAUUUAGGAGCCAUAUUAUUUUUGGGCUGUUACAUAUACAGUCUUGCACAAUCACGGACAUAUGUAUGUGUACGUGUAAAAUAAAAAUUUUGCAUAUACAGUUAUAUAUGUACAUACAGUUCCUUUCGCCCCAAACCAAAAAAGAUACCCUAUUCUAAGCUGACAAGUUACCAAGUUCAUGGGGGGAAGUGGCUUUCAAUUAUUAUUAUUAUUAUUUCAAAAAGCAGGGGCAUCAGAAUUAAUAAUAAAAAAAGAGGAUGAAAUGUAAGGGUCCAACAAAAUUGAAAGUUACACACCAGUCUCUCAAGGCGAUUCCAUCGGAUGGAACCAUCAUUACGAAUAAGGAGCUCACGCAGUAUUUUCCUCAUAUCAGGGUUAGGGUCCGCAAGAAGCCUCCCAAUGACAAAAGGAUAUGCACUCUCGAUGACCUUGAAAUCAGGAUCCAAUGCUUUAGCAGUUCCUUCUAAGGAUCCCAGUGCUCUUAUCACCAGUGCAUAAUCAGGAGGCAGGGAGAAGUUAAAUUCAUACAUAACAUCGUAAAACUGCCUCAUUACGCCCUGCAUUAAAACGCAGCAAGUCUUUAUAGGUAUAAUAGGAACUUGUAUUAGUUUUAAAUAUUAUAUAAUUGCAAAGAAAAACUGCUUAUUAGCAUAUAGGAUCAAUCAACUGUCGCACACACCUGACAAACAUUCAUUAUCCAUAGUCCAAGUUGCAAAAAAGUAUAAUUAGGGUACUACAGUAAGUUGCUCAAGUUAAUCCCAGAAGGCUGCCAACUUAGCUACCUUUUCCUUUUCAAUUUGUUUCUAAUUUAUUGAAAGUAAUAGGAUUUUGUCUUUUAAGCAAUUUACACCUAUUAAGAAGGUUACAAUUAUCCUUCUAUAAUGAUUGAGUUCAGUAACUAGAAAAGCCGUACAAAAUGACAAAAAUAACUACUUUUACUUAUUCCUAGAUUGACUUUCUGAAUAUAUCAACAUUAGACUCGAACCAGAACCUUUUAUAGAGAAACAAAAUGAAUCAGAAUUUGAGCUCUGCUUAAGCCAACUAAACAGAUGCUACAGUACUACCGAAUUGGCUAGUCUUACUAAAAUAAACUUCAUGUUAUUUCCAUAUUGGAAUAGUACCAUACUCAACAUUGAUAUAAUGAUCAAUCAGCAAAAGGUAUAUAUUAUACGAAUAAACUAAAUAAUAAGCAAACCUGAAAGUCAUUUGAUUGUCUGCUCCGAGCAGAAAAGGAUGUGCUUAAGGCAUCUGCCACUGACUGUAAAUCUGUUCCGUCAGGAAUAAAUCCCAAAGAAUGGAAGUCGUUUGCUAAAGACAAUGAAUCACGAUUAACAUAGUGUACAAGCUGAAAUAAAUAUGACAGCAAGUUAGUUCACCAAGAAAUGACAGCCAACACAACCGUAUGAUCUAUGAAUAAAGUAGAAUCACAGUAGCUUUGCUACAUUUUUAAAUCUGAUAAUAUUUUCUACCAGAAAUGGAUCGUUAUUGAUUUGUGAUGAAUAUUGGAUUGGCUCAGACAUUUUUUAUUUACUAAUUAAAUAAUUUUAGGUCUACAAAUUUCUAUUUAUGACUUGCUAGUUCAUUCAUAAACAACUUCAACAACUAUCACAGCAUACUGUCCUUUUCUAAACAAUUUUGUUCAUAAUUCAGAUCCAGAUAGUUUACUAACCAUCUCUUUUGACUACACUAAUAAUCAAGUCUUUCCAACCUUGGCUUCUUUAAAUGCUUACUAUGACAAGAGGUUUGAACUAGACCUGUUUUGGUGGCAAAUGGAACAUAACUAAUGAAAACACAAGUGAAUAGCAACCUCAUUUUGUUCCUUCCAGAUAUGGAAAGUUAGUGCUCAAAGACUUUAAUUGUCCUCCCAAGAAGUUACAAUGCAACAGCUAGAAUUGAAACAUCUAAUCACAAUAAAGAUUUAUCACUUCAAACCCUGAAAGUUUUGGAGCAUAUUUAACAAUCAACAUAUUAAAAGGCAAUUUCAAAGGGACUUCAUUACAAAACUAAGUAACGUAUAUAAGAGCGUCUAUUUCAUUCUUCUGGGGCAAUAUGAUAUAAUUAAGCAACAAAGGAUCCACUCACCACUGUCAUAAAUACAAAAGAAGUUGCACAAAAAUACCACAAAAGAUAAGGAUCUUUUGGAGGACAUUUUCCAGAUUAUUGGACUACCAUAGCAACUUCCUCAAGACAGAAUCAUUAACACCAUGGAUAUCUUCAGACACGACAUAACAGCAUUGCUAUACACUAUAAAGAGCAGCAAGUUAUGGUGAAAAGAAAGCUGACCACUUGGAUAAGUCCAACACGAUAAUGCCGGGGAAUAUCUCCCAUCAUACCAAAGUCAAAGUAUGCAAGAGAUCCAUCAAGUGUAACAACAAGAUUUCCAGGAUGUGGGUCAGCAUGAAAGAACCCCUCUUCAAGAAGUUGCCUCAAUGAGCAAUAGAGUCCCUGAAAGAGUUUAAAGUACGCAAAACCUCAAAUAGGCUAAGGGACUCUCUUACAAAGUACAAAUUGUCCCAGAGACCCUAAUAUAUAGCUAGUAAGAAAGACGGAAGAUCAACAAAGAGAGCUGGAAUACAAUCCAUCAAAUCAAUAAAGGAAACAGAUAGAAAGAGUACGCGAAGAAAAAAGCUUAUCACUCCAGCACUCAACAUUAAAUCAAUACCAAUUUAUUUCACAAUAAAAGACAAUUAUUUCAACUCUUAAUGUAAUAAACAGGAUUAACUAUAAAAAUACCUCCAAGAUUGAUAAGUUUAUCAUGCUGCAACAUUCAUUAUAUGAAAGACAACAUAAUGAAAGAAAGCAUUCAGACAAGUCAAUUCUGCCUAGAAAGGAGCAACAACUCAAACAUACCUGGUCAAUUAACCGUUUCCGAUCUAAACGGACUUCAUUGAUACGAUCUGUGUCGGUUAAUUUAAUCCCAUCUAUCCAUUCCAUGGUAAGCACAGCUUUACGUGUGUACUUCCAAUAUAUCUUUGGGACUUUGACGGCCGUCCCUCUUCUAGACUUGCCCUCGGCGCCUAUUAAGAUAAACCUAAUAACAGUCAUCCAAAUGGCAUGUAAAAGACUAAUUCAAACUCUUGACUACAAAAAGGGGAGAUCCAAUAGACUGAAAAAGUAGGAAUUCUGUCAUAUUAAAAGUUAACCAUAUAAUAUUAAUAUAAAGAUGAAACUUAAGCUGCAUUAACAAAUAUGGCUCUAAAACAAAACCACCAGUAGCUGGACAAUGUCACAAAUAAACAAGCACAUAGUAUAAACCAUAGAAAAAAUUCAAACAUAACAAAAGUAAAGAAAACUUACUGGCAGAAUUAGAAUAGAGAGUAGCGAAUCUUUCUGCAUUUCGUCCUUCUAGAAUAUAGUCAAUCUCAUCAAACAUGUGUCUAACCUGCCAACAAUAUAGCUAUAAGAGCAAGGCACAAAAGCAGCAGGAAAAAUUAACCCGACAAGAACAAAGUACAAUUAUAGAAUAUAUAACAAUAAGAUGAUAGUAACCUUGACACCAUGGUGUUAAAAUAUUGAUUUCAAUGGUUGUGACUGUCUUAAGAUCAACAUCUCAACAACAAUCAUAUCAUGAAACAUGAAUAGAUUAUUGUGACCAGUAAUUGACUUCACAUGUGUUGGAGAUGGUAGACCAUAAACACAGUUGGGACACAAAUUCAUGAUAAAAAAACACACAGUAGCUGAAAGAGUGUUUCAUUCAUGCAAUAAUUGGGGUGUGAAAGGCCACUGGACAUUAUGGAUUCAUUUGGCUUUGAAAUCCAAGUUUAGCCAAAUAUGCUAAAAAAUGUUAUAAGUACCUUGAUAAUACGCAGCCCUAGUUUUUUUGAACCCUUUCAAUCGCUGAUUUAUUCAUUCAAAAUAUUCCCUUAUGAUGUGGUGUAUCUGUGUGGACGAUUUAAGAUUUAAGUUUAUAUCUAUAAACAGAAAUAUGGAACACGCAUAUACUAUACUUAUCCCCGUCCACAGUAGAAACACAAAUGCAUACGCACAAACACAAUCGGUAAAUCCUGCUAAUCUUCCAUUGGUAAGGAGAAGCAGAAAACUCUCCCCCCCCCCCAGUGUCUAACUCAAUUUUCAGCCUUAAGUAUAAUUGACGGACAUGGGCAUGGGUUAUAAGAGGCGAAAUUCUUUAUUGCCUAAUCUAAGCAAAAGAAUGAUGCAAUUUCAAAGAACAUUUCUUUAUACUUUUUUUUUACAAAAAACAGAUAGAUUUACGUAGAUGAUGCUAAAAAGAGAGAUUAGGAAAAGACAAAAAAUUAAGCAAUCUAGGGAAAUGAGAACAUCAAUGCAUAAUAAGAAGCGCACCAUCUCAUUGACGGCUCCCAACAAAUCUUUGCGAGCCUUAGCAAACCUUUUCAGCUGCCCUCCAAUCAUAUCAAACAAUAGUGCAUCGAGGGUCAGAGAGACUGUCAUACCAGGUCUCUGCACUUUCACAGCGACGAGCUCUCCAGUGUGUAGAUGAGCUGCAUGACUUGAAAUAUCAAAGCAAUGCAUUUUAACUUGGGAGAACUGAGUUCAAUAUAUUUAUAGUUAUAAAAAGAUGCAAAGGGUGAAAAAUAUAGCAAUUACUCAUAUCUUACCUUUGUAUACUUGCCCCAAGGAUGCUGCAGCAAUGGGCUCUCUGCUAAUAUCCACAAAUAAUUCAGAAAUUGGAGAGCCCAAUUGAGACUCAAUAGACUUGAUCGCAACACGGGUAGGAAAUGGCGGUAUUUGAUCCUAAGUGAAAUUUACUUGUUAGCGAACACAAAGAGACAAUCAUAAGUAAAAUAAGAACAUCACAUCAGUAUGAACAAUGAGUAGAUAAUCCAUAUAACCACUAUUAGCUUGCUUCCCAAAUGUCUCAGUGGCAAUAUGCUUAUCCUCAGAAGCUCAAGCAAACGACGAUGGUAAAUUUUCUACUCGGAUAUGUUAAAUUUGAUAUUUGCAUUGCAUAUGGAACACAUAAAGUACCUGUAAUUUGGAGAGCUCUCGACAAUAAGCACUAGGUAAUAUAUCAGGACGCGUGCUUAGAGCCUGCCCGAGCUGCAAAAGAGAACUCAAGUUAUAGUUGUGCGUUAUGAUAAAUAAAACCUAAAUAGAAAAUGUCAAUAAUAUGAGAAGAUACAUAAAAAUAUAUACACCGACACUCAGAACUUAUGCAAAUGAUUUUUAAAAGCUUUAUGAUUAAAGAAGCUAAAAAAAACCGCAGAUGAAAAUGGUACUAAUUAUAGCUUGUACGAUGAUUACACCAAAAUCAGUAACAUGACAAACCUUUGUCUAAGUUAUGUAUCAUAUUAACUUAAUUACCUUGAUAUAAAAAGGGCCCAAGCGUAUCAAAGUCUCCCGGAACUGAAAUAAGCGAAACAACAAGCAAAUCAACGAAAUUUGCAUAAAACCCAAUAUAACACUUCUCUUAUAGUUAUAAUGCAUUACGUGAUACUCAAACACACACAUUAAUCAAGCUAAGCUGUAUAAGAUCUCAUACAUGCCUAAGAAGAGCUCAUUAGGCGAGAUCGAUACCUUCUCAGCGCGCUUGCGCACGUCCUGGAGGACGAAGUGCCACACGGUCAGCUUGGCGACCUGGAAGGAGAUUAUCGCGGCGCGGUAGAGGGCGAGGAAGGGCCCGAAGCGGUGGAAGGCGAAGAUCGUCCUCGAGCGGGCGCCGAGGAUGUGGCCGAACUCGCUCUCCAGCGCCUCCUUGCGCAGCCUCGCGUACUCCGCCGAGGGCCUCUCGCCAUGGACGCUCGUGAACCCCGCCGAGUACCUACGAGGUCGAGGAGAGGUCGUCGGAUCAGCGGAUCCCGGUCCCGUCAAUGGAGGAGGAGGGGCAAGGGGGGAGGGGGCGAACUCACCGGCGAAGGAGGGGGUUGGUGAUUAGGGCUUCGAUCGGGGCGGGGUUGGAGGGGAGGAGAUGGGAUCGGGGGAGAGGAGGAGAGAGGAUGCGGCGGCGGUGGCGGCGGAGGAGUCUCGGGAGCGCGUUCGCCAUGGGAAGGGGUUCGAACACACACACACACAGAAGAAGAAGCGGCGAGAGGUGGGAGAGGAGCGGCGACACGUAGCCCGCUCCGUUUCGAGAGGAGCAGUCGAGUUGAGUAUGCGGCGAAUUUAUUUAUUGAGUUAAUUUCAUACAGGUCCCCAAAAACAUAGCAAAUUACAAAUUUUUCUUUACAAAGUUUAAUUUUUAUAUAUUAUUCAUGUAAAAAUCUUAAAAUUUAUAAAUAUGUUUCUUCCGUUAGAAUCCGUUAGAAAACUUUAAUUAACCAUAGGUUAAAUUCUUAACUCUGGUUAAUUUAUGAGAUAAUUUGAUAUUUUUAUCCUUCUUAUAUUAUACUGUUGUGCUUUUUGAAAGAACAUAUUUAUGAUGGUAAAAUUGACAUCUCACUUAAAAUAUGUUUUAUAACGGUAACAAAUCGAAAUGAUAUAUUUGAAAAUAUUAGAACUUUUACAAAAAUAACAUAUAAAAGUUGAACUUUGUAGGGACAGAUUUGCAAUUCACUAUAUUUACAGGAACAUAAAUGCAUUUAAUCCUUAUUUAUUUUUGAGAAAACUUCAAAUAGGAUUUCACGUUUUUUUCACUUUAAUAUUCUGUAAUUCAAAGUGUAUCACUUUAAUAUUCUAUAAAAUUUUCGUUAUUUUUUUCAUUAAUUUUUUAUUAAAUUAGUCAAAAAAUAAAUUACGGGUACUAAAGUAAAAAUUACUUCUUGUAUACUCCAAAAAAGGGAUGUACAUCUUACAUCCGCGUUCUAGAGUGAAUAAAAAUCAAAUUAAUUUUUAGUAAAAUUUUAAAAAAUUGAUGUAACAAGAAUAACCUUAGGAUGAAGUAGGUGUAAAAUAUACACCUCACUUUAGGAUGUACCUGUAGUAUUGCUCAUAAAUAUUUGAUAAACUAUAGAUAAGGAGGUAUCAAAAGAUUUUUUUCUAUAUUAUUUAACGGAGAGUUAACGGAAGUGCUGAUUUAAAAAAAAAAACCGAAACCACAGGAUUAAAGUGUACACUCUUACAAAACCACAGGAUUAAAGUGUACACUCUAACUCACAUAGUACUAAAAUUAGAAAGCGUGAAACUACAGGAGUGGUUUGUGAAGUUUUCGUUUUCUUUUUUUUUUUUCUUUUUUUUUUUUGGUACACGGUUAGUGAGGGGGCUACCGCAUUAGAUGUUGGGCAUAUAAUGGGCCGAGCCUAUAGAGAAGCCCAGCUAUAUAAUUGGCCCCUUUGGAUUGGACCAAAACUCGACUCGGCCCACACGUGAUACAAGGCCGUGGCCCGUGGAAGUAAAUUUAUCGGUGGACUUGGUGCACCACGUCAGGCAUGGACCCGAAUGUAGGGUAAAUAAAUUACGCACUUAGCAAACUAAUUAACAUUUCCUACAAUUUAUGCGCCUCACUCGGUAUGCGCUUAAUUAAAUUGGGUUUAAUCUAUAUUUUAAAUUUUUCUGGCAAAUUGGAUCGUUAUAGUAGAAUUUAGUUCGAAACGUUGGAUCGACAAACAAAGUCCCCAUUUUACGUUUAAAUUUUCGAUCGAAAUUUUAACACAAAUUCUAAAAGAUGGAAUGUGCCAAGCCUCAAACUAUAUAGACUCCGUUUGAAAUUGCGGGGACGAAAGUGCUACAUACAAUAAGAACAAUGCACAAUAAAACGAGUAUUACAAUGACCCAGUUAAGAUACAAUUUCAUACAAUAUCAUUAGACCUAUGAAGAGACCCAAAUUUGAACUUCAGAAAACAGCAAAAAGCAGUUCAAAUUCGAACUUAAAAGACUCAAAUAGACCACAUUAAUCUCCAAGAAAACACUCUAAACUCAUCCUAGAAUCCUAAGGAAAUCUAAAAACUACAUAAUUUAGCGAUCCAAGAGGCUCCAACUAGCGGGCCACGAAUGCAUGUAGAGAGAAACAUGAAGACGAGAAAUCAGAAAAGAGCUGAAGCUCACAAGUGGUGAAGUAGACCUUUCACGAGUGAUUCUUCGAUACAACAAAGAAUAGCUUUGCAAGUUGCAACCUAAGAUGUAUACAUGAAGCAUAAAAUUACGGUGAACCAAACAACGGAAGUGGUCAGUUUUCACCGAAAAUUACUUUCUCCUUCCCACUUCCACUCCACUUCCGUGCAAACAAACAGGCCCUUAGAUGAAGCUCACUUCCAGUUGUCUAUUACCCAUGCUAUUCAAACACGAUGCAAGAGGAACAAGGAGUGAAAAGCUCUUCAGCAAACAGAAUUAUCAGACAUCAAUUAACUACCUUUUCACCUGAAUAUGCAUGCUUCGAUGGUCGCUUACAACAUAAUAUCAUAAAUUUCAGAUUAUAGUCGUGUUUCAUUCAGACCAUUCCAAUAUGUGGAUAUCAGAGAGUGCUACAUUGAAUAUGGAGUAAAUACUUGAGAGUAAAUACAUUGGAGCCUAGGGACACCAAAUCAGUGAAUGAAUUUAUCAAUAGUACGAUUCUCUAAAGAAGUCGGUUCUCGUGAUAUCUUAUAUCUGAACAAACUUGAACUUGUUGAAAGUCUAUCAAAUCAGAAAAUCAUGUUAGAGUUAGAAUACGCUUUAGUCCAAUCAGUAAUAAGCUGAUCGAUUCGAAAAUAAUAGAAUUAUGGUGCUUCCAAGAUAAUUAAAUAGUCAUGCGAAGAACUAAGCCCUCUUGGCAGCACACUCUGUUACAUUCGGAGAAGGUUAAAACAGAACACGGCGUUGCAUCUGCAUGUCGGUGGCAAUCCAACCGCAUAAGAAGUUUCGAAAUAUACAAACUUUUUUCAGAAUGCAUUCAACUGCCCAUCUCUUUCGUAUAUUUCAUCCGAACAAACUACCAUGAGAUGAGGCCAACUUUCGCAUCGAUUUUUUAUCAUGUUUUAUGACAAUAGACUCCAAUAAAUUAGCCCGUUAUUCUACUUCCGCUCGGCACUUGACAGUUGAAACUUGAGAUUGAGUCAUCGAAAGAUAAUGAACUAAUACCUUGUUUUAUGGGCUAACAAAUACCUUCAUAAACAAAUGGUGACAUAGUAACUUUUUCUAAAGUAGGUGACGAAGUAUCUGAUUCUUUGCCCACCCAAACUGCUUCAACUACUACACUGCUUUAUUAACCCAUAAAACAAGUAUAAAAACAACACAAACAAAUCCAAGUCAUAUACCAAUCAAACAAGAAGAUAAUUUGAUGGCACACGCGACACAAAUUAACAAAGUAAAUCUUAGCAGCAGCAGCAGCAGCACGAAAAUUAAAGCGUCAUUGUUUACACGACCAGGAAUUUUCAAGUGACCAUGCCACAAAAUUUCACCUUUCUAAUUCCAUCAUCAUAUAUGUACAAAGCAUCUUUACACCGAAAAUUAUAUAUAUAUAUAAUAUGUAAAAGGAAUAAGACAAAUUGUAGCAUAAUAUCUAUAUGUUGAAGAGGCCGUACUCAAGCACGAAGUCGCUUCCUUAUACGGGGGGGAUGUUGGAAAAGGAGAAGCCUUUGUACCCUUUAUACGCAUAAUACGCGAUCCUCGUGUAGUAGAACCCCGGGAUGAACAUGAUCGCCCCCAAAACCGCAAAGAAAACCCCUAACGCAACCCAAAUUUAAGAAUUAUUCGAAGUGAAUUGGGAAGGAAAUCCACAAAAAACCCUAAAAAUUUCCUUACCGUGGGCUCGAUCGCCCCCGACGCGAUUGAAGGCCAUGAGGAGACCGGCGAGGACGCCGAGGGAGCCAAAGACGAGGAGGGAGACGGCGAAGGCGAUCUCCUUCACCGGGGGGCGGCUGUCGACGGCGCGGGGGCCGGAGCCGUCGCCGCCGAAGAGGAUGUCGUCGUCCUCGGAUAUGGAGAAGGCGUGGUCGACGUACGCCAUGGGAUCGUAGAACUUCUUGGCCUAGGGUUAGGGUUUCGGAUUAGAGGAGAGGGAGAGGGAGAGGAAGAGGAAGAGUGUGGUGGGAGAUUUGAACAAGGAAAAGAACGAUGUUGCGUGCGGGGUAAAUAAUAAAGAGGGCGACCGGGUCUAUUAAGCCUAGAAGUUUUGACCCGACACCAUUGGGUCUAAACCCGACCCGACCCGUUUUGGGUCAGCCCGUUUAUACAGUCGGAAGUAAUUAAAAAUAUAGUGUAAUUAAAAAUAUAUACAGUUAAAAAUAUGAAUAAGAAAUACUACAAGUAUAAAUAAUUUAGUUGAUUAGUGUAUUCUUAAAGUUUUAUCAUUUUACAUAUGUGAUGAUUAAUUAGAUUAUUCUCAAUUUCGAAAAAAAAUAAUUUAAUGAGUGAUUAGAAAAGUAACCUUAUUUUUUAUUUAAAAUUAGUAUCUCCGCAUACUGUAUUUGAACCUUAGUUUUAUUUCUAAAAAUUGAAUUCAAGUGUAUUAAACUAAACAUCAAAUUUGAAUAUGUAUAAAGUUAUAAUUACAUGCACUAUAGUUAUAACAAUAUAGAAUCAAACAAAUCUAAAAAUAUGUGCCUCGAAUUUAAGCUCAUUUAAUGAUACAGAGGUUCGAACCAAGAUAUUUAAUUUGGUAGAUAGUUUGAUGGAUUGAAUUGUGUAAGACGAUUUGUAAACGGGCCAGGUAGGGUUCGAAUGAGAAAAACAAGUACUAACAACUUUAGGAUUGACUAAUUAUCACCAUUAUUAUUAUUAUCUUAUGUUAAAUCAAUUCGAAACCAAUCUGAUUUGACCUAUUUGUCACUCUCCUUAAUUAGCUACAUAAUGAGCCUCAAUUAUUAUUAUGUCACUCUUUGUUGUAAGUGUAAAAAUUUAAUAUUGGAUAACGAUGUGCGAACCCGAUCCACUAGUCCAAGAACGAUGAGCCCAAUAGCCGAAGUCAAUUUUUUGGCCCAGUUUGUACAGUGUUGGGCCUGGCCCAAUUCAAUUAUUAAAUCGUUUUACUUUCCCUUCUAAUCAACGUGUACUUUGGAGAAUGACUUGAAUCUAAAACUCAAUGCUCGGGGAAAAAGUUACCGACCAAUCAGUCUCUUGGUGGUUGUGGAUACGUAUGUAAUAUAGAAUCUAGGCAGAGCUAGAUCUGUACUUUACGAUCCAACUCAAGCUUGUUUUCGAACAUGACUCGGCUCACAUGGCCUCCCGCCACAAGGCGGGAUGCUGGCGCAUUUAAGCCAACAAUCCCCCCUCCAGCACGUGCACACAUUUGCAGCAUGCGGGAAUCGAACCCGUGACCUCUGGCUCUGAUACCACUUGUCGGAUCGUUGGCGCUAACCAUUAAUCCCAAAAGCUCGAGCUGUUAGAAAUACGCAACCAAUUCACUUAAAGCGUAUAGAAACAGCGCCCACAGAUCUCGAUUGUGACUCGGCCCACCUGGCCUCACGCCACUUCGAACAUGACUCGGCCCAACCCAGUCUCACGUCAUUUCGAACAUGACUCGGCCCACAUGGCCUCCCGCCACAAGGCAGGAUGCUGGCGCAUUUAAGCCAACAAAGCUCAGCUUGUUUGUACUAAGCUUCGAGCUCGGGCCAGUCGGAUGGACUAUCCGGCACAUGAUUAGGCCUUAGUCUCAACCGAUUAGUGUGAUUCGACAAGGACACUAGUUGUAAUUGUGUCGUGAACCUAAUUUAGGGCAUUUUUUAGCUCAAUUGAAACUUCUACGAAAAGUAUCGUGAUAUUUCCAUUACAAAAGCCACCAACAACUUCUUCGCCAAAAUUUUCUCGGUAACUUGAUGCAGUAAGCUUCUCCUUUCGGGGCCCCGCCCUGACCUAAUCAAUUACUGGGGUUGAAUUUGAAUCCGAAGUUCUAACUGUAAUUAGGGAUCUUAUUAUACUAUAAACAAACUUUACUUUCUUCUACAUAAAACCUAGAGAAAGAUUUGCUGGACUUGGCAAAAGGUGUGAGAAUCCAAAGACACAAGAAUUAAAGGGAUUGUGUCUCUCCCUUUGCUUGUAAGCCAAGUUGUAAUGAGUAGAGAUGUAGAUACAUGUGGGCCAUCAAUUUAUUCAUAUACCCCACUCCAUCUUAUACUCACACUUUCAUAUAUCUCAUCUACUUUUCAAUGCAAAUUAACCAUGUGAGAACCUGGUUAAACCACAUUAGAAUUUGGAAUGUAGAUCACAAUAAGUUUAAAUAUCGAUCAAUGGAGCCUGCUAUUGUUCAAGCUAUAACUCGAAAACUAAUUUUGAGCAUUUUGAGCAUAGGUUUGUGAUCGAGCUCGACUUAAUAUCCCUCCGCAGGAGCGUUAAUCAAGCUAAAUUUCAAGCCAAGUUGAGAUCUUACGCUAAACAUUGUUUCGAAAGCUCGAGCUGAAAAGAAAGAAUGAUUGUUUCACCUGAAGCGUACAGACACUUAGUAAGUGAAAAUGUAAAUUGAAAGCUUCAAUUUAUGCGACCAUUUAAGUUCACAUUUGAGGGCCCAAACAGUAAAUGGAGGGGAAUGAGAGCAUGGAUUAGUCAAUUAAGAAGCUUAAAAAAGAAAAAUGCAUUUGAAUUAAAGUGGCUAAUGAAUAGGAUUAAGUAAGAAGUAUGGUUCCUUGCAAUAAUUAGAUAUUGUACAACCACCUAUUUAACCUAUCAAGUGAGGCUCUUUUCUUUUGUUGCACUUUGUUUCAACUCACAUGCCUUUGCCUCCUCUUCAGGGAUCUACUCCCUUAACUCUCUCUCUCUCUCUCUCUCAAAAAAAAAAAAAAAAAAAAAACUCUCUCUCUUCUGGGGAAAAAAAAAAAUGUAAUGAGACCCCUGAGUUUCUUUUGAUAUAAGUUGUUUUUAUUAAUUAGUUGAGAAAAUUUAAUUUCCACAAUAUUCUGUUAAACUUUGCUAAUCCAAGUACUUUUUUUAGAGGAUGUAAUUAAUUCUGAAUUUCAUCAAUUAAUGAUUAGUAAUAACUAACAGCUACGUACCAAGUCAUUAAUAUUUUAAAUAAAUCCCACACAUUUAUUUUUUUAAAGGAGAUCAUGCAUCAUGUUCCAUCAUUUCGACCCCCAUUCAAUUGAGUAAAAUAAUUAACUUAAUUAGAUCACAUACAAAUACAAAUCGUUAAAAAUUUAAAAAUAUUUAUAUUUAUAUAUAUAAAAGUGUAUAAUAAAUUAAUUAAGUUGGAGGCCCUAGCUACUUUAAAAAAAAAAAAUAGCCUAUAUAUUUUUGAAAGAAAACAAAGUACUAAAAAGUUCAUAAAAUUCAUACUUCUCAGGAUCAAACAUAUUUGAGAAUUCGCGCGAUCACAAUUCGAAUGAAAUUCACGCGUAAAAUAAAAUAAAAUGACAACUUAAAUUAAUUUCUAUCUACAUAUAGAUGAUAUAUACACAUUAGCUAGUUACUAUAAAUUUAAGCAAUUCCCAUGUUAUAUAUAUAUAUAUAACUCAAACCACUCGUAUUAAUUCAUUAUUUGCAGUACAAGAGAAACAUGCAUGCAUCGAUCCAGAAACAAAAAUAUUUAUCAUCCAAAGCUGGUCGUGAAACACCCCCCACCCAAAAAAAAAAAAAAAAAAAAAAAAAAAGAAAAAAAUUAAAGAGAGGAUAUUACAAAUGAUCGAAGCUGGGGUUUUCAAAUUGUUCGAAUUUGAAAUCAAUCAACCUACACGGAUUCUCUUGCUGGGCGGGCGCCGGAGGGCGACGAACACUGCGUCGAGAUCGCGGGGGACGGGGCAGAAGCCCUGCGGGUGCGGGGGCGGGGGCGGGGGGCGGAGCUUCGGUCUGGCGGGGGGGGNGAGGGGCUGCCGCCUUUUUCUGGGCGGGGGAGGACAGGCGGACGCUGGCUUGAGCACGUGCUCCGCCGACUUCGGCGUGACGCAGCUCUGAUCAUCGCUGCUGCAGUCACUGCCGUCGCCUACUUUCACGUCGGCAUGAGGGCCUGCUGGUGCAGCAGCUGCUGCUGCUGCUGCUGUCUUGAUGGAUGGGAGCGAGGGGAAUUCGCCGAAGACGGCGAGUUCUAAGCCCAUCGGAAAGAAGAAAGAUCGAGAUCAGGUGCAGUGGUAGAGAGAGAGAGAGAGAGAGAGAGAGAGAGAGAGAGAGAGAGACUGCUAAGUAGGCGUGGAGAGACACAUGAGAUGGUGGUGAUGAUGAUGGAGUUUUGAGGCAAGAGGAGAGGAAUAAGUUGUGUGUGUGUGUGUGUGUGUGUGUGAGAGAGAGAGAGAGAGAGAGAGCGCGAGAGAGAGAGAGAGAGAGAGAGAGCGCGAGAGAGAGAGAGAGAGAGAGAGAGCGCGAGAGAGAGAGAGAGAGAGAGAGAGCGCGAGAGAGAGAGAGAGAGAGAGAGAGCGCGAGAGAGAGAGAGAGAGAGAGAGAGCGAGAGAGAGAGAAGAGGAACAGAAUUAUAUGGAGAGGCAGUGCAAUUUGGGAGGAGUUAAAAUAUAUUUAUAAGGAGGAUCUCCUUUAGAGAGAGAGAGAGAGAGAGAGAGAGAGAGAGAGUGAGUGAGGGUUUACAAUGCAAAUGAUUGUAAGGAAUGAGAGGUACAAUGCAAAUGAUUGUAAAGAAAGAGAGAGAAAGAGAGAGAGAGAGAAAGAGGAGAGAGAGGCAUAAUUGGAAGAGAGGUUCAAAAAGUGUGGAUAAGCACCCCCAACUAGUAAGCUAUUUAGAAAAAGGAAUGCUACCUGUAUAUCUAUAAUAUAAGUGUGUUAUAUUCUUGAUUUAUGAUAUAAUUGUGUAAGGCGUAUACUUUAUAAUAAGGCGUACAGGUAUGUAGUAUUUUUUUUUUAUUUUGAAAAAAAUAUUCAAAUAAUUUUGUUACGUCUAACUUCUACUUUUCCGUUAAGUCAAAAUAAUCGUAAAUUUCAUCAAUUGUGGAUUUAAAUUAAGAAAUUUAUAAACUUUGCAAGAUUCAACAGCUCCAUCUCUUUUUAACUAGAAAAAUAUAUAAAUUCCAUCAGAUAACAUAUAAAAGUUAAAUCAGAAUAGAUAAAAGUCGAGUAUAUUAAUGUCAGAAAAGAAACAAAAAAUAAGGGACUAUCAACAACAAUGACCUAUAUUUUAGGGGGUUCUUCACACAUUCUUACAAUUUGGAGGUGGAAGGUACAUGGAAGAAGAAGAAGAAGAAGAAGAGGAGGAGAUAAGGAAAUAGGAGUUAUAAUUAGGUAGCUUUAAUUGUGGACCUAGUUGCUUCAUGUGUCAUGUGUGUGGUGUUACAAUGUACAUGCAUGGAGUGUAAUCUACUCCUCUGCCAAUAUUAUGGGGCCCACAUUGGAGUGAAUGGGACCCACAUCUCUUGUAGGCAUAGUGGGCUACACAAUGGUUUGAGUGGGCCCUAUGUUCCCUUGUGUGGCCCAUCUAGACCCAUCAAUCAAUCUCCACCAUUCAUUCACCCUUAUUACUAAUUAUUAUCAUAUAUAUAUUUCAUUAUCUUGUAGCCAAAAAAAAUUUUUAAAAAAUAAAAAAGGUUAAUUAUUUAUUUUCUCUCUAUGAAAUGAAAAGCCACUUGUCUUUUGGAGAGAUCCAAAAGAAUGGUAUAGAAGCUCAUGGAGCCUUCUUUUUUUUACCCAUAGAAUUUAUUGAAUAUUUGGGCACAACUUGGUCAAAUUUGGCCACUUAAUAAGAGAGUAAUUCAGACUACCCAAAAUAUCAAUUUGGCUAUUUAACACCGUCGCAUACGUAUAUAAUAGAUAUAAAUGAUACGUAAAAUUAGCUGGUGAAGAAUUUAAUCCGACAACCUUAUGAAAUGAAAAAAAUUAUAAUUGGCUCUGGUAUCAUCAUAUUAUUUACAAAAUUGAUAUGAUGGGAAAUGAAUCCAUAAAUAUAUUUAACACUAGAGCAUUAAAAGUAGAUCUACUAUGGCAUUUAAUAUAGGGGUAGCCCAUGUUUGGCCCUCAUUCCAUUCCACUCAAAACUCAUGUAACAAAGAUGAUAAGUGGACAGAAUAUUCUUUAAUGCAUGUCUCUCCCAAAAUGGACUUAGCUGCAAAUUAAAAACCCCUUUAAUUUUUUGAGAAAUUACAAGGGUGCCAUCCCAAUGCUACAUGGUGAAAAGUUUCAUAACCCAGAGGCUAGAUCUCAUAUUCUCUCUCUCUUCCUCUCCCCCCCCUCCUUUUUUCUCUCCAUAGACAAAAGCUGUUGAUAUCACAUGGCAUUUAUUGGGUAUGGAGGGUUUAACUUUCCCUUUAAAUAUGAUUAAUUAAGCAAAGUAACUUAGCAUAUAUAUAGUCAUAUGAUUAAUAUAGUUCCAAAUCAAUAAGAAUACCAUACUUAUAUAUGUUAUUUUUUUUUGUGAAUAUAACAUUGAUUUCUGAUAUAUAGUUGGCCACUACUAAUUAUGAAAGAUCAAUUGACAAAGAAUUAUGUCUUCUUAAUUUCUUAUAUAUAUAUAUAUCCCUAACUUGUUGAAUUUUUCCUUUUUUUUGUUUCUUUUUUUGGAUGAUUAAUGUGUAAAUAAAUGCUUUAAUUGCUGUAAUAAAAUGGCCCCAGAGAAACUAAAUUCACCAGACCAACAACCUAAUUAAAGCAACAUGGUUGAUAAAGGGAGCACAUUGUAUUUUUGGGAGAUCCUAGGACCACUAAAUAAAAGGUGUAGCUCAGAAGCUUCAUCUCUAAGUGCACAAUCACAUUGCUGUUCUAGUUUGGGUACACUCACUGGAGGAGUUUAUAUAUUCCUGUACCAGUUUAAUUAAUUUGGAUCAUGAUGUGAUGUUAAUUUGAGCAUUUGUACAGUCUCAGAAGAAGCACUAUAUUGAAAUUUGUCGAUAACUUCUCUCAAUUUAUAGUAGAAUCAGAAGCUUUGGAAUGGACCUUUUGCUUUCGCCCGUCACAUGCAGUAAAUGCUCCAGACAUUUUUAUUUGUCAAAUGCUCUAACAGAGAAGAAAAGCAAUAGCAGAGCCAAACAUGCCCUUUUUACUGGCGAUCGAAGAGUUUGUAAGAGCACAGCUAAUACAGUAGUCGAAAUGAAUCGCAAUAUGGAAUGCAUUAGUGGACUACUUAAUUGGUCUAUGCCAUGACAAAUUAAGAGAGCUAAUUUUAGUGAACAUGUAUUGAAUUGGAUGUAGAUAAUAAGAAACUAUACUAUGUAUAGAGAGGGGUAUGUAUACAUUUGAGAAAGAAGUUAUUUUGUGACAUAUUACAUGAUUUUCUUGCAUCAUUUUGUUGGUGGUUACUUAUUGCUCUUAGAUCCCAAUGAUCCUUCUCCAAUAAAUGCUAUUUACAUGCCUACAAUAAUAGAGAAGGCACUCAUUAAUUAGUUUCCAUGGAAGGAAAAUAAUUAGGUUCCCCCCAUUUUGUCCUCUUCUUUUUGAAGGAAAAAUUUUCCCCAAAAUUUUCAAGCUUUAAUUAAGGCUCACUUAUUAGCCUAUUAGGGAAGAUUGUAAAAGGAGAAUUUACAUCCUACCUAAUAAUAGACAUAUAUAGUUGGCUUUGUGCAUGUGGGGCUGCAAUAGGUUAGGUGAAAGAUGCUGUUCCCCUAAUGGGUCACCUUGUUUUCAGAGAAUAUACAAGAGUUAGAACAAUUUAAAAACUAUACAAGAAUUAGUGAGAAUUUAAUGGUUAUUAGGGAACAUAAUUUGUAUGGUAAUUAUAUGAGGUGGAAACACUAGUAGGAGUAUGGAGUAAGGAAGGUAUAUAAUGUACCAUGUAUAAGAGUGUUUGAAAAGGAUUGCCACCCAAUAAAGAGUUUCAUGGAGCUGUCUUUAGUUGGCAACUUUGGCAUGCAUCCAUAUGACCAUAUGCUUUUUCCAAUAUGGUUGACUUUAGAAUUUUCAGAGAUGAGAUAAGACAUAGGGAUUAGGGUUGGUGUGUGGGAGAAGACACUUUUUUUUUUUUUUUUUUUUUUUAACUAUUCAUCAAUCUUAGUGGUAUAGAACCUGCCAAUUCUAAGUUAUGUCAUAAAUUAAGCACAUCCUAAAUUGAACAAAAUAAAGUAUUAUAGUGUUUGAAUAGUAGAUUCAGAUAUUUGAUCUGUCGAUGACUUUUUAUACUGUUAAUGUGGUCAUCCCACAGUGACCAAACACAUGAUAAUAUGGGACUAUUGGGAUGUUACAAAAUCUCUUACUUAAACCUUGACAUAUUCAUCUUGCUCUAGCUUAAUAUUAUUACGUGAUCCAUCUCAUACUUUUAGCUGAUAAACUGAUUAUGAUACCAAAUGUAAUAACUCAACCUUGUGAGCACUACUAACUCGUUGUGCCAAACAACUAGCUCAAAAUGAUUAAGUCUAGUCAUUAUUAUUUAGAACCCUUAGUCCUUAUAUUUUUAUGUAUAUAUAUAUAUAUUUUUCAUUCGAUACGAGACUAUUAAAGCAGUUGCCAUAGGUGGAGGAAUCAUGGGAGAAGUGUGGUGCAACAAAGGAAGUAGAUACAUGAGAGAGAGAGAGAGAGAGAGAGAGAGAAUCUCAUUGGGCAUUGGAAAAAAGAGAAGCAUGAAAUUGAGUGAGUGGGGAUAACUAGCUAAUAAAUCCAAAUAUUUUAGGGCUUAAUGAAUCCAAAGAUAACAAGGGAAGGUCAACUGCAUAAGAUCCAAUGAGAGAAAAGAGAGUGAGAAGAGAAAAAAUAUUAUUGCCUGCAGCUGGUGCACCGUUAGCUCAUGCACCGACACCCCCUGUUAUGUGUUGCUUCGAUCCUACCAUCAAGUAAGUUACAUUUCUUUUCUCUAUUUAACACUUAAAAAUAGUUCGAUUAGAAGUGUGAGACGAGAUAAAUGACUCAUGAAUAUAUAGGUGGUAACUAUUAAACUAACAUGUGUUUUCGCAGAGCAUGGGCAAUAAUCAAGAGAGCGAGAGAGCGCGAAAGAGAGAGAGAGAAUAAGUUUGUACUUAAGGCUUGUUUGGCUACGUUGCAUUCGACUCAAUACUUUAGCAAACAGUUUAUAUUUGUGAUUAUGGGCUAAUGUCACAAUUCGAUCGACUACGCCAAGUAGUCUAUUUAGCUCGAAACUGCAGUAUGUAAAAGCAAAAGCUAGACCAAACAAGUUGUUACUUUGUAAACCUAACAAAGUUUUCAUAGCAAAUUAACCAGCUGUAGUUACAUCAAUGACCCUUAAAAUUAACUAUAUAUAAAAAUCACAUACUUUUAAAAGAGUAGCGAGGUGAACUCAUCCUCCACAUGCAUGCAUAGUCAUGAUGCACAUGGGUUCAAUAAGUAAAAAAGAAAAGCAUUAAAAGAAUUAGAAGAGCACAUUACACUCUAUUGGGUCAAUUAAGUUAAUUUGGAUUAAGCCACUCUUCCUCUACUCUUAAUCUUUUAUUAUAUACAAUUAGAAGACAUUUAUUCUCGUCUUAUGCUCCUGAUCAAGAGAGAUCUACAGAGAGAGAGAGAGAGAGAGAGAGUAACACCUUAAUUAAGACAUGGGAAUAUAUGGUGUGAGAUAUAUAAAAAUAAUUUAUAAUGUACAAUAUAAGCUCAAAGGCACGUGAAAGGAAGUGGGGGUGAGUAGUGAGGUGACCUUAAAAUGUAUAAAAUAGGGAGAGUUAGGUGGUGUGUCAACGUAUCAUGUCUCAUGUAUGUGGAGAAUAUGUACUAUUCAUUUAUUUUAAUUUGAGUACAUUGUAUAUAAAUAUGUAAAGAAGGGUAAUCUUUCUUAGUAGCUUAAGAUGCAAUGAAACCACAUUGGACUUCUUUAUUUUCUUAAUUUUAAUAGAUCUAGAUCUAUAAAUAAUGGUUAAAAGAUCGAAUGCGCGGACUUGUUAUAUAUUGAUGACUAGCUCGAUUUUCUAAUAUAACAGCUAACUAGUAUUUUAGCUUUGUGAACUUGAUUUUUAAGUCAAAAUGUUAAUUAAGCAAGGGUAAGUGAUAACAUAUAUCUUUAUUAAGAUCAUUGAAAAGGGAGUGUGAUAUAUAUAUAUCAUCAAAUAUUAUUUUAAAUAUAAUGAAAUUAAACUUUUUAUUGACUUUUACUACACAAAUUGAAAUGUUGUGGUGCAUAAAUCCCUCUACCUAUUAAUUACUAGCUCCCCAUGGGAUUCUUUUUACUUUCCUUUCACUCCCCAUUUCCAAUGUCUUAUACUAUGAAUUCUUUCGCUUUUGUCCCUUUUCUCUUCUCAUAUAUGUCCCAUUUACUAGCCUAACCUAUAAUUCCAUUUUUAUUUGAUUGCUAAGUUGAAUUUGAAAAAAAAAAAAAAAUGGAAUCACUUAAUAUUUUAGGCACAAAAGCCACCAAAUCCACAUAAAGUUCCAAAUCUAGUUAGAUUAAUUAUAUGUAUAUAGGAUUUUGUCCUCUUGUUUAUGUUGUUACCAACUCAUCAAUAGCAUAAAAUAAUUAAGUAGAGUGAGAUGGGUAUCAAUUUCGAAUAUAUCUACAUUGGAUGCCUUAUUUUGAUAGUGAUACUUAUGGUGGUUAUACAUGACACAACUUGAUAUUUAUUGUGGCCUAAGUAUUGAUAAAUUAAAACUUAGAUAUAUUUGAGAAGAGGUACUAUUGUUUAAAAAUAUUUCACACGAGACAAAAUGAAAUUGUUUGAGCACAAACUUCUCUGUCCCAUAGAAUAUAGAUCUUGAAGAAGCUCAAACCUUGUUCACUAUUAUUGUACAAACCUUGUUCACUAUUAUUGUCAUUUUCUUGUUUUUUUGUUUUUAACAAUGGAAUAUGUGAGUAGAUGUUGGAGUACUUGCAACUCUAUAUAUCUAAGAGUUUAUUUGACAAUAAGAAAUAGAGAAAUAAAUUUUUUUUACUUAGUUGAUUCUGUAAAAAAAAAAAAAAACUGUCUUUUUAUACUUAACCAGAUGCAUUACAAGCUAACCAAUAAUAACAAGCAUAGAGAAGUUCAUCCAUCGACACGUCUUACAGUAUUAAAUUCCCAUUUAUAGCAAAAAAACCAAAAUAAUACCAAAUUUCUUCUUUUAGUGAGUCAUUUUUUUCUUUGUUCUUUUUUGAAAAAAAAAAAAGGAAGGAAGAAUUAAGCAAAAGCAACUCAGUAAGCCUAAUUAGCACUAUUUUUUGACAUUUUGAUUUUGCCUCCAAAUUAAAUUGCACAUCUAUUAUGUUGGGAAUUAAACUCUCCUUUUUUUAAAAAAAAAAAACUUCAAGGUUUCCUUUAAAUUUCCUCCUUUGCAGAGUUACCAAAACAUAACUUAAUUUCUAACACAAUAUCCAAAUUUUUUAAGCUAAGCAAAUUAAUGUUCCUAAUCAGACACUUUCUCAUGUUUCGAAUUAAAUUUUAUGACUUAAAAAGGAAAAAAAAAAAAAAGAGCACAAGAGGAGUAUAAGCAUUAGAUUACAACAAUCUUAUGAUUAUUAACUUAGUUUUUUUGCCCGCUUGUGGUUUAGUGUAUUUUCUCAUUAAUUACCAUCAUGGUUCAAAAAAUUUUACUUAGUUAUCUUGUGAUUUUAUUUUUGUUUCUCCGUAAGAAGCUACUAUUAAAUAGAAUAAUAAAGAAAUAUUUUUUUUUUGAAAACCAUAAGACAUUACAGUAUAGUUUUAUACAUUCUCUAAUCUACAUUUAACUACAUCUGUGAUUUCUAAACAGUAUUGCUUUACUACGCCGUUUUAGUGAAAAAUUUUACAGCGACGUAAAAAUAAAACCACAGAAUUGUUCUUUCUUUUAUGACUAUUAAUUGUAAAGUUGCAUCGUGGUCAGAUUUCUCCGUUUUAAAGUAGGAGCCUUAGUGGAGGCGAAUUCGGACGAGGGGGACGUACGACAGCUUUGGACACAGUUCUCGGACAUCCCCGAGGCUGUAACGAGAUAAAAAAUCUUAACCAAGUUGGCGGCAAUUUGGUGGGUUGUCUGGACGGAGCGUAACGGCAUUUGCUUCCGCGACGUGCCUCUUAAUAUUUCCCGGGCUCUCGAACGUGUCGCCGUUUUGAUCGAAGCCUGGAACGAAGCACUUUGAUUCUCUCCUGUGCUCUGCGUUUUGCCCUCUGUUUUCCCAUUUUUGUUUAGUUGGGUUUUCACUUGUUUCCUGGGUCGCUCGGACCUGGUUUUGUUCUCUUGUUUUUCCCUCGUUCUCUCCGCUCGGAGGCCCUAGCUGCUUCCAGCUUGUAUGCUAAAUUCAUGUUUCUUAAUGAAUGAAGCAGGUAGCUUGCUAUCUAUUUCUCAAAAAAAAAAGUUGCAUGGUGAGUAUAGUACUUUUUUGGCACUGAAGCAUGUCCUGAUGCAAGGAAGCACACAUAUGCAAUGGUGUAAGAUCCCAAGAUCAUUGUUUAUUACACAAAUUUGUUAAAUCACACAUUGUUUAUUACACAAAUUUGUUAAAUCAUACAUUAGUUUAUUUGAUUUGUUCACCCAAAUCUCACCUACUUACACUGCAUCUUAAUUAAACCAUGCACUCCUGCUCCCACUUAAAAAGCUCAUAAUUUUUAAUAGUGUGGCUAUGUACUAAAAAGGAUGUGACAUGCAAAAAGAAAAUCAUGAAUUGAGCUAAGGCAUGUGCACUACUUAUAGCUUGGGUAACAUGCUUGCAAUAUUACAUGAAUAUGAGAGAGAGAGAGAGAGAGAUCCACAAGAAAGAAAAUGAAAGGAUUGAGCCACUGAAUAAUUAGUUGUAUAAGAGUAACGCAAUCAUCUACUACAGUUAAUGAGCCAGAUUUUAUUUUAGAUAAUAUACAUGAGGCUGAUCAAGUACGAAAAAUUGACCAACUACCUAGAGCAAUAUGUUAAAUUCAAGAUAAAUGACGCAAAACACACACAAAAAAAAACUUAAUUAUUCUUGUAUUCUUAUACAAGAAGUAAAGAGUAAAUUAUAUACUAAUACAUAUACUCUCUUACACAAGAUUGACUCAUUAACUAUAUUACAAAUACAUUCUACUCUGUGUGAUGAUUUUUCUAAGUCACAAACCACGUAUCAGGAAAAGCAUUUAUAACUUUUUUGGCAGAAUCUGAAUCCAUGUUGAAUACAUUUGUGAAAACAAAAUGAUCAAGCUUAAAGUAGUAGUUAAUAAGCCCCUCUUAAAGUGUCAUAGACAAAAGUUGUUGAAAAGAUUUUAAUUUUAAAAAGAAAAUAUUUGAGCAACUUACAUUUAAAUAAUACAUAUGCAGAAGCUCCAAACAAUAAUUCAUCAUUGAAAAAUACGAAUCCGCAAUGUUUUGGGGCCCAUUUGGAAGGAUAGUUUUAUGCUAAGAACAGUGGGGCCUAAACUAAGUUAUUAUCAAAUAAUUAAACGCCGAUGUCGACGGCGCGAAACCUAAUGGACAAUUUUGAUUAAUUACGCUUCAUUAUUUCUAGUUGACACGCAUUUUGUGAUUGGACAAGGUUAUUUGACUCGUAUUCCUAAUUAUUCGUCAAAUAUAUUAUAUAAUAACUAAUCAAUGUUAAAUCACUUUGAAAUCGAUAUGGAUUAGGUCAAAUGUGGAAGUCACAUUGGGACCAAGGUAAUCCACCAACAAUUCAAAGUGAGUAAAUGUUAUGCUGUGUCCAUUUCUAAGAGUAGAUAUGAAUAGAAUCUCCUUUUAUAAAAAUAAUGUUCGAAACCCUUACAUAAUUUGUGAUUGAUUUCUUGUUUGAGUCGAUUCCAUAAUUACUCAUUACAAGUUAAUAAACCCUAUAGCAGAAAUUGCGACUGAUUUCUUGUUUGAAACCCUGACAGAGCGAUUUUUAGGAUGACUCACUCUGAUCCAAUCCGUGGUUGUUAUAAGAUUAAACACCUGACGUCCCCGUGAGAGAAACUUUGUCCCGUAGAGAAAUACUGAUUUUUUUUUUCUUUUUUUCGUCCGACUCGUUUUUUGUCACGUUUAAGGCCUUACUGUCUUACCCAUAUAACUAAGUUCAUCUUCUAAAUGAAUGAAAUGGGUUUAUUUAAAAAAGUUAAUAAACCCUAUUUCUUUCUCGCAUGCAUGUAGUAAUGGUACGAGAGUUCGAAGCCCAACUUUGGCCCAUUGGGCCGAGAGAAGUAUAUUCUUGCAGCCCACUAGAGCCCAACUCCCGUGGGCCGCAAGGACCGUUAACACUUUUUUAUCAUUUUGUACGUCACGCGCAAGUAAGGGUGCAAAUGGAUCUGAAUUGGUCGAGCUCCGACCCUGAUCCGCUACAAAUGAGGUAGUACAUGGGGACUAAGAUUCAGGUACCUGUAAUGGAUUCGGAGCGGCCCGAGUUUAAUUAAUUUGAGUAAGUUUAUUUGUAAUUUUGUUAGAUUCUAUUUUACGGUUCGGAACAAAAUAUGCACACUAAUAGUUAUAUAAUGGGAAAACUUUAAAAACCCCUCCUGUGGUUUCGCACUUUCUUACUUUAGUACCCUCUGAUUUAAAGUGUAUUAAUUUGUCCCCUGUGGUUUCGUUUUUCUCUUUUUAGUAUCAAUUUUAGUAUUAUUUUUUUCUUAAAUCAGUGACAAAGUUAAAAUUAAAGGAUACUAAAGUAAAUAUUUGAUAAAUCUAGGUGGGUAUUUGAAAUUUUUUGUAUAUAAUUUAAUGAAAUAUUACAAAAAAAAAACUACCGAAAAGAUAAAAACAAAAUCCCAGGAGGGCAAAUUGAUACACUUUAAACUAUAGGGUAUUAAAGUGAGAAAGUGUAAAAUCAUGGAUUUUUUUUGAAGUUUUUUCUUAUAUAAUUAUUCAUCUUUUUGUUCAAAUUGAAUAAAUUAAUCGAACCGAACAAAAUUAUUGCAUAUUGGUUCAACUGUAUUCAUCUCUAUAAAAUCAAUUUGGCUGUUUUUUUUUUUUUUUGGACAAUGGGAACACAAGUAAGACGGCCGAUCCUACGGUUCGAAAUAAGCCAAUUGUCCCAAUCCAACGGUCCAAUCAAUCACACUAUUUCUUGUUUGACUUUUGGCUUUUCUUUGUUUUGGGGAAUUAAAAAUCCAAAACCUCUUUUCUCAUUCUUUCCACGUGUCAAAAAAUGUCGUCCACUAGCUGUUUUAGUCAACCCCUCCUUUCUCCCCAAACCGUCCGAUCCACAUUGACUUAAUCUAACGGGUAUGAGACAUUCCCAAGUCAACUUCCUCAUUCAAAGCGAAAAAAAACCCAAAAAAGUUAUUAUAUAAUAUAAAAAUCGAUCCCAAAGAUUUUCAUAAAUAAAAGCAAUUUAUAUUUUUUUAAAUAGCAAUUAAUUAUUGCUAUAAGCAAAUUUCGAAGGUUGACUAUUAACCCAAGCGCACGUCGUUCCGGAUUUUUAAAAUAUUUUCAUCGAAAAGUCCAAGCAUCCGACGGCACAGAUUGCGUUGACCGUGGUGAUUGUCACGUGAUUUAAUCCUAGCCGUUGGAUCGUCGCCUAGCCGUUUCUGUUCUCGGCUAUAUGUAAAGCGCAACCGGUGUGAAGAGAGAGAGAGAGAGAGAGAGAGAGAGAGGGGAGGAUACAUACCGGGGAGGAGGGGGUGAUUGGACACGUGGAGCGUCGAUGACCGUCGAUCUGAUGGGGUACGCGAAGAUGGACGAGCAGAUGGCGAUCCAGGAGGCGGCGGCGGCGGGUCUACGGAGCCUGGAGCGCCUGGUGCACCAGCUGUCGCGGCGGGGGCCGUCGGAGCCGUUCGAUUGCAAGGAGAUCGCCGAUCAGACGGUGUCCAAGUUCCGGAAGGUGAUCUCCAUCCUGGACCGGACCGGCCACGCCCGGUUCCGCCGCGGACCGGUCCCGGUCCGGGUCCCGGUCCAGCAGCAAACCCUGGACGAGCCUCGAUCCCAAUCCCAACCGCAACCACAAACCCCAACCCUAGCUCCGCCCCCGUCGAUCGCUCCUCCCCCUCCGCCUCCGCCGCCGCCGCCGCCGCAAACCCUAACCCUAGAUUUCACGAAACCGAGCCCCGCCGCGGCGAGGAGUGGCCACGCGAAGGAGGGGUUCAGCAUCUCGGCGCCGAUUUCGUCGGCGACCUCCUCGUUCUUCUCCUCGCUCAGCGCCGGCGACCCCAGCGUCACCAAAGGGAACGGGAACCCCCCCCUCGGCGCCGCCGCCGCCGCCGCCGCCGGAAAACCGCCUCCGCCGCCGCCGCCGUACAAGAGGAAGUGCCCCGACCACUCCGCCGCCGCCUCCGCGGGGGCGACGAAGCCCUCCGCCUCCGCAUCCCGAUGCCACUGCUCCAAUAAAAGGUACGCCAUCCCACAACAAAAAACGGUCGAAACCCUAGCGGCGCACGAUAGCCCGCACCGAGCUUCCCCCGCUAACGCGCGCGCGCCCGUUACGAUGCGCAGGAAAAAUCGGGUAAAGAAGACGAUACGCGUGCCCGUGACGAGCUCCAAAAUUUCGGAUAUACCCCCCGACGAGUACUCGUGGCGCAAGUACGGUCAAAAGCCGAUCAAGGGAUCCCCUCACCCGCGGUAAACUCUCCGCUAAACAAAUCACCGCCCUCCGAUCUCGCCACGCGGCGCGCCGCUGACCGUCCGUUCUUUGUCUUGUGUGUGUGUGUGUGUGCGCGUUUACAGGAACUACUACAAGUGCAGCAGCGUGCGGGGGUGCCCGGCGCGGAAGCACGUGGAGAGGGCGAUGGACGAUCCGACGGUGCUCGUCGUCACGUACGAGUGGGAGCACCGCCACACGCCGAACCCCGCCGCGCCGGCGCAGUCUCAGCCGUCCAUCCCCUGAUCGACGGUCCACCACGAUUGAUUCUCAUGGAGCUGCACCGGCGCAGCAACCUCGGCCGUUCAUCUCGUGAUCGACGACCACCACGACAAAGACGACGAUGUAACUGCUAUUUUAAAACUAAUGUUUUUUUUUUCUUUUUUCACUUUUCUGGUGCUAAUUCGGUGUAAUUAAACUGAAAUUCGAGGGGUAAGAAGGUAAAUUAGAGCGAUCAAUUGACUUUUUUUCUUUCUCUCUCUUUUUUUUUUUUUUUUUGGAAAAACUUCAAAAACCCCCCCUGUGGUUUCGUGCAUUCUCACUUUGCUACCCUGUGGUUUAAAACGUAUCAAUUUGCCCCCCUGUGGUUUCGUUUUUAUCUUUUUAUUAUCAAUUUUAUUAUUAUUUUUUUUUAAAAUCAGUGACAAAGUUAAAAUUAAAGGAUACUAAAGUGACUAUUCGAUAAAUAUAGAUGNUUUUUUCACUUUUCUGGUGCUAAUUCGGUGUACUUAAACUGAAAUUCGAGGGGUAAGAAGGUAAAUUAGAGCGAUCAAUUGACUUUUUUUUUUCUCUCUCUUUUUUUUUUUUGGCCUUUUUUGGAUUGUGGGGUCUACUGAGUGGGUGCGGUGGUGGUGGUCAAAGGAGACGUUUUUAGCGGGUCCCAAUCGUCGCGUUGACCAGCGUGGACCGUUCGUUUCCUCGUGAUUCACGCUGUAAGAUGUUAGAUGCCCGAUGCCGCUCGCGAGAUUCGGAGGAAUUAGGCCAUGGACCGAGUGUACCACGUCAUCCGUGGACCAGGUUAUUUGGGUUACAGAAAAAUUCUAUGCACUGCGAUCUUGCCACUUAUUAUUGGCGGAUUUAUAGACCAAGUUAUUCGGGUGCGAUCACGUGUAUAGAAAAAUCCUAUGCACAAUGAUUUUGCCGUUUAUUAGUGGCGAAUUCGUGGAUCAGGUUAUUGGCCACGUGUGUAAAAAAAAAUUUUAUGCACAAUGAUCUUGUUACUCACUGUUGAUAAGCGGUAGAAUUAUUCUGUGCUUAGAAUUUUUCUAUUCGCAAGAUUAUUGAGAUUUUAAUUAUUAUCAUAUUAUUUUUUAAAAAAAAAUAUUAUAUUUUUGCGGCUAAUCUAUGCUAGGGUUGUCAAUGGAUAUGAAUACCCGGCAUUUUAUCAGAAUCCGAACGAGAUAGGCCUACCUGAUGUUAAAUAGGUAUAGUUUCGGCAAUCGAUGUGAAAUACGAGAACCCGACGGAUUCGAGUUCUGGUAUAGUUUUCACCUAUCUUCCAUUCGAACUCAAACCCGGCUCCAAAAUUUGACUCGAACAAAAACUGAUUUUAUAUUAUAAUAUAUAUAAAAGUUUGAAUUUGUAUUUUGAAAAUUCUGACUAGAAUAUGAUAUAUUUUGAAACCGGUUAUAAAGCAAUGAUUGCUUUCGGGUUCGGAUUUUUAAGUUCAGUUUCAGGAUUCGGUAUUUUUUUUUAGGGUUUAGUUUUGGUUAUGGAUUUUCAAAACCGAAUAGAUUUGGAUUCGGAUACAACUUUUUAAACUUUGCUCUGGAUCCGAGCCGUUUACAUCCCCAAUCAAUGCACACACUCUAUUUCUAUUUAAAGCUGGAUUCGAACUGCCUAAGUACUUCAAAUGCAUAAAUAAUUGUAAUUUAUUUAUGAGUUGGGAACUUUUUAUAUUUAUAAUUAGGAAAUGGUUGUUGAAACAAGUAAAAUCAAAGUAUUUUUAAAUUCAUUCUUUAAUAAGUUGCCAGAAAACAAUAAAUUAAAAAUUUUAAUAGGCUUAAAAAUAUUUAUUUUUUGAACAAGUUAGGCGUAGCGAACAUAAUAAUAAAAUUCAAAUUCAAAACGUGGUGCUUUAAUGAUAUAUAUAUAUAUAAAAAGAAUCGUUGUAGACGGGAAGAGCCACGUGCCCAAAAUUAGANCCCCCCUGUGGUUUCGUGCAUUCUCACUUUGCUACCCUGUGGUUUAAAACGUAUCAAUUUACCCCCCUGUGGUUUCAUUUUUAUCUUUUCGAAAGCUUUUUCGUUAAUAUUUCGUUAAAUUAUAUACAAAAAACUUCAGAUAACCAUCUAUAUUUAUCGAAUAGUCACUUUAGUAUCCUUUAAUUUUAACUUUGUCACUGAUUUUAAAAAAAAAUAAUAAUAAAAUUGAUAACAAAAAGAUAAAAACGAAACCACAGGGGGGCAAAUUGAUACGUUUUAAACCACAGGGUAGCAAAGUGAGAAUGCAUGAAACCACAGGGGGGGUUUUUGAAGUUUUCCCAAUUUUUUUUUUUAUUUUCAAUCACAACACACACAAAAGUGGUGAUAUAAUCAUUCAUUACCAAAUCUAUUAAACUAGGUUUCUAAGAGGGUUUGGUAAUUUGAAUUAAUACUAAUCAAAUCUUAAAUAUGAGUUGAUCUGUUUCUCCGUGGCGGCUAAUCUAAUCCAUCAUCUAUGGAAGUAAAUUUUAAUUAGAGAGAGAGAGUCUCAAUAUAAUUAAUCAUAAUAAAAAAAAGGCUAAAUUACAUAAAAUCUUCCCGUCAAAACCCAAUUUUUCACUUUUCCCUCUCUAUCAUUUAAAAACCUACACUUUACCCCCUUAUAAAAUAAAAAAUAUUCACAGCGACGUACGGUGUAAACUGUGAUGACAAAAUAACCAUUUUGCCCCUCAUCAUUUUUGGCAACAAGAAAAAAGGCUGAGGACAUUUUUUGCAUAAAAAAUAUAUAAUAAUAAUUUAUAAAUGAAACCCUAACGGAUUACUAACGGCAGGGGGUGAAGUGAAUAUUUUUUGUUUUAUAAGGGGGUAAAGUGUAGAUUUUUAAAUGAUGGGGGGAAAGUAAAAAAUAAAAUUUUGACAAAAAAAUUUUCUGUAAUUUAGCCUAAAGAAAUAUAUAAUUAAUCA